rnacentral:lncRNA from 1 species
AAUAUUCAACUACUGGCUUAGGAGGAUAAUGCAUAUCUGAAAAUCAUGCGCUGUUUUGCUAAAGUUAUUGAUCUGCGUCUUUUUGGGUCAUGCAAAUCACCAAGACUUUUAUGCACACUUUUCUCUAUCAUGCACACAGAUCCAAAAACUAGCAAAGAUCCGCAAUAUUUUGUAAGAAAAAACAUGUAAGUUAUCAUUCGGAAUCAUGUGUUUUGAAGCUUUUUAGUCCUUUUUUUGUUGUUUUGAAGUUUAUAUAUGUUGUUCGCCUGUCACUCACACUUUCUUGAUCUGUUGUCAGUCAAGUAGAAUCAGAUCGGUACCAGUUAGGUGUUCAUAGCAUUUCAAGGGUUGGUUUUGUGGGUUUGUCCAGGUCACUUGACCUUACCCUUUCCGAUGUCAAGCGGAUUGUGUUCCUUGGCAAAGAUGUUUCUGAUGGCAACAAAAUGUUGCUUUCACAAGCUGUUGAUAUCUUCCAUGUGAGUAUAAACUAUAAACUAUAAAGUAGUGUUUUUAUUCUUAUUCUACACUGCUGCUACAGAUUAAUCAAUUAAAAACCAUUUAUUUUUUCUGUGGGUUUUCACAGAGUGUAACAGAGAAAUGCUUCAAAUAUUUUGUUGAUCAUUACGGGAAGUGAUUUUAUUCAUGGGUAAGAAAGUAUAGACAAUUUACUUAACUUUUAUUUUUAUAUUUUUAACUUCUAAUUUUUUUUUUUCUUAUCUUUUUCUCCAACUAAUAGGCAGACAAUGGGUGAUUCCAAUUUAACUAGAGUUCAUUGUGCUAUGCUGACAAUAGAGUAAGCUCACACUUUUCAUUUUGUGCUUCUUUUCAUAUGCGAUACAAAGUUAUCAUCAUCAUCAUUAUGAUUACUAUUAAUAUUAUAUUUUGUUCAGGUCAAAAGUUGUUACGGCUGGGGGGGUUUUUUUUUUUUGGGGNCUUCCAAUGGUUGCUAUUAGUGAAACCAACCGAGGGAAGGUAUGUGUAUAUUAUAUUAUUAUUCCCUUUACACAUUUUAAACAUUAGUGGUUUAUUUAUUUUUUUAACAUAUAAUAAAUGUAUGAAUACAGUAAUUGAAUUGAAGGGUACUGUCAAGUUUUCUUCAACUGUUUUGAGAGGCUUCUUCGUUAUCCGAAGGGUAAGAAGAUGGUGGUUCUAGUUGCUGAGGAUGUUAAAUCCAUGUAGAUUCAGAAAUUUGGUAUUGAUAAAGUAACCCCAACUUAGGUAUUAUUAUAUUACUAUAUUAUUAUUAUUAAGUGGUUUUUUUAUUCUGAUUAUAAUCUUUCAUGAUUCUAAUUAUUACAAACAACUAAUAUUAUAUAUCCAUGGUUUUGGUAUAGCGGAGUGAAUAGAGACAAACAUUGACAUCAAUGGUGGCAUUCUGAAGAACAUAUUUGUUAGAAAAGGAGGUGGUGGGGCAUCAAUGCAAUCACUUUUGAAGAUGGUUUUGGUUUUAGUCUCUCUAUGGAGAAAUAAAGUAAGCGAUGAAUGAAUGAAAAAUGAACACCCUUUUGUUGGAUUUAUAUGUUCUGGUUUUACAAGAUUUGAUGUAUGUUUUAAUAUUUUUUGUGUUGAAUGUUUAGUUGUUUUUAAUAUUUUGAUGAAUUUAUAUUUUUUUAAUGAGUUUAUCCAAGAUUCAGUCGGUAAUCCAUUAGUGAGUUAUUCCGUCAGUAAUAUCCUGCAAAAUAUUACUUUCGUAGGUAAUUGAUUACUAAUUACCGAUGGAAAAAUCCAUUGCUAAAAUUUCUUGUAGCCGGUGAAAAUCCGUUACAUAUAUCAUAUGCCUAUUUUGGGAAUUAGAUGUAUGGUUUGUAUUGUACACCUCUAUAACCUUCUUUCCACAUCUAGUGCACGCAUCAUAACCAUUUUUGUUUCAUAAUCACCUUUAGACUCAUCAUUUUAAGCUAAAUUAUGACUUAGAAUUAUAGUAAUACUACUUAAAAACUCCAUAUCCCCACGAACACCUUCCAAUCUGUUAUUAUGUAAAAAGCAAAAAAUAAAGUUUAAAUAUGAAGGAGAUCAAGAUAGAGAGUACUUAUGCAUCAUAUUAGAAGAUUGUAAUAUUGAAACUAACAUUUUCUUGUGUUCGUUACUCUAAAAAAUGGCUGCACUAAUAAACAAAUUAGAUAUGUUCUCAUAAGAUGAAACUCCACCUAGAAAAGUGCAAAAAAAAUCAAAUAAAAAAACUCUUUUUAUGUACGAAGUAAAUAUUAGACUAAUAGAACGAAUCAUUCCAAAAAUUGAGUGUAGCAAACUAAUUAACUAAAAUAACACCAAUUUUUAUUUAUUUAUUUAUCAUAAAAUCUGAUAAUUUAUGAGCUUGAAGUCCAAACAAAAUAACCUUAAGCAUAUACCCCUACAAUAAAAAAGUAAUUUCGUUAAAAAACAAACGUACACCAUAUAUAUAUGAGAAAUAUCACAUUAAAAAACGUUUAAAAAUUCACUCUAUGUUGCUUAAAGUCAACUUCAUGUUAUGACUUGAUGGAUUAGAAUUAGAUGUGUCUAGAAUACGUCGUGAUAUGAUAUGUCCGAUAGCAUCUACACAUGUACAAAACAAUAAUAGGAAUUAUAUGAAUUAUUUAAAGAAUGUACAAAACAUAAAAUAACUAACCCAAACACAAAUUAAUCAAGCAAGUUUGCUGUAGAAUUGAAGUAGAGUCAACAAAAACAAAGGCAUGAAGCCGACCUGUAAAUGAGAACAUUUUGUAAGAAGAGUUUUCCAGUAUAACACAAUUUGUUGGUCUAGGCUACUUAUACUAAAACAUUCACUUUUUGCAGCCAUGUUUGGGUUUUGUAUUACAUAAGUUUCACUUUACUUAUAAUAAUGAGAGCGAUUGAUAACACAACUUUCUUAUUUUGGGUAUAAAUUAGCUCAUCCUCAACACACGAACCUUAAAUGUUGUAUCAUGUGAUACGGCUCCAAUGUCUUGUAAUUAACUUUGGCGGUUGAUACUAUUAUGAAAAUAAAUGGUUAACAAAUGCAAUUAAAUACAAUCAUAUAAACGUCCAAACAUAUCAAUGUACUUUGUUAAAUUAUAUGAGAAAUUGCUAAGUAAUAGCAAUAUACUUUGCUUUUUUUUUGUCUUUUUCCCUAUACACUUUAUGUAAUGUGCAGAAGAGACUAAAAUAAUCUAACUACCUAAAAUACCCCUGCCCUAUGAAGAUGUUGUUUAUAUUUCUGAAUCACCCAUAACUUCCAUGUUUAUGAGAUUGAGGAAAAAAAAAUACACGUUGCUUUUUUUUUUUUUGCAUAAAAAGUGGGUCCAAUACAGUCAUCGGGUUGGAUUACCCCCGGCCCAAUCAGUCAUCAGAGUAGAAUCCCACUAUACAACGAGUCCAAUUAGUCAUUGAACUAGUAUACCCUCGGGUCCACAACCAUCGGGUAGGAUUACCCCCAGUUUGUUGGCUCACGCACAUAAUAGUAAAGCCUCAACCUCAAGCCAUACUAUGUCGAAAUAUGCAAUAGAUAAACAUGUAAACAAUCAACAAGGAACAUGCAGAUCUACAGUUCAUUAUCAUAUAGCACAUCGUAUAUACCAUGGUAUAUAUCUAACAUCUGACUACACCAUAACGACAUCCUAUAUACCAGGAUAUAGAUAUAACAGAUCACUACAAUUAAUGACAUCCUAUAUACCAGGAUACAGAUCUAACAUAUCACUACAUCAUAACAUCUUAUACCAUGAUACUGAUCUAACAAAUCACUACAGCAUAACAACAUCUCUUAUGCCAUGGCACAUAACCUAGUGGGUUGACAUUCGUGCUUUAGACCCACUUGUAAAGUGAGGAAAACCCACCUCUCAUAUUGAAAACAUAGCUGAACAGGACACUACUCUGCAACUCAAUUCCACUAGUCACCUAUGCAGCCAAUAAUGACCAAACUCGACCAUAACUCGAAAUAACAAAAUACCCCUCGGACCAACUUUGUUAAAAUCCGGUCAAGGGUCAAAUAGUUAACUGAGUUUACUCAGGCUGAAUACGUUUUGUGUACCCAGGAUGUACGAUUAGCAUAUUCAAGAUCUAUAUCAGGGCUCCCAAGGGAGUACACCUGGAGUACUUGGAAAAAUGUCAUUUUCCCAUUAAGUGUUUAUUGCAUUAAGUCCCUUCCUCCAAAUGCGGAUCUAACCCUCAAAUAUCAUUCCUAACAAUAAAGUUUCAAUCUUUAUGGGUUUGCAUGACUAGAAGAUGACAAACACAUAAAUCUUAACUUCAUAUUGUGAUAUGCUAACAAUAUAGUAAGCUCACACUUUUUAUUUUGUAUUUAUUUUCAUAUGCAGUAGAAAGUUAUCAUCAUUAUUACAAUUAUUAUUAAUAUUAUAAAUUAUGCACCUCAAAAGUUGUUACAGCUGGAUUGUUUCAUGUGUUUGGGGAAGAUGUUCCAGAGCUUCGGAUAGUUGCUUCUAGUGAAACCAACCAAGGGACGGUAUGUGUAUAUUAUACUAUUAUUCCAUAACACAUUUUAAACAUCAGCGGUUUAUUAUUAUUAUUUUGAACAUAUAAAAAAUGUAUGAAUAGAUUGAUUGAAUUCAAGGGUACUUUCAAGUAUUCUUCAACUGCUUUGAGAUGUUUUUUGCAUAUAUGAAGGUGAAGAAGAUGUUGGUUCUGAGGAUGUUAAAUCCAUGGGGAUUCACAAAUUUGGUCUUGGAAAAUUAACCCCAACUUACCUAUUAUUAUAUUAUUAUUAAGUGGUUUUUUAAUUCUUAUUAUAAUGUAUCAGUUAUUUUUUGUUAUUACAAACAUGUUAUAUUAUAUAUGUGUGGUUUUAGUAUAGCAGAGUGAAUACAAACAAAUGUUGACAUCAAUGGUAGCAUUCUAAGGACCAUAUUUGUUAGAAAAGGAGGUGGUGGGGCCUUAAGAUGGAGUUAUUUUUCAAGAUGUUUUUUGUUUUAAUCUUUCCAUGGAGAAGUAAAGUAAGCAAUGAAUGAGUGAAUAAUGAAUACUCUUUUGAUGGAUUUAUAUUUGUUAGUUUUAAAAUGUAGAUUUGAUAUGUGUUAUAAGAUUUUUUUUUGUGUUUAAUAUGUAAUUAUUUUUAAUUUUUUCAUGAAUUUAUAUUUUUUUCAUAAUGCCAAAACUUCUCGUUAACCUAACACAUAAAAUCUUUUGGUAAUCUAUUAGUGAGUUUUUCCUAGGUUCCAUCAGUAAUCCGUUAUUGAGUUAUUUUUUUCAGUAAUCUUUUGGAAAAAAAUAUUUUCAUCGGUGAUUGGUUACUAAUUAUCCACGGAAAAAUCCGUUGCUAAAAUUUGUCGUAGCCGCCAAAAAUUCGUUACAUAUAUGAUAUGCAUUUUUGGGAAUGACAUGCAUUAUCAAACCAAGGAUAGUCUUGCCUAAUUCCUUUGAUUGUUCCAAGUAAAAUAAACUUACUUUCCUGUAACCAUAACAAAAGUAGAUUAAUAAAACUUCGUAUGUCAAAAAAGAUAAUAAAUAACUUUAAAGAUGAUAAUAUACCUACAAUGGCUUGAUAAUAUCACAAACGUUUUUUAUUUCAAAAGCACCUUUAAACUCAUCAUGAUAUGAAAAAGUAUGACUCGGAAUUACAGUUAUACUACUUUUAGGCUAUUUACCUUGAUGAAAAAAAUAAGUUCAAAUAUGAAGGGGGUUAUCUGAAAAAAAAAAAAUAAGUUCAAAUAUGAAGGGGAUCAAGAUCAAAGUUAUGCAUCGCAUUAAAAGAGUGUAAUAAUGAAACUAACUUUUUCUUGCAUUCAUUAAUCUCAAAAAGGUCUUCAUUAAUAAAAAAAUUAGAUGCGUCAAAAUAAGAUGAAACUCCACCAAGACCAGUAACAAAAUCAAAUAAAUAAAAACUCUUUUAUGUACGAAGUAGAUGUGACAACCCGAAAUUUUGAUCAAAACACGGUGUAUUUAUAGAUAGUAUAAAACAUCAUCACAAUAUUGUUAUAGUAGACAUUUGAAAAAUUUAUUGAAAAGGACUAAAAUUUCUAGAAAUCUCAAUUUACAUGAAGGAUGUUUGGAUUAAGAAGUUUGAAAUCACAAGUAUGUACUAGAAAUGUUUAAGUUGGACCGAAAUGCCCUAAAACCUAGAGGCCUCGCAACCAAAAAAAUUCCCUUUUCCCUCGGACCGAAAACCCUCGCACACAUAGUUCUCGGUUGGAACCAAGAACCUAGUUCUUGGCCUGAUUGGACUGAGAUCUCGGUGGACUAAGGACCUCCUAACUUUACAUCUCUUUAACUACCGUAUCUCCGUACCCUAUAUACAAAUACACACCAAGUCUCAUGAAUGACACCUAAAUAACCACCAAACAUCCACACCCCAUCACCUUUCCCUCUCCUAUUUAACUCUCGGCCGAGAUUGAAUUUAUCACACUCUUCACAUCUCUUUCUUACUCCAACUGCUUCUUCUCUCCAAGAACAAGAUCGAAAUCCCUCAAGGCUUAUCCUAAGAAUUUUGGUGAGUAUUUUUGAAACCCUCUAAGGAUAUAAUACAUUUUCAUGUAAAUUUCACCAUUUUUACUCACUUUUUUUUCAUGUGUAAAACCGUUAGGAAAAUCAAACCUCCAAAGAAGACCAUCAACUCUAUACAAGAAGUUAGGCUCGAAAUCCUCAUCUUCUUCCUGCAAACCAUCGACAAAAUCCUCAAGGUGANNNNNNNNNNNNNNNNNNNNNNNNNNNNNNNNNNNNNNNNNNNNNNNNNNNNNNNNNNGGGGGGGGGAUACAAGUCAAAAUUAUUUUUCUCGUGGAUAUUAGCAUGCUUUAUUCUUAUUGUUUGAACAUGAAAUGAUAUAUCGCCAUUCUCCCUUUCUUUUAUUGCGACGUCUUUCACAAAAAUGAGGGAGCAUGAUUUUCCUUCCCCUCUUUCUUCUCAAUUUCUUUAACUUUUGAACCUAGCAACAUAUACUGUUAGAGGGUGUGAUGGUUAAAAGAAAAGAGAUCAAACCGGAGACUGAUUUGGUCACAAAGGGUUAUCAAGUCUUUUAAUUUACGUGCAUAUGGAAGGGCCCGCAUUAUUAAUGAAGCUUUGAAACUACUAUCUGUUGGGUCAUAGUAUAUUGCUUCACAUGUCACAGCCUGUAAAACGCGAGUGUGUAUGAUUGUGUGUGUGUGUGUGUGAGAAAGAGAGAAAGAAAGAGAUGCCAGUGUGUGUAUGAGAGAGAAAGAGAGUAAGAUGUACCUCAGAAAGCAAAUGAAUUCCGAGAAUCUAAAGUUCUUGAAUUCUUUUUUCAGUAACAAAAAGAUAGAAAAUCGACAUUGUUCAAGUUCUUGAAAUCUUUUUUCAGACGUUCAUCAUCACACCAACUUAAAAGACCAAAGGAUUCAUGUAAAGAAACCCAUUUAUCUUGUACAGUUGGAAGUAUUGUCGUUUUCUUUUUGUGUAUGCUCUUCUUCAAGUAGCCAAUAUCUUCAGAACUCAGAAUCCCAGAUUCCAUUCUGUCAUUCCACUGUUUAAAAACUUGGAAAAACUAACAACACAUGAAACAAAAAAUGUUAUUGGAUGUAUAUGUUUUCACAUAUCUAUAUAUGUAUAUGCAUGUACACAUCUAUAUUCUCAUGUAUAUGCAUGUACACAUCUGUUUUGACCAAGAAAGAAUACUAAAAUUCUUCAAAAUUUUUUGAAGAAGACAGCUACAACACAAUAACUAUAUUUUUCAGAUGGUUAAACAGGUUUUUGGUGAAGUGUUGUAUCUUUUGGUCCCAAAAAUGAAAUGACAUUGCAUAUUUUGAAUAAAAUAUAAUCUAUUUUGAAUAGAAUAAUUGAUAACACAGAGUAUUCUAAAAAAAAUCAAAGAAUUACCAACUUUGCAAGGCGACCUAAAUUUCGAAGGAUCAUAGUCUGCUAACAAAACAAACGCAUUACCAAAUCUUUUUAGUAUGAAAGAUAUAAGAAACAUGACAACAAAAAACAAAACAGUAAGUAAACCUACAAAUUUCUCUUUCUCUUUUGAUCCAGUAGCAACUUUAUUUUGCCACUACAAGAAAAUUUCGAUUUAGCUACCAAAAAAUUAUGUAGCUAAAAGCUAAAAUUCCGUAGCUAAACCUGAAUAACUACAGAAGUUGCUACGGAAUUUGUCAAUGUGCUUCCGUAGGUAUAUUUCUUGUAGCAGACUGUUUAGCUACAAAAUUAUAGUUUCUGUAGCAGUUUUGCUACGUCGUUUAUUUCGUAGUAAUUUAACUACAACACACUUCCAUAACAACUCUGUAACAAUGGGGUGCGUAGCAAAUUCCGUAGCCAUUUCUUACGUAACAAAUUCCAUAGCCAUUCGUUUUGUAGCAAAUUCCGUAACCAUUUGCCUCGUAUCAAAUUCCGUAGCCAUAUGUUACGUAACAAAUUUCGUAGCCAUAUGUUUCAUAACAAAUUCCAUAGCCAUUUGUUUCGUAACAAAUUUUGUAGCCAUUUUUUCCGUAGCAAAUUCUAUGGUCAGUUGUUCCAUAACAAAAAUAGGUUCCAAAUUAAACUAACUCAUAACGAUAAAAAUAUUCAACAAAAUCCAAUUUCCAUUUAUAAUAUUUGUUGAAAUAUAUAAAAAUGAAAUAAAUUUAAUUUUAAUAGUUACAUAGCUUUUUAUAGAUAUAUUACAUAAUUGAAAAUCCUUUUACAUGGUCCAUAAUCAUUAAAAUUGAAUAUUGAUUACAAAUACACAAACUACCUCAACAAAAAUGACAUAACCUGCAAAAUCAAAUUUAUAAACAACUUGAUUAACAUUCAAAUCUCUUGUAUGAAAUCUCAUAAUGUCUCUAGUUUUUGACCAACUAGAGAUUUAAAAUCUAAAAAUAAACAAAAAAUUUGAAAUAUAAUCACAGAGGAUUUCAAAAAAACUGAAUUUGCAUACUAGAAUUUUUUUAAUGGUAGUAUUAGAAGUUGUUUAUGAUCUUAUUAUUGAUAUUGCUCCCUAAUUCCAAGAAACCAAUUUGUUUGUNUAUAUAUAUAUAUAUAUAUAUAUAUCAGUCAAAUUUCGACUCUUUUCCAUGAAAAUGAGGUAGUGACUCUUAAAAUUAACUGCAUGUAAUGUAUUUUGCAUGAUGAAAAUUUAUGCAUACUUGAAGCAAAUCUAUCUAUCUUUGACCAACUUAUAAGGUAAUCUAAUACCAAAAAUUCAAUAAGCUGGAUCCUGUGAAAUACAAAGUAAACAUGACCAAACUAUUCAUAACCCAAAUAAUAUUCUUGCUAAAUAAUACCGGUCAUGAGUAUCAACAUUGCACAUGAGAAACAAGAAACAUAUCAUGUUGCAUUCAGGGAAAGGACAAAGAGAAGAUAAUAAGAAUAGAGCAUAGGUUUUAAAUGGAAAUAUGCAAGGGUUAACUUCAAAAUGAAACAAAAAGGAGAUACUCAAAAUAAGGUCUACAGCUGGGUGGGACCAAUUUGCAAAAUUAGCAUAAUCUAGCUGCAACAAUAGCACAUGCAGAAAGUAAAAGGUGGAAGAUAAGAGUUGCGUCACAUAGUCGGUAGAAUAAGAAGAAUGAAAAAUGGGAAGAAUUCAAUUAAUUAGCAAAACACUCUUACAUACGAAAUAGUAUCACAUAACUCCACAAGAAAAUUAGCUGAAGACUUACGCUGUUCAAUCUCCUCAUCAUUAUGCUUUGCAAAAUGCAAACGGUAUACACAAUCAAGUUGCAUUUUCCCAGAGUAAUAAGAUAAUGGAAAGUUAAAUAACACAUGGAAGCCUAAAUUAAGAACAUAAUUUGGAUGAUAAUUGUAGUAAUCCAACAUGAUCCUUUUGUGGAAUUGGAACCCUCACUUCUUCUUUUUCUUCGUUCUUUCAGUCUCGUUGCAACAACAAUUCCAAAAAUUACCUUAAAAAACACUACAGAUGAUAAUUUGAGUUGAUGCCAUACUAUCAAUGAAGGCAUUGUAUUGGUGAAUUGUAGUGAAGCAUCAACCAGAAAAGAUGAUGACAACGGACCCUACAAAAAUUACCAAAAGAACCCUAAUCCAGUGUUAUUUAGGGCAAAUAAAGUAAAGAGGCAUAUAUACCAACACUAAAACAUCAUUCAGUAGCUUCAUGAACAAAAACGAAAACACAAUUACAAACAAAGAAUUGAACAAUUGUGUAAAUGGAGAUGGAAAAGAAAGUUUAUAUGGAAAAACAUCAAAUAUAAUUUCACCUUGAAGCCAAUAUUAGAGUAGGAGAUGGAAGUUGUAAUAAAUGAACACUUUGAAUUUGACAUUCCUCUCAAAAAGCAGAAAAUUAUUUGUAGGUUAAGAAAAAAAAGUCAGCCUUCUCCAAUUUCGUUCUCUGUUGACAAAGGAAUUGAAAGCUACUAAUUAAAUGGAGAAGAGAAAUGAGAAAUUAUGCCAGUAACUAAAUUCGUUUCUUACCUUCCAUUUCUUGCACAUUAUGAUCAUACCUUGAACGACCUGGUAACGACGGACAUAAUGGUCGACAAAAGAACCACCGGAGAAGGCGAGAAGCGAAAAAGGCUGAUGAAAACGGACGACCAGCAGCGAAGGAGGGUAGCCGUGUGGUGGUAGAGGUGGCGGCGGCGACAGUUGUGGCCGUGACGUUUGUGUUCAACAGAGGUCGGGGGUGUGAAGCGUUUUCGCAGAAUGAAAUCGAUCACCAUGUACAUGCUUAGAUGAAAUCGAAGGAAGGAGGCGGAGAAAGCAAAGGGAAAAACCUAAUUCGAAGGUUAGGAGGUGUAAUCUAAGGAAAGGUGGGACAUUUGAUUGGAAGAUAAGGAGGGGAACCGAUGGGAGGAGCACAACAUGUCCAAAAGGGAAAAACCCUAGUAGACGAAGAGAACACGUGAGCAUGCAUUGACCAGGGACGAGACCAAGGACUAAGCUGUCAAUCCCUCAAAAAAUACCAUGCCUUAAUGAAAACAUCACAACUACAAGGACAAAAUGUGACAAAAUCUUCAAAAUCAUACGGCUAAUGUGUAAAACUGGAAAAAGUUAAUGGCCAAUGUUUAAAACUAAGAAAAUUAUUGUUGCUAACUUGUUCCACUUUAAAGAAUAAGUAAAAAACUUAUUAUUAUUAUUAUAUAUAUAUAUAUAUAUAUAACAAAGUAAUGAUAAUAAGAACAAAUAAAAAACUUAUAAUAAUAUAUAAAGAGCUUUAUUCAUCAUAAUUAAAUUAUAAUCAUAACACAAUUAAAAACAAUAUAUUUUAUUUGGUAAAAUACUUUUUUAUUUUACUACGGAAGUAUAUUCCAUAACUAAUUGACUACGAAAUAUUCCGUAGUCAAAUAGCUAUGGAUUUAGACUUUAUAGCUAUUUUACAAAUUCAAAAACAACUUAGAUACACAAAUAACAACAACUAACCUUUCCGUUACAAAUUACGUUGUAGAUUAGCUAUAGAUUUUUUUUGUAGCAAAUAUUUGUCACAAAGUAGCUACGAAUUUCUAUUAUGUAGCAAACUAGCUACGUAUUUUUAUUCCGUAACCGAUUUUUGUAGCCAACUAACUACGAAAACGGAUUAUGUAACAAGUUCCGUAGCAAAUUAGCUACAACCAACAACAAUGUAGUAUAUUUCAUAGUAAAAUAGCUACAAGUUUUGAUUUUGUAGCAACAAUUCAAGAUUUAGCUACGGAAAUGCAACUCCGUAACGAUUUCCGUAGAAAAAUAGUUACGGCCAACCAUUUUGUAGCAUAUUCCGUAGUAUAAUAUCUACAGAGUUUGAUUACGUAGUAACUUUUUGUAGUUAUUCCUAGUUUAGCUACGGAAUGUAACUUCGUAGCCAUUUCCGUAGCAAAAUAGCUACAACAAGCCAUUUUGUAGCACAUUCCGUAAUAGAAUAGCUACGGAUUUCAAUUCCGUAGCAAGUUUUCGUAGCUAUUUAGGAUUUUUCUUGUAGUGUGCCCAGAAAUCAAAACAACAGGCCCGAUAUCUGGUCAAACAUUUCCUGAAGUCUAUUCACAAAUUCUUUUCGGUUACAAACAACUCUUGACAACCAUAAAGAUGAGUGUGGGAAAUACACAAUAAGAGGCUGCACAACCUUCAACACCUGCAAUCAUAAUAAGAUAAUUAACAAACAAACACAAUACUUGUUUUACUUUUCAUUUAUAUGUCAUAAUGAACAUAGUCUGAACUACAGAAAGAAGCAUGUAUGCAACCUCGGGUAAUGCCUGCAUUGCAAUAUAACAGUCUUUAGCUUCAGAAUCAAAAUCACACGCAAUAUGCUUAGCUACAUAUAAACAACAACAUUUACAUUUCCAUCUUCAUCUUCAUUACAACAUUCAAUAAUGUUGUUAGAUAUACAAAAAGAAAAUUACCAAAAAACCAAUAUAUUGAUGGUUUUGCAGAUUGAUCAUCGUGUUUUGUGCUAUCAAGGAUAACUGCAACUAUUUCCCCACUAAUCUCAUAAAUCUCCCCACGUUGACCGGUGCCUAAAGGUCUAAAAAAGAAAAUAAAAUUACCAGAAACAGAUUAACACCAAUAACUCUAUUUAUAUAGGAUAUGUUUUAUAACAACAUUCACAAUCAUAAAAAAGUAAAUCCAAAAGCAAAUCAAGAAAGAAAGAAAGAUUGAAGUACAUGAAACUAUUGGAAUCUUGAUAUACAUACAUUUAUCAAUAGUUGUUUUUCUUUUUAAUUUUUAUUAUUAUUUCAUACAACUUACCAACUCACCUGCGUGAAAUAACUAUAUAUGCAUUUGUGGGACCAUCAAAAGUGGCUAUCGACCCUAAUUUUAUCCUGUGAUGCAUUCAACUACUAAUUGAACAUAACGUAAUGACAACAACUAUGGUUUCAAAUUUCAAUAAUUGAGUUGAUUUUAAGGUAUUCAAUGGACUUUACACAACAAGCAAUAUCAAAUAAAGUAAUUGCACCAACUAAUUGGGAGAGAAAUAACUGAAGAAGAAGAAGACAAUAACCUGUUAUCUUCUUCCACAAGUACUGAAGGCCCAACAUACUUCACUCGAUCCCCUGGUUUAAACCAUAUAAAAAAAAAUUAGGUGUUUCCAAACAAAAAAGAAUUUAAAGUUAUCUACUUAGUAGAAAAUGAAAAUCUACCUUUCUUUAAAGGCUCCUUUGUGUCCUCAGAACACUCGGUGUCCUAUUUUGAUGAUUCAGGAGGAAUCUCCCCAACAACAGCGAUGUUCUGGUCUAUAUAGAAGUGUGAAAUUAAAAUUUUGAAAUAAGGUAAUUAAUUAGUUACAAAUGUACCCUUAUCAUGUAAGGUCUUACUUUUGUAAAAUCGUCAAGGUUCCCAGGAACAAGUUUCUUGAAAGAGAAAUGAAGGAGAAGAAAGGAACAUGAAUCGAUACCUUAGGCUGGAGCAAAGUUUGUCUUGAGGUUCCUCUUCUGUCUUUUCCCUCGACGGUGACUCAAAAAUCCGACAACCCUACACAAUAACUAGAACAACUCCCUCUGUAGCCACUAAGACAAACAAAUGGAAGAUUAGGGUUAUUUUGGGAUGCUAAGGGUUUGGUUAGAGGGGAUGUAAGAACUAAAUAUAUGAGAAAUCGGACCUAACAUAAGAGCCUAAGGGGAUCUCUACAUCAAAAUGAGGCUUUCAUCUUAAGGGUACCUGAUGUCAACAUGUGGUUGCCAAUUAGUGUCUUUUUUUUCAUGUAGAGUAUGUAGUUGGAUGUUUUAAUUAAGAUUACAGCUCAAGUUGCGUUGGACGAACGAAGAAGGGUUAGAGGUGCUGGAUGUAGGUGAGCAUGAAGGCCUUAGGGUUUCUUUUUAGCUAAUUCAAAGAUUAGCAUCGAUAGAAGAAGGUGAAGGCAUCAGUAGAGGGAACAACGNNNNNNNNNNNNNNNNNNNNNNNNNNNNGACUAAGAGAGGAGCAAAUAGGCCGGGGGGGGGGUGUUAAAUUUUGGGAUGCCAUUUCCCGUGACUAUUAAAAUGCGCGUUUCAUUAAAAGAAUUAUAAAACGACAUGUUUGGAUGACGCGUAUUUCAUAAUAAGCGCCCUUCGUGGUUUUUUUUCCUGAGACACUAAUUUUAAGGCACGAAAAUUGCGCGUCCUAAACUCUUCAAAUUUCUAAAGAUUUGACAUUAUUUUUAGGUGACGCCCUUUUUCGUAUCAUUAAUCCGUGCGUGUUGUAGAAAGCGCGUCAUUAAAGGUUUGUUUUCUAGUAAUGUGGACAUCGCAAUUAAGCCUAGACAUUUAUGUAAUCAUAUCUAGGGUAAAUAUCGCCUGAUCAACUAUAUUUAUUCGAGAUAUGACCAACAUAUGUUUAGGANAAUUAUUUUGAUCUCAAACAAAAGCCUUUAUAUAUAUAUAUAGACACACACACACAAAAAACACUCUAGAACGAAACAUAAAGAAUUAAAAUACUAUAGGAGUAUUUUAACAUAUUAUAUACCUUUCAUGUAUUUUCUCGUACUUAUAUUCUUAUAUAGACAUGAUGGCAGUAUUUCAGAUUCCAGGAGAUCCCUAUUUCCCUAACCAGGGGAAUGGAGGUUGGAUCGAGGAGGAUCCCGAGGAGAUCUUGGAAGAAGAGCCCGAAGAAGAAGAGUUUGAGGAUGAGCCAGAGGAUGAAGAGGAGCCGGGAGAAGAGUCAGAUGCAGAGUCGGAGGUUAUCAACUGUCCAAAACUGAAGGUAGAAAUGUUCUGGGGAAGACGAUGUCAUAAAUAUCGCAACCAAUGUACAUAGUAAGCAUAGUAAACACAAAACAUUACAUUACAUAGAAUUAUUACAUUUGUUUGAAAUCGAAGUGUUACAAGUGUCAUACAUAUAUAUCAUAUGAACAAAAGUUAAGUCGAAUCUGAUAAGCGCUCCGUCUUCUCCACAAGAUCGCGGGUACCUGUCUAAUGUGGACCUGAGAGUACAAGUAGUUUGAAAAUCAACAUAAAGCUGGUGAGUUCAUAAGAGGUUUGUUUUCUGAAAAUGUACAAGUUUCCUUUGGUUUUCAGAAAAAGUUUGUUAUCCAAGAAAAUCCCUUAUUUUCUUAUAAGUAUAGUUUAGUUAUCCGUUUGUUAUACGAUCCGGUUAUGUACAGUUUGUUAUCCCAAGAAAAACCCUUAUUUUCCUUAAAAGUAAAGUUUAGUUAUCCAUUAGUUACACGGUCUAGUUAAGAACAGUUCAAUUAUCCCAGGAAAAACCCUUAUUUUCCUAAAAGUUUGUGUUUGAUUAUUGAAUACAAAUGUAAUGUACAAGUAUCUACCAUAUUUAAAUUGUUUGUGUGAAGUUUCCUGAAAGCCUCGGUAUCCUUGAAAUGUAUGUUAGUUUUAACACGUAUAUAAAACUAUUGUGUGAAAAGUAAACUAUUUCUUAAGGUUAUUAGCUUACUAAAUUCAUUAUUACCAACAUGUAAAUCUCUGUAUCUAAAUUCCGAGUUCCAUAACCAUACGAUAGACAAAAAAUGGCAAUAAGUAGUCCAUUAUCCAUUUAUGACUUUCGUCACCCUUGAACCUUUUGGUUCGGCUGUAGCUAGCAGCCAAGUGCGGGAUAGUCAGCCCUGUAUAGAUCUAUAAAGUCAAGUCACACUCUCACUCUAGGAGAUUCUGGUUAUUGGGGUGGUCCUGCACUUGCGUAUCUCUGUGGAGUGUUAUAGAGGACGUGUCUCCAAUUAUCAAGAUUAACGAAUUUACAAAUAAUGUGGAAAAUCCUGUUUUAAAUUCUAAUUACAAGGGCGGUCCUCCGCUCGCGUAUCUCUGUGGAGUGUUACCGAGGACAAAACAAAUGUAUUAAACUAAUGCUUUUAACAGUAAUAAAGUGGAAAAUCAUGUGAGAAACAUAUAUUAUAACAAUAUAUAACAAGAUUUGAAAACCAACUCUUCAAAUCAAACAAUUGGUUAACACGGUUUUGAUUGUUAAAAGCAUGUGGAAUAUGAAACAUUUCAAAUGAAAUAAUAAGUUUGAGUACAAGCUAUACUUGUACUUUUGCUUGUAUUCCCCCCCCCCCCUGAAAGCAUUGAAGAACGCGGAAAAAGGUGUAGGGGUAUGAACUCACCGGUUGAGAAGCGUGUUGGUUUGGGUGCUAAACAUCAGUUUGGGGCUUGCAAAUGUACAAGAUUUCUAUGUAGUAUGAAGAGAUACAUAAAAUGUAUCUAAUUAGGCCUUGAUAUAUUACUUAAAACAAAUAAACAUUCUGAGGCGCAAAAACACUUCAAUUCAAGUGUUUGAGUGACCCGGGUGACAUCUAUGUACGUAUAUAGCUUGGAUAUGGAGUUUACUCUUCAAGAGUAAACUCCUAAGGGAGUUUACGGCCCUAAUGACCCACUACCCAUGAGUUUACGGCCGUAAACUCAUGGUGAGGUGUUCUAUGGUGCUAAAUGGUCUAAUAUCACUUGGGAAAAUUAGCUAGGAUAAAAUCUAGGGUAUAGGAAUGGAUUAAACCAACAUAUGGACCAUCUAAUGGAGUUUAUGGCAAUAAACUAAGAGUCUACGGCCGUAAGCUCCCCCACACACCUUCCUUUGAUGUUUUGGUGGUCCUAGGUCAUUUACAAGUGUUUCUAGCUAAAUCUACAAGCCAUGGAAUGAAUUUAAGGCACCAUUUUACUAAGUUAUACGAGUUUACGGCCCAGGAGCCCAUCCUUGGGGGCUUUACGGCCGUAAGCUCCUAUGGGGGUAGUUUUCAUCAAGUUUAAGGCCCCUAACCCAAUUGUGGUUGCUUCUAGACUUUAUUCCAAGGAUUAUGAGGUGUUUAAGUGGCAUUUUAACACCUUAAAAUGAGUUUACUCCCCAUGAAUUGGUGUUUACGGUCCAAGCAUGUGCUUGGGCUGUAAACUCAUGUUUACACCUUAAAUGAUGAGUUCAAGGUGUUCUAAGUCCAAUUUGGUAAGCCCUAAGUCAUAUCUAAGCUCCAAAUGUGUUUUGCAAGGGUUUUAAGGCUCAAAAACCCCAUUUUCAUGUGUCCACAGCCUAAGGCUAUUCCAGGGCUAUAAACACAUGUUUUAUGGUCCUAUUCCAUGAUUUUAAAACGAAAUUGAAGGCUAAAGAUGUUAUACUAUGAGUUAGGGUAGUUACCUUGAUGAUUUGGAGCUUUAAUUUGAUGAUUUUGGACCUACAGCUUGGAUUGGAGGAGAGAGAGUAUAGAGGGAGUGGAAAAGGCUUCAAAUGAGGCUCUCUCAACUUUAUAUAUGCUUAAAGUUUGAGACAUUGUGGAAUUCUACCCGAUACAGAUGUUAAGCGAGGCUUUUGGUCGCACCCGAUUAAGUUGUCGUAACCCGAUAUGGUCGAAACAAAAAAAUUUCUAAUUAACAGUUUGGGGCGUUUUCAUGAGUUUCUAGCGUGUUUGGAUACCAAUUAAGAUAUAAUGGAAGACUCAAAAAUAAUUACUUAAUUUAAAAACUUAAACAGAAACAAUUCGAAAAAGAUAAAUUUUAUGGACGGAAACGGGUUACGGCGAUGGAGCAAACUUCGGGUUAUCACAAUGUUGCUAGCGUUCUCGCGAACUGACUUGGCUAUCAGUGACCUAUGACCCACUAGGAGGAAGAUCUACAGAGGUGGAGCCGAACCCAGUGCCAAUGCCCUCCAUUCGGUAUGGAGUGAGGUUUCUAUAACCUCAACCACAAGUAACCGGCUAACAGAGCCCUCUCAGUCAUGAUUCGACGAAUCUUGGACAUUGGAGAUCCGACCAGGGUAAUGACAAACCAAGUUCUGGAGUUGAGAGUUGCUAUAGAAGUCACGGAUGCAUGGACUCGAGACUUGGAGAGAGUCUACUAUCCCAUGGACAGACUCUUUGAGGACCUUAUCACUAAUCGAGUGGAGGUAAGGGAAUAUCAGGAGAGGCAUUCGACUCUCAAAAAGAGAGUGGUCGCAGCCGAUCGUCGGCUAGCAGAGCUACAGGGCUCCUCGACUUCGUCUAAGAGACCGUAGGGGACUACCCGUCGUGAGUAGGAUACAUCCUACUCACAACUUGUUGUAGAAUUGGUUUAUGGGUAUGCGUUAGUGCUACCCUUUAUCCUGUAUGUAGGACCGGCCCUACGUCUAAGUGAUUACACUAUUCAGAGGGUCGUUAUGCUGCCAAAUUGUAUCUUUUAAUGUAGUUUACACCAUCUUAGAGGUCAAUCUUCCCAAAUUUAUGUUCUAGGACUCUAUUUUCAAUGAAAUGGAUAUGUAUCUCAUUUUAUUGGAUUUUGUUGUCUGUUAUGUAUUUUCUUUUCAUUUUAUUUUGUGUAGUAUAAUUUCAAUUACAAGUACAAAACAACCCUCAAUAACAACUAGACUCGAUACAUAUAUGAAUGAGAUGUUCCAUAACAGUAGUGUACGAAUCAUAACUCAUAUCAAAAGCAUAUCCUCAUUCCACUUGUGGCAGAAAGAUGCUGCCACAAAGAUAUAAUAGACAUUUCAACAAUGCCACAAUGCCACCACCACCACCACCACCUCCACAAAUGGACCCUGCAAUGUUUUAGGCUGAAAUGACAGCCACUAUAACUGCUGCUAUGGUCCAGAUCAACCACAAUGGUACAAAUGGAAACGAUAAUGGAAACGGGAACGGGACGGGUAGUUCCAACCAAGGGGACAGCCAGGGACCUCAGGUAGUGUGCAUCUACAAAGACUUUACAGACUACGAAUCCAAUCCCUACAAUGGAAGCAGAGGUGUUAUUUCUUUAACACUGUGGUUUGAGAAGACAAAGUCAGUAUUUGAAAUCUGUGACUGCCCAGAGGAGAGCAAAGUCAAAUUUGCACCCUGUACUUUCACUGAUAGGGCCCUUUCGUGGUUGAAUGGCCAUGUCAAGGCCCGAACACUCCUGGUGGCAAACUAGAUGACAUGGGAGGAUCUCAAGCUUUUGAUGCUUGAAGAGUACAGCCCAAGGGGCGAGGUAUAGAAGCUAGUAUAAGAAUUUUGAAAUCUCACUAUGAAUGGGACAGACAUUGUAGCCUACACUGCCAUAUUCAUCAACUUGGCGAUUCUAUGCCUUAGAAUGGUCACUCAUACGAGCAAGAAAGUAGUACUUGUUAUCUGGUGGCUAUCUCCUCAAAUUUAAACGUAUGUUAUUGCUGCUAACCCAAUAACAUUCGACAGCGCCAAGCGCCUUGCUCAAAGGCUCGUUGACCAUGGAAUACAAAAGGACAUAAUGAUUCCCGCCCUCGAACAGAACAAGGGAAGGGAUAACAAGAGGAUGUUUGGAAACAAGAAGAAGGGGCAACCAACUCAGGAACCCACGAAAAAAGAAAAUAUUGCGGCGGUUCAUGCUGCUACGGCCCCUGCCACAACAAGACCCACCAAGCCAUAUGCGGGUACCCUCCUAAAGUGUGAUAAAUGUAGCCUUCACCACAAUGGAACCUGUCGGGAGAUGAAAUGUACAAACUGCAACAGUAAGGGUCACACUACCCGAUACUGCAGAGCACCCACACAACAGGCCACCCAACCCACUAAUACUAGGGUGAGCCAAGCGUGUUAUGGUUAUAGGAAGAUGGACCACUACAAGAGGAGCUGUCCAAAGGCCAACAACUACAAUACUAGAGGAACGGGAAGAGUCCUAGCAAUAGGACACGAGGAGGUGAUGAAAGAUCCUGUAGUGGUCACCAGUAUGUUCCUCCUCAAUAACAUUUAUGCAUUCAUACUAUUUGAUGGUGGAGCGGAGAGAAACUUUCUGAGUCAUAUGUUUAAACAUUUACUCAAAACAAAACCCUCAAAUACUAAAUGAAACAUUCAUAUAGAAAUGACCAAUUAAAAAACUGAAGCAACAAAUGAUGUAUUCAUAGGAUGCACAUUAACUUUGAACAAUCACUUCUUUCAAAUCGACUUAAUGCCGGUUACCAUAGGGAACUUUGAUGUUAUCAUCAGCAUGGACCAACUAAUUCCUCACUGUGCCAAUAUUAUGUGUUAUGAGAAGGUUGUUCGCCUUCACCUACCAAUUGACGAAACCUUGGUCAUAUAUGUUAGAUUAGGUGUCUAAGCCCAUAAAUAUUUUGGUAUAUACUUGACCCGGUUACGAGCAUGGUCCUUUUGGGUUGCCUUCACCAUGGCAACUGAUAGGAUGAAUUGUGGAGAAAGAAGAUUAAUUUUGAUUUAUUAAUAUGUUGUAAGAAUAAUGUAUUAAUUAAGAAAUCAUAUUAUUUAAUUAGUAUUGAUCAGAAAUUAAUUUGGUGAUCAAAAGAGAUUGAUUAAAUUAAUGGGGACUGAUUAUGUAAAUCAGUAAUAUUUAUAGUUUGGGCUCGUAGACCUUAUUGGUAUAGGUUGGAUGAAAUCUCUAUGAGAGUACAUAAAGAUUUCCUCUAAGGCUUGUCCAUUAAGGAGUCCAUAUGUUGCUUAGGGCCUAAGCAAGGCAAUUAGGGUUUCCAAGUUCAUAACCCUAGAAGCCUUAACUAUAAAAGGAACCCCAAAGGCUCCCAAAGGUGACCGAAUGAUUUCUUGGAGAGUCCUAGAUUUUUAUGAUGGCUAUUCCUCUCUCUCAAAUUCUUCUUUGUUGCUAGUGGUGUUUGUGACUCUAUUAGAGGUGCAACACUUGGGGAACUAAGAUUUCAAGAGUUAAGGACAUUGUGGAUUGUUCUUGUUAUUGCUACAUAACAAGUAAGGUAAGAUUCCAAACCCUUAUUUACAUAUGAAUUUCCUUCUUAGACAUGUUAUAUUAGGGUUUAUGCUUUGGAUGAUUGUUUGCAUGUAUUACUUGAGGAAAACCUAGAUCCAAAGCGUUAGGGAUGCAUUUACACCAUAGGAAUGUUGUAGUGCUGAAACCCCAUAAGUGGUAUCAGAGCUAGUGUGAAUCGUUGAAAGCUGGAAAAUUUUCGUUUUUGCUUUCUGCUUGAUCACCACGAGGUGGUAAAAGUCACCAUGACGCGAACUCGGUUAUGAUGGCAGAUUUUUCGGAUUUUGGCUAAAAUUAUGUUAGGAUAAUUACCAUAAGUUAUUUUACUACUUAAAAAUUUGAUUUUUUCAUAUAGUAAUGGAUUUCCUAAUCUAAUUGGCAGAUAAUGGUCAAAAUUUAAGAUAAUUACUAGAUUAUAUGAUAAACUAAUUAUUUGUAUAUUUUGAAUUGUAUUUAUCUUGCCAAAUUAAAAUAGAUUAGUUCAAAUUUAGAUAAUGGUAAAAUUAUAUGAUUAUUUAGUUUUUUUUUUAAAUUUGAUCUAGAAUGUUUUGAAAAGUUUCAAAACCUACCCUCAAGUUUUGGAAUUUAAAAUUUGAUUAAAAAGUUUUAAUUCUAAAAAGUCAAAUUCUAAAACCCUUGAUAUUUUGAAUAGUUCAAAUUUCACCCUUAUGGUUUUGUUAAAUUAAUUAAUUAUUUAAUUAAAAGAGAGAAUUAAUAAACCCAUAAUGACAUGGUUUAAAUUUAAUUAAAUUAAGAGUCUAAUUUAUUAAUAGAUUAACUAUCUAGUAUUUUAAAUUUAUUAAAUACACCAUUAUACUGUAUAAAAUUAAAAGUUUAAUAUAUUAUAUAUGUAUAAGUAAAAGUCAGUGUUACCGUUAGUAGGCAUCAUUGACGAAGCUGGUCUAUAAGGGGUGUUUAAGGAAGCGGCCUAUAAUAUGAUCGUCAUUGGGUAUCUACUCUUACCUACCACAUUCUUGACUAGUGAAGGGUCGUUAGCCGAACGGGUAGGAUAGGACACAACCUUCCAUUAUAAGUAUAAUCAAAUGCGAAGUAACUAAAUGCCUUUUACAAAUUCCCAAAUCUUAAUUACUUAAGGAAAAAUGUAAAUUUGGUGCUAAUCCAUGAAAUUGCACAUUGCACCUUAUUGUCAUUAGUGGAUCGUGUGUGGUUAACCGGCACACUAAUAUGGGACCAGUGAAGGAUGGCAAUGGGUAGCUCGUAGAUUAUGAUAGAUCAAUGGAACAUGUGUGGUUAACUGGAACAUUGAUUAGGAUAUAUAUGUCAUCGAGAGUACCAAGCUAAUUUGCAUGGUUAUUCACACAUUGUUUGUGAUCCUUGGUAUCCCAGUCACAAACUUCAAGGAAUUUCAAUUCAUUUAAAACCUAAUUUUCAAUUUUCCAUUUUAAGGGUAGGAAUUGGUAAAUCGUCAUUUACCUACCUUCAAAUAUUUUGCAAUUGGAUUAUAGCAUCACUCUUCCUAAUUGCAGAAUAUUGUGUUGGAUCCUAACCUUGAUAUUUCAUUUGGGCGUUAUAUCAAGGAUUAUUAUCAUCUAACUUGAACUUUCUCCCGUUUUGUAGAUGUCAAAUGACUAUGGUCUUCCCAAAUCCUUUGGAAAAAGUUUUCCACAUGAAGAUGAUGUUCCACAAUUGGGUUAUGGAAAUGGAAAUCAUGAUUCACUUCCUCCAUCCCCUCCAAUAAUUCUCCCUGACCCACAUGUUCGAUGACUUGAAAUGUUCAAGGUCACUCAAGCCCUAUUGGCAAAGAAACACAAAGUUGGAAAGCUUGUAUGUGCUCAUGUCUUGGAUAUAAAGUUGCAUAUUGAUAGGUUAGGAAUGUUGGGUGUCGAUGUCUUAAGGAAGAUGGUUGUUGACUUCGUUCUUCAAUUACUUCCUGACUCAUAUAGUGAGUUCGUUAGAGAGUAAUAUAUGAUGGACCACGACAUGACCCUCAUUGAUCUUAACUAUUUGCUUAUUGCUGCUGAAUCAGCAAUGAUUUGGCGCACUGCUCAAACAAAAUUGACUAGUAGAUCAACCUCCCAAAACUUCCAUGGACAUUAACAAUGGCAACAUCGGAAGUCCAAAAAAGUCUUCUCUACCCAUUGGAAAGGGAUUGGCCAAGGUCAAACCAUAUGACCGGAUAGUAAAGAGAAAGCUUGUCCCAUGUGCUAUUCCAAAAGAGUCCAUUUGUUUUUACUGCCAAGAGAAGGGGAAUUGGUUAUGAAGAUGCCAUACUUACCUGAAAGAUAAAAAGGAUGGGAGAGUCAAGAUGUAUGAGUCAGUAUCAGGUAAAAUCCACUAUCUAAAUCUAUUAAGUUCAUAUUUGUAGAUUCUUAAUACAUGGUGUGAUAAGAUUGCAUUUUGAUAUUUUAUAGGAUUGAAGAAAAGAAAGGAGGCUUAAACGAUGAGUUGAAUCUGAUCGCGAAGAGAUGGAUUUCAAUCGCAUGGUUCGAUGAUCAAAAUUUUGAGCUGCUUCUUAGGAGUUAUGAUAGAUUUCUUAAAAAUAUUUAAUAACAUAGUUUUCAUCUAUAAUUGCAUUGUAAGGACAAAUUUUUUCGUGUUUUAUUAAUAAAAUAAAUUUUGUUUUUGUCUUAUUUACAUAUAUCCUUGCAAUGACUUUUGUGAAAAUUGAUGUUUGUAUGAUUCUAUUGCUACCUAUAUUGAAAUGGAUGUGAUUCCUAGUUAUGUUAUUUGUGGUAAUGUCGAAAUUUUACAAAUUAGGAAUGUUUCUCAUCAGAAAAGUUUCAAUUGGACAGAAAUUUGGAAUCAUGCGACAUGUAUUGUGUGAUGAAUGAGAACAUUUGCAUUUGGGAAAUUAAGAUAAUUCCUUGUUCACAUAAGUAUGUGAAUCAAGUGAAGGACUAAAGGAUCUAGUACGCAUUGUUGUGCACUAGGACAAGUCCAACACAAAGAACGAUAGGUAUAUUCGUCAUGAUUUGCUAAAUGUUUAGGAAAGAUGUUUAUACUUACAAGGUUAAGUUUAAUUCUGAAUCGUUGAAUAGGUUUCAAUGUAAAACAGAACGAAUAAGAAGAAUCAAUUAGGUUAAAUGAUGAAAGUUUCUCCAAUCUGAAAAGAAGGGAGAGCUCUUAAGUAUCGUGCUUUAUGAUUAACUUAGUGAUUUUGAAACCGUGUCAGAAUUGAUCCUCUAUGGACACCUUAGUACACUAAUAUGGCUAAGAAGAGGAAUCAGAAAUUGUUGAAAUCGUUAAAUCAAAACGUGAAUAAUACUUCGUUCCAAAAACAAGUCUUAGAGUGGUACUCCAAGAUUGUGCAUUGAGUGAAACAUCUUUAGUAGGUUUAUAAGACUCAUCAAAUUUGGAGUAAAAAAUGUUUUUAUUGCUCUUGCGCAUUUGUAAUUGGUAGUUGUGAUGUUUUAGAUAAGACAAAGACCAAGUACGAUCAAUUGUGUAGAGUGUUUAUCUUAAUAGGAGCCUGAACUGUCUCUUGAAUAUUUGUUUGUCAAGGAAUGUUUCUUGACAAGAGAAUCUUAUAUGUCAAGAGGUCAGUGGGAGUCUAAAUGAUCUUGAAAAGUCUCGAGAACUAAUCAAGAGUAAACCUAUUGUUAAACACUAGCACACAACUUGUGGUUUGUGACCUAUCGUGUUGACACAUUCUUCACUACAAGAAAAAGACCCUUUUACGAUGCGCAAACCACGGCACUCAGUGAUUUAUGUUACGCAAAGGAGAGUGACGUUAAAAAAGUGUCGUAUCUUCAAAAAAUUUAAGGAUUUAGGUCACGUAUUAUGGGGUGUCCUUAAAUUAGUGUCUAAACUAAAAAAAAAAACAAGCACUGAGGGCACCUAUAAUAAAAUGUGCGUCGUCUAAUGACGUCGCUUUAUAAUUUUUAAUGGAAUGCGCGUUCCGUCUUUCUAAUUGUGGGGGGAAAUGAAAUCAUAAAAAACUAAACACCCCGCCAUCGUUUUCUCCUUUCCCUCUUCCCUUAUUAUCGUCAUCGUUUUCUCCUAUUUUUUCCCUCUUCCCUGAUUAUCAUCUCUCUCGGUCGCUACCUAGGGUUUUUAUUAAAUCUUGAAUUAAUCGACUUAGGUAAACAAAGGUCAAGCGAACCAGGAAAGGGUUUUCAGUGAAAUCUACUAUUACUCUUUGAAAUCAGAUCCAAUCCUACCUUCCCCCAAUCCUUCUUGUCUCUAUCGGUCGCGACCUAGGGUUUUUGGUGAAAAGUUGAAUUGAUCGACUAGGGUAACCAAAGGGUAAGCGAACCAGGAAAGGGAAGUAAUAAAUCCAAGACUCACUCUCAAAUCGAUUCUACUUGACGAGGUUUUAAUUUGGGCUCUCUACAUUCUCAUCAAUUCUACUUUCAUUCAAGCUUACAUUAGUUUUUCUAGUAUCCAUUAACUGAAGGGGUAUUAACAUCAGUCGGAGGCACUCCUUAAACAUUCAAGAUCUCAUAAUUUUAUUUAGUCUACAUCUGAGUUGCAAAAUGAUAGAGGCGUUCAUGCAACUCCCAUAAAAUGAUAGAGGCGGUCAUGCAGUCUGCUUCAAAGGGCAAGGUUUAAACCAUUCGCCAAGGAUAUCUUUCCAAAGUGCUCCGCAAACCUCAGGGGCAACUGGAAACGAAGGUUUUUUGUUCUCGAUAGCCGAGGAAUGCUCUACUACUACUGCAAACAAAAUAGCAAACCAUAUGUAACUCAACUUCCUUUACAUUAGUUCAGCCUUUGGUUCACUUAUUCUACAUUUAUAUUUUUAAUUUCGACAACAGGGCUCCAGCAGUCAAAUCUCUGGUCAGAGGAAUAGCUCUGAACUCGGUCAUGGCUCGCUAAGUUGUUGGCUUUCUUCCCAUCAUCAACAUGGUGGAGGUGGAGUACUUAAUGAGAAAUGUAUAGGUCAUCACACUUGUAACCUCUUGAGUUCAACAAUAAAGUUGAUGUUGACCAAUCCGACCUCAUGUUUUGCUUCAGGAUUAUUUCUCCCACAAAAAUUAUACUUUGCAGGUAGAGAGCACCAUUGACCAUAUGGAUUGGAUAGAGAAUAUAAUAGGAGUUAUUUCCUUGUUUCUAAGCUCUUAGGUUUCCGAGAGGGUGAGUAAUCUAGUUCGACAGACAUAUGAAAUUAUGAAUAGCAAAUCUCUUGUGUUUAUGUUUAUGUUUUCAGUGUUUAUCUGGUAGUCCUAUGUUUAUGUUUUAUGCUCUCAUUUUAAUUUUUUUUGAAGGUUUUACAAGUCUUCUUCUGAUAAGCCCCAACUUCUUUAUUUCUGUAAACCUAGUCCUUUUGAUUCCAUAGCUGUGAAGGAAGUUCAUCCAUGCAAAGGUUUUAUCUUUGUUCUAAUUUAUAGUUGUAUUGUGGUAGCAUAGUUGACCAGCUCUUACAAUAUGGUGCCAAUGUAAAUGUUCCCGAUUCAAGAGGCCAGACACCACUCCAAUUUAAAUGAAUUAGUUUUUUUAAUUGUAAAUUUACAUUAUGAUUCGGUUUUCAACAGUUGAUAGUUUGACUGUGGAAUCAUUGUUGGAGCUUUUGGAUGAAGAUAGCCCAAAAGAGACCCCAUAAAGAAUCCUGGUUUGCUUUCUCUUUCCCUGAACAGUUAACUAGUCAAAUUCAUGUCUUUCUUCACAUGUUUAUGUUAUCUUUAGUUGAUAUUCUUUUUGAGUUAUCGUUGUUGAGUAAGUUAAUUGAACAAAUUAAGUAGAUUAUAGGUGUAGUUCAAAAGAAAGUAAAUGCUCUUCGUGAGUUAAGACGUUUAUUGUCUAAAUCCGAAUAUCCUCCUGUUNUUUACACAUUCAUAUCCAUUUUGUUGAAGAUCUGAUACCCCUCUUAUCUACAGAGCAGUUCCCAUGAUGAGCAGGUAAUAAACAAUAAUAAUAUUAGUAAUGACCUUCUUUCUUUUUAGCAUACCCUUUUUAAUAUGUUUUAAUUUUUAUUCUGGAUCCAUAAUAUAGUUGCUUGAAGCAGCUUGGUGUGUUACAAACAUAGCUGCUGGAAAACCUGAAGAAACAAGAGCUUAAUUGCCUGCAUUACCUUUACUCAUUGCUCAAAUUGGAGGUUAGUGUUAAGUACUUAGUUUUUAAUCUUUCUUGAUUUUUUCAUAUCACUUCAAUGGUGUAAUUCUAAUUUUGUAAUUGUUAUCCAGAAAAGAGUUCAGUGCCUGUUGCAGAGCAGUGUGCAUAAGUAUUAGGAAAUGUUGCAGGAGAAGGUGAAGAACUGAGACAAAUUCUGAUUUCUCAAGGGGCAUUACUUCCUCUUGGAAAAAUGACGUUGCCAAAUAAAGUUUCAAUAGUUAGAACUGCUGCUUGGGGAUUAUCAAAUUGCAACUAUAACUGACCUGCAACUCAACAUGUUGGGUAGUGUUUUAUCCCUGCUAGUAGUCCUUAUAACUUGUGUUGCUUAGACUGUAUCCUUGCUUUAAAUAUUUUGAAUCAUAAGGGUAUUUAUGUCUUUUUCACACAUGAGAGAUCAAAAUCAAAUCCUUGUCCCACCUUUUUGGGGUGAGGCAAAAUAUUUCAAUUUUGUCCCAUUGACAAGCUUUCUAGGCCUUUUUAAUGGUGAGAAUCACAAGGGUAUUUAUGUCUUUUUGCAUAGGACAAAAAAUUACAAUAUGUUUUAUUUUUCACAGUGACAUAUGCUAUGUUAUGUCAUGUGGGACCCAUAUGUUGAGUCUUAACAGAUCUAUUUCAGAUGACAAAUACAAUCCAAAAGAAAUACAAGGUUUCAUCAAAUCAACUUAUAUACGAAAAGUCAUUGAACCAUAACAUAAUUAUCUCAUGUAAUCAUCAGUUCCGUUCCCUUGCUUAUUCCAUUCCAUUCCUCAUAUAUUUUUCUCAUUGUCUGAUUGUUUUAUAUUGUUGAGGGAGAGAGAGAGAGAGAGAGAGAGAGAGAGAGAGUGAUCCUUUGAUAAAUGUAGAAUAUGAGGUAUUUGUGGGCUUUCAUUUCAUUAAUCUUGUUCAUUAUACAAUUAUGCUUCCAAGAUUAGGACUUUUGUGAACCUUUCUGUGAUUCUUUUCAGGGUUUGAAGGAAAAAUUGAGCCAAGUUGCACGCUCAAUUGGCCAACAACUACCCACUUAUAUGUUAUAAAUGCAUCCACCUCAAUGAUUUGAGUCUUUGUUUUUGUUUUUCAGUUUGAGUGCUCUAACGUAGUUUAUUUUUUGGUGUUUUAUAUAUUGCAGCUAAUACAAUAUAUUACAAGGUACAUUACCUAGAUGACCCAAAAUUCACACUAUAUAUAUAUAUAUAUANAUAUAUAUAUAUAUAUAUAUAUAUAUAUAUAUAUAUAUAUAUCAUUAUGAUAUUUUCUUUAUAAAGAUUUGACCUUUUUCAUUUCAAUGAUAUUAGGUUCCAUGGGAAGAAGUUUCUGAACUUGUGGGGAGUAGCAGAGUCUUUAUUAAGAAAGGAUAUGCAUAUGUUGCUCUAAACCAGGUGAAUAAAUAUUAAAUCAUCAUUAUUUCAUUUAAUAACAAUGUAGUAUAACUUUAACAAAUAACAAAAAAUUCUUCAAUUCAUGUUUCUAAUCUCAGGUUUCUAAUCUGGACACAACAAACAGAUUCGUUUGGAGAACAAUAAUGUUCGCAACAGGGCUAUGAGAAAUCCGGAUGGAACAAAAUAUGUAAGUUUAUAUUGGAUUGGAGUUCCAAGCAGUGUACAAGUAAAGUUAUUUUAUUUGGCAAUUAAGUUGUUAUUUUUUAUCUAUCGUACAUACUUAUGUGUGUUUUCAAGGUCUUUUAAUUGUUUUUUUGGUCUAAAUGAAGAAGAUAUAUAGAGAAUUGGUGCUGAUUUGAUGCUAUUUAAAGAUGAUUAGGUCAUUAAAAUAGUUUUUGGACAUAUUUGCCCAUGUUGUUGGUGGAAACUAGCUUGUUGUGCAGAUAGCCAAGGAUGUAUGCAAAUUCGGGGACUUCAAUACUCCCACUUGCUUAGUUAUAAGGUACUUCUAAAGUUCCAGGUGGCAAUCCAAUGACAUGAAGGAUCCGGUUAUAUAGUUAGGGAUGUAGUAUCAUGUCAUAUAGUUAGGGAAAACCCUUUAAUAACAAUGUAUUAUAAGAUCCCCUUAAUAUCAAUGUAUUAAAAUUUUUUGAUAACUUGUUUGACAUGAUGUUAUUGGAUGAAGUUGAUUGUUUUGGUAUAUAUUUGUUUACAUAUUUUUGUAUUAUGCGUAAAUGAGUAUCAUAAAGACGCGUCGUAAAUGCAUAUCGAAAAUGGUUACUGAAGUUUACAACACGCAAAUGCCUGUCAUCUUCAUUUAUGACAGGGGCUUCCUUGAUACACAUUGCAUGUCAUAAAACACGUGCGUCGUAAGGUUACGACACGCAUUUGCCCGUCGUCUUCCUUGAUGACAGGGCCUUCCUUGAUACGCAUUGCGCAUCAUAACUGCGCGUCAUAAUUGUGUGUCAUAAAUGUGCAUCGUAAAUGCGCGUCAUAUAUAGACGACGCGCAAAAGUGCGUCGUCUCUCUUUAUGACAGGGCCUUCCUUGACGCGCAUUUGCGCGUCGUCUGAGCGCUUUACGACGCGCAAUGAGCGUCGUAAAAGGCCUUUAUUCUAGUAGUGCUUGUUUCUGUGCCCAUUCCAUUUAAAGUUACUAUGCAUAUGGGUCUUAUGAGUUCUCAUUUGAAUGCAUAAAGGUAAAGCACCCUAAUCAAUGAAAGUUCAUUGAUUUGUAUGGGUGAUCUGCUCAAUAACCUAGAAGAUAUGGUAGGCCCUUGUGCUGCCAUGCAAUAAGAAAUUAAAAUUGAACAAGUUCAGUCUAUAUGAGUUUGGAUUUGUCAAAAAUGUUGUCUUAUGAUUAUGGUUAUGAGAAAUUCACAUGGAUGGGAACACAUACACGAUAAAAUCUAAGUGAUAAGGUUUCUCUUUAUUUCUUGAAACUGAUUGUGAAGAAACGCUUUCACUAGGAAGAUUUUAAGGAGAUAACAAUUGUGUAAAUUGCAUUCUCAAAUUCGAUUAUGACAACGACAUCCCUCUUCAUAGUUCGAAUUGUGAGAUUUGGCAAUUAGUGUAAACAUUUUGAACUUAUUGAUAUAAAGUUAUGAAAUUGCUUAGACACAUAUAUAAGCUUUCUCAUAAAAGGUUUAUGAGCAUGGAUAAAAGCUUAUCGAAGUGUUUCGUAUCAGAAAUAUGAACUUUUGGUAAGGAAGUCAAUAAAUAUUGAUUUCUUGAAAGUCUAGCUAAUUUCUGAAUACAUGUCAAAGCUAGUGGGAGCAUAAGUGUUAUGUUGAGAAUUAUCAUGUUAGUAGGAGCAUGAUUAUUAUGUUGCGAUUUAGCAGUGUUAUCUAUAGAAACAAAAGUUUCAUUAUGCAAAGUUGCAGAGGUUGAAAAAUUGUUUUGCAAUAAUUAAGGGACAGGAACUUAUACUUCAUUUCAAAAUCUAAAAUAUUAGAUCGAGAAAUUUUAAUAAAAUUUAGUCAAAGGACAUAUAUGAAUGGUAUGUUGAAAAGAUUCAACAUAAUGGAAUUAUAUAUAUAUAUAUAUAUAGCAAUAUUAUAGCAAGAGACUAGUAAAGUAUCAUGUCUUUAUGUAAGACAUUAUGUAUUGUAUCCCAUACGCUUCGGGUAUAGGAUUGUUUGCAUAUGUUGUAAUAUUUAACCGUUUUGUCUAUUCCAAAUGCCUAGAGCGUUAAGAGGGAAAAAGGACAAGAAUCAGAUAUGACUAAAGUAAGUUAAACAACUGUUAAGUACAAUCUAAGGUUCGCCAAGGAUUGGUUACUUGUGAGCAGUUGGAAGUGUAGUAAUGGAUGGACCAUAUAAACAUUAUUAUGAAUACAUAGGAUUCUAUUCAGAAUGUGUUGUCAUAUGGCAAUAUGGAAAUGUUUCCAUAAUGAGAGUUGGAUAUUAAGGAUUCAUGUAGAUUAGAAACUUUUAUUGAAACAUCCCAAAAUCACAAGCCAAAAAUUUCAUUUGAAAAUAUUACUAAAACCAUAAUAUUCAACAUCAUAUAGAAAAACCGUAAGUCAUGUAUCUCAAGAUAUUAUAAAUAUGUAUCAUAUCACAUCAGAUGUCAAAUCAUGUCAAAUAUCAGAGUGUAACUCCCAUGAUAAAACUGUGGUGGGUGCCAUGCCAUCAUCCCGAGCCCUUUACCCUGAUAGCUAAAGUAUCUACAACCAAAACUGAAACCGUAAGCACGAAGCUUAGUGAGCUCCCCCAAACUACCACAUACCGUACAUAACAUAUAAAGCACAUACUAGGCCUUGCCCACUGCAUCAUACCGAAUCCCAAAACUAACUAGGGCCUCGUCCUCUGCAUCGGACCGAAGUCCUGAACUAACUAGGGCCUUGUUCUCUGCAUCGGACCGAUGUCCGGAACUGACUAGGGCCUUGCCCUCUGCACCAAACCGAAGUUCGGAAUUGACUAGGGCCUUGCCAUCUAUAUUAGACCAAAGUCCGGAACUGACUAGGGCCUCGCCCUCUGCAUCGGACGGAAGUCCAGAACUGACUAGGGCAUCGCCCUCUGCAUCAGACUAAUGUCUAGACCUGACUGAACAUAGCAUAUGUAACGACCAAAAAUUUCAAAACAAUUAAAACUUUUCAAAAACAACCCAUUUUAAUAACGUUGUUACAAAAAGGUUUUCAAUACAUUAUUUAACAGAGCAUUACCCAGGUCCAUUUCAUAAAACACCAACGCGAGGAACGAUACGAUCACGCCUUUGCCUUGCCACAGUCUCCUGAGAACCUGAAAACAUAAAACAACAACUGUAAGCCCAAAAGCUUAGUGAGAUACCCCCAAAAGACCAACCACAUAUACGCCCUUCCAGGCCACGACCUUCCGGUCCAAAACAUAUUGCCUUCCAGCCCAUAACAUAUUGCCUUUCGGCCCAUAACAUAUUACCUUCCGGCCCACAACAUAAAAAGUAUGCAUAACAUAACAGAACAUAGAACAACCAUGCAUACCGGGUCACACUCCAGACCAAGCAACCGUGCACAUAACAUAUAAUCAUAUAACAGUUCACAGUCAGCAAACCGAUCAACAUAUCACAUAACAUAUCAUUACCCUAACCAAGAUACCACCCUAGCCGAUCACUAGCAUAACCUCACCCUAUGACUCAACCAACAUACUAAUUACACACAUACGCCUUUCCAGGCCAUGACCUUCCGGACCACAUCGCAAUGCCUUCCGGCCCACAACAUAUAAUGCCUUCUGGCCCACAACAUAUAAUGCCUUCUGGCCCAUAACAUAAUGCAUUCCGGCCCAUAUCCCGCAAUAUCAUAACAACAGACAACUACCCGGAUUUCCAUACGAUAAAGGGUCGGCCUAGGUGCCUUAAACCCUAUUGAUAUAGUGAGGAUAACUCACCUCGAAACUGCCGGCUGAAAGGAUAAGAUCCCGCUGCUACAAUCUCCGACACGAACUCCUCCACUGAACACCAAAACACUCAACUCUAUAAAUACCCUUAAUUACCAAAAUACCCCUGAAAGACAACUGGUCAACCCUUGGACAAGGUCAAGGUCAACCCCUGUCUGACUCUACUCGCUGAGUCAACCCGAUGACUCGCCGAGUCCCCGUACUAAGAACUUCCCUCAACCCGUGACCUAACUCGCCGAGUCGCCCCAAGACUCGUCGAUUCCAACAACUCUGAGUCCACUCGUCCACAACUCACCGAGUUAUCCCUUGACUCGCGGGUUCUCGAAUCAACUAGAAAUUAUACGGACUCUUCGACAAGACUCGCCGAGUCCACGAACAGACUCGCCGAGUCUAAGGCUACCUUCAACCUACUCGCCGAGUUGUUCAUACAACUCGCCGAGUUCCAGGCCAUCUUCAUCCAACUCGCCGAGUUGUUCGUCUAACUCGUCGAGUUCCAGCUCAUCUUCAAGCAACUCGUCGAGUACACCCAUGUGACUCGCCGAGUACCACCGGUCUGAAUCCAUACAGAAGCAUUCCAGACCAUGCAAUUGAUCCAAAACAUAGAUCUAGCCUCCUACAACUCAUCCAUCACGUAAAGUGGCAAGCUUUACGUGAAUCCAAAGAGAUCUAUGCAUUUUGCACAUUAGGGUUAAGGUUUGGGACAUGAUAGCUUCAACCAACACUCGACACAGGGACUUUCAUGCAUUCCAACUCUUCUCCAUUCCAGAUCUGAGGUAGCAACCUCAGAUCUAACCUCUAAACUCCAAUACAUCCAAAGAUAUGAUCUCUAAUACCCCCAAAAUGAUGCAUCUAGGAAAUAGCAGCUCAAAAACGAGAUAUUACCUCAAAAGAACGCCCCAACUGCAAUGUAACUCAAUUCCAAGCAAAGCCCCUUGCUCCAAGCCUCUUCUUCUCUAAGAUCUCUUCAACCACCACCUCUCCAAGCUCCAAUUUGCUCAACAAUGGGGUUUCUCCACGAAAUUAGGGUUUCUAGGACUCAAGGGGUGGUAAAGAGGCUGGGAAGGAAACAUAAUGUUCUUUAUAUAGGGCUCAACCCCUAGAAUUAGGGUUUUCUCCACUCAGCGUCUACUCGCCGAGUCCAUCUCAUUGACUCGCCGAGUCGGCUACUUAACAUGCAACCAAAUCGCGACUCUACUCGCCGAGUCCAUCCAUGGACUCGCCGAGUCUCUCUUUCCCAAUUUACUCUUUUAGCCCUUCAACUCUACUCUUGAUAUUUCGGGAUGUUACAAUUCUCCCCCACUUAAAUUAGGCUUCGUCCUCGAAGCCUAUAGCAAUUCAAUCCCAAAGAUACUCCCACAACGCGCCACCUGGCCUUAACCGGGCAAAGUUCCUCAAGGUAUACCCAUCGAAACUCAAACACACUUUCUCUUUCCUUACGGUGUCCUGACCACCGUCUCGAGCCGGGCACCGGCUGUACCCUCUGAUAAUCACACUCAACAACUGAGAAUUACCCAUGAAGCAGCACUACCCCAAAUCUCAACAAUCACUCGUCCCAUAAGGGCUAGAAAGCCAUGAACCAUCGGAUCCCCGAUCCGAAUCCCACUCUAUCCAUUACGUGACGACGGAAAGACCCAUUCUCAAUCUCAGAGCAAGUCCCACGAGUUCUCCUCUUGCAAUCACAUACACAUGCUGAACUUGCUCCAGCACCCUCAGGUUGGGAAAACCCGAUACAAUGAUGAUAUCUACCAACAUCCCCCAGGAUGAACCACUAGUACAUAUCCAAUACCCUGAUCAGAAUCACACUGAGAGCCCAAGACUCUCUCCCUGCAUCCCUUCCGAGUCUCUUGGCUCUACAUCUACGGAAAUCCCUCUCGUGUCGCCAGCAGACAUCUCAUCAUGCUGUCAUUCAAUACCCCCAUCGUAAUCCAUGCUGCUCAAUGACCACAGUCGGACCACUCCGACCAUAACUCUACACUGCCGCUUUCACUUCCGUGAAUGUGCUCUUCCUCUCGGAGCUACACUCCUCUCCCUAUUUCCUUACGAAGGAAAUCCACUUGGCUGCCUUGUCACUACGACAAAUGCCACGGUGCUCACCUAACGCUGCACCACCCUUUUAUAGCGCAUCUGCUAUCCACACAACACAUAUGCCCUGAAUCUGCUCGCAAGGACUCUCGAGUCCAUGCACCAUCUCUACUAAUCAAGAUCAAUACUCGGGGCCAGACCUUCUAGUGCUAACACAUCACAACAUAACCAACCCAUUUCCUCGGACCGAUCCGAUAAUACCUGCAGAGUCUUCAACAUGACUAGUCCACCUCACCAGGUCUUCAAUCUGGAUGGACCGUCCUCCCGAGCCUUCGGCCUGACUGAUACGCCUUCCGGCCUUCACUCUACCCGGACCGCUCAAGCAACACUCAUCAUUCCGAGCCAUCUCCCCGGGAAUCCUCCGAUGCAUACUGUUCUCGCCCUCCAGGGGUUCCAAACUCUAUCUUCAUCAUACAUACUCAAUUCCGGCCUGUUUCCAGGUCCUCCACACUCAAAUCCCCUAGGUCUACAUUUUGCCCCGCACGCCUGCCACUUACUCAUACCAGCCCACGCCCUUGGCUGACGGAAACACUGCUGAAUCCAAAGCAGCUAAACAACCCCUCCUGACCAUCGCCCUACCGAAGAAUUUUCCAAUUCUCCCCCACUUAGAGCAUUGACUGACAACCACCGGUCGUCAUUACCGACCUCGCUAAACAUCCACACACAACACAAUCACUAACACGCGAACUGCGACCCGCAAGCAUGAGCACCCUUCACAACAGCACACAUCAACGUUGAUUGACCCGAGCUCGAAAGAAACUCAAGAUGCAGCUAAUCCACUCUUCAAAAACAAUACUAUCCAACCCUCUAAUCGGACGCCAGGUUACCGCAAUAACCCCCACGAAAGAUAUCCAACGAAAUCUGCCAUACCAAACCCAUAACCACAAAGAACGACGAAUGCCACAUGAAGAUACUAGAACAUAAACAAUACUACACAAUAAUCACAAGAUAACAAGACAUCAAGAAAGAAACAUACCCGCGGUUGCAUCCGGCACUGCUCUGGCCUUCCCUGCUGACAGUUGAAACGCAGGACCCUGAGCUCUUGGGGGCUCCGCUCCAUCCUGACCUCCACCUGUGAUCCGCAAAGUGGCCGGUACUGGAGCCUGCACCGGUCCUGCAAUAAGCUGUGGGCAGCUGACCCUCAAGUGUCCCACCUGACGACAACGAUAGCAAAUCCUUAAACCUCGGGCCUGCGCUGACUGUUGACAAUCCCUCGCAUAGUGCCCCUCCUUUCCGCACUUGCGGCAUGCACCACCGGACCGAAAAAAUCCGGCGUGACCCUUUCCACACUUCCCACAAGUGUGACUACCCUGCUCUCCUACCCUGGAAUCGAUGGUCUUGGACCGUUUCGGCGCCGGCUGCGACUGCACCGGAGCCUGCCUCAACUCACGCAUCCGCAACUCAAUCUCUAACUCAUGCCGCCUGGCGGCCUCCUGCAAUUCCAACAAGGUCUCGCACCUCUCCGUAGACACCAAAUGUCUGAUAUCCCUCUUGAGCAUACUUAGAUAUCGGGACAUCUGUGCUUGCUCCGAAGCAUACUCAGGGCAAAACAUCGCCCUCUCAGCGAACAUUCUGGUGAUCUCUGUCACCGACUCCGAACCCUGCUUUAGCUCGAGGAACUCCUGAGCCAAUCUUUCUCUCUCAACCCGUGGAAUAUAACGAGCGCUGAACAUCUCUCUGAACUGAUCCCAUAAAACCGCAGCUCUCUACGUACCCGAGUAUGACCCCGUGGUCAAUCUUCACCAAUCCUUGGCCCCGAGCCUUAACAGGUUCAGAGCACACCUCACCCUCUGAUCAGUAGGGCAUGAACACAUGAAGAAACACCCCUCCACGUCAGAUAACCAUCUCAUAGCGACAAUCGGGUCAUGAACUCCAUCAAAGGUGGGAGGCUUCGUAUUAUCGAAGUCCUGAUACUGAAAACCCCGACUAACUCCUCCCCCUGCCGCUGCUACAGCNNNNCAGCCGUCUCUGUGAGAGCUGCAUAGCCCUCAUCAAAAUACUCAACCAUGGCGGUCUUGAUCGACCCGAACAAUUCCGACAACUCGGCCCGAAACAAUGUAGCAACGUCAUCAUGCAGGACCUCACGAAUCCAAGCAUCCAGCUCGCACGAGCUCAUCUGACCAACAACCUCGGGUGGCACAGACCCGCCCAGAACUCCCUCUCCUACUCCUGAUCCUGACUUGGAUCCACUCCCAGCAUGCCUCGGGAUCUCCAUACUGAAAGACACCAGAAAAUCUCAGACACUUCCCACAAUCCUAGGAUCCAACUCUCUCAACCCAACCCUAGAGAUCAUGGUUUCCCUAAUCCGCGUAUGGGUCCUGUGCUUUCAGUAGUACGGGCCCAUACUACCUUCCACACCUACCCAUAUUUGUAUGAAGUACUACCACAACGCCCUAGAGAAACAUGCAUAACAACGCUCAACCCUCACCACUAGAGGAACACUGAGAAUCUCCCAUAAGGAACCCUAGGCUACAAGCAUCACAAAUCAGGCAACAUUAUCAUGAAUUCCUGAAGAUCCCUAGCCUAACUCUAGCGUGCUGUUCUAUCAAAGCUUAAUAAAACAAAUGUCAUGAUUGGUAAUUUGGGGUUACUUACUGGCUCCGGCUGAUCGUACCUUUGCGUCCUCCUUUUACUUAAUUUAAAAACCAUUUUAAUUUCUCUUUUAAAACCUUCCUCGAUUUGAGACUGGAGUCACACGAGUGUUCCUCCAAUUCACUCAAACCAAGGCUCUGAUACCAACUUGUAACGACCAAAAAUUUCAAAACAAUUAAAACUUUUCAAAAACAACCCAUUUUAAUAAUGUUGUUACAAAAAGGUUUUCAAUACAUUAUUUAACAGAGUAUUUCCCAGGUCCAUUUCAUAAAACACCAACGCGAGGAACGGUACGAUCACGCCUUUGCCUUGCCACAGUCUCCUGAGAACCUGAAAACAUAAAACCACAACUGUAAGCCCGAAAGCUUAGUGAGAUACCCCCAAAAUACCAACCACAUAUACGCCCUUCCAGGCCACGACCUUCCGGUCCAAAACAUAUCGCCUUCCGGCCCAUAACAUAUUGCCUUCCGGCCCAUAACAUAUUGCCUUCCGGCCCACAACAUAAAAAGCAUACAUAACAUAACAGAACAUAGAACAACCAUGCAUACCGGGUCACACUCCAGACCAAGCAACCGUGCACAUAACAUAUAAUCAUAUAACAGUUCACAGUCAGCAAAUCGAUCAACAGAUCACAUAACAUAUCAUUACCCUAACCAAGAUACCAGCCUAGCCGAUCACUAGCAUAACCUCACCCUAUGACUGAGCCAACAUACUAAUUACGCACAUACGCCUUUCCAGGCCAUGACCUUCCGGUCCACAUCGCAAUGCCUUCCGGCCCACAACAUAUAAUGCCUUCUGGCCCACAACAUAUAAUGCCUUCCGGCCCGCAACAUAUAAUUCCUUCCGGCCCAUAACAUAAUGCCUUUCGGCCCAUAUCCCGAAAUAUCAUAACAACAGACACCUACCCGGAUUUCCAUCCGAUAAAGGGUCAGCCUUGGUGCCUUAAACCCUAUUGAUAUAGUGAGGAUAACUCACCUCGAAACUGUCGGCUGAAAGGAUAAGAUCCCGCUGCUCCAAUCUCCGACACGAACUCCUCCACUGAACACCAAAACACUCAACUCUAUAAAUACCCUUAAUUACCAAAAUACCCCUGAAAGACAACUGGUCAACCCUUGGACAAGGUCAAGGUCAACCCCUGACUGACUCUACUCGCCGAGUCAAACCGAUGACUCGCCGAGUCCUCGUACACAUAACUUCCCUCAACCCGCGACCUAACUCCCCGAGUCACCCCAAGACUCGUCGAGUCCAACAACUCUGAGUCCACUUGUCCACAACUCACCGAGUCAUCCCUUGACUCGCCAGUUCUCGACUCAACCAGAAAAUAUUGGGACUCUUCGACAAGACUCGCCGAGUCCAAGAACAGACNAGACUCGCCGAGUCCAAGACUAUCAUCAACCUACUCGUCGAGUUGUUCAUACAACUCGCCGAGUUCCAGACCAUCUUCAUCCAACUCGUCGAGUUGUUCUUCCAACUCGUCGAGUUCUAGCUCAUCUUCAAGCAACUCGUCGAGUACACCCAUGUGACUCACCGAGUACCACCGGUCUGAAUCCAUACAGAAGCAUUCCAGACCUUGAAAUUGAUCCAAAACAUAGAUCUAGCCUCCUACAACUCAUCCAUCAUGUAAAGUGGCAAACUUUACGUGAAUCCAAAGAGAUCUACGCAUUUUGCACAUUAGGGCUAAGGUUUAGGACAUGAUAGCUUCAACCACACUCAACACAAGGACUUUCAUGCACUCCAACUGUACUCCAUUCCAGAUCCGAGGUAGCAACCUCAGAUCUAACCUCUAAACUCCAAUACAUCCAAAGAUAUGAUCUCUAAUAUCCCCAAAAUGAUGCAUCUAGGAAAUAGUAGCUCAAAAACGAGAUAUUACCUCAAAAGAACGCCCCAACUGCAAUGUAACUCAAUUCCAAGCAAAGCCCCUUGCUCCAAGCCUCUUCUUCUCUAAGAUCUCUUCAACCACCACCUCUCCAAGCUCCAAUUUGCUCAACAAUGGGGUUUCUCCAUGAAAUUAGGGUUUCUGGGACUCAAGGGGUGGUAAAGAGGCUGGGAAGGAAACAUAAUGUUCUUUAUAUAGGGCUCAACCCCGAGAAUUAGGGUUUUCUCCACUCAUCACCUACUCGCCGAGUCCAUCUCAUUGACUCGCCGAGUCGGCUACUUAACAUGCAACCAAAUUGCGACUCUACUCGCCGAGUCCAUCCAUGGAGUCGCCGAGUCACUCUUUCCCAAUUUACUCUUUUAGCCCUUUAACUCUACUCUUGAUAUUUCGGGAUGUUACAACAUAACAUAAUCAUAACAUAUAACAAUAACACAUAUACUACAUACUGCAUCGGAUCGCAGUCUGAAACACCUAACACAUACACAUGCACAAAUCACAAAGACAUCAAGCAUAUUGAACUAGUUCUCUGGACCACCCCGGCAUCGGACUACAGUCCGAAACUACUGCUAUCUAAAUGGGCCGGCAUUGUGGCCGUAGACCCGUUCCUACUGGAAGUAAACUCACCUCGAAGAACUGAUCGCUGAAAAUCCGAGUGAAGGAUCCCUGGCUGCUGUCCCGGUUGCUCUCCGACUAUCAUGACCAGUAAAACACUUAAUCAAAACGAGGAUCCUUGUAUGGGUGAAAUGGCUAUUUUACCCCUGCUAUGGUGUGGGUCCUAACCAAGGCCCAAACCCGUUACUUCAUUCUGAGUACACUAAUGGCCCACCAAAGGACAACUAAUGACCCUAUUUUCUAAAUUGGGCCCAGCUCCUCAUAUGUCCCUACAUAUGCCCAAAAUGCCAUUGGCCCAUACUCUGACUCCUGCUGGCCCACUAAGGCGCAACGUCCAAAUACAGCCCACACCGAGACCCAAAUACCCAAGGUCCAAACUAACUGAGUUACGCGAGGCGUACUCCGAAGUACGCUUAGCGUAACUAUUCGAUAGCGAGUACAUUGGGCGUACUCCCAUUUACACUCAGCUUAAUUCCCUGUUAAGUCGUUUCUCUAUUAAAUGUUUAAUAUUUCGAGUCAAAAGCUACAAACUUAGAACCAAGUCUUAUGCCAUGCUUUAAACCGUAAAGUUGCUUACUUGAUGGCUUACAUGACUCACAUAAUCUCAAACUUUAAAAACAAUAAUCUAUUUCCAUGGAAGUGGCUAGAUCUCAUGAAUGACUUCAUGAAAGCCUAAAAGAUUGAAACUUUAUUUCUAAGAAACUGUUUGAGCCUCAAGGAAGGCAACCUCAAGCUCAAAAACGGAUUCACAAGAUCAAGGUCCAACCUUUGGACCUAGAGAGGUCCAAAACUCCCAAAACCCUAGAUCUAGAAUAUGAGGAAGAAAGUUAAGAUCUUUAUACCUUCUUUUGUAACAAAAGAGUGAGCUUGGUCCAAAUAAGAAACCAGGGGGAGGCUAUAAUGAGGUUUAUAUAGUUGUUAAAUCCUAAGUUAGGGUUUUCCUUAUCUGUUCACGUACGCUACGCGUACACUUUGGUACGCUGCGCGCCCUCGAUUCUAACUGAGACCCAUUACACCUCGCCUAUGCCCGGGCUACGCCCAACGUAAGUCAUCUCGGCGGCCCAAGACUUUGGUCCAAGUGCAUAGUUCAAUCCAAUGCUCCUAUUAUCCAUACUUGGCCCAAUUAUAAUUUAAGUAAAUUAAAUAAUUAAUACCUCGAAAGACGAUCAUUACAAAUCACCCCCACUUGAAUCAGACUUCGUCCUCGAAGUAUGCUGCUACUGUAUCUGAAAACAACUCCGGACAAUGCUCUCUCAUCUCCUCUUCGGACUCCCACAUCCACUUUGAACCCUUCCGGUGUUGCCACUGCACCUUUAUUAGCUGGACUACCUUGUUCCUAAAAGUCUUCGUCUUCCGAUCCAAGAUUGCAAUAGGUCUCUCAAUGUAAUUCAGGCUGCUAUCAACCUGAAUAUCCUCCAAUGGUACAACUGUUAACUCGUCCACCAAACAUUUAUGCAAUUAAGAUACAUGGAAGGUGUUGUGGAUCUGACUGAGCGUUUCUAGAAGGUCCAAAUGGUAAGCAUCCCAACCCACCCGGGCCAAAACCCUGAACAGACCUAUGAAUCUGGGGGCCAGCUUGCCCCGCUUCCAGAAUCUGAUGACACCCUUCCAGGGUGACACCGUUAGGAGGACCAUAUCACCCACCAAUAACUCCAUGUUCGAACGCCUCCGGUCGGUGUAACUCUUCUGCCGACUCGGAGCAGUCUGGAGCCUGCUACAGACUUGUUGUAUCAACUAUGUUGUCUUGAGCACCACCUCCUUACUUCCCAUAACUCUAUGACCGACCUCACCCCAACAGACUGGGGUCCUACACUUCUUCCCAUAAAGCAUCUCAAAGGGAGAUCGUCCUCUCGCUCUGUCCAUCUGUCUGAGGGUGGAAAGCAUUGCUGAAAUGAAGACGAGUACCCAUCUCGUCGUGAAACCGUUUCCAAAACAUGGAAGUGAACCGGACGUCUUGGUCUGACACCACCGAAACAGGCACUCCAUGACGUGCCACUACUGCUCGCACAUAAAUCUCGGCCAACUUCUCGGCCGAGAUGCUCUCCUGGAUCGGUAUAAAAUGCGUACUCUUGGUAAACCGAUCCAUGAUGACCCAAAUCGAAUCAACCCCUCGUGUGGUCUUGGGAAGCUUAGUAAUGAAAUCCAUGGUGACAUCUUCCCAUUUCCACACGGGAAUAUCUAACGGCUACAUAUUGCUAUGGGGUCUCUGGUGCUCUGCCAUGACCUUCCUGCAGGCCAGGCAUCUCUCCACAUACUAAGCUACGUCCCGCUUCAUGCUUGGCCACAAAUAAUAGAGUCAAAGAUCUUUGUACAUCUUCAUCGCCCCUGGGUUGAUGGAGAACCGAGACUUGUGAGCCUCACGCAUCAACACUUCCCAUACUCCACCCCAGUACGGUACCUAGACCCUCCUUUGCAGGGUCAAUAAUCCUCGACUAUCAUAAUCGAAGGAGGCUACUCGGCCCAUGAUCGUCUUACACUUCUGCCUCUCUUCCUUCAGGCCCCCGACCUGUCCCUCUUUAAUCUGCUCCAACAAUGUUGUAAUCACUGUCACACUCAGGCAUAUAUCCCUAAUCGGGGCCGCUACCGCUUUGCGGCUCAGGGUGUCGGCCACUUUGUUGGCCUUGCCCGGAUGGUAAAGGAUCUCACAGUCUUAAUCCUUUACUGAUGGACUAGUGUCUAUGUCCAUUACUUGACCUGAUGGUGCAUGGUCCUUCUAGGUUGCCUUCACCAAAGCAACUUGAUAGGAUGAUUUAUGGAGAUGAUAUUAAUUAUGGUUUAUUAAUAUAUUAUGAGAAUAAUAUAUUAAAGGAUAAAUCAUAUUGUUUAAUUAAUAUUGGUCAAGAAUUAAUGAGAAUUAAUUUUGUGGCUAAAAAGAUAUUAAUUAAAAAAAGGGGACUAGAACUGUCAAUUGUGUGAUAGUUGAAUAUUGGGCUAAUGGACUCCAUAGAGAAUGGAGUGGACGAAUUCUAUGGGGAAACCCACUAGAAAUUCUCCAGGGCUUCUAAGGAGGGAGUCCAUGGGCUGGUUAGGGCCUAUGCGGUCAGAUUAGCGUUUCCUAGUUCAAAACCCUAAUAGCCUCUAAGGACCCCUAGGGCACCAAAAACCUGGCUAACUGAUUCUUUAGGGUUUCUACACGUUUUUUUGGUGCCUCUUCUCUUCUCCUUCUUCAUCCUCUUGCUCUUGGUGUUUUUGAGUCAUUAGAGGUGUGACAUUUGUGAUACUAUGCUUUCUAAAGCUAAUCACAAGAAGGAAUAGAUUGUUAUUGCUACAUAACAAUCAAAGGUAAUUUCUAAACCAUUAAUUGGGCUCAUAGUAUGAUAUAUAUAGGGUUUAUGGUUUUAGAUGAUUAUUUCAUGAUCAUUAGACAAACUAGAUCCAAAGCUUUAGGGUUUGCAUGUACACCAUAGGAAUGAUUUAGUGCUCAAAACCCAUCAGUGGUAUCAGAGCCUGGGCUGUUUUUUGAUGAAUUUGAUGCAUAUUUGAUCGUUUAUUGCUUGAAAAUUGAAUUUUCUGCUCUCUGCCAGACUGACUCGGCGAGUUAGUGGAUGAACUCGGCGAGUCCAGUCCCUGACUCGCCGAUUCCCGGGGUCAUACAGAGGGAAAAUUAGGGUUUUACGCUCGUUUUGUUAUGGGAUAGUUACAAAAACAAUUUUUUAUUGAUAAGAUUUGGAUUUUUGUGAUAUUGGGUGAUUAUCCUCGAAAAAAUAGUAAAUAAUUGUUAAUCAAUCAAAUAUUUGUUGCCUUAUAAGUUAAUGUUUAAUUAUUUUAGUUAUUUGGUGAAUUAUCUUGCAAGCAAUUGGACUAGGUCAAAAUUAGAUAACCAUAUUUAAUUGUUAAUUGCCUUAUUUGAAUUGUUGAUCUAGAAUAUUCUUGAUAAUGUUUUGAGAAGUUUCAAGACUUGCCCUCUAGUUUUGGAGUUUAAAAUUGAUUGAUUAAAAGUUUAAUUUUUGAAAUUUUAAAUUCUGAAAACCCUAAUUUUUGAAAAAGUUCAAAUUGCACCCUUAUGCUUAUAUUAAAUUAAUUAAGUGUAAAAUUAAAAGAGAGUUAAUAAAUCUAUAAUGAUAUGGUUUACAUUUAAUUAAAUUAAAAGUGUAAUUUAUUAAAUUUGACCACCUAGUACUUUAAAAGUGUAAAAUACACCCUUAUACUAUAUAUAACAUUAAAGCUCUAAUAUUAUCUAUGUAUAACUUAAACUGCUUGUCUUACCUUUAGUAGGCCGCAUUCACGAAGCCGAUCUAUAAGGGGGUAUAAGGUUAUGGCCUAUAAAAUGGCCGUUUAAUGGGUGUCCACUCUUACCCACCGCUUCCUUGAUUGGUGGAGGUUCGUUAGCCGAACGGGUAGGAUAGGGAAACCCUUCCCAUUAAAAAUAUAAAGUAACUAAAUGUUAUUACAAAAAUUUCCCAAUCUUAGUUACUUUAGGCAAAAGUGAAUUUAAUGCAAUUCCAUGAAAUUACACUUUGUACCCUAGCGAAGACAUUAGUGGAGGGUGUAUGGUUAACCAACACACUAAAUGGUUCUAAGCAAAGGUAGCAAAGGGUGACUUAAUGUUUUUCAUUGUUCGGUGGAGCGUGUAUAGUUAACCGGCACAUCGAAUAGAUGACUGUAACAUUGGGGGCACCAUGUAUAUUUGCAUGGUUAUUCACACCCUGUUUUGUGAUCCUCGGCAUCCCAGUCACAAAUGAAGGGGCAUAUCAAGAUUUAAACAUGCCAUUGAAAAGUUCAAUGAAUCUCAAAGGAUAUAGUAGUUUUUCAAUACAUUUAAAACCUAAUCCCUUUUUCGUUUUUCAUGGUGGAAAAUUCGUGAAUUGUCAUUCACUUACCUUCAAGUGUUAUGCAAUUUGAGUUACGACAUCCCUCUCCCAUGUUGUAGAGUAUUGUGUUGGCUCCUAGCCUUAAUAUCUCAUUUGGGUGAUUUAUUAAGGACUCAAUCAAUCAACUAACUUGAUUUUUCUCCUGUUUUGUAGAUGUCUGAAUCUGACCGUGGUUUUCCCAAAUCCCAUGGAAAAGGUUUUCCUGCUCAAAGUGAAAGUUUGUUACACAAUGAGGUGAGAGAUCGAUCCCUGCAUUGUGGACUAGCUUGGUUUCACUUCCUCCACCACCUCUUGUUGUUCUCCCAACCCCACAAGAUCAAAGAAUUAAAAAGUUAAAAAUCACUCUAGCCCUGUUGGCAAAGAAACAUGAAGAUGGAAAAUCUGUGUGUGCUCACGUCCUAGGGAUGAAAUCACACAUCGAUAGGUUGACAAUGUUGGGUGCAUCUUUUCCAAAGAAGUUGGCUAUAGACUGGGUUCUUCAGUCACUGCUUAAAUCAUAUUAUAAGUUCAUAAGAUAGUAUUAUAUGAUGGAUCUUGGCGCGACCCUCAUUAACCUAAGUUACAUGCUUAUUGCUGCUAAAUCAAAAAUGAUUUGGCAAAGUAAUUAAGCAUAUAUGUCUGGUAAUUCAACCAACCAUGCUUCCGUGGUCGCUCAAGGAAAACCCACAUGUUUCUACUACCAAGAGAAUGGGCAUUGGAAAUAAAGUUGCCCAGAGGACCUAAGGAAUCUGAGAGAUGGGAGAGUCAAGAAGUAUGGAGCUACUUCAGGUAAUAUCCACUAUCUAACUUCUUUAAGUUCCUAUUUAUUGAUUCUUAAUACAUAAUGUGAUAAGAUUACAUUUGAAUGUUUUGCAGGAUCAGAGAAAAGAGAGGAAGCUUGAUGGAAAAGCAAGAUGAAUCUGAUAACGAACAAAUGGAUCAUAAUCGCAUGGAUUCGAAGAUCAGAUUUUGAGCUUAGAAAGUUAUGAUAGAUUUAUUAGGAAUGUUUGAUUACAUAGUUUUUCUAUUGAUUUAGCAUUGUAAGGACAUGUUUUUCCGUUGCUUUUAUGAAUAAAAUAAAAUUUUGAUUUGUCUUAUAUAUAUAUAUAUAUAUAUAUAUAUAUAUAUCCUUGCAAUGAAUUGUUGUGAAAAAUUGAUGUUUGUGUAUUUCUGUAAAUGGAUGUGAUUCUUAGUUAUGCAUUUAUGGUAGUGUCAAAAUUUUCUAAGUAAGUAAAGAUUCCCAUCACCCAGGUUUCAGUUAGAGAGAAACUUGGAAUCAUAUGAUUUGAAUCAUGUGAUGUAUGGAAAUCUUGGUACUUAGGAAAUUAAGACUAAUUCCUUGAUCACACAAGUAUGUGAGUCAAGUAAAGGACUAAAGGACUAGAACACAAUGUUUUGCUCUAGUCAAGUCCACUACAAAUAACAAUGAGACUAUUCGUCAUAAUUUACCAAAACUCUGGUAAAUGUGGUUAUACUUACAAGAUUAAGUGUAAUUAUGAAUCAUUGAAAAGUUUCAAUGAAUGGCAGAACGAAUAAGAAGAAUCAAUGAAGGCAGAAAGAUAAAAAGUUUCUCAAAUCUAAGAAGAAGGGAGAGUACUUUUAUAUCAAUUUUAUGAUCGUCUUAAUGAUUAAGAACAAUAUCACAAUUGAUCAUCUAAGGACAUAUUAGUGCACUGCUAUGGCUAAGAAGAGGAAUCAGAAAUUGUUGAAAUGGUUAAAUCAAAAGGAUGAGUCAUACUUCGUUCCAAAAUCAAGUCUUAGAAUCAUACUCCAAGAUUGUGAAUUGAGUGACACACACUCAUCUAAUAUGAAGUAGAAAAUUGUUUUUCUUACUCUUGCACGUUUGAAACUGGUAAGUUGUGAUGUCUAGGAGAAAACAAGGACCAACUAAGACCAAAUGUGUGUAAUGUUUGUCUUGAUAUAGACACACACCAACUCUUCGAUAUUUGUUUAUCAUGAAAUGUUUCUUGAUAAGUGAAUCUAAUAUGUCAAGAGGUUAGAGGUCAGUGGGAUUCUGAAGAUCUUGAAAAGAUUCAAGAACUAAUCAAGAGUAAACCUAUUAAACACUAGCACACGACUUGAGGUUUAUAAACUACUGUGUUGACGAAAUUGUAUUUCUAUGCCAAUCCUGUUAAGUGAUUAUGCAUAUGAGUUCUAUGAGUUCUCAAUAGACUGCAUAAGGCAAGCACCUUGUUCGAUGAAAGUACAUUGACUAGCAUAGGUGAGCUGCUAGAUAACUUGGAAGCAAUGGUGGGACCCAUGAUGGCAAGAAAUUAAGAAUGAACAAGUUAUGUCCAUAAGAGUUUGAAUUCGUCACAAACAUUAUCUUUCAAGUAUGGUUAUGGCAAAGUCACAGGGAUAGGAACACAUACACCAUAAAAUCUAAGUGUCGUAAGUUUUCUCUCCUUCAUGAAAAUCAUUGUAAGGAAAUGCUUUCACUAAGAGAGAUUUUCAGAAGAUAGAGAUUAUGUAAAUUGCAUUCUCAAAUUCGAUUAUGAUUUCGGCAUCCCUCUUCAUAGUUCAAAUUGUGAGAUUUUACAAUUAAUCUGAACAUUUGGGACUUAGUAAAAUAAGUUCUGCAUUAGUUUAGACACACAUGUGAGCUGUCUAAGGAAAGGUGUGUGAUUUUGAGAAGCUUAGAUAAAGGCUUAUCGAAGCAUACCAUAUUAGAAACAAUGAACUUUGGAAGUCAAUAAGUAGUGUUUUUCUAGAAGUUUAGCUGGUUUCUUAAUACGUGUCAAAGCUAGUGGGAGCAUAAGUGUUAUGUUGGAAUGGAUAUAAUCAUCAUGUUAGUGGGAGCAUGAUUAUUAUUUAAAAAUUGCAAGUUGGCAAUAUUAAUUAUAGAAAAACAAAAGUUUCACUUUUCAAAGUUGCAAGGGUAGAAAAGUUUUUUUGCUAUAAUUAAGGGAGAGAAUGCUAUACUUCGUUUCCAAUCUAAAAGCUUAGAUCGAGAAAUUUUAAUUGUAUUUAGUCAAGGGUAUAUCUAUUAUUUGCAUUCUCAAAGUACAAUUAUGAUUACAACAUCUCUCUUCAUAGAUCGAAUUUUGAGAACAUGAUGAAUACAAAUAUUAUUACAAUAUUAUAAUAAGCAACUGGUAAAGUAUCACUUUUUUCAUUGUGAAUUGUAUGCCAUACCCUUCGGGGAUAGGAUCGAUUGCAUACGCUUUAAUAUUCGACCGUUCUAAACUUUUCCAAAUGCCUAGGGCAUUUGGAGGGAAAAAGGAAAUAGAACUGGUUUUGACUAAAAUAAUUAAACAACUGCCAAGGACAAUCUAAGGUUCCCCAAGGAUUGGUCACUUGUGGACAGUUUAAAGUAUAGUCAUGGAUGGACCAUAUUGACAUUAUUAUGAAUAGAUAAGAUUCUAUUUAUAAUGAGUUGUCAUACGGAAUAUAUGGAAAUGUUUCCAUAUUAGGAAUUGUAUAUCUAGAAUAAAUGCCUAGAUUAGAAACUUUUAUGCAAGAAGGAUGUUUAAAGGAGUGUACUUUUAAUAUGAGACUUCAUGACUAUGUAAUUUUCUUGUAAUAAUCUACAAUAGAGUAUUUUGUAACUUUAUUGGCUGAGUGUUGGUGACUUUUGUGCCGUGACAUAAGGAAAGGACUGUUGCAUAAAAUGUUAGAAUCUAACGUAUUCUAGUAGUGGCAAGAAUUUUUUGUUCUUAGACUAAUGGAUUAGGAACUGUGAAAUGAGUGUGAUUGAAAAUGUUAUUCAAUUAUACUAUUUCACAAAGUAAGGGCCAUAGGCAAACAUUGUGUGCAUGCUAAGAGCAUGGGACUAUUGUAGUUAUAAUUCAAGUAAGAAGUUGAUUACCCGAAACAACAGAUGAUGAGUAAUCAAUAUGGUGAUUAAAUAAAAUGUUUUCUUUAUAUACUCAAAGGUUUCAGGCCAUAUACGAUUAGUAUUAUUCUUGUGUUUCACUUUGCAUGUUUUGACUUCCCGAAUAAUAUGAUUACUCAAACCCUCCACAGUCGCUCAUUCUUUGGAAGUAGGAAUGAAAGAAGACUGUCAUGAAUCUGACUGUAGAUUUCCUAAAGUGUUUUAGACAUAGCAAAAUUUGUUGCAGGGUUCAUGAGUGUUGCUAUAAGAUUAGAGUGUUGGAAUAAACCCACGCUCAAUUGCAUCGCUUCAUGGAUUUUAUCACCAGUGAUUGGUGAGACGAUAAGAUCUUAUAUUAUUGAAACCAAGAUGUGUAAGUUGUAUCUUGUGAGUCAGUUUCAUAAUGAUAAUAUGUAAACUCACAAGUAACUUGGUGUUAUAAAACAUAUUGUUUUUUGUGAUUCAGUGAGUGAGUGCAAGCGAGCAUUGAGACGAAGUUUAUUCGUUCCUUUUACCCAAAGUGGAAUACAAGCGAUAUAUGUGGGCCCUCGAUGAUUUAGUGAUGACACCCUAGGCGCUUGGCCAAGCCGGGACUAAGUUGAUGUGUUCAAUUGUAGUCUGUUGUCAGUCGUCAUAAAUUUGAAGUCGAGAACCAAUAUAUGGUAAGGGAGAAGGGUUUAAAUCCGUGUCCCAGUUCAUACCAUAUCCAGAAUCGAGGAAUAUAUGAUCCCUUAUCUAAAUGACACGCUUCUGAUAAGAUCAUGUUGGGUCGUGUUUUGUAUAAUAUGUUGCGUCUAUUGGGCUCGUUAGCUAGUCCGUUUUGUAUCUCCGGUAUGGGCCUUUCCAUCCGUGAGUUUAGUAGGGUUUAAUAUAAAUAUAGGUGCUUGCAUGCAUCUUAGGUUAACGAUAGAAUAGAACGAUCAGAACAUUAUUCAGAAGUUUAUUAUUAUCGUUCUUAGAACCCUAAAUCCUCUACAGCAGAAGUUCUUAGUCGAGCUCUACUGAGGAUUGUUUGAUUUAAUCAUUCGACAUAUUUUGAUCCACACUUGUCUUAUUUAUUGUUUUGUGUUCAUCGCAAUACUUGUGUUUGUUUAAUAACUUAUCAAUUGGUAUCAGAGAAGGAGGCUGUGUAAUUCAUACACAUCUUUUCUGUGAAAAAGGUUGCGAUUAGGGUUAUUCCGCAUUAACUAAUAUUUAUUGAGCCGUCAUCCCAUAAUUGACGUAACUCAGCAUUUAUUUGUUUUACCCUAAUUUAAUAUAUUACAAGUCUGAUCUUUCAAACAGGUUAUUCGAUCAAGCAUGGACGAGUCACAAUCAAAUCCCAUUAACAUCUCAAACAAUAUUGGAUCAACGAUGAAGAUUCCCAUCCUUUACACCCAGGAUUACGAAGUCUGGGCACAUCACUUUGAAGAUUAUGUCAUUGGAUCUGAGGACAAUGGAUAUCUUAUUUGGGAAGUAAUAGUGUCUGGACCAUUCGCUCAUUCAGCAACGUCAAGAAUCAUUAAAACUCAGAAAGAGUAUAAUGAUCUGUUGAAAGACGUAAAAGAUAUUGCCCAAGACGAAAAGGAUAAAUUUCAGUGCAAUAUUAAAGCGUUGAGACUAAUUAGAUUUGCUCUUCAAUCAGAUACUUUCAGGCUAGUGAGUUCGUGCAGCACAACCAAAGAAAUAUUGGAUAGGCUGCGAGAGCUGUAUUCCACAAACGAAGAUCUCGAGCAUUCCAUUCAAACCUUGCUCUUGUCCGAGUUUGGUGAAUUUAAGCAGAACCCUGAAGAAACUGUGACUCAGACGUUCGAUCGCUUCAAUCAUCUUCUUAGUAAGAUGAUUAAACACGAUAUUGAAAGGAAGUUGAUUGAACAAAAGGUUACGUUUUUUAACAGUCUUACAUCUGAGUGGAGAGCUAUUGUGUCCACUGUUAAAGCACAUGAGCAAUUCAAAUCUUACUCUUUGGCAAAGCUGGUAGGGAUUUUGAAAUCCCAAGAAAAGAUUGUCUUGCAGGAGAAAAAUGUGGUUUCGAGCUUGGGAUCGUUGGCCCUUCUGUCCAAAAGCAAAGGUGUAGUGGAAGAUGAAGACCUUAACUUGGAAGACUAUGACCUUACCUCAGAAGACUAUGAAAUGAUGGUGUCAAACCCUAAGAGGUUCAUCAAGAAGAGGUUUCCUACCAAUAAGAACUGAAAUUGGCAGGGAAUUUAUAGUUCUGAAAAGGUCAAGGAAGAACCGAAGGCAGAAGAACCAAAGAAAGAACUGAAGGCUGAAGGAGAAUCGGGUGUGAACUGCUAUUAUUGUGGAGGAAAGAACCACUAUGCCAAUGACUGUGUCCUAAAGAAAAUGGCAGAAAAGGAUGAGGAGAAAGAUGAAGAAGCAAUGUUAAUGAAAAAGCUGGAAGAGAUCAAGAGAAAGAAAACUGUUACUAACCCUUCAAUGAAUGCUUUAAUUGUGCAGGGUUCGGUAGCGGAUGAUGAGUUCGGUGGCGUGGAGGUCCGGUCAACCGACUCUGAGGAUGAUGAAGUCAGGAAGCCUUCUCAUGGAAAGGCUUAUGUUGCGAAAGAUGAAGGAAGCGGUGGAAAAUGCGUGAUGGUGUCGGAUGUAUCUCAUAUGAGGGGAUACAACACAGACGGUGGGAAUGAAGACACGAAGGAGCGAGAGUAUCUGUGCUUCACAACAAAACCUCUCAGUGUGCAGUUUAAUGAGCUUGAUGAAUUAAUCAAGAAGGUACAAUCUAUUUUUUUUCAUUCAAAGUCCCACAAAACUCAUUUGAAAAAGAAUUAAAAAAAUGUAAAUUCAAGAAUCUCUCAUCUAGACAGCGUUUAACGCANAGACAGCAGUUUAACGCAAACACGGGUCACCAAUUCUAACCUAACUGACCAAAUCAGCAGGGUGUCUUCAAAGAGUGAGGAACGGAGGAUGAGGAUCGAGCUGAAGGAGUCGGAGUUAAUCAAAUCCAAGGACGAAAAUAUUUAUUUACAAAGAGACAAUUUGAAACUUUUAAAAAAGAGAAAUGUCUUUUGUUUAAUUGCUAAGCGUCUUUACACUAAUAUCACUCAACUUCAUUUAAACUGUGAAAUUUGGCAGAAAAUUCAUCGUAUGAUUUUGCCCUUCCUUGUGUUUAAGGAGGAUGAAAUUGACGCUGAAGCAUAUAAUUGUGAAAGUGUAGUUUCGUCUGAGGAUGUAAAUCCAACAUAUAUGUAUGGUCUGGAAAAAAUCGAAUCUUUCAUAAAGUCCAAGGACCAUAAGGACAUGCUGAAAAAUCUUUUGGAUGAAAAUGAUAAACUGAAACUAAGGACCGAAACCAUACAAAAGUUUGACUCAUUGAAUGCCAACUUGAGCUCAGAAAAUAAAAUUGAUAUUGAAAAUGCAUCUGAGCUUAAUGAGGACGCUGAUAUGAGUGAAAUUUCUGUAGAGGAUGUAGUUGACUGUUCUGAGUUUGUCAAGAGCGAACCCGAAAACCAAAAAAUCUUAUUUCAGAAAAUUAUGUGGAGUUUGCUCGUCUGUCCCAACAAAAGUCCCCGAUCCUUGAAGAAAAGGUUGUUGUAUACCAAAAGGUAAGGACGACUCCAAAUCAGGUGUAUGAGGUCACAGGUGUAACCGAACAUCAGACAGCCGAACUCACAGCCAUUGUAAACGAAGAUAAUGCUGAUGGUUGUGAUGAGUUCUUCUGGUCUGCUCCUAUCGAAAACGCUGACGAAACCGUUGGUCUAUCAGAAAGGACGUCCUGGAAAACCAAAGGCAGAUAUGUGCCAGAGCCUUUGAAGAAGCCUGAUAGCUUCGAUGUGCCAAGUACUAGUGGUACAAAAGAUGUGCCUGAAGAUAAAGGAGUUUCUGCAAAAGAAGACACUCCUUCAAGCGAAACAUCAUCAGUUCAAAGUGAACCAGCUGACAAAAAAGAAAAAACAAAAAGCGAAUAUCCAUCGUCAGCCGAAGCAACUGAAAAAUAAAAAACAGCAAAGAAAUCAGAGAUACAAGAAGAAUCUCUCUGAAAGAAAACAGUUUUGGCAAUCACAAAACGCCCAUUUCUCUUAUCAUGACAGAAAUUCAAAGUCAGAGAGAAGUGUUAUUGGAUCGCAAGAAGUUUAUAACAACCGAAAGGAGAAGUUAGGUUCUGAGUGUCAUAACAACCGAAAGGACAAGUUCGGGUCUGAAAAAUAUGACAACUGAAGGCGAAGGCUCGGUUCAGAGAACACAAGCUACCAAAAGCAUAAGUUCGGUUCCGAGAGCAAAAUCAAACAAAGUUCUAGGUUUGGUCCCACUAAUGAUCAAAAACAAAAGGGUCACUUAGAACCUCAAGUCAAGAAAACAUCUCAGUAUAAAUUCUCUCGUUCUACUUCUUCUAAUUCUUCUAAUUCCUCUCAACCUCAUUCUAAAUUCAAUUCUGUUCGCACUCAAAAACCUAAAUCUUCAACAGAUCUGAAAGGAAAAUCGAAGAUUUCAUCAGUCAAAACAGAUCAAAAUAAUCCCAAAGUCCUGAUGCCUAAACUAGAAUCCAAACCGACAGUAACAAAUCCCAAUAAAAUUAAGGUUUUCACCAUUAAAAAGAACGAUGAAACAACGUUAAUAAAAAGAACAUAUCUUGUUGACAUCUCUCUUACUAUUCCUGUUCCUGUGAAACGCUCACGUGGACCCAAGAAACUUUGGGUUCCUAAAUCUGCUUAAUUUUUGCAGGUUAUCAGUGACGAGCAGUUUGACGAAGAAUGGUAUAUUGACAGUGGCUGCUCGCGUCACAUUACAGGAAGGAAGGAAGAGCUGAGGGAAUUUUUGUCUCUUUCAAACGGUGGAAAUGUCAAAUUCGUGAACAACUCAUUCGGCACAAUAAAAGGAUAUGGAAUGAUAACAAAAUGGUGAUUUUACGAUUAGAAAGGUUGCAUAUGUUGAAGGACUCCAGCACAACCUCAUCAGUGUAUCUCAACUUGUUGGAGGUACCGGUCUCAAGGUCUCAUUCGACGAUGAGGGUUCAAAAAUAAUUUAAAAGAAAACGAAAAGGGUGUUUCUCAAAUCUGAGCGCAAAGGCGAAAUGUUUCCCCUGAAUCUCAAACCCAUCAAACGGAAUCCAACUAUCUGCCUGUUAUCCAAAGCACAAUCUGACGAAAGCUGGCUGUGGCACCGAAGGCUCUCUCAUCUCAACUUCAAGGAUAUCAAAAAACUUGUCAUUAAAGGUCAUGUUCGAGGUCUUCCAUUGCUCAAGUUCGAUCGACAACAUUUAUGUGCUGCAUGUGAAAUGGGGAAGCAGAGUCGUCAAAGUCACCCAUCAAUUGUAAACACUAAAGUUGUUGAACCACUAGAGUUAAUUCACAUUGAUUUGUGUGGUCCAUCAUCUAUCGAAAGCAUCGGCGGUAGCAAGUAUAUUCUUGUCAUUGUUGAUAACUUUUCGCGUUUUACAUGGGUGUUCUUUCUGAAGUACAAAUCUGAAGCAACUCUCAAGCUAAAGAUGUUUAUCAAGCAGGUUGAAGUACAACUGAAGAAAGUCGUUUGCAACAUCAGGAGCGACAAUGGGCUGGAGUUCAAAAAUAAAGAAUUCGAAGAAUUCUUGGCCGAAAAAGGAACCAGUCACAACUUCUCAGCUCCCUACACCACUCAACAAAACGGGAUUGUCGAAAGACGAAACCGAUCUUUGUGUGAGGUGGCCCGAACCGUGCUAAGUUUUGCUUCUUUACCUUUAUAUUUUUGGGCUGAUGCUAUUGCUGUAGCAUGUUUUACGAAGAACAGGUCAUAUCUCAAUAAGCGCUUCACUCUCACUCCUUAUGAGAUCAUCAACAACAGGAAGCCAAAUGUCAAAUUCUUCCAUGUAUUCGGCUCACGGUGUUUCAUCUUCAAUUCUAAAGAACAUUGUAACAAGUAUGAUGUCAAAGCCGAUGAAGGGAUUUUCCUAGGCUAUUCUCUCACUUUGAAAGCCUACAGGGUAUUAAACAAGUGCUCGAGGAAAAUAGAAGAAACUUAUUAUGAGACUUUUGAUGAUAGCUACGUCAAAAAGCUAAAGGCCACCGAAGACACAGUUGUAGAAAUCUUUUCUCAAACAGGCCAAGUCACAGCCUCGAUCGCAAACCUAUUUGAGAAGUUUGUCGAGUUAUUUGAUGAACCAGAGAAGGCUACUCUCUCUGAAGCCAGUGCAGCAAACAACAAAGUGGAUCAUCUGAAGCAACUCAUCGAAGAUGCUGCCAAGCAAAUGAAUGAAGGAGGAUCAAGUUCCAACGAACCUCUACAGUGCGAUGCUUCAGUUGAGGGGGAGGAUCCAUCUUUCUCAUCACAGCCGAUCACACAUGUUGAGGGGGAGAACAGUUCUCAAGCUAAUCCCGAAUGCCCAGCAGUACCCGAAGGUGCUACAACACUCGAAGGUGCGUCAACACCUAAAAGCUUGACACCACCCGAAACCCCUGUAGCUCCGGAAACUCAAGACACACCUAGAAGCUUAUCUGUCAAGGGGGAGAAUGCCGAUAUGCUUUAUGAUGAUGAUAGUCAAUCUGAACAAGAAGAGAUGGUAAACGCUGAAUUGGAUCCAUCUUAUGAUCCAAUUUACCCUCCUCUUGUUAAAUGGACCAGAGAUCAUCCAAUUUCACAGGUUGUCGGUAGUGUCUCUGAAAAGGUCCUGACCCGAUCACAACUAAAGGCAAAAGCAAACUUCCUUAUUCUCAAAAGUAGAGUUCUACAUGUUUAACUCCUUCGUCUCAAAAGUUGAACCAAAGACAGUUAAUACUGCUCUUGAUCACUCCGAUUGGGUUCAAGCUAUGCAAGACGAACUUAAUGAAUUCGAAAGGAAUAAAGUUUGGCGCGUCAUUCCACAAGAAAGGCAACGUGAUACGAAACAAAGCUCGUCUAGUGGUGAAAAGAUACUGUCAGGAGGAAGGAAUCGACUAUGAAGAAACUUUUGCUCCUGUAGCUACGCUGGAAUCCGUUCGAAUAUUUCUUUCCUAUGCUGCACACAAGAACUUUGAGGUCUACCUAAUGGAUGUCAAGUGCGCAUUUCUAAAUGGAGAACUUGAAGAAACGGUGUACGUGGAGCAACCUCCUGGAUUCGUCAAUGAAAGGUACCUUAAUCACUGUUAUAUUUUGGACAAAGUGGUAUAUGGACUGAAACAAGCUCCGAGGGCCUGGUAUGAAACGCUAACCAAGUUUUUAAAGAUGUCCAAAAUCAAACAAGGUUCGGUUGACCCAACCUUCUUUCGUAAGAAGGAAGGUAACCACCUUAUGAUUGUUCAAAUUUAUGUCGAUGAUAUCAUCUUCGGCUCAACGAAUCCUAGCUUAACGGCUGAAUUCAGAAAGCUGAUGGAGACUAAAUUUGAAGAGCUCAAUGNAACUUUUUCCUUGGUUUAAAUAUUAGACAGGGACCCGAAGGCAUCUUUAUUAACCAGGAAGCUUACACGAAGACUAUCCUUGCAAAGUUUGGCAUGAUGGGAGACUCAAAGGUUAAAGUUCCAAUGGCGUUCGGAACCAAGCUCACUCCAUCCUUGGAUGUGACAACCCGAUAUUUCUGUUGGAUUAAUGUCUAAGUCGAUAACUAUAUUUGGUAAGACUUNNNNNNNNNNNNNNNNNNNNNNNNNNNNNNNNNNNNNNNNNNNNNNNNNNNNNNNNNNNNNNNNNNNNNNNNNNNNNNNNNNNNNNNNNNNNNNNNNNNNACUUCGAGAGUAGAUGAGUAUGUCAUUAAUGAAGACGAUGACGAAUUGAUCCAAGGACGACACACCCUAUUCAUCAGAUCCAUGAAUACUGCGGGUGCGUUAGUUAAUCCGAAUGGCAUCACUACAAACUCGUAGUGUCCAUAACGAGUUCGGAAAGCAGAUCUAUCUUCGAGAAGUAGUUGGCUCCAUGAAGUUGAUCAAACAAAUCGUCAAUGCGGGGCAAAGGGUAUCGAUUUUUAAUGGUAAGUUUGUUGAGUUCCCUAUAGUCGAUGCACAUGCGAAACGUUCCAUCUUUCUUCUUGACGAACAAGACCGGUGCUGCCCAUGGUGAGAAGCUUGGUCGAAUGAAUCCCUUCUUAAGAAGUUCGUUAAGUUGACUGGAAAGUUCCUGCAUUUCAGCCGGUGCAAGANAGCCCCUGGCACUAAGUCGAUUCUGAACUCGACUUGGCGUUGUGGUGGCAAACCGGGAAGUUCUUCUGGGAAUAUGUCGGGAAAGUCGCGUACUUCUGGGAUUUUCUGGAUGUCUUUUAGUUCUUGACUGGUAUCGACGACGUGUGCGAGAAAUGCAUGGUACUCCUUCCGUAAGCACUUCUGGGCUUGAAUGCACGAAAUGAUGCGAAGGCUUGUACUGGGUUUGUCGCCGUAGAUUAUUAAAGUUUCGUUGUUAUAAAGGUUAAGACGAACUGCUUUUUCAAAGCACAUAAUGUCGGCACGAAGAAGACUCAACCAAUCCAUACUGAUGAUAACGUCAAAACAUUUAAUUGUGACCGGCAUCAGAUCUAUCUUGAAAGUAUGGCCAUCUAAAGUUAAAGCACAACCUACGUAUAUGCAGUUUGUACUCUCUGUUUUCCCGUUAGCCAUUUCUACCGUGAGUGGAUAAUCUAAUGCACAUGGUUUUUGUUUAAACAGGAGUGCAAAUUUGUGACUCACAAAACUUUUCUCGGCUCCACUAUCGAAAAGUAUGCAAGCAUAAGAGUUAUCGAGGAGGAACGUACCAGUAACUAUCGUUGGAUCAGCUACUGCUUCCUCGUGGCCUAGAGCCAUAACUCUUCCCACUCCUCCAGCCAUCCCUGCUUUAGGGCAGUUCCUCUUGUAAUGGCCCACUUCGCCACAUCCGUAGCAAGCNGGACCUAGGCGGCUUGAGCUGUUGGAGCCUUGCAGUAACGAGCGGUGUGCCCCUUUCUAUUACAGUUAGAGCAGAACAUCUCCCUGCAAGGUCCGUGGUGGUGGAAGUUGCACUUGGUGCACUUCGGAAGAGUUCCAACAUAUGACUUUGCUGGUAAGGGGUUCACAGGGACAACAUGAGUCACUGUGGCAGCAUUGAUCGCCACAAGUUGUUUGUUGGAGGAUUCUUGCGAAGUCCCUCUUUUCCUCUUAUUCCACCCCUUUUUGUUGAAGUCGGGGUUGGACUUUUGUGGUAUAGAUUUAGGGAUUGUUGUAUUCUGAGGUUUCCGGUGAUCGAUGAGGGAUUGUGCCAGUUCCUUGGCACUAUCAAAGGUAAUAGGCCUGGAAGCGAUCACACUUGACUGGAUCUGGGGCGACAGUCCCCAGAUAUAUCUUUCGAUCUUUUUGCUCUGGAGAGCAACCAUAUCAGGGCAUAAGUUUGCCAAAUCACAAAACCUAUUUGUGUAGGUAGUGAUGUCGGAUCCUACCAUUUGAAGACCCCAGAAUUCUUGCUCGAGUUUUUGUAUUUCACCUCGAGGACAAUAUUCUUUCAUCAGCAUGUCUUUCAACUUUUCCCAGCCGAUGGAAUACGCCACCACCAAAGUUAGAUAGUUAAUAUGGCUGUUCCACCAUGUUAGUGCUCGGUCAGAGAAGGUACAAGAUGCGAACUUGACCUUGUUGCCUUCUUGGCAUCCGCAGAUCUCGAAGACAAAUUCCAUCUUCUCAAUCCAUUGUCUCAACACCAUAACACCCCCAGUUCCAUUGAAGUUGCGGGUUUUGGCGUUAGUGAAAUCCUUGUAAAAGCAUUCCCGAGGGUGUCCAUGGCUUUCGCCGUGGUUCGAGGGUGGUGCACCUGUUCCCGAUCCACUAGGGACAGGAGCGUUGAUUGCUGACACAACCGCUGCAACUGCUGUUGUGAAAGUUGCCUGAAACAUAGUGGCAUCGAAAGGAUUUGGUGGUUGAAGGGGUACAGGCAGUGGUGGAGGUGGUGGUAUCGGUGUUUCGUUGAUUGAUUACGCCUUGUACUUCCGCGUGGCAGCAUCUUUAACUAUAAGUUUAAAAGAUGACGACAUGGAUAAGAAUAAAUGAUAAAUGAAUGUGCCCCAUGGACUAAUCCCUAUAGUUCAACAACCGAAGGAAUAGCUAAGAUAGAUGACUGACUAAGGUACUUAUAGUAAGACCAAAUACCCAUAUGGUUUUUCUUUAUGGUUGUGUUGGUAAGUUUUUAGACUUGUUGCCAUAUUACAACCAUUCUUGGGCAUAUUCUAAUCACUCCUCGGACCAGCAUAGUUGAUCAGGCUAUGCCAUUCCCAAGACUGACCAUAUAUCCCCAGGCUUACUUGUAAUAUUCAACAAUUGUAAUACUUUGUUCUUGUCGUUGUGACACUGAUUUUAGUAUGAAUGCAGGCACGUAUACUUUGUUAAAUAUUUUAUUAUUUAAAAGUAUAACUCUUAGACAGAGUGUUUUGAUCCCAUGUAUUUAUAGUUAGUAUAUCUUUUAUGGGUUGAUAUACUUAAUUCACUAUAAACAAUGCUCUGAUACCAAUCUGUCACACCCCAAAACCACGAACGGCGGAAACGUUCAGGGGUGGAGGACGUCAUGUACAGUAUCACAACAGUGUAAUAUAAUAAACAAGCAACAACAUCAUCCAUUGCAUUAUAAGUAAAGUUUUAAUACAUGUGUGUUCUUUCAUUGUAGUAAGACACCAAAAAUAUACAAUCAAAAUAAAAGACGAGACUUGUCUGCUCCGUCUUCUCAAAACCUGGCCUUCGUACCUGUCUACUGAUGACCUGAGAAUACAAGUUAUUUUGAAAGCGAGUAUCAGCUUUAAAGCUGGUGAAUUCAUAAGUAUAUAAGUGUUGUUGCCUUGUUUGUGAAAAUCUGUUAUGAAGGCCAUGUAAACCUUUAAAUGAGAAUGUUGAGGUAAGUAUGAAAUCCCUAGAAAAACCCUUAUUUUCUAUAAGUAUGAAAUGUAGUCUUCUACCAUGACCCGAAUGUUCUGUACGUAUGAAGUGUAGUCUUCUACCAAGACCCGAAUGUUUUGUUUGUAAAAUGAUAGUUUUCCUUUAAUUGUUUAGUACUAAAGUACUUAGUCUAACUCAUCGUUUAUGUGAAAGUAUCACAAAAUAAAGUAAACAGUAAAAUGUACUACUGUAAGUAUUGUCACUGGGUACUAGGACCCACACAGCCUAGGUAACUGUUAUCCCGAGGUACUAGGGUUAACACUACCUAUAUAACCUAAUGAACAUCCGAAGAUUGUCCAAUUGUCCUCUGUAGCAGCAGCAGGUGGGAGGAAGGGUUAGUCCCUGUAAAGGUACUCCUAGUAUAAGUAAUAACCGUAGGCAUCUUUAGAUGUUCAUUACCCACUGUCGCUAACAGAUGGGUUCCGGAAUGGUUAGUCCCGUCCAUAUAUCCCGAGGUACUGGGGAUAGAGCCCUAUUCUAGAUAUCCCGAGGUACUGGGGAUAUGCAGGAUAAUUUACACAGAAGGUACUAAUAAAUUAUCCUCGCAAUUUGUGAUACAAAUAUUCAAAUAAGUAUACACAGGUAAAGGUAUCAACGUAAAGGUACUCAUGUAAUGUGUUCAUGUAUCAGGUAAACAUAUGUAAAGGUACUCAUGUAUCAGGUAAGGUACUAGUAAAGACUCAUGAAUGAACUGACUCUUGUGUGAUUCCUUGUAAUAAUGUUUUGUUAUCUUCAAAUUAUCCCUAUGAUAAUUUACUGUAAUCUAACUAGUUGAUCAUGUAAGUUUACACACUCUUACUACUCAAGGGUGUGGGAAAACUAUAUGAAAGAUGCAAACUUAUAACAUCAAUACAUUUAUAAGGGUAUAAGUGUAUAUGCAUAGUUUAGUUCAAGAAUGAAAAAUGGUUUUGUAAGACAUCUUAUGUCUUUUGAAACAAUGAUUAACAAUAACCUGAGGUCAUUUCAAUAUACAUUUCAAAGGUAAAACCUUUGAUAACAAUGUGUUCUUAAGAUUUGAAACCAAUUCAUGCAUCACAUUUUGUAGUAUGUGAAAACUGUUUAUAAAAAUACGUAUCAAUGAUUUAAUAACAUGUUUGUUUCUACUUGUAUUCCCCCUACUAAAGCAUUUAAAAUCAUUUAAAACAUUGAUUAGGGGUAUGAACUCACUUNAAAUAGAAUGCGAGGCUUUCCGAAAAAAAUGCUCAUUUCUCUCCUUUCUCUCACGAUAUUGCCUUGAUUUCCGUGCCUGUUCAAACCCGAAGCUCUGGUCUUUUUGCUCAAGUCAUGAGGAUCGAUUUUACUCCCGAGAUUCCCGAGAAUCCCGAGAAAAAUCCAUUUCCCGAGACGAAACUCUGCCCGAUUUUCCAUCUCGCUAUCUUCAAACUUCCAAGUGAGUUCAUACCCCUAAUCAAUGUUUUAAAUGAUUCUAUAUGCUUUAGUAGGGGGGGAAUACAAGUAGAAACAAACAUGUUAUUAAAUCAUUGAUACGUAUUUUUAUAAACAGUUUUCACAUACUACAAAAUGUGAUGCAUGAAUUGGUUUCAAAUCUUAAGAACACAUUGUUAUCAAAGGUUUUACCUUUGAAAUGUAUAUUGAAAUGACCUCAGGUUAUUGUUAAUCAUUGUUUCAAAAGACAUAAGAUGUCUUACAAAACCAUUUUUCAUUCUUGAACUAAACUAUGCAUAUACACUUAUACCCUUAUAAAUGUAUUGAUGUUAUAAGUUUGCAUCUUUCAUAUAGUUUUCCCACACCCUUGAGUAGUAAGAGUGUGUAAACUUACAUGAUCAACUAGUUAGAUUACAGUAAAUUAUCAUAGGGAUAAUUUGAAGAUAACAAAACAUUAUUACAAGGAAUCACACAAGAGUCAGUUCAUUCAUGAGUCUUUACUAGUACCAUACCUGCUACAUGUGUACCUUUACAUAUGUUUACCUGAUACAUGAACACAUUACAUGAGUACCUUUAUGUUGAUACCUUUACCUGUGUAUACUUAUUUGAAUAUUUGUAUCACAAAUUGCGAGGAUAAUUUAUUAGUACCUUCUGUGUAAAUUAUCCUGCAUAUCCCCAGUACCUCGGGAUAUCUAGAAUAGGGCUCUAUCCCCAGUACCUCGGGAUAUAUGGACGGGACUAACCAUUCCGGAACCCAUCUGUUAGCGACAGUGGGUAAUGAACAUCUAAAGAUGCCUAGGGUUAUUACUUAUACUAGGAGUACCUUUACAGGGACUAACCCUUCCUCCCACCUGCUGCUGCUACAGAGGACAAUUAGACAAUCUUCGGAUGUUCAUUAGGUUAUAUAGGUAGUGUUAACCCUAGUACCUCGGGAUAACAGUUACCUAGGCUGUGUGGGUCCUAGUACCCAGUGACAAUACUUACAGUAGUACAUUUUACUGUUUACUUUAUUUUGUGAUACUUUCACAUAAACGAUGAGUUAGACUAAGUACUUUAGUACUAAACAAUUAAAGGAAAACUAUCAUUUUACAAACAAAACAUUCGGGUCUUGGUAGAAGACUACACUUCAUACGUACAUAACAUUCGGGUCAUGGUAGAAGACUACAUUUCAUACUUAUAGAAAAUAAGGGUUUUUCUAGGGAUUUCAUACUUACCUCAACAUUCUCAUUUAAAGGUUUUCAUGGCCUUCAUAACAGAUUCUCACAAACAAGGCAAUAACACUUAUGUACUUAUGAAUUCACCAGCUUUAAAGCUGAUACUCGCUUUCAAAAUAACUUGUAUUCUCAGGUCAUCAGUAGACAGGCACGAAGGCCAGGUUUUGAGAAGACGGUGCAGACAAGUCUCUUCUUUUAUUUUGAUGUUAUAUUUUUGGUGUCUUAUUACAAUAAAAGAACACACAUGUAUUAAACUUUACUUAUAAUGCAAUGGAUGAUGUUGUUGCUUGUUUAUUAUAUAACACUGUUGUGAUACUGUACAUGACGUCCUCCACCCCUGAACGUUUCCGCCGUUCGUGGUUUUGGGGUGUGACGUUGGAUAAGCCAUCAGUUGAUAUUACGCUGUAUCGACAGAUGAUCGACUCUCUGAUGUACCUUACUGCUAGCAGGCCUGAUAUAAUGUUCUCUGUUUGUUACUGUGCUAGAUUUCAGGCGAAUCCUCGUGAACCUCAUAUGCUUGCAGUGAAGAACAUACUCCGCUUUCUCAAACGAACUACCUCUUUAGGCCUAUGGUAUCCAUUCAACUCAGGCUUCUUCGUUCAAGCCUACUCAGAUGCAGACCUUGGAGGUUGUGGACUAGACAGGAAAAGCACCACGGGAGGCUGCCAAUUCCUUGACGAGAAGUUGGUUAGCUAGCAAUCAAAAAAACAGACUUGUGUGUCUCUGUCUACCGCUGAAGCAGAAUACAUCGCAGCUGCCUCCUGUACUUCUCAAGUGAUUUGGAUCCAAAGUCAACUCUGGGACUAUGGACUCAAUAUGAAAAAGAUCCCACUAUAUUGUUACUCUGAAAAUGCAACUAGGAUCUGUCAUAACCCAGUGCAACACUCCAAGACUAAACACAUAGCACUGAGGUAUCACUUCAUUAAUGAUCAUGUGGAAGAUGGGAACGUCGAAAUUCAUUUUGUUUGCACCACUUAUCAACUGGCUGACAUCUUCACCAAAGCUCUUCCUGAAGCAUCUUUCAACAAAAUACUACAAGGGCUACGUAUGAUGGAAUCAGAGUCAGUACCAAAAAUUACCUCUCCAAUUCAAAAGUAAGAAGCGAAAUAGACCGAACGUUCGGGUUCGGGUCUUGUACUAAUGUACCGAACGCUCGGGUUCGGUUGCAUAAUCUGCUUUUCGCUCAUCACUGAAAGGUAGUUUUCUUGGUUGUAGAUCUUAUGUAUACUUUUUCCAAAUGCAUUUAUCUUAUUGUCAAAGUUAUUCUCUUUUUCAAACUUAUUUUCUUUGCCAACCAAAAUCAACCGAACGUUCGGGUUCGGUUCCAAAAUUUUUUUCACCCGAAAUAGACCGAACGCUCGGGUUCGGUUCCAAAGUUUUUUUUCCAACCGAAAUAAACCGAACGCUCGGGUUCGGUUCCAACAUUUUUUUAUUCAUUUUUUUUAUGUCUUAUUUUUUUUAUUUAUUAUCAAAAAUUCCAAAAUUAUUUUUUUUUUCAUAAAUUCAAAAACUCCAAAAAUAUUUGGUUAUUUAUUUUCUUUUUGGCUUUAAUUUUAUUUGAGUGUUCGUUUAUGGGGAAAUUGUUUAAUUAGCUAAGUGUCCCUAGAAGCAUGUUGCUGUAUGUGUCCAAAGCCUCCACUGAUUCUGAGUAAUAAGCCUUACUGACUUGGUAUAAACAAACCUUGUCUUCCCAAUUAGGCUUUCUUAUUUACUCUUAUCAUGAGCUACCUAACUCUUUUCUCACAUGAGAUAUGAGUUUUCUGCGUGGUCCUAUUUUUCACAGCAGAGGUACUUUGGUUUCUUUACAACAUCUACAUCGCAUUUCUCCAUCACAUUCGUUUCACAAACGUAACCCUUGAGACUCUUAGAAAUUACCACUAAGGUUUAUGGUUACACAAUUUAUGUGUUUAUGAUCUUAGUUUCGUUCCACUAAGAGCUAAGUGAAACCCAAAAUUCAAUACCCAAUACGAAUUGACGGUGAACAAUUAAUUUGCUCUAGUUUUCACUAAUGAGUUGACGGACGUACCUCCAUGAAAUCUCAAAAUUUUCUUUUGUGUGAUUCCUAUGAAAUUGUUAAAAACAAUAACAUUUCUUCCCUUGGGAUCCAGUUUUAAAUUUUUGUUGAGAUUUUGUAUAUAAAUUUCCUAGCCAAGUUAAAUUAUCUCCAACCUACUUGUUCAAUAGACUACACCGGUCUCACAAGUACUUCGUUUGAUUUCUAUCUUAUAUCAAGAUUAGGAAUUUUCAAUCGAAGCGAAAGCCACCCUAAUAAGCCUAAUUAAAAGAAGCUUUUCAACCCUUCUUAAUAAGUGUUUGAUCGUUAUUCAACGGGAAACCACACGAACACUUUAAGGUCUCUCUUGACUUUGAAGGAAGAGAUUCGUGCCCGUGAUCAUUUGUUUCGUGUCUUUAUUGACAUCACAUAUUUUGCCAAAAGUAUUGCUUUAUUUCUUUUCUUUUACACCCUUAGCACAAAAAUCUUUGAUUUUCCAAAAUUCAAGUUCUAUUGAUUACAGGUAUUUUAAUUGGAUUAGCGGUUCAUUAAAGGCUAUGGUUGAUUUUAAUCCAUGUGGACGAAUUUCUAAAAAGAUGCCGUUACAAUUUAAAGGGAUAAGAUGACGACAUGCUGACUCAGGCGGGAGUCCAAUCGAUUUGAUUUCAAACAGCGCUAAAAGGGAAAGUGUGCGAAUCGAAACCGUUUCAUCUCCAUAAGGCGCAAGAGGGACGCGUGUGAAUCUGAACCGUUUCGUAUCCAAACGGCGCCUGAUGGGAAGGCGUGUUACUAGGAGCCUGACGUUCUCUCUCAUCCGUGAUCCUCGGCAACUCCAAUUGUCACGCAUCAGUCAACUCCGAAAAACUCUUUGGUUUUCAAUCGAAGAUUUGGGAAGAUCUUUCUCUCUCCUUACCACCAGUAUAAAAGGCGACAUCAUACAUCGUUUACCUCUUUACUACAAUUAAAAUUCCCAGAGAGCGAGAAAUCCUUAAUCCUUCACUGUUCAUCAUCUUCUUCACUUUCUUCAAGCAAUGGCAGAUUCAUCUUCUGUUCACACAACAUCCCACAUUUUACCCAUUCGCCCACAGCAAAGCCUAAUCAUCGAUUUAACGCCUCAUGCUUACGACGCAUUCAUGUUCCACAUCAUUGAGUGUUUGAAGUUUUCUCUGAUCGCUCCUGCACUUACAAGAGCUGAGACUGUUUCGAUGGAGUUCUUGUCACAGAUCUUUGCGACCGCUCACUACGACAAGGUCAUUGACAGAAUCUUUUUUAAUGUCUUUGAGCACAAGGCGUCAAUUUCAAUGCAAAGGUUUUGCUCACUGUUAGGGUUUGAACCUGAUUCUUCGAGGGUUAACCCUGAAAAGAUUCCAAUGGGUCACUUGUUCAACAUGUUCUACAACAUGGGUUACAUGGAGGUGCUUACUACUGUCACGAAGUUCAAGAAGUCUUGCCUACAUCCAAAGUGGAAUGGGAUGUUCACUGUUCUCUUCAAGGGGUUAUCAGAAAGAAGUGUUGGAUCUGAAGGUGCCAGCGGUUUAUUUCUCUCCAUAAUGUAUGGUAUCUAUAAUGGCAUCAACAUGGAUUAUGGGUCUGUUCUAUGGCAACAACUCAUCCAGAGUCUCUCCUCUACUUCCAGGCAUUCAGAGAUUUUUUAUGCUAGGUUCUGGACUCUUAUCACGAAAUGGGUGAUGGACAAGUACCACGUCCCCAUUUUCGUUGGUGCUCCGAUGUCUUCGAUUGGUACCUUCCAUACCAUGAAGAUCAUUAUGUCGGACACUUCAAAGUUUCCGUUCAACGGUUCUAUUCCGGAAACCAUGUAUGUAGAUGUUCCUGCUGAUAGCCGGAUCAUCAGAACGUACAAGGAAUUCAGACGUUCUGGUCCGAGGGAUCUUACUCCGGAGAUGUUGAAGUCCAUACAUGACGCCGACAAGCCUGCUCCACAAGGCAAGAAGGCUGAUAAGGGGAAACAGGUGGCAAAAAGAGCAAAAGGCCCGUCUCCAAAGAAGUGGAAACCCACCAAGGCUGCUCAGUCUCCGUAGCAGAAGAGAAGAAAAACUCAGCCGAGGCGAAAGCUUGUUAUCGCUUCCUCCUCAAGCGAAUCUGAGGGUGAGAGUUCAGAUUCUGAUGACUCUCCACGUGGCAACACUCCACCCAGAUCUCCUACCCCUGAAGUUCAUGCAUCUACUUCUCUAAUUUCCUCUCCACCUAAAACCAUUCCUAUUUCUAUUCCCCCCAUAACUACCACUACUUCAAUACCACCCACUUUCAUCCCUAUACCACCACCAAUAUUCACCGACGCAACCACAACAACCACUGCAGAUGUUAGAGCCAACGUAUCUGAUACGGGGGUUCAUACUGACGGAACCAAAUCCACCUCAGCACCCGAAACCACUCCAGCACCCAAAACUACACAAGCACCCGAACCUACACCUACACCCGAAACAACCCAACCCGAACCUACCCAUACUACUGCACCACCAGCUUCCCCAACACCACUUUCUCCUGGUCAUGCUUCAUAGGGAGAAGAACCACUCCUUGGCGGGGAGGAUAUGAUGUUUGACUCAGUCUACUAUAGUCCGUUUCAAGUACAGAGUGAUGACGAUGACGACGCUCCUGUAACCAAGCGACAUCUCAAGGAGCUCCAUGACAAGAUUGACUCACUCAUCGCCUCCUCUUCCACUUCUCAUUCAUCCCUUUCUGAAGACGCAGUUUAGAAGAUUGUUGACGCUUUCUCCAAAGCUCAGCAAGAUUCCAUUGCUUCUGCAACCUCAGCCAUCGAUGCCUCAACAAAAGCCUGUCAGGCUGCGACCGAAAAAGUCAAUAAACUAUUUACUGAUGCCUCUUCCCUGUUAAAGUCUUUACAGGAGAGUGCCAACGCUGCCAAGACUACGCUGGAACCUAUUGUUCACCAGCUGGCAACGUCAGUCUCAACUGAGUUGAAGUCCUUCGCUUCAUUUCGUCAAACUCUUUCAGACGACAACUCAGCAUUUCGCACAACCAUUGACAAGCGUCUCUCGAAGCUAUAAGAAGAUUUGGCUAUCGAGAACUCUCUUAUGGAUGUUCUAGCCAGGAAGACCACCGCUCUGAAGGUCAAGAGCAUUCAACUCUCCAAUUCUCAACAGGAGAUUGAGUCUCUUCGGUCUGAAAGGGAGGUGAUAAAGUCGUGUGUUUCGGAUGUCCACUCUGCCAUCUCCAACAUCCUCGAAGCACAUGAUCCCAUUCUGAACUAUACUGUGAGGCGUGACCUUGCAGAGAAGCUCGCUCCCGCCCUUGCCCUACUCAGCAAAAUCGAAGGGCUACUUGAUUUCGUGUCCAUUCCGAAACAAGGGGGGAAGAAAAUGUAGUUAAAGAGACAAUCACUGAAUUGUUGAAGCGAAAAAGUCGAGACAAUGAUGCUGAUAUCAGUGCUCGUGUGGCUAGAGAGGCUGAAGAAGCCGAACGAAAACAGAAGGAAGCCCACGACCUUCUUGAGAGUAGGAAAACUCUUUUUCCUGCUUGGACUCUUGAGAGGAUGAUAAAAGAAGCCAUUGACACACCGAGUAUCUUGUGGCUGGAACCUGUAAUCUCUCUUGAUUGUUCCAACACUGUCGACUCUCAGUUUGACAUGCCACUGACCCGAAAGGCGUUCAUCUUUCAUGCCUUCUCCAACGUUGCAGAGUUCCCUCAUCCUCAUCCACAGGUUGAUCGGGACUUAAUCAAUUUUUAUCUGAAAGCUGCUCAACCUCAGUAUCAGACUUGGAGCGCUCAGAAAAUUGUCAACGUUCGGGUCUUGAAGCCGUAUAGUGAAGGGAACUUCAUCAACAUUCGGUUCAAGGUACUUCGGGGAUCUGCCAAAACCGAACAUGCUAUUUCCCUUACAGAUCUUCCCAACCUUAAUCCCCAUGAUUGGAUUAUCUUGCACAACAUCCUUCUCACUAACGAAGCUGAAUACGGUCCGAUCAUCGACCAUUUCAAGAGGAUGCUCGUGUGCUACAUCAUGCAAGUUGCACUAAUGGAUCAGGAGAUUGCGAGUGUAUUUAAGAAGAAACCUACAAUUUCUCCUAUUGGCCCUGCCAGUGAUCUCAACCAAAUGCAAAUGGGUAAAAUUGACUCGAGAAGGAAUUCGGUCAUGUUUACCAGGAACGAAGGACAGAAAUGUCUUUUCGCCUUGGCCGAAAAACACCUCUACACCACUGGCUGCUUAGAGCAUGUUUUGGGGAUCAUCCACAGAUACAAGCAGAACACAGCGGAUGAUGUCAAGUACUUCAAUGACAUGAUUCAAUGGUACAUUCGGUUCAGACAGACUAUUCUCGCGCUAAUCUUUCGUCUGUUUGAUACUACGAAGAAAGUUCCCGCUGCUGGCCCAAGCAAGAAGAAGUAGUCUCGCUCCAAUUUGACGCAAAGGGGGAGAUUGUUGGGUCAUGUUUUGUAUAAUAUGUUGUGUCUAUUGGGCUCGUUAGCUAGUCCAUUUUGUAUCUCUGGUAUGCGCCUGUCCAUCCGUGAGUUUAGUAGGGUUUAAUAUAAAUAUAGGUGCUUGCAUGCAUCUUAGGUUAACGAUAGAAUAGAACGAUCAGAGCAUUAUUCAGAAGUUUAUUUUUAUCGUUCUUGUAACACUAAAUCCUCUACAGCGGAAGUUCUUAGUCGAGCUCUGCUAAGGAUUGUUUGAUUUAAUCAUUCGACAUAUUUUGAUCCACACUUGUCUUAUUAAUUGUUUUGUGUUCAUCGCAAUACCUGUUACAAAGAUCUAAUCGAUCUUCAAGUUUGUUUAAUAACUUAUCAGAUCAGAGUUGACAGCGGCUUUUGAAAGCUUUGAUUGCGGAUCAGGAUCUGAAGUCAUACACAAAAUAGUUAUUAGACUUAUCCAAGUGGGAGACUAUUGGAUUAGUGUCUAAGUCCAUAAAUAUUGUGGUAUGUACUUGACCCAAUGGUGCAUGGUCCUUUUGCGUUGCCAUCACCAAUGCAACUUGAUAGGCUGAUUUAUGGAGAUGAGAUUAAUUAUGAUUUAUUAAUAUAUUAUGAGAAUAAUUUAUUAAAGGAGAAAUCAUAUUCUUUAAUUAAUAUUAGUCAAGAAUUAACGAGAAUUAAUUUUGUGGCUAAAAAGAUAUUAAUUAAAUAAAGGGGACUGCAACUGUCAGUUGUGUGAUAGUUGAAUAUUGGACUAAUGGGCUCCAUAGAGGAUGGAGUGGACAAAUUCUAUGGGGAAACCCACUAGAAAUCGUCCAUGGCCUCUAAAGAGGGAGUCUAUGGGCUGCUUAGGGCCUAAGCAGUCAGAUUAAGGUUUCCUAGUUCAAAACCCUAUUAUCCUCACAUAUUUAAGGACCCUUAGGGCACCAAAAACGUGGCUAACUAAUUCCUUAGGGUUUCUAGACGUUUUUUUGGUGCCUCUUCUCUUCUCCUUCUUCAUCCUCUUGCUCUUGGUUGAUUGUGAGCCAUUAGAGGUGUGACAUUUGUGACACUAAUCUUUCUAAAAGCCAAUGACAAGAAGGAAUAGAUUUUUAUUACUACAUUACAAUCAAAGGUAAUUUUUAAACCCUUAAUUCGGUUCAUAGUGUGAUAGAUCUAGGGUUUAUGGGUUUGGAUGAUUAUUGCAUGUUCAUUAGACAAACUAGAUCCAAAGCUUUAGGGUUUGCAUGUACACCAUAGGAAUGAUGUAGUUCACAAAACCCAUCAUUUAACACGUCUAACCACCGACGAUGCCGCAUGUUCAGAUUCGGCUGAUGCAUGAGGUACCUUAAACUCUUGUGAUCCAUGUCGAUGGUACAACGGACCCCAUCGAGGUAAUGCCGUCAAUUCUUGAGGGCGAACACCACUGCCCCCAGCUCAAGAUCAUGUGUCGGAUAGUUAGCCUUGUGAGGGAUCAACUGUAUCGAGGCCUAAGCUAUCACAUGCCCUCGCUGCAUCAAUAUUGUUCCCAAACCUAAGAUCGAAGCGUCACAGUAGACUACAAAGUCGUCCACUCCCUCUUGCAGGAUAAGAACCAGUGCCUCACACAAUCGUCGUCUAAGGGUCUCAAAUGUUCCUUGCUGCUCAGGCCCCCAGUGAAACACCACCGACUUCUUGGUCAGUCGGGUGAGCGGAACUGCUAUCUUCGAGAAAUCCUGGAUAAAUCUCCUGUAAUACCCUGCCAAACCCAGGAAGCUCCAAAUCUCAGAUGGAGACCUUGGGACCUCCCAUGGCAUCACAUCCUCAAUCUUGGCCGGAUCUACCGAUUGACAAGGUGUCCUAGGAACUGCACCUCGCGCAACCAGAACUCACACUUGGAGAACUUUGCAGAAGGUCUCUCCUUUCUGAAGGUCUCAAGCACCUCCCUUAAGUGCUCCCCAUGCUGCUCCCGAGUCUUGGAAUACACCGAGAUAUCAUCAAUGAACAUUAUCACAGACCGAUCCAGCAUCGGCUUGCACACAUAGUUCAUGAGGUCCAUGAAUGUGGCAGGAGCGUUGGUGAGCCCAAACGACAUCACCACAAACUCAUAAUGACCAUAGCGGGUCCUAAAAGCUGUCUUCUGCACAUCCUCAUCCCUAACCCGCAUCUGGUGAUAUCCAAAGUGUAAAUCAAUCUUGGAAAACCAAGAUUCUCCCUGAAGCUGGUCAAACGGAUCAUCUACCCUCGAUAGGGGGCAAUGGUUCUUCACCGUUACCUUGUUCAACUCCCGGUAAUCUAUAUACAUACUGUGACAACCUGGUAUUUCAACUCUACGUAAUGACCUAAAAAGUCAAGUAUAGUAACCAGUUUUGAUAUAAGGAAAUAAACUUGGAAAAUAAAAUGUCCAAAAAUCUCAAAUUAAUUACCUACUAUGUUAGAUGACAUUAAACCGUGAUCGUACGAAAAAAAAAGAACGCCCAAAUCUGACUUCGUAUAAAGAUGUUAUGAUUUUUACAAGUUCGGCUUAGCGACAGACAGCUAAAAACUCGAAACGGAGAUCGAGCUACUUUUGGCCGGAAUGACCCAAAUGAGAAUCAAAGGUCUCGACAAUGGUUUUGCAACGGUAAAAAGUCUGGAAAAAACAGACGUCAGAUAAUGAAGUUAUGAAUUUCUAACGAAAUUUUCUUACCGCGACCUUUUAAAAAUAAAUAAUAGAAAUAAUUUAAAAAUUUGCCGACGGAAUCUAAACGAAAGUUGUAGAGCGUAGUUUCACCUACGCGUGGAUAUAAAGAACGUCGAAAAUGGAGUUCGUAUGAAGAAGAUAUGAAUUUUUGAAGUUUAUUAAAUAAUUAAAAUAUAAAUUUUAUUAUUUAACUUUAGUAUUAUCCGAAGGAGGAGUCACCAGGUCGAUCCGAGUUACGCCCAGCGUAUGCUCGUACGCCCAGCGUACUCGAGGACUAGGCCUCGGAUCGUCCAUGUCGCCCCUAUGCGAGGCUAUGCCCCGUCCCAUCCGAUGGUCCGAGGCAGUCGAGGAAGAAGUCACGCAUGACGCACGUGAUCGUACCAAGGCGGGUCCCACCCCCUAUAAAAGGGAUGCGAGGGUUCCGAAGAAAAGGGCCAAUUCCUCUCAUCUUUCUUGCGUUUUUGCCUCUUUUUCCGUGCGCGUACUAUCCCGAAUCCCUGGUUUCCUUGCUCAAGUCCCGAAGGUCAUUUGUGCUCCCGAGAUUCUCGAGAAUCCCGAGAAAAUCCGCUUUCUCAAGUCGAAAUUCUGCUCGGUUUUCAUCUCGCCUUUUUCGAUCUUUCAAGUGAGUUCAUACCCUUAUAAUCCACACUUUUAAAUGUUUUAUAAAUGCUUUUAUAUGCUUUUAAAGGGGGAAAUACAAGUAAAACACACGACUAUUAUCGUGUCUUAUAUAAAGUUUCAUUAUACACUUUUUAUAAACAAAAUCAUAUGUGAUUUAUAACUAGUAUGGGGAAACUUUCAUAUGCAAAAUAUAUCACGAUAACAUCAUAUCUUUUGAAAUCAAAAAUGUAGUUAUAUAUGUAUAAAUCAAACACUCUGUUUAUAUUGUAUGUAUAUGUGUCUAUCUUAGACACUAUAAAAAUUAUACUUUUCAUAACAAGUGAGCAUUUUACUAGGGAUUACUAUACAAACGAGACACACUUAAAGAAAACUAUAAUAGGUAUAGUUUUACGAGAACAUUACGAACUUUUACAUACUAGAAACACUAUUUUCAAGAAGUCACUUUCACAUACAAGAACAAAAGAACAUUUUUACACGUAAAUCUGUUUUUAUACUAACUUUUGUGAGACAUUAACUUCACGUACGUUCGAGUACACAUUUCAAGUCAUGUAUUAUAUACCAGAAUCCCUUGGAGGGGGAGCAUGGUGUUUGUGUAUAGAUCUAUAUGGGCUUGACAACCCCGCACCCUGACUGUUAGCUACAAUACACCAUUUGGAGUGAAAAACGUCAGAACAUUCCAACGCCUGAAGAACGUUGCGUAUGGGCAUUCCUAGUCAAUAGCAUGGUUAUAAAAACUUACAUGCGGUAUUAAAAAUACAUUGAUUUAUGGGGUUUUUCAUACGUAUUGGAAAUUUUAUACGUACAUACAUUUUUCUAGAAACAAACAUUGGUCUUAAUAGAGGGCUACAUUUAUGCUAGUAGAAAAUAUGGGAUUUUCUAGGAACAAACAAACAAAAACAAAACAUUUCAUUUCAUACAAACGUUGUCAUUUAAUACUUAUGAAACUCACCAGCUUAAAUGCUAAUCUACUCUUUCAAAACUACUUGUAUGUCCCAGGGAUUCAGUAAUUACAGGUAACAAACAGCUUUUGAAGAAGGGACGCUGCGACGCCAAUUUAAAGUCAUAUUUUAGCAUCAUAUUGUAAUUGGUUUUGAACAUGUACCUUUUAACAAUGUAAAGUUUCAAUUAUAUAUAUGAUGGCUGUAUUGAUUUCUUUACUAUGUCAUCCGCCCCCGAACGUUUUCCGCCGUUCUGGUUUGGGGGUGUGAUAGAUAGGUAUCAAAGCAAUGUUUAUAGUGAACUAAGUAUAUCGAACCACAUAAGAUAUAGUAACUAUUAAUGUUUAAGGGACUAAUAGUCUCUGACAAAACAUUUUUUUUGGUUUACGCCUAAGCCGCGUUUCGUUUAACUUAAAUUGCUAGUUCAUUUAAGUACAAAUACAUGCAUACAGCAACUUAUUUUCAUGAUUAUAACUAUACAAGAAGUAUUUAGACAAGUUGGACACUAGGAUUAAGACUCGAUAUAUGUAAUCAGAUUUGGGACAAAUAUAGCAUGAUCAACUACAUUUGUCCGAGAUUGUACCAAUGUAUAUCGAGGAAUGUUCGUAGUGAACAACAAGUCAAAACUUACCAAAACAUCACGAGAAUCAAACACACCAAUUUAAAUACUAUAGGAGUAUUUAUUACAUAGAAUAGCUUAACAUACAUGUUUAGUCUUACAUGUUCCAAACAUUACUCGAUUCUUAUAACCCUAUUCUCGUACAGUUAAAUGGCUGGAUUUCACCACCCCGGCGACCCAUACUAUCCCAACCAAGGCAAUGGGGGACGGAUCGAAGAGGAUCUCGAGGAGGACAAGGAACCCAUAGAAUUGGAUGAAGAGGAUGACUCCGGUACCGACUCCGAGACGGAAGUGAUGAACCCACCACCCGGAAAACCUCCCGUCUUCGUGAGAAACUUUCAAGGACCGAAUCCCGUCUGGGGAAGUCACCUGCACCAUUGGAGCUAGCAACAAAGUCUACGCCCUCCCUACGACAUGUGUCGAGACUUCUACGAUGUCUGCGGCAGGGGUUCAGCCGAUCGAGCACUCCCCGUCAUGGUGGGCAAACUAGCCAACUAGUCCUACCAAUCCGGAGUUCAAGCUAGCCGGAUUAGGGAAGUCAACGUGGAAGCCCAGGUUCACACUUCCGACAUCCGUGGGCUUGACUGUGCUCAGGACAAUGCCCAACUCCAAACCGAGGCAUUCCAAGCGCAAAUGAUUGCAGCCCUCUCCGAAUUUAGGGAACAACAAGCUGCCUUUGACAGGCGUCUUAUGGAAUCAAAGCAAUCAGAUGCGGAGUCAAGCUCCAAGCGCAACCUACGACACAAUUAGUGCUUGCCAAAAUCCCAAAUUUUGUUAUAAGUUAGGACCUCGACUAAAAGUUUUAUUUUUCUUAAACUUUGUAACCGGAGACCCUUAUAGGGGUCAAAUUUUUGUGAUCGUUGUAUCAACUAUUAUAUUAAUAUAAUUGGUAUGCUAUUACUACUACAUUGAGUAUUUCGUUUAAUCCUUAAAAUGCUACGGAGAAACCAUAUGCUUGUUUCAAAUAUUCCGUCUUACGAAUAACUUUCAUUCUUCUAUCUUUGAGACUCACACUAUCAUCUGUUAUUGAACUAUAACGAUUUAGUUCAUGAGACACAUUCAUUUUUUAUGUUAUGGUAUUCUUAUCUUUAUCUUUUCAACCUAUAGUUGAAGGAUGCCUCCGCGUAGAAACCUGAGACGAAACAAUGGUGGGGAAGCACCUCUACCACCGCCGCCUCCACCUCCUCAAUUUGAUGCUGCCAUGUUCCAAGCAGCAGUCACUGCCGCUGUAGCGGCUGCCAUGUCACAGACCAAUACCCCUGUUACUACUGGNCUGGCACACUUCCUUCCAACCAUGGCGAGAGUCAUGGGCAACCCCGAGAAUGCACCUAUAAAGACUUUACGAAUGCCAAACCCUGGAUGUUUAAUGGAACUGGUGGUGUGAUGAUUCUGAGGUAGUGGAUCGAAAGGACAGAAUCAGUCUUUGAAAUCCGCUCCUAUCCCGAGCACAGCAAAGUCAAGUUUGCAACCUACACACUUACCGAUUGAGCUUUAACAUGGUGGAAUGGCCACCUUAAGGCACUUACACUGAUAGUGGCGCAUUUAAUAAGCUGGGAGAGCUUAAAAAUUUUGCUGAUGAGAGAAUACUGUCCACGAGGAGAGAUUCAAAAACUCGAGCACGAACUCUGGACUCUUGAAAUGAUUGGUACCAACAUAGCAACGUAUACCAACAAAUUCUGCGAUCUGGCAAUCCUUUGCCCAUAUAUGAUUGCUCCUGAGAGCUAGAAAAUAGAGACAUACAUUUGUGGACUGUCGCCCCAAAUUUAGUCGAGCAUGUUACCUUCAAAACCAGAAACUUUUGAAGCCAAAGAUCCUGCAUGUGACAUCCCCAUAUUUCUUGGCUAGAAAAGACCGAUUUAAUUUAUGCUUUUUAAAAUAAAAUCAGAGAAAUCUUUUUAUAAGAUAUUGCGGAAUUGGUCCCCAAACAAUAUAUGAUAAAAGUUUAUCAAAAUCCUUCAUUAAGAAGGUAUAUAUUUUCCAUAUAUAUCUCAAAACCUCGGGAUGUCAUGUUCCGAUACAGAUCAAAAGCAUAAACAAGACAUUAUAAGCCUUUCAACAGUUAUUUACAACUAUUGGCCUAUAAUCCAAAAAUCUCUCGUCAUCCUCCGACUAUGCUCGGGGUCCACUACCUGUAAUCAUAAAACUGAUCGGGUCAGGCUUGGGAGCCUGGUGAGCAUAUAGGGUUUUCAACCCACAAUAAUAAUAUACUUAUUAAGUUCACCAAUUAACAGUAUUCUAAAAGGCGCGCCAUGGCGCGCGCCAAGGCGCGCAAUGGCGUGAGGCGUGGCUCCGUCGUUACGAAAAGCCUCAUAACAUUUGCUGUUAGGCGUGGCGCGUGGCAAGGCGUGAUAUGGCGCGCCAUGGCGUGUUAUGGCGUGUGUUUUUUUGUUUGAGACAUGUUUUUUUGCUCUUUGUUACGUAUUUUCUAAUUGGAGAUACAGGUAUUGUGGUUUUCGUUAAAUUUUUGUUACUAGUUAUUGAUCUAACACUUAUAAAAAGUAGUUAUAUUUAAUAUAAAUUUAUAUUUAUCUGGUAAUAUAAUUUUAAAUUAAUACAAAAUCGCCGCCUUACAUCACGCCUUGAAAAACGCCAUGGCUCGCCAUGGCUCGUUAAGCUUGAGGCUUGACCUUGCCGCCACGCCACGCCUCACGCCAUUUAGAACCUNUCAACAAUAACCCUGAUUACCCAUUCCCGUUGUCCUCACUUUACGUCCCUAAACACCUAUCACAAGGGACCUAGCCUAAGGAUUAUCAUCGGGAUGGACACUACUGCUAAGGGGUUUCCUCAGCCAUACAUGUCCUUAAGGCAACCAUGAGGGGGAUGAAGUACGCCAAUGAACAUUUAAUUCAUCAACACCUACAAGUUGCGAACAUGCUAGUGUUCCACUGGACUAUCUAGAAAGUCCGUGGUCGUUAUAUAUACUUCGCUAGAUGACUAGAAAAACAACAACAACAACAACAACAUCAACAUCGAGGCCUCUCACCAUUUUAACACACAUCAACUAUUUCAUCUACCCAUGUUCUACCCAACAUAUUUUGUAGAUAAAAAGCAUAUACAGUUUAAAACUUGUAUAAAACAUCAAUUCAACAGUCACCUCGAAUAAACAAUUAGCAUAUUUACACAUAACACGUAUUUCAAGAUAAAUUCUUCAUAUCUAUGUGUAAAUUGAAAGUAACUACACACUCACGUAUUUUGGUGAAAAUCGGGCAGCAAUUCGUUUCCUAAAACGAUCGUUUCUAAUAAAACCGGGAGUUUUAUUGAGAAACCGGGCUCUGCGAAAGGUCGGGCUUCGAAACCGAAAAGAUAAAUUUUCCGGGCUUCUCGGGCACUUCGUGGGGUAUUCCGGGCUUUACAAUUGAUACCGGGGCUUUGCGGGAUGUUAAGAUGAAGAAAAUAUGGGUUUAGGGGUUAAAGGUGACCAAAUUCCAAAAGUAACCGGGAACCCUCGCAGGUACCCUUCUAUUUAUAGGGUCCGAAGUUCUGAUCCAAUGGCUGAGAAGUCUCCUGAUCCGACGACUAAGAAGGCUCGCAGAGGGGGUGGCUCGCACAUGGCACGCAUGGCUCGCACAUGACUCGCACAUGCGAGGGCUCGCUGGCGGCUUCUAAGUGGACCGCAGCUUGCUAGCGCACCUGCGAGGCUCGAAGCUAGACUAUGCGAGGCUCGGACACACGCGGCAGCUGGGCGAAGCUUCGGCUGGGGAGCUGGCUGCUUCGGAUUGGGCCUCCUCCUCGGUCGAAUCAGAAGAGGACACGUGGCUCGCAUGACUCAGCAGCCUCGGUGACUCAGCAGCCUAAUGACUCAGCAGCCAGGUGACUCAGCAGGACACGUGUCACUUUCUAAGCGAGGGUGACGUGGCAAUUGUGACUAUGCGAAAUUUCUCGGUUUUCGCGCCAAAACUUCUAAAAUCCAUAACUUUCGCAUACGAGCUCCGUUUUUGACGUUCUUUAUAUGCACGCGUAGCUAAAAUUACGAUCUACAACUUCNGAGGCUCGGACACACGCGGCAGCUGGGUGAAGCUUAGGCUGGGGAGCUGGCUGCUUCGGAUUGGGCCUCCUCCUCGGUCGAAUCAUAAGAGGACACGUGGCUCGCAUGCCUCAGCAGCCUUGGUGACUCAGCAGCCUGAUGACUCAGCAGCCUAGUGACUCAGCAGGACACGUGUCACUUUCUAAGCGAGGGUGACGUGGCAAUUAUGACUAUGCGAAAUUUCUCGGUUUUCGCACCAAAACUUCUAAAAUCCAUAACUUUCGCAUACGAGCUCCGUUUUUGACGUUCUUUAUAUGCACCCAUAGCUAAAGUUAUGAUCUACAACUUCCGUUUAGACUUCGUCGGCUAAUUUUGAAUUUAGAUUUUAUAUUAUUAUUUUUAACAGACCGGGACAGGAAAUCCGUUAAAAAUUCAUAACUUCUUCAUCCGACGUCCGUUUUCGUCAGACUUUACCGUUGUGCUCCUAAUGACGAGACCUUCAAUUCUCGUUUAGGUUGUGUUGGCUAAAAAUCGCUCGAUGUAAAAUUCGAUUUUUUAGCUCUCUACUGCUAUGCUGAAACUUCAAAAAAUCAUAACUUCCUCAUACGAAGUCAGAUUUGGGCGUUCUUUUUAUCGAACUUCUCGGUUUAAUGAAUACUACGACUUUCGUUUAGAUUACUAAGGCUAAAAAGUAGUUUAUCAAAAACUCACUUUUUACGACAUUCAGCACCGUGGGCUUAUCUUACACUUUAAUUUUGACGCUUAUUUAUAUUCUUAAUUAAUUAAGCCCUAAUAAUUAAGCAUAAAACACAUAAUUCACAUAAUAUUCACAUAAUUCCUUUUCAUUUCUUCAAAAUGAGUUACAAAGGUUAACCUAGACUAUCAACUCAAUAUAAAUGCCUAGGCUAGAAACACUAGUGUUACAAUUCUCUCCCCCUUAGGAUGAUUCCGUCCCCGGAAUCACAUAUCACCAAACGACUGCGGGUAGCGACUCACCAUGUCACUCUCCGUUUCCCAAGUGAGAUUUGGUCCAUUCGUAUGUUUCCAGCGCACAAGCACUAAAUUGACCAUCUUGCGUCGUAACUUCAUAGUCUUAAGGUCAACGAUUGCCUCAGGUUCUUCGAUCAACCUCUUGUUUUCAUCCAACCUUAACUCAUAAAUCGGACUUAUGUCGGGCACAUCUCCUGUGAACUUUCUCAAGUAACACACAUGAAAGGUGUUAUGAAUACCCUCUAGGUCUUUCGGUAACUCUAGCUUGUACGCUUGAUUCCCGACCCUCUGAAGAACUUUAAAUGGUCCAAUAAACCUUGGACUCAACUUCCCUCUCUUACCAAAUCUUAUCAGUCCCUUACACGGCGAGACUUUAUUUAAAACCGAAUCUCCAACAUCGAAGGAUAUCGGUUGUCUUUUCUUGUCAGCAUAACUCUUUUGUCGAUCUUGAGCAGCUAAUAUCCUGUCCCUUAUCACUUUCAACUUUUCAGUAGUCUCAUGUACUAUUUCAGGUCCCAUAAACUGCUUUUCCCCAGCUUCCAGCCAACAUGAUGGCGUUCGACACUUCUCCCCAUACAAAGCGUGAUAAGGUGCCAUCUUAAUGCUUGAGUGGAAACUAUUAUUAUAGGAGAAUUCUACUAAAGGUAAGUGUUCAUCCCAGUUACCUUGGAAUUCUAGGGUACAUGCUCUCAGCAUAUCCUCCAAUGUUUGAAUCGUUCGCUCGCUCUGACCAUCGGUUUGCGGAUGGUAAGCUGUACUCAAACACAACUUGGUACCCAAUUCCUCUUGUAGACUCCUCCAAAACCUUGAGGUAAAACGGCUAUCACGAUCGGACACAAUCGUUAACGGAACACCGUGAAGCCUCACAAUUUCCUUCACGUAAGAAUUCGCAAGUUUAUCCAUAGACCAUUUCUCUUUGGCUGCUAUGAAAUGCACACUCUUAGUGAAGCGAUCAACGACCACCCAAAUCAUGUCGUGACCAUUCCUUGUUCUGGGCAGUUUAGUCACAAAAUCCAUGGUGAUGUCUUCCCAUUUACCCAUGGGUACGGGUAAAGGUUCUAAACUCCCAUACGGUUUCUGAUGUUGUGCCUUAACCCUAGCACAAGUUACACACUCGGCCACAUACUUAGCAACAUCGAGCUUCAUCGUCGGCCACCAAUAAUAGGGUUUUAGAUCCCUAUACAUUUUCGUACUGCCGGGAUGAAUUGAGUACAUGGUCUUGUGAGCUUCUUCCAUCAUAAGAUCUCUUAUUCCGCACGUCUUAGGUACCCAAAUUCUAUCUUGAAAUACCUUCAACUCUUGGUUGUUUGUUCCGAACACUAACAUUUUGCCCAAAUGUUCUUCCUCUCGGUCAUUUUUCUCUAAAGCUUCCUCUUGAGCUUUCUUUAUACUUCCCAUAAUUGUCAAGACAACUUCAAUUGUCAACGCUCUUGGCCUUUUCUUUUCAAGGUUUACCUUCCGACUGAGAGCAUCGGCAACAACAUUUGCUUUACCAGGGUGGUAAAGUAUCUCACAGUCGUAGUCCUUGAGUAACUCUAGCCAGCGUCGUUGCCUCAUGUUCAAUUCCUUCUGAUUAAAGAGAUAUUGGAGACUCUUAUGAUCAGUGAAAAGUUUACACUUGGUGCCAUAAAGAUAAUGCCUCCAUAUCUUUAAGGCAAAUACUACUGCUGCAUACUCCAGAUCAUGAGUUGGGUAGUUCUUUUCAUGCUCCUUCAAUUGCCUCGAUGCAUACGCGAUCACUUUAUCCCUUUGGGUCAGAACACAACCUAACCCAACUCCGGAUGCAUCGCUAUAAACUGCAAAGUCAUCAACUCCUUCAGGCAAUGAAAGAAUCAGUGCUUCACACAAUCUCUUCUUCAACUUCUCAAAGGCUUCCUUAUGCUUCUCAUUCCAAGCAUAAGUGGCUCCUUUGUGGGUCAAAGCUGUUAAUGGAGUAGCAAUCGAAGAAAAGCCUUGGAUAAACCUUCAGUAAUAUCCAAUUAAUCCUAAAAAGCUUCGAAUCUCCGUAGGACUUUUUGUUUCUUCCCACUUCAUUACAGCUUCAAUCUUUGCUGGGUCGACCAUUAUCCCUUCUUGGUUAACCACAUGACCUAAAAAUUGGACUUCUUGAAUCCAAAAUUCACACUUGGAGAACUUUGCAUACAACUUCUCCUUUUUCAGGACUUCUAGCACUUCACGCAGAUGCUUUUCAUGCUCCUGCUUGCUUUUCGAAUAAAUCAAGAUAUCAUCUAUGAAUACUAUCACGGAUUUAUCUAAGAAUGGUUUACAAACCCUAUUCAUCAAAUCCAUGAAAGCUGCUGGGGCAUUGGUUAGUCCGAACGACAUAACCAAAAAUUCAUAGUGUCCAUAUCUCGUUCUAAAAGCAGUCUUUUCGAUAUCCUGCUCUCUCACCUUUAGUUGAUGGUAUCCCGACCUAAGAUCGAUCUUCGAGAAAUAGCUCGAACCCUGCAACUGGUCGAACAAGUCAUCGAUCCUUGGCAACGGGUACUUGUUCUUUAUCGUCACUUUGUUCAGCUCUCUGUAAUCGAUGCACAUUCUCAUGCUUCCGUCUUUCUUCUUUACAAAUAACACAGGGGCUCCCCAGGGUGAUGAACUAGGUCGAAUGAAACCUUUGUCCAAUAACUCCUGAAGUUGUGUCAUAAGUUCUUUCAUUUCGGUUGGCGCUAAUCGAUAAGGUGCUUUCGCUAUCGGCGUCGUUCCUGGUAACAAGUCGAUACGAAAUUCUACUUGUCGAUCAGGGGGCAAUCCGGGAAGAUCUUCGGGAAAGACUUCCGGAUAAUCACACACCACCGGAAUAUUCUGCACCUCCUUCUUUUCCAUCUUGGCAUCGAUCACGAACGCUAGAUAUGAUGUACAUCCCUUGGCCAAACACUUUCUGGCUUUCAUUAGGGAAAUGAUUCCAGAGUUUACUCUGCGUUUGUCUCCGUACACCAUAAACGACUCUUUCCCUGGCGGGUUUACUUUUACUAUCUUCUUUCUACAUAGUAUUUCUGCAUCAUUGGCGCUAAGCCAAUCCAUUCCUAAAACUAUGUCGAAUCCAUUUAACUCGAUAGGCAAUAAUUCCUCUUGGAACUUAUUCCCAUCCAAGUCAAUGAGGAUGUUUUUCAUACGAUGGCUAACAGGUACAAACUUGCCACUAGCAAUCUCGACUAUUAUAGCAUUAACUAGCAUAUCUACAGGCAAAGCUAGCUUUCUACCAAAUUCAUGCGAUAUAAAGGAGUAAUUGGCUCCAGAAUCAAACAAAAUUUGGGCAGGCAAUUCGUUUACGAGAAAGGUACCUGAAGCGACAUCGACUUCUUCUUUUGCAGCUUCGAGCAUCAUCUGGAAGGCUCUCGCCUUCGGCUUUGGUGGUAGAUUGGGUUUUGCUGCUUCCUUCUUCUUCGGGCAGUCCCUCAAAAUAUGCCCUUCUUCAUUGCACCCAAAACAUACGUUCUUAUUGAAGGUGCAUUCAUUGGCAUAAUGCCCUGGCUUUCCACAUUUGUAACAAGUGACUUCCAUGCUGCACUUCCCAGCAUGUUUCUUCUUACACUUGUCACACCACUUGGCUUCGGCUCCUCCUCCAAACUUUCUUGAACCAGUCUUCGAGAACUUGUUCUUUUAUUGGAACCUGAAGUUCCUUCAAACUUUCUCUUUUCGCCAACUUCAACCUUGCUGGCGGCUCUCCUUUUUAUCAUAUCUUCAACAGACUUGGCAGCCCAGAUAGCUGCCUCCAAAGUAAGUGCCUGACGUACUGGCACCACAUACUCCCAUGGAAGUCCCUUUGCGUACCUGUCUAUUUUUGCCAACUCAUCUGGGAAAAUACGCAAAGGAAACUCCAUUUUGUCUGAGAAGUUAUUUGUAUAUUCAUCAACGGUCAUACUCCCUUUCCGCAACGUUAGAAAUUGGUUUUCUAACUCAAGUACGUUUUGGGCCGAGCAGUACUUGCCCUUGAAGUGCACUAAGAACUCUGCCCAAGUUAAAUGCAGUUGCUCAUUAGGGCUUAGGGUUUUCCCUAAAGUGCUCCACCAACGGACAGCACUACCCCUGAACUGACGUAUUGCAAACAUAGUUUGUAACUUGCCUUGGCAAUCACAAGUCAUGAAAUCCAACUCCAUUUCCGAGAUCCAGUCCAAUUUACUCCGACAGGAUCUUCUUUUCCAUUGAAGGUCAAUGGCUUGCAAGUCAUAAAGUCCUUAUACUUGCACCCAUUUCUAUCCACUCUACCCUCAUGGUUAUUCCUCCCAACCACAAGCGGCUCACUAUGACCAACCGAUUUGCUAUUGUUCCCUUCUUCAGAUCGAUCGUCAUUUAGUUCAUGUUGUUCAACUGGAACUGAAGGUUCAUGCCUGUCGUUCAACAACAUUUGCCUCAAUUCCUUCCUCUGUUCAGCCAACAUGGUCUGAAUCAUAGUUCGUACUCCAGCCAUGGUGAUGGGUUCGGGUGCAGCUCCUACUAUAGGCACCUGUUCCACCACUGGAGGUUGAGGUUGUUGGUUUUUGUUUGCAUUUCCAGCUCCACUCCGAGUUCUUGCCAUUACAAUCUAUAUAACGAAUAAGGCGAAAUUUAGGUCUUUAUCCUUGUUAGACUUGUCAAUUCCCUUAUCACUCCGAAACGUUUACAUGUUAGUUCUAAUCUCGUAUUCAUACGCUUAGAAUCCUACACACAUAAGGUUUCCAGAUCCGGUCGGCAACAGACCAUAGAUCCGAACAAAAAAUGGCACACAUGGCAAACACAUAGCAUUUAGCACAUAAGGGCGUUUUAGGCAUCUUCCCUAAAAUAAACAAGUGCUCGUGUCUAAAAUAUGGUAGACACUCAUGUCACAAUCAUCACUUAGCAUUUGUGACAACCCGAUAUUUCAACUCCUUGUAACGAUCAAAAUGGGUCAAGUAUUGUAACCACUUCUGAAUAAUAAAAAUUUAUUUUCAUAAUAAAAUGUACAAAUAAGUUCUAUUUAAUUUCCUUCUAUGAUUAAAUGUCUUUGAACCAUGAUCGUACGUGAAAAGAACGCCCAAAUCCGACUUCAUAUAGCGAAGUUAUGAUUUUUCUUAGUUCGGCUUAGCAACAGACAGCUAAAAACUCGAAUCGGAGAUCGAGCGACUUUUGGCCGGAAUGACCUAAACGAGAAUCGAAGGUCUCGACAAUGGUAUUCCAGCGGUAAAAAGUCUGGCAAAAACCGACAUCAGAUAAAGAAGUUAUGAAUUUUCAAAGAAAUUUAUUAAAUAAAUUAAUUAUUUAUUUUAUUCAAAAUUCGGAUAUUAUCCAAAGGGGAGUCAGCGUUCUCAGCCGAUAUACGCGCUGCGUACCCCUGUACGCCCCGCGUAACCGAGAGGAUUGGCCUCUGAUCGUCCACGUCGCGCUAUCCGAAGAAACCGACCCGUCCGACCCGUCCGAAGCCCCGACCCGUCCGACCCACCGUCCCAUCCGACCUGCCGUCCCAUNNNNNNNNNNNNNNNNNNNNNNNNNNNNNNNNNNNNNNNNNNNNNNNNNNNNNNNNNNNNNNNNNNNNNNNNNNNNNNNNNNNNNNNNNNNNNNNNNNNNNNNNNNNNNNNNNNNNNNNNNNNNNNNNNNNNNNNNNNNNNNNNNNNNNNNNNNNNNNNNNNNNNNNNNNNNNNNNNNNNNNNNNNNNNNNNNNNNNNNNNNNNNNNNNNNNNNNNNNNNNNNNNNNNNNNNNNNNNNNNNNNNNNNNNNNNNNNNNNNNNNNNNNNNNNNNNNNNNNNNNNNNNNNNNNNNNNNNNNNNNNNNNNNNNNNNNNNNNNNNNNNNNNNNNNNNNNNNNNNNNNNNNNNNNNNNNNNNNNNNNNNNNNNNNNNNNNNNNNNNNNNNNNNNNNNNNNNNNNNNNNNNNNNNNNNNNNNNNNNNNNNNNNNNNNNNNNNNNNNNNNNNNNNNNNNNNNNNNNNNNNNNNNNNNNNNNNNNNNNNNNNNNNNNNNNNNNNNNNNNNNNNNNNNNNNNNNNNNNNNNNNNNNNNNNNNNNNNNNNNNNNNNNNNNNNNNNNNNNNNNNNNNNNNNNNNNNNNNNNNNNNNNNNNNNNNNNNNNNNNNNNNNNNNNNNNNNNNNNNNNNNNNNNNNNNNNNNNNNNNNNNNNNNNNNNNNNNNNNNNNNNNNNNNNNNNNNNNNNNNNNNNNNNNNNNNNNNNNNNNNNNNNNNNNNNNNNNNNNNNNNNNNNNNNNNNNNNNNNNNNNNNNNNNNNNNNNNNNNNNNNNNNNNNNNNNNNNNNNNNNNNNNNNNNNNNNNNNNNNNNNNNNNNNNNNNNNNNNNNNNNNNNNNNNNNNNNNNNNNNNNNNNNNNNNNNNNNNNNNNNNNNNNNNNNNNNNNNNNNNNNNNNNNNNNNNNNNNNNNNNNNNNNNNNNNNNNNNNNNNNNNNNNNNNNNNNNNNNNNNNNNNNNNNNNNNNNNNNNNNNNNNNNNNNNNNNNNNNNNNNNNNNNNNNNNNNNNNNNNNNNNNNNNNNNNNNNNNNNNNNNNNNNNNNNNNNNNNNNNNNNNNNNNNNNNNNNNNNNNNNNNNNNNNNNNNNNNNNNNNNNNNNNNNNNNNNNNNNNNNNNNNNNNNNNNNNNNNNNNNNNNNNNNNNNNNNNNNNNNNNNNNNNNNNNNNNNNNNNNNNNNNNNNNNNNNNNNNNNNNNNNNNNNNNNNNNNNNNNNNNNNNNNNNNNNNNNNNNNNNNNNNNNNNNNNNNNNNNNNNNNNNNNNNNNNNNNNNNNNNNNNNNNNNNNNNNNNNNNNNNNNNNNNNNNNNNNNNNNNNNNNNNNNNNNNNNNNNNNNNNNNNNNNNNNNNNNNNNNNNNNNNNNNNNNNNNNNNNNNNNNNNNNNNNNNNNNNNNNNNNNNNNNNNNNNNNNNNNNNNNNNNNNNNNNNNNNNNNNNNNNNNNNNNNNNNNNNNNNNNNNNNNNNNNNNNNNNNNNNNNNNNNNNNNNNNNNNNNNNNNNNNNNNNNNNNNNNNNNNNNNNNNNNNNNNNNNNNNNNNNNNNNNNNNNNNNNNNNNNNNNNNNNNNNNNNNNNNNNNNNNNNNNNNNNNNNNNNNNNNNNNNNNNNNNNNNNNNNNNNNNNNNNNNNNNNNNNNNNNNNNNNNNNNNNNNNNNNNNNNNNNNNNNNNNNNNNNNNNNNNNNNNNNNNNNNNNNNNNNNNNNNNNNNNNNNNNNNNNNNNNNNNNNNNNNNNNNNNNNNNNNNNNNNNNNNNNNNNNNNNNNNNNNNNNNNNNNNNNNNNNNNNNNNNNNNNNNNNNNNNNNNNNNNNNNNNNNNNNNNNNNNNNNNNNNNNNNNNNNNNNNNNNNNNNNNNNNNNNNNNNNNNNNNNNNNNNNNNNNNNNNNNNNNNNNNNNNNNNNNNNNNNNNNNNNNNNNNNNNNNNNNNNNNNNNNNNNNNNNNNNNNNNNNNNNNNNNNNNNNNNNNNNNNNNNNNNNNNNNNNNNNNNNNNNNNNNNNNNNNNNNNNNNNNNNNNNNNNNNNNNNNNNNNNNNNNNNNNNNNNNNNNNNNNNNNNNNNNNNNNNNNNNNNNNNNNNNNNNNNNNNNNNNNNNNNNNNNNNNNNNNNNNNNNNNNNNNNNNNNNNNNNNNNNNNNNNNNNNNNNNNNNNNNNNNNNNNNNNNNNNNNNNNNNNNNNNNNNNNNNNNNNNNNNNNNNNNNNNNNNNNNNNNNNNNNNNNNNNNNNNNNNNNNNNNNNNNNNNNNNNNNNNNNNNNNNNNNNNNNNNNNNNNNNNNNNNNNNNNNNNNNNNNNNNNNNNNNNNNNNNNNNNNNNNNNNNNNNNNNNNNNNNNNNNNNNNNNNNNNNNNNNNNNNNNNNNNNNNNNNNNNNNNNNNNNNNNNNNNNNNNNNNNNNNNNNNNNNNNNNNNNNNNNNNNNNNNNNNNNNNNNNNNNNNNNNNNNNNNNNNNNNNNNNNNNNNNNNNNNNNNNNNNNNNNNNNNNNNNNNNNNNNNNNNNNNNNNNNNNNNNNNNNNNNNNNNNNNNNNNNNNNNNNNNNNNNNNNNNNNNNNNNNNNNNNNNNNNNNNNNNNNNNNNNNNNNNNNNNNNNNNNNNNNNNNNNNNNNNNNNNNNNNNNNNNNNNNNNNNNNNNNNNNNNNNNNNNNNNNNNNNNNNNNNNNNNNNNNNNNNNNNAUAUAUAUCAAAACCUCGGGAUGUCAUGUUCCGAUACAGAUCAAAAGCAUAAACAAGACAUUAUAAGCCUUUCAACAGUUAUUUACAACUACUGGCCUAUAAUCCAAAAAUCUCUCGUCAUCCUCCGACUAUGCUCGGGGUCCACUACCUGUAAUCAUAAAACUGAGUGGGUCAGGCUUGGGAGCCUGGUGAGCAUAUAGGGUUUUCAACCCACAAUAAUAAUAUACUUAUUAAGUUCACCAAUCAACAAUAACCCUGAUUACCCAUUCCCGUUGUCCUCACUUUACGUCCCUAAACACCUAUCACAAGGGACCUAGCCUAAGGAUUAUCAUCGGGAUGGACACUACUGCUAAGGGGUUUCCUCAGCCAUACAUGUCCUUAAGGCAACCAUGAGGGGGAUGAAGUACACAAAUGAACAUUUAAUUCAUCAACACCUACAAGUUGCGAACCUGCUAGUGUUCCACUGGACUAUCUAGAAAGUCCGUGGUCAUCAUCUAUACUUCUCUAGAUGACAACAACAACAACAACAACAACAUCAACAUCAAGGCCUCUCACCAUUUUAACACACAUCAACUAUUUCAUCUACCCAUGUUCUACCCAACAUAUUUUGUAGAUAAAAAGCAUAUACAGUUUAAAACUUGUAUAAAGCAUCAAUUCAACAGUCACCUCGAAUAAACAAUUAGCAUAUUUACACAUAACACGUAUUUCAAGGUAAAUACUUCAUAUCUACGUGUAAAUUGAAAGUAACUACACACUCACUUAUUUUGGUGAAAAUCGGGCAGCAAUUCGUUUCCUAAAACGAUCGUUUCUAAUAAAACCGGGAGUUUUAUUGAGAAACCGGGCUCUGCGAAAGGUCGGGCUUCGAAACUGAAAAGAUAAAUUUUCCGGGCUUCUCGGGCACUCCGUGGGGUAUUCCGGGCUUUACAAUUGAUAUCGGGGCUUUGCGGGAUGUUAAGAUGAAGAAAAUAUGGGCUUAGGGGUUAAAAGUGACAAAAUUCCAAAAGUAACCGAGAACCCUCGCAGGUACCCUUCUAUUUAUAGGGUCCGAAGUUCUGAUCCAAUGGCUGAGAAGUCUCCUGAUCCGAUGGCUAAGAAGGCUCGCAGAGGGGGUGGCUCACACAUGGCUCGCAUGGCUCGCACAUGGCUCGCACAUGCGAGGCCUCGCUGGCGGCUUCUAAGUGGACCGCGGCUUGCUGGCGCACCUGCGAGGCUCGGAGCUAGGCUAUGCGAGGCUCGGACACACGCAGCAGCUGGGCGAAGCGUCGGCUGGGAGUUGGGUGCCUCGAUUGGGCCUCCUCCUCGGUCGAAUCAGAAGAGGACACGUGGCUUUCAUGACUCAGCAGCCUCGGUGACUCAGCAGCCUGAUGACUCAGCAGCCUAGUGACUCAGCAGGACACAUGUCACUUUCUAAGCGAGGGUGACGUGGCAAUUCUGACUAUGCGAAAUUUCUCAGUUUUCGCGCCAAAAUUUCUAAAAUCCAUAACUUUCGCAUACGAGCUCCGUUUUUGACGUUCUUUAUAUGCACGCGUAGCUAAAAUUACGAUCUACAACUUCCGUUUAGACUUCGUCGGCUAAUUUUGAAUUUAAAUUUUAUAUUAUUAUUUUUAACAGACCGGGACAGGAAAUCCGUUAAAAAUUCAUAACUUCUUCAUCCGACGUUCGUUUUCGUCAGACUUUUAAGCGUAGUGCUCGUAAUGACGAGACCUUCAAUUCUCGUUUAGGUUGUGUUGGCUAAAAAUCGCUCGAUCUAAAAUUUGAGUUUUUAGCUGUCUACUGCUACGCUGAAACUUCGAAAAAUCAUAACUUCCUCAUACGAAGUGAGAUUUGGGCGUUCUUUUUAUCGAACUUCUCGGUUUAACGAAUACUACGACCUUCGUUUAGAUUACUAAGGCUAAAAAGUAAUUUAUCAAAAACCCACUUUUUACGACAUUCAGCACCGUGCCGGUUUGGUCGCGAAACUUCGACAGGUCAUAACUUCUUCGUUAUAACUCGGGUUUUGGUAUUCUUUAUAUCCCCAAAAUCCUUGUUUUGACCACUGCAACAUUAUGUAAAGAUAUCGGGCUUAUCUCACACUUUAAUUUUGAUGCUUAUUUUUAUUCAUAAUUAAUUUAGCCCUAAUAAUUAAGCAGAAUACACAUAAUUCACAUAAUUCCUUUUCAUUUCUUCAAAAUGAGUUACAAAGGUUAACCUAGACUAUCAACUCAAUAUAAAUGCUUAGGCUAGAAACACUAGUGUUACACUGCACAAUCUCUUAUUGAUCACGGAAGUCAUCAGAACUCGACAAUUUCUACAUCAGAACCACAAAAAGGAAACAACAACAACAAUAAUAGGAAGAGAGGAUGGAAUAAAGGGAAGGGUGGGUCCUCCCAAGAAUCCUCGAAGAAACAACAACUAGUUACAGUGAAUGCUGCUACUGUACCUACUACCGUUCCGACAAAUCCACACCCAACAAAGCCUUAUGUGGGUAACUUUUCAAAGUGCACCAAAUGCAGUUACCACCACAAUGGGCCUUGUCGGGAAAUGCAGUGCUCCAACUACAAAAGAAAGGGACACACUGUCCGUUUCUGCAGAGCCCUCGUAAAGCCGAUCACUCAAGUUCCAACACUGGUGUAGGCCAAGCUUGCUACAGUUGUGGUGAGGUGGCCCACUACAAGAGAAACUGCCCUAAGGCAGCGAAUACCGGCGGGGUGGAAAGAGUUUUGGAUAUAGGCCACGAAGAAGUUGUAGUUGAUCCUACAGUAGUUGCUGAUACGUUUCUUCUCGAUAAUUCAUAUGCAUGCAUACUGUUCGAUAGUGGAGCGGACAGAAGCUUCGUGAGUCAAAACUUUAUUCACUUACUUAAACAUAAACCUACCAUUUAGAAAAAUCAUUCAAUAUAGCAAUGGAAAACGGAAAAACGAAAAACACUAAGCACUUUAGACGGUCAUUCUUUCCCAAUCAACCUCAUGCCGGUCCAAAUUAAAAGUUUCGACAUCAUAGUCGGCAUGGAUUGGUUAAGUCUUCUUCGCGCCGACAUCUUGUGCUUUGAAAAAGCAGUUCGUCUUAAUCUCCCUAACGACGAAACGUUAGUGAUUUAUGGCGAAAAUCCAGUACAAACCUUCGCAUCAUUUCAUGCAUCCAAGCUCGAAAUUGUUUGCGGAAGGAUUAUCAUACAUUUCUUGCACACAUCAUCGAUACGAGUCAGGAAGUAAAGGUCAUUAAGAGCAUUCUAGAAGUAUGCGACUUUCCUGAUAUCUUUCCAGAAGAACUACCCGGAUUACCACCGCAACGUCAAGUCGAGUUUAGAAUCGACUUAGUUCCAGGGGCUACCCCAGUAGCAAAAUUGCCUUUUCGUCUGGCACCAGCAGAGAUGCAAGAACUUUCCGGUCAGCUUAACGAACUCCACCAAAAGGGAUUUAUUAAACCAAGCUUCUCACCUUGGGGAGCACCGGUCUUGUUUGUAAAGAAGAAAGACGGAUUGUUCCGUAUGUGCAUUGACUACAGGGAACUCAACAAAUUUACUGUCAAAAAUUGAUACCCUCUGCCCCGCAUUGACGGCCUAUUUGAUCAACUUCAAGGAGCAAACUACUUCUCAAAGAUAGAUCUACAAACCGGAUAUCACCAAUUACGCGUACUAGAAGAGGAUAUUCCCAAGACAGCCUUCCGAACCCGUUAUGGACACUAUGAAUUUAAAGUGAUGCCGUUCGGAUUAACCAACGCACCAGCAGUAUUCAUGGACCUAAUGAAUAGGGUGUGCCGUCCUUACAUGGAUCAUUUCGUCAUCGUCUUCAUCGAUGAUAAACUUAUCUACUCCCGAAGUAAGGAAGAGCAUUGUCAGCACCUACGAAAAGUCUUAGAAACCUUACGUUCGGAGAAGCUCUAUGCGAAGUUCUCUAAAUGCGAAUUUUGGAUUCGAAGAGUCGAAUUUUUAGGCUACGUUGUUAGCGAGAAGGGGAUACACGUGGACCCUUCCAAAAUUAAGGCCAUUGAGAACUGGUCGGCACCAAAGACGCCUACAAACAUUCGUCAAUUUCUAGGUCUCGCUGGCUACUAUCGCAGAUUCAUAAAGAAGUUCUCUAGCAGUGCGAAACCUCUUACUACACUAACCCAUAAAGGCAUGGCCUUUAACUGGGAAGCAAAACAAGAGAAGGCGUUCCAAAAACUAAAACAGGCCUUGUGCACCGUACCGAUAAUAUCCCUCCCCAAAGGGAUAGAAGAUUUUGUAGUGUAUUGCGAUGCAUCCAAUCAAGGACUUGGUUGUGUUCUUAUGCAAAGAAGGAAGGUUAUUGCCUAUGCCUCCCGUCAGCUUAAGAUACACGAAGUAAACUAUACAACACACGAUCUUGAGUUAGAAGCAGUGGUUUUUGCUCUGAUGAUCUGGAGACACUACCCUUACGGAACAAAUAGUACUAUCUUCACCGACCAUAAGAGCCUUCAACACAUUUUUGAUCAGAAGGAGCUCAACACGCAACAACGACGACGGGUCGAGCUACUCAAUGACUACGAAAGUGAAAUUCAUUAUCAUCCUGGCAAGGCCAAUGUGGUAGCUGACGCCCUUAGUUAAAAAGAAUACACUGGUCGGAGAGUCAAAUCUCUGACUAUGACUAUCCAUUCCCACUUAUCCACACAAAUUAAGGAGGCUCAACUGGAAGCUUUGCAACCUGAAAAUGUGGCGGGUGAAUCCCUAAGAGGAAUGCAAAAGAAUCUAGAAAUCAAGGGUGGCGGAGCAUAUUAUCUCACGGACCGUAUCUGGACACCGAAACAUGGUGGUUCCAGAGACAUAGUCAUGGACGAAGCACAGAACACGAGGUAUUCCAUUCACCCAGGUUUAGAUAAAAUGUAUCUAGAUCUUAAGAAACUGUACUGGCGGCCUAACAUGAAAGCAGAAAUUGCUACCUUUGUAAGUAAAUGCCUUACUUAUGCUAAGGUUAAGGUCGAGUAUCAGAAACCUUCAGGAUUACUACAACAACCGGAGAUACCGGAAUGGAAAUGGGAACGGAUUACUAUCGACUUCAUAACCAAGUCGCCCAAGACGACGGGUGGACUCGAUACCAUAUGGGUCAUCGUCGACAAAUUGACCAAAUCCGUGCAUUUUCUACCAAUCAAGGAGACUGUCAAGAUGGAAAGGCUUACAAGAACUUACAUAAGGGAAAUAGUGCGACUGCAUGGUGUUCCAGUAUCCAUUAUCUCCGAUAGAGAUAGUAGAUUCACUUUAAGGUUCUGGCAGUCACUACAAAGUUCCCUGGGGACUAGGCUAGACAUGAGUAUAGCCUACCGUCAACAAACAGAUGGGCGAGGUGAGAGACUGGUACAAACUUUGGAAGACAUGUUGAGAUCCUGUGUGAUUGACUUUGGAAAGGCAUGGGAUAUCCAUUUAACCGGCCUUGUCUAAUUUUCAUACAACAAUAGUUAUCAUACGAGCAUAAAGGCUGCUCCAUUUGAAGCCCUCUAUGGUCGUAAGUGCAGGUCCCCUCUGUGUUGGGCUGAAGUUGGCGACACACAGUUAGCUACAGGACGAGUUCCUGAAAGCACUCUCACCGGUCCAGAAAUAAUACGAGAAACGACCAAGAAGUUCGUUUAGAUUUGUGAACGACUGAAGGCCUCUAGAGACCGACAGAAAAGCUAUGCUAACCAAAGGAGGAAACCUUUGGAAUUCCAGGUAGGAGACCGUGUUCUAUUGAAGGUCUCACCGUGGAAAGGCUUAAUACGCUUUGGCAAGCGUGGAAAGCUAAAUCCAAGAUACGUAGGGCCUUUCGAGAUUCUCGUUAGAAUCGGCCUAGUAGCUUACAAGCUUAAUCUACCACGUGAACUUAGUAACAUACAUCCAACCUUCCACGUCUCGAACUUGAAAAAGUGUCUGUCCGAUGAGACUCUUGUUAUUCCACUCGACGAGAUCGAGAUCAAUGAGAGCCUCAACUUUGUGGAAGAACCGGUAGAAAUCAUGGACCGAGAGGUCAAACAAACGAAACAAAGUCGCAUACCCAUCGUGAAGGUUCACUGGAACGCCAAGCGAGGACCUGAAUUUACAUGGGAACGCGAAGAUCAGAUGAAACAAAACUACGCUCAUGUUUUUCUAUGAUUCACAAGUAUCUUUCUUACUUUAAAUUUAGGGACGAAAUUCCGUCUAACGGGGGGAUGAUGUGACAACCCGAUAUUUCAACUCUAUGUAAUGACGUAAAAAGUCAAGUAUAGUAACCACUUUUGAUAUAAGGAAAUAAACUUCGAAAAUAAAAUGUCCAAAAAUCUCAAAUUAAUUACCUACUAUGUUAGAUGACCUUAAACCAUCAUCGUACGUAAAAAGAACACCCAAAUCUGACUUCGUAUAAAGAAGUUAUGAUUUUUCCAUGUUCGGCUUAGCGACAGACAGCUAAAAACUCGAAACGGAGAUCGAGCAACUUUUGGCCGGAAUGACCCAAAUGAGAAUCGAAGGUCUCGACAAUUGUUUUGCAAUUGUAAAAAGUCUGCCAAAAACAGACGUAAGAUAAUGAAGUUAUGAAUUUCUAACGAAAUUUUUGUUGGAUUAGUGUCUAAGUCCAUAACUAUUUUGCUAUGUACUUCACCCGAUGGUGCAUGGUCCUUUUGGGUUGCCUUCACCAGAGCAACUUGAUUGGAGAAAUAAAUAGAGAGAGAGAGGUUAUUAUAAUUUAUUAAUAUGUUAUAAGAAUAAUAUAAUAAAGGAGAAAUCAUAUUUGUUUAAUUAAUAUUGGUCAAUAAUUAAUUAAGAAUUAUUUUUGUAGUCAAAUGUAAUUAAUUAAUCUAGAGGGGCUGAAUUGUAAUUAUGUGAUAGUUACAAAAUAAGGUAACGAUUAUCUUAUUAAUAGGUUGGAUGAAUUUAAGGUGAUAAGGCCUUAGAAUUCGACUAUGAUGAGGGUCUUCAAGGCUUAUCUUAUGGUUACAUGGUGGGCAAGCAACUAGAUAAAGAUAAGGACUAAAACUGUAAUCUCUACACCUAUAUAAAGACCGCUAAGGCUCAUGAAUUCGUCAAAGCCUUCCCAAGAAGUCCUAGGGGCGAAUUCUAACACCUCUCCUCUCUCUUUAUACCUUCUCCAUUUGCUCUUGGUGUUUGUAAGCCAUUAGAGGAGUGACACUUGUGACUCUAAGCCUUCCAAAGUCAAUUCAAGGAAGAAUUAGGAUUGUUAUUGCUACAUAACAAUCAAAGUUAUGAUCUUAAACCUAAUUAUAUGUUAAUAUCGAUUUCCAUAUGCUAGAAUUAGGGUUUAUAGUUUUGGAUUCAAAGCAUGUACAAUAGAAAAACCUAGAUCCAAGCAUUAGGGUUUGUAUGAGCACAUAGGAUGUCUUAUGACAAAAAGCCAUCAGUGGUAUCAGAGCCUAGCUUUGUUUCAAUUGUAUUGAUGCAUUGUAUAUUUGAAAAAUUCGAUUUUUGGUGAUUUGGAGGCUGGACUCGCCGAGUCCAGAGCUGAACUCGCCGAUUCCAAGGUAACUCGAGGAGUCCAGGCUUCACUCGACGAGUCAACUCGUCAGAUAGAGCUUAUCUCGGGAUUUCUUGNACCAUACGCUUCGGGUAUAGGUUCGAUUGCAAAUGCUUUAAUGGUUGACCAUUCUAAAAUUUUCCAAAUGUCUAGCGCAUUUAGAGGGAAAAGGGAUUAGAAUCAGUUUUGACUAAAAUGAUUAAACAACUAUGAAAGGACAAUCCAAAGUUCGACGAGGAUUGGUCGUUUGUGAGUAGUUGGCAGUAUAGUAUUGGAAAAUAUGGAAAUGUUUCCAUAUUGGAUGGACCAUAUCGACAUUAUUAUGAAUAGACUAGAUUCUAUUAAGAAUAAGUUGUCAUAUGGAAAAUAUGGAAAUGUAUCCAUAUUGGGAAUUGAAUAUUGAAAAAUCUAUGACUAGGUUAGAAACCUUUAUGCAAAAGGAUGUUCGAAGGAAUGUACUUUGAGUGAGAAACAUCAUAUCUAAGGAAUUGUCUUGUAACAAUCUCCGAUAGAGGAUUUUGUAAUGUCAUUGGCAACAGUCUUUGCGACUUUGGUGCAGUGACAUUACGAAAGGAUAGUUGCAGAAAAUGUUAGAAUCUAGCAUAUUCUAUAAGUAGCAAGAAUUUGAUAUUCCUUAAUUUAUGAAAAACGGAUUUGGAAUUCUGAAAUGAGAAGGAUUGGAAAUGUGUUCAAUGUGAUCUAUUUCACAAAGUAACAACCACAGGUAAACAUUGUGUGCAUACUAGGAGCAUAGGACAAAUGUUGGAAUUCAAGUAAGAAGUUGAUUACACGAAACGACAAAUAAUGAGUAAUCAAUAUGGUGAUAAAUAAAAGGCGUUUUAUUUAUACUCAAAGGUUUGAGGCCAUAUGGGAUUAGUGUUAUUCUUGUGUUUCACAUUUGCAUGUUUUGACUUCCAGAAUAAUUGAGUUUAUUAAGAAUAAUCGAAUUAUUCGAAAGGGCCACAGUUGUUCAUAUGUUGGAAGUAGAUAUGAAUGAAGACUGUCGUGAAUUGGUGUGUGGAUUGUCUAAAGAGCAUUAGACAUAAGCAAAUGUUUGCUGCAACGUUCAUGAGUGCUUAUGAAUGUGAUUUGAGCAUUAGAUUAAACCCACGCUCACUUGGAUCACUCCAUGAAUUGUAUCACAAGUGAUUGGUGAGACGAUAACAUCUUAUAUUCUUAAAACCGAGAUGUGUGAGUUGUAUCUUGCAAAUCGGUUGCACAUUGAUAAUAUGUAAAUGCACUAGUAACUUGGUGUUAUAAAACAUAUUGUUGUGUGUGAUUCCCUGUGUGAGUGCAAGCGAGCAUUGUAUCAAAGUUUAUCAAUUCCUUUUAUUCAAAGAAGGAUAAAGGCGAUAUCUUUCGGCCCCUCGAUGGUUUAGUGAUGACAAAUGUAAAUGCUCUGCCGGGCUAUGGCUAAUUUGAUUUGUUCAGUUAGUCAGUCGUCAUAAAUCGGGAAUCGAGAUAUAGUACAAAGAGAAUGAUUUGAAAUCACAUCUCAAAAGAUAUCUAGAAUGUAUGAAUAUAUGAUCCCUUAUCUAAGGACACGCGUAUCUGAUAGGAUCAGAGUUGACAGCGGCUUUGGAAAGCUACGAUUGCAGAUCAGGAUCUGAAGUCAUACGCAUAAUAGUUAUUAGACUUAUCCAAGUGGGAGACUGUUGGAUUAGUGUCUAAGUCCAUAACUAUUUUGGUAUGUACUUGACCCGAUGGUGCAUGGUCCUUUUGGGUUGCCUUCACCAAAGCAACUUGAUAGGAUGAAUUAUGGAGAGAAAGGAUUAAAUAUGAUUUAUUAAUAUAUUAUGGGAAUAAUAUAUUAAAGGAGAAAUCAUAUUGUUUAAUUAAUAUUAGUCAAUAAUUAAUUGGUAAUUAGUUUUGUGACUAAAAGAGAUUAAUUAAACUUAAGGGACUGGAAUUGUAAUUAUAAGAUAAUUGCAAUUUGGGCCAUGGAUUGCCUUUUAUUAUAAGGUGGACGAAUUCUAAUGGGGAAGCCCAUAUGAAGUCGUCCAAGGCUUUAAGAAAAGGGCUCCAUGGGUUGCUUAGGGCUUAAGCAACCAAAUUAGGGUUUCCUUGUUAGAUAACCCUAAUAGCCUUACUAUAUAAAGACCCCUUAUGCCUCAAAAACGUGGACAAGCAACCUUCUAGGGUUUCACACGUUUUUGGGCAGCCUCUAACCUCUCUCCUCUUCAUCCUCUUGCUUAUGGUGUUUGUGAACCAUUAGAGGAGUGACACUUGUGACUCUAAGCCUUCCAAAGUCAAUUCAAGGAGGAAUUGGGAUUGUUAUUGCUACAUAACAAUCAAGGUAAUAUCUUAAACCUAAUUAUAUGUUAAUAUUGAUUUCCAUAUGCUAGAAUUAGGGUUUAUAGUCUUGGAUUCAAAGCAUGUACAAUAGAGAAACCUAGAUCCAAGCAUUAGGGUUUGUAUGAGCACAUAGGAUGUCUUAUGACCAAAACCCAUCAGUGGUAUCAGAGCCUAGCUUGGUUUCAAUUGUAUUGAUGCAUUGUAUAACUGGAAAAUUCGUUUUUUGGGUUUCUGGAGGCUGGACUCGCCGAGUCCAUGGCUGAACUCGCCGAGUCCAAGGUGACUCGACGAGUCCAAGCCUGACUCGACGAGUCAACUCGUCAGAAGGAGGGUACUUCGGGAUUUCUUGCUGUUUUUGCUUAUGGAUAGUUACCUUAUCAUGUUAGAUCAAUAUUAAUCCGAUUAUAUGAUAUAUUUGACUAUAUUUUUGAUCUAAUUGAAGAUAUUUAUCAAUUAAUAAGAUAAUUGUUUCCUUAUGUGAUAAUUGAUUAAUUAUUUUGAUUAAAUUGAUAAAUUGUUUUGCAAGAAAUCAUUAAAUAAAUCAAAUAUGGAUAAUUAUGUGAUUAAAUGUUAAUUUAGAUUAUUUGUUAUUUGAUCCUUGUUGUUAUGAAAAGUUUCAUAUUUUCCCCUUUAGGUUUUAUAGUUUAAAUUUGAACCCAAAAGUUUUGUUGUUUUGAAAUUUAAAUAGUUGAAACCCUAAUGUUUUGAAAAAGGUUUCAAAACUUGCCCUCAAGUUUUGGAAUUUAAAUUUUGAUUAAAUAGUUUAAUUUUGAUGUAUAUUUAAAUUCUAAACCCUAAUGUGUUGAAAUGUUUCAAAACUUGCCCUCAAGUUUUGGAAUUUAAAAGUUGAUUAAAAGUUUAAUUAGGAAUGUUAAAUUCUAAAACUCUAGUAUUGUUUUGAAAAAGUUCAAAUCACACCCUUAUGGUUUUAUUAAUUAAUUAAGGUGUAUAAUUAAAAGAGGUUUAAUAAAUCCAUAAAAGUUUUGGUUUACAAUUUAAUUGAAUUAAAAGUAUAAUUGUUAAAUUUGACCACCUAGUAUUUUAAAAGUGUAAAAUACACCCUAUACUAUAUAUAACAUUAAAAGUCUAACAUUAUAUAUAUGUAUGAGUAAAAGUCAGUCUUACCGUUAGUAGGCCUCAUUCACGAAGCUGGUCUAUAAGGGGUGUUUAAGGAAAUUGCCUAUAAAAUGGCGAUUGAAUGGGUAUCCACUCUUACCCACCGCACUCUUGACUAGUGGAGGGUCGUUAGCCGAACGGGUAGGAUAGGACGAAACCUUCCAUUAUAAGUAUAAUGAAGUAUAAAAGUAACUAAAUGUUUUCAUAAAAUUCCCAAUCUUAGUUACUUAGGCAAAAGUGAAUUGAUGCAAUUCCAUGAAAUUACACUUUGUGCCCUUGCGAAGACGUUAGUGGAGCGUGUGUGGUUUACCGGCACACUAAAUGGUUCUAAGCAAAGGUAGCAAAGGGUGACUCAAUGUUUGUCAUAGUUCGGUGGAGCGUGUGUGGUUUACCGGCACAUCGAAUAGGUGACUGUAACAUGUGAGGGCACCAUGUAAGUUUGCAUGGUUAUUCACACCCGCUUUGUGAUCCUCGGCAUCCCAGUCACAAACUAGAGGGGCAUAUCGAGAUUUAAACAUGCCAUUGAAAUGUUCAAUGAAUCUCAAAGGAUCUAGGAGUUUUCAUAGAUUUAAAACUUAAAUUUCUUUUUCGUUUUUCAUGGUGGAAAUUAGUGAAUCGUCAUUCACUUACCUUCAAAUGUUCUGCAAUUUGGGUUACGGCAUCCCUCUCCCGAGUUGUAGAAUAUUGUGUUGGGUCCUAGCCUUAGUAUCUCAUUUGGGUGAUUUACUAAGGACUCAAUCAAUCAACUAACUUGAAUUCGUUUUCUCCCGUUUUGUAGAUGUCAAAGUUCGACAACUAUGGUCUUCCCAAAUCCCGUGGAACAAGCAUUCCACAUGAAGAUGAUAUUCCACGAUUCGAUCGAGGAACAAGAAAUCAUGCUUCACUUCCUCCACCUCCUCCAAUUAUUCUCCCUAACCCACAAGUUCAAAGGCUUGAAAAGUUCAAGAUCACUCAAGCCCUUUUGGCAAGUAAACAUAAAGAAGGAAAGUCGGUGUGUGCACACGUCCUAGGGAUGAAGUCACACAUUGAUAGGUUAAGAAUGUUGGGAUCCGUUGUCUGUGAGGAAAUGGCUGUUGAUUGGGUUCUUCAGUCACUUCCUAACUCAUAUAGUGAGUUCGUAAGAGAGUACUAUAUGAUGAACCGCGACGUGACCCUUAUAGAUCUCACCUAUAUGCUUAUUGCUGCUGAAUCAGCAAUGGUUUGGCGCAAUAGAAAAGCAAAGUUGAUUGGUGAAUCUGCCUUCAAGACCUCUAUGGAUAUAGACAAUGGCAACGAAAGACAUGCUAUGAUCGAAAAGUUUGAUCAUAAGAGAAAGGCAAUGUCUGAAGUAGUUCCAUGUCAUGUUCCAAAAGAGUCAAUUUGCUUUUAUUGCCAAGAGAAAGGGCAUUGGAGACGAAGCUGCCCCAUUUACCUAAGAGAUCUAAGAGAUGGGAGAGUCGAAACGUAUGGCUCUAAUAUAGGUAAAAUCCAUUAACUAACUCUUUUAAGCUUCUAUUCUAGAUUCUUAAUACAUAAUGUGAUAAGAUUACAAUUGAUGUUUUGUAGGAUCGAAGAAAAGAAAGGAAGCUUAAGGGAAGAAGUGAGCAGAAUCUAACCGUGAAGGAAUGGAUUUCGAUCGCAUUUCUCGAAGAUUAGAUUCUUGAGCUACUACUUAGAGUUAGAAUUAGAUUGCUAAGAAAGAUGUAUUAGCAUAGUUUUUCAAUGAAUUGCAUUGUAAGGACAAAUUUUUCCGCAAUAAAAUAAAUUUUGAUUUUAAAUUUUAUUUAUUUAUCCUUGCAAUGGCGUGUAUGAAAAAUUGAUGUUAAAAUGUUUCUAUUAUUAGCAAUAAUGGAUUUGGUUCUUAUUAUGUUAUUUAUGGAAAGUCGAGAAUUUACCAAAUAGGGAGAGUUUCUCAUCGCCCAAGUUUCAAUUGGACAGAAACUUGGAAUCAUGCAACUUGGUUGCACGAUGAAUGAGAAAUUUCAUAUUUGGAAAUUAGACUAAUUCAUUGACAAAGUGUCAAGUGAAGGACUAGGAGAUCGAGUACACAAAGUUGCGUGUUGAUCAAGUCCACCAUAAGAGUAACAAAGAUAUUCGUCAUGAUUUACUAAAGGUUUAGUAAAUAUGAUUAUACUUAUAAGAUUAAGUGUAAUUCUGAAUUGAUUGAAAAGGUUUAAAUCAAUAGCAGAACGAAUAAGAAGAAUCAAGUAGGCAGAAAGAUAAAAGUUUCUCCAUUCUAAGAAGAAGGGAGAGUACCUUUUAUGCUUUAUGAUAGGUCUUAAUGAUUAAGAACCAUAUCUCAAUUGAUCCUCUAAGUGAGUCUUAGUACAAUUGUAUGUCUAAGAAGAGGAAUCAAGAAUUGAAGAAAUGGUUAAAUCAAUAAGUCAAUCAUACUUCGUUCCAAUAACAAGUCUUAAAGUUAAGAUUGUGACAUUGAGUGAAAGGUAUUAAGAAGGUUUGUAACUUUCAUUAAAUGUGGAAAGUUGUGAUGUCUUGGAUAAGACAAAGACCAACUAGGACCAAUUUAUGAAGUGUUUUGAUAAAAGCUACACUAACUCUUGAAUAUUUGUUUGUCAAGAAAUGGUUAUUGACAAGAGAAUCUUAUAUGUCAAGGAGUCAGUGGGAGUCUUAAUGGUCUUGAAAGGUUUCAAGAACAAAUCAAAUAAACCUUAUCGAUCAUCACUAGCACACGAGUUGAGGUUUACAACCUAUCGUGUUGACAUUAUUUUGAUUCUGUGCCAAUCCAAUCGAGUUAAUUAUGCAUGUGAGUUCUAUGAGUUCUCAUUUUGAACGCAUAAAAGGCAAAGCACCUUAAUCAAUGAAAGGUACAUUGAUAGGAAAGGGUGAGCUGCUUAACUACUUGGAAGACAUGGUGGGCAGCUGUGCUACCAUAAGGCAAGAAAUCAAGAUUAAGAAAGUUCGGUCCAUAUGAGUUUGAAUUUGUCGUAAACUUUGGUUUUAACAAAUUCACAUGGAUAGGAACACAUACACCGUUUAAAUCUAAGUGUCAUAAGAUUUCCUCCUUCAUGAAAAUGAUUGUGAGGAAAUGCUUUCACUAAGAAAGAUUUUAAGAAGAUAGUGAUUGUAAAAUUGCAUUCUCGAAUUCAAUUAUGGUUACGGCAUCCCUUUCCAUAAUUUGAAUUGUGAGGUUUGGCAAUUAGUCUUAAUUGUUUAGACACACAUAUGAACUAUCGAAGGCAAAGGUGUAUAAGUUCAAGAAGCCUUGAUAAAAGAUUAUCAAAGCACUAAGUAUUAGAAACAUGAACUUAAGAAAUUCAAUAAGCAUUGUUUUUCUGAAAGUUAAGAUGUUUAUGAAUACAUGUCGAAGCUAGUGGGAGCAUAAGUGUUAUGUUUUAUAAUAAUCAUCAUGAUAGUGGGAGCAUAAAUGUUAUGAUUGUAUGAUUAUUAAGGAAAGUAUUGCAAGGUUAGCAAUAUUAAUUAUAGAAAACAAGAGUCAUACUUUGCAAAGUUGUAAGAGUUGAAAGGUUGUUUUGCUAUAAUUAAGGGAGAGAAUAUUAUGCUUCAUUUCAAAUCUAAAGGAUUAGGUUGAGAAAUGUUAAUAAAUUUAGUCAAAGGUACAUAGUGUGUUCUUAAAAUUUCGAUUAUGAUUACGGCAUUCCUCUUCACAAUUCGAAUUUUGAGAACAUAGCAAAUAAAACAUUAUGCGUCGUGUCCCAUACGCUUCGGGUAUAGGAUCGAUUGCAAAUGCUUUAAUGUUUGACCAUUCUAAAAUUUUCCAAAUGUCUAGCGCAUUUAGAGGGAAAAAGGACUAGAAUCGGUUUUGACUAAAAUAAUUAAACAACUAUCAAAGGACAAUCCAAAGUUCGACGAGGAUUGGUCGCUUGUGAGUAGUUGGAAGUAUAGUAUUGGAAAAUAUGGAAAUGUUUCCAUAUUGGAUGGACCAUAUCGACAUCAUUACGAAUAGAUAAGAUUCUAUUAAGAAUGAGUUGUCAUAUGGAAAAUAUGGAAACGUGUCCAUAUUGGGAAUUGAAUAUUGAAAAUCUAUGUCUAGAUUAGAAACUUUUAUGCAAAAGGAUGUUCAAAGGAAUGUACUUUGAGUGAGAGACAUCAUAUCUAAGGAAUUGUCUUGUAACAAUCUCCGAUAGAGGACUUUGUAAUAUCAUUGGCAAUAGUCUUUGUGACUUUGGUGCAGUGACAUUACGAAAGGAUAGUUGCAUAGAAUGUUAGAAUCUAGCAUAUUCUAUAAGUAACAAGAAUUUGAUAUUCUUUAACUUAUGAAAAACGGAUUUGGAGUUGUGAAAUGAGAAGGAUUGGAAAUGUGUUCAAUGUGAUCUAUUUCACAAAGUAAGAACCAUAGGUAAACAUUGUGUGCAUGCUAGGAGCAUGGGACAAGUGUUGGAAUUCAAGUAAGAAGUUGAUUACCCGAAACGACAAAUAAUGAGUAAUCAAUAUGGUGAUAAAUAAAAGGCGUUUUAUUUAUACUCAAAGGUUUGAGGCCAUAUGGGAUUAGUAUUAUUCUUGUGUUUCACAUUUGCAUGUUUUGACUUCCAGAAUAAUUGAGUUUAUUAAGAAUAAUCGAAUUAUUCGAACGGGCCACAGUUGUUCAUAUGUUGGAAGUAGAUAUGAAUGAAGACUGUCGUGAAUUGGUGUGUGGAUUGUCUAAAGAGUAUUAGACAUAAGCAAAUGUUUGCUGCAACGUUCAUGAGUGCUUAUGAAUAUGAUUUGAGCAUUGGAUUAAACCCACGCUCACUUGGAUCACUCCAUGAAUUGUAUCACGAGUGAUUGGUGAGACGAUAACAUCUUAUAUUCUUGAAACCGAGAUGUGUGAGUUGUAUCUUGCAAAUCGGUUGCACAUUGAUAAUAUGUAAAUGCACUAGUAACUUGGUGUUAUAAAACAUAUUGUUGUGUGUGAUUCCCUGUGUGAGUGCAAGCGAGCAUUGUAUCAAAGUUUAUCAAUUCCUUUUAUUCAAAGAAGGAUAAAGGCGAUAUCUUUCGGCCCCUCGAUGGUUUAGUGAUGACAAAUGUAAAUGCUCUGCCGGGCUAUGGCUAAUUUGAUUUGUUCAGUUAGUCAGUCGUCAUAAAUCGGGAAUCGAGAUAUAGUACAAAGAGAAUGAUUUGAAAUCACAUCUCAAAAGAUAUCUAGAAUGUAUGAAUAUAUGAUCCCUUAUCUAAGGACGCGCAUAUCUGAUAUGAUCAGAGUUGACAGCGGCUUUGGAAAGCUACAAUUGCAGAUCAGGAUAUGAAGUCAUAUGCAGAAUAGUUAUUAGACUUAUCCACGUGGGAGACUGUUGGAUUAGUGUCGAAGUCCAUAACUAUUUUGGUAUGUACUUGACCCGAUGGUGCAUGGUCCUUUUGGGUUGCCUUCACCAAAGCAACUUGAUAGGAGAAAUAAAUAGAGAGAGAGGUUAUUAUGAUUUAUUAAUAUGUUAUAAGAAUAAUAUAUUAAAGGAGAAAUCAUAUUUGUUUAAUUAAUAUUGGUCAAUAAUUAAUUAAGAAUUAAUUUUGUAAUCAAGUGUAAUUAAUUAAACUAGAGGGGCUGAAUUGUAAUUAUGUGAUAGUUACAAAAUAAGGUAAGGAUUAUCUUAUAUAUAGGGUGNUUCGACUAUGAUAAGGGUUUUCAAGGCAUAUCUUAUGGUUACUUGGUGGGCAAGCAACUAGAUAAGGAUAGGGACUAAAACCCUAAUCUCUACACCUAUAUAAAGACCCCUAAGGCUCAUGAAUUCAUCAAAGCCUUCCCAAGAAGUCCUAGGGAUGAAUUCUAACACCUCUCCUCUCUCUUUAUACCUUCUCCAUUUGAUCUUGGUGUUUGUAAGCCAUCAGAGGAGUGACACUUGUAACUCUAAGCCUUCCAAGGUCAAUUCAAGGAGGAAUUAGGAUUGUUAUUGCUACAUAACAAUCAAAGGUAUGAUCUUAAACCUAAUUAUAUGUUAAUAUCGAUUUCCAUAUGCUAGAAUUAGGGUUUAUAGUUUUGGAUUCAAAGCAUGUACAAUAGAGAAACCUAGAUCCAAGCAUUAGGGUUUGUAUGAGCACAUAGGAUGUCUUAUGACCAAAACCCAUCAAUUUUCUUACCGCGACCUUUUAAAAAUAAAUAAAAAAAAAUUUCAAAUUUUGCCGACGGAAUUUAAACGAAAAUUGUAGAGCGUAGUCUCACCUACGUGUGGAUAUAAAGAACGUCGAAAACGGAGUUCGUAUGAAGAACAUAUGACAUUUUGAAGUUUAUUAAAUAAUUAAAACAUAAAUUUUAUUAUUUAACCUUGGUAUUAUCCGAAAGAGGAGUCACCAGGUCGAUCCGAAUUACGCCAGUUUACGCUCGUACACCCAUCGUACUCGAAGACUAGGCCUCGGAUCGUCCACGUCGCCCCCUAUGCGAGGCUAUGCCCUGUCCCAUCCGAAGGUCCGAGGCAGUCGAGGAAGUUGUCACGCAUGACGCACGCGUACGCCCAGCGUACUCGCGUAUGCCCAGCGUACCGAGGCGGUUCCCACCCCUUAUAAAAGGGAUGCGAGGGUUCUGAAGAAAAGGGCCAAUUCCUUUCAUCUUUCUUGCGUUUUUGCCUCGUUUUCCGUGCACGUACUAUCCCGAAGCCCCGGUUUCCAUGCUCAAGUCCCGAAGGUCGUUUGUGCUCCCGAGAUUCCCGAGAAUCCCGAAAAAAUCCGCUUUCUCGAGUCGAAAUUCUCUUCGGUUUUCGUCUCGCCUUUUUCGAUCUAUCAAGUGAGUUAAUACCCUUAUAAUCCACACUUUUAAAUGUUUUAUAAAUGCUUUUAUAUGCUUUUAAGGUGGGGAAUACAAGUAAAACACACGAUUAUUAUCGUGUGUUAUAUAAAGUUUCAUUAUACACUUUAUAUCAACGGAAUCAUAUGUGAUUUAUAACUAUUAUAUGGAAACUUUCAUAUGCAAAAUAUAUCACGAUAACAUGAUAUCCUUUGAAAUGAAAAAUGUAGUUAUAUAUGUAUCAAUCAAACACUUUGUUUAUACUGUAUGUAUAAGUGUCCAUCUUAGACACUAUAAAAAUUAUACUUUUCAUAAUAAGUGAGCAUUUUACUUGGGUGUAAAUACAAACGAAACACACUUAAAGAAAAAUAUAAUAGGUAUAGUUUUACGAGAACAUUACGAACUUUUACAUACUAGAAACACUAUUUUCAAGAAGUCACUUUCACAUAAAAGAACAAAAGAACAUUUUUACAUGUAAAUCUGUUUUUAUACUAAGUUUUGUGAGACAUUAACUUCACGUACAUUCGAGUACACAUUUCUAGUCCUGUAUUAUAUACCAGAAUCCCUUGGAGGGGGGCAUGGUGUUUGUGUAUAGAUCUAUACGGGCUUGACAACCCUGCGCCCUGACUUUUCGCUAUAGUACACCAUUUGUGGUGACAAACGUCAGAACAUUCCAACGCCUGAAGAACGUUGCGUAUAUGCAUUCCUAGUCGAUAGCAUGGUUAUAAAAACUCACAUGGGGUAUUAAAAAUACAUUGAUUUACGGGGUUUUUCAGACGUAUUGGGAAUUUUAUACGUACAUACAUUUUCUAGAAACAAACAUUGGUCCUCAUAGAAGGCUACAUUUAUGCUAGUAGAAAAUAUGGGAUUUUCUAGGAGCAAACAAACAAAAACAAAAAAUUUCAUUUCAUACAAAAGUUGUCAUUUAAUACUUAUGAAACUCACCAACUUAAAUGCUGAUCUACUCUUUCAAAACUACAUGUAUAUCCCAGGGAUUCAGUAAUUACAGGUAACGAACAACUUUUGAAGAAGGGACGCUGCGGCUCCAGUUUAAAUUCAUAUUUUGGCAUCAUAUUGUAAUUGGUUUUGAACAUGUACCUUUUAACAAUGUAAACUUUCAAUUAUAUAUAUGAUGGUUGUAUUGUUUUCUUUAUUAUGUAUUCAUUUGUUACGCUACCACAUGAAGUCAUCCGCCCCCGAACGUUUUCCGCCGUUCCGGUUUGGGGGUGUGACACAUACGGUGCGACCCGUCCUUCUUCAUCACGAAUAGGAUCAGGGCUCUCCAUGGAGAAUUGCUCGGCCUGAUAAAUCCUUUGUCUAGUAGAUCUUGCAGCUGCAUAGACAAAUCCUGUAUCUAGGGAGGAGCCAGCUGAUAUGGUGCCUUGGCUAUCGGAGCCGCACCAGGAACCAGCUCAAUCCUGAACUCAACCUGUCUCUCAGGAGGUAUACCAGGUCAAUCCUCUGGAAACACAUUUGGGUACUCUUGCACCACUGGUAUAUCAUCGACUGUCGCCUUACCCUUCUCCCAAGCAUCCAUAACAUAGGUGACGUACCCGGCACAUCGUUGCUGGAAGUAGCGCCUCGCUCUCGCUGAUGAACAAAGAAUCGUUCCGUGUUGUGGAAUGUCGCCCUAAAUCACUAACCCUCCCCCACUUGGAGUGCGGACCCUUACCAACUGCGGCUCACAAUCAAUCACUUCCCCAUUAGGGCUCAGCCAAUCCAUACCCAUUAUAACUUUAUUCCCUCGCAAGGGAAUAGGAACCAAAUCCACUGAGAACUGCUCAUCAAAUAACCGCAACGAGCAUCCCCUAUAUAUUCUCGCAACGCUAACAGUCCUAUCAUCAGCUAUCUCAACCUCAAGUGGGAAAUCUAGCUCCUCUGGAGCUUUGCUAAACCGCUUGCUAAGCGCAAGCGAGACAAGUGAUCGGGUAGCCCCCAAGUCAAACAAUAUUGUAACUGAAAUGCCGUUCACUAAGAACGACCCUAUACACAAACACAUAACCAUAAGAAACUAUCAAUAUAAAACAUAGAUAAAAGGAAAAUUCAUAACUGUCACCAUGUCAGGAGUCGCUCGCACCUCCUCUGCUUUCAUCUGUAAUGCUCUAAUCUUCGAAACUGGCGCCUCAUCCCGACCCUGACGGCUGUCUGUAAUCCUCAAUGUUGCAGGGGCAGGUGCCACUACCUUCCCUGCUACUACUAAGCUUGGGCAUUGGGACCUCUUAUGGCCCCUUUGAUUGCACUGAAAGCAAAUCAUAUCAGAUGCUGAGGUGGGAGUCAUAGUAGGAGUAGCUGUAUAAUCCUUGCUCAUGUUACCAGUCCAACCGCACUUGUAGUAGCCAGAACUCCCUGCCUUGCACACUCCAUCACGCAACCUCCCACACUUGCCACACUGAUUGUGGCUCAAUUGUCCCCUAGAUCUGUGAUCCGAUUCUUUAGGCUUUUUGCCUGAACUCCAUGUGCCAGAUACCAUCUCUGGCUUCCUCUUCCUCUCCAUCUCUAAAUCAAUAUCCCUCUCAUGAGCCCUCACAAUCAUGUCGUCCAUUGUUUUACAGCUAGACCGACUCAUAAAUUGUCUGAUAUUACUCCUCAACAUCUCAUGGUAUCAGGCCUUCUUCAUUUCCUCGUCUGCUGUAUACUAAGGAACUAGAAGAGCCCUCUCCCUAAACUUGGCGGUAAUCUUCGCUACUGUCUCCGUCGUCUGCUAGAGAUCCUGGAACUCCAUAGCAAUCUGCUGCACCUCGACGGUCAGUGCAAACUCAGCUCUGAACGUGGUCGUGAAAUCAGCCCAGGUCAUCACAUCAAGGGUUGUGUUAUCCCCGAUGCCAUGUCCGACCUCCUCCCACCAAUCAUGUGCCCUGCCCUUCAGAAGACUGGAUGCAAGUCGGACAUUGUCCCCCUCGGGACAUCUGCUAGAGUGGAAAGCGUUGGCCACAUCAGCCAACCAUCUGGUACACAUAAUGGGGUCUCGGCCCCCCUGAUAGCCUGGAGCUCCAUAAGCUCUGAACUCCUUGAAGGUCAAAGUACUUGCCCCCGUCAAGGCUGCCAUGUUAGUACGGAAGGUGCUCAACCUCUCAUCGAGAAUCUCUUGAAUGCCCUCCUUGACCGUACCAAAGAUCAUAGUAGUCUGCUCAUCCAAAUGCUCGGCCCCCGAGCCUGAACUUGAUCCCUCUCCAGCACCUAAACUGCCGACUGCUAGUUUAGGGCGUAAAACCACCAUUCUGAAACACAAUGCAACAAUGUCAGAAACACUGAUAUAACUAGAAUGAUCACAUGUACUACGAGUUCCCUGGUCUCAUCUCAGCCUUCCCUCAUUCGAGUACGGAUCCUCUGCUUUCAGUAGUAUGGUCCCUACUACCUUCCACAUCUAUCAGUACUUUCCUCAACAACUGCCUCGAUUCCACCAAGUCCCUUUUGCUACUACUGCUGAUCUCUUGCUAAUCUAAUCCUAGGCUUUCACUAGGGUCAUCACCAACCAACUCUCUGCCAUCAGCUGCAUAAGAAGUUGUUGCUUUAUUCCCCAACUAGGUGGCGAAUACUAUUACAUAUUACUCAGACUAGAUAAUUCUUCGAAUAAGAGAUCCUACCCUACAACGGUUGGACUCAAACAAGAGCUGUGAAAUAGAGCUAGACCUAACCUUCUGAAAUUAUUAUAUAUAGCUUAUCAGAUUCAUUUACUAGUUAGUAAAAGACAACUAGAACUCUUAAAAGCACAAAGCAAACAACAUUCGAGCAUUGAGGACACAUAAUCAAGCAUAUACUACUCUGGCUAUCAUACUGACUAAUCUGUACUAACAUGUAGUUCUCAUAAAGUUGAUACACAUACAAUAGGCACACAAGGCAUCAUUCCUAGAUUUUUAGCCCUAAACUAUCAUGCAAUUCUCAUAAAGCUGAUACACAUACAAUAGGCACAUAAGGCAUCCUUCCAAGAUCCUUAGUCCUAAUCUAGCAUGCAGUUCGCAUAAAGAUGAUACUCAUAUAAUAACAUGGACUUUUAUGGGUAAUUUGGCUGUACUUACUCGAGCUCGGCUGAUCGCAUGCACCACAACCUUUUUUUCUUUUUUAAAACUCUUUUCUCUUUUUUGUUUCUUUUUCACAAAAUUUCUUUUGAAAAUGUUUUUCUUUUGAAAACCUUUUACCAUUUCCAUACCUUGAUUUUAGACACGCCCGAUAGUCUGUCUGAAUCCCUCAAACCAGGUCUCUGAUACCAACUUAAAACAUCCCAAAAAUACAAGCCAAAAAUUUCGUUUGAAAAUAUUACUAAAACCAUAAUAUUCAACAUCAUAUAUAAAAACCAUAAGUCAUGUAUCUAAAGAUGUUAUAAAUAUGUAUCAUAUCAUAUCAGAUGUCAAAUCAUAUCAAAUAUUAGAGUCUAACUCCCAGGAUAAAACUAUGGUGGGUGCCAUGCCAUCAUCCCGAGCCCUUUCCAGUGCUAGCUGAAGUACCUAAAACCAAAACUGAAAUUGUAAGCACGAAGCUCAGUGAGCUCCCCCAAAAUACCAUAUACCAUACAAUAACAUAUAAAGCAUAUACUAGGCCUUGUCCACUGCAUCAGACCGAAGCCCAAAAGUAACUAGCCUCGCCCUCUGCAUCGGACAAAAGUCCGGAACUAACUAGGGCCUUUCCUUCUCCAUCGGACCGAAGUUCGGAACUGACUAGGCCCUUACCCUCUGCAUUGGACCGAUGUCCGAAACUGACUAAGGCCUCGCCGUCUGCAUCGGAACGAAGUCUAGAACUGACUAGGGUUUCGCCUUCUGCAUCGUACCGAAGUCCGGAACUGAUUGAACAUAGCAUGACAUAAUCAUAACAUAUAACAAUAACACAUAUACCGCAUACUGCAUUGGACCGCAGUCCGGAACACAUAACACAUGGACAUGCCUGAAUCACUAAGACAUCAAGCAUACUGAACUACUACUCAGGACCACCUCGACAUCAGACUGCAGUUCGAAACUAUUGCUAUCUAAAUGGACCGACAUUAUGGCCGUUGACCCAUUCCUACUGGAAGGAAACGCACCUCGAAGAAUUGAUCGCUGAAAAUCUGAGUGAAGGAUCUCUGGCUGCUGUCCCGGCUGUUGUCCUGGCCGCUGUCCGGCUAUCAUGACCAGUAUAACACUUAACCAAAACGAGGAUCCUUUUAUGGGUGAAAUGACUAUUUUACCCCUGCUAUGGUGUGGAUCCUAACCAAGGCCCACAACCUUUACAUCUUUCUAAGUCCACUAAUGGCCCACUAAGGUCCCAAUUUUAAAAAUUGUGCCAAACUCCUCAUAAGGCCCUACUUAAGCCAAAAAUGCCUUUGGCCCAUUCUCUGACUCCUACUGGCCCACUAACACCUAUGGUCCAAAUACAACCCACACCAAGGCCCAAAUACCUAAGGUCCAAAUUGACUAAGUUACACUGGGCGUACUCCAAAGUAUGCUUAGCAUAACUGUUUGAUGGUGAGUACAUUGGGCGUACUCCCAUUUACGUUCAACGUAGUUCCCUGUUAAGUCCUUUCUUUAUUAAGUGCUUAAGAUUUCGAUUCAGAAGCUACAAACAUAGAUCAAAUUCUUAUUCCAUGCCAUAACCCAUAAAGUUGCUUACUUGAUGGCUUACAUGAAUCACAUAAGCUAAAACUUUAAAAACAAUAAUCUAUUUCCAUGGAAGUGGCUAGAUCUCAUGCAUGGCUUCAUGAAAGCCUCAAAUAUUGAAACUUUAUUACUAAGAAAGUUUUUUGAGCCUCAAGGAUGGCAACCUGAAGCUCAAAAACGGAUUCACAAGAUCAAAGUCCACCUUUGGACUUAAAGAGGUCCAAAACUUCCAAACCCUAGAUCUAGAAUAUGAGGAAGAAAGGUAAGUGCUUUAUGGCAUCUUAUGUGAUAAAAGGGUGAGCUUAGUCUAGAUCCUUGAGCUCAAGCUUCUUCUCCAAUCUUUCCUUUCCUUCUUCACAACUUUCUUCCACUAAUAACACUCACAAAAGCAACUUCACACAAUGACAAGGGGUAGGAAUGAGUUAGGGUUUCCUUGUGGGUGAGGAGGCUGAUAAGAAACCAGGUGGAGGCUAUAAUGGGUUUUAUAUAGCUCUUAAACCCUAAAUUAGGGUUUUCCUUGUGUAUUCACAUAUGUUCCACAUACACUUUGGUACGUUGCGCCUACGUGUGUGAACCCCCGAUUCUAUCCGCGGCCCAUUACGCCUCGCGUACGCCCAGGCUACGCCCAAUGUAAGUCAUAUGGGCGGCCCAAGCCUUUGGUUCAAGUGCAUAAGUCCAAUCCAAUACUCCUACUAUCUAUACUUUGCCCAAUUAUAAUUUAAGAAAAAUGAAUAAUUAAUACCUUGAAAGACGAUCAUUACAGUUAUGCAGGAAGGACGUUCAAAGGAAUGUACUUUGGGUUUGAGACUUCCUGUCUAUGGUGUUGUCUUGUAAUAAUCUUCAAUAGAGUACUUUGUAUUUUCAUUGGCAAAGUCUUGACGACUUUGGUGCUAUGACAUUACAAAAGAUCAUUGCAUGAAAUGUUAGAAUGUAACAUAUUCUAAUAUUUGCAAGAAUUUGGUAUUCUUACACUUGGUAUUCACAAAGUAAGAACCAUAGGUAAAGAUAGUGUGCAUGCUUGGAGCAUGCGAUGACUAUUGUUUCAAUACGAGUAUGAAGUCAACAAAAACAAAACCAUGAAGUCGACCAAUAAAAUCAAAACAUUUCUUAAGAAGAGUUUUCCAUUGGAACACAAUUUAUUGAUAUUGGAGAAUAAUACUAAACCUUCACUUGUUGCAGCCAAGUUUUCGUUUUAUAUUACAUAAGUUCCUCAAAAUUUUAGAAGAUGUUGAACCUGUUGAGAUUACUACUUAAAACACAAGCUUCGAUUUUUGUGCCUAGUAAAAAAUAGCAUGUUAUCAAAUAAUGUUCUAUAUGUAAACAUAAAUAGAAAACAUUGAACACAAACUGUUCAUCCAUAAUAAUUAGUUUGAUUGAUAACACUUCUUUUUUGUGUUGGUUAUAAAUUUCUUUAUCCUCAACACUCGAACCUUAAGUGUUGUAUCAUAUGGUACUAAUCCAAUGUCUUUUCAGUGAAUAACUUUGGCAGUAAACUAUAACAUCCAAACAUAAGGUAUUGUCAUAUUGCUUUUAUGUUUAUCAAAAGUUUCACAAUUGGUCCCUUGAGGAAAAAGGCUUGCAUUUUGGUCAUAUACUUUGCGUACUUGAGGGUACACGCAACUUACUCGUGCAAUGUGGAAACACAGAUGAUCUGCUAGUAUGUUGGGUAUACGUAUGGUAUGUUGGGCGUACUAGCGCAUACUCCAACCCCUAAUUUUAAGGACAGCUCCAUAUUUAAAAAAAAUUAUAUCCCCUUUGUACUAUCUUUAUUAGCCACCAUUCCGUCCUGAAAUGCUAAUUUUGAGUCUAAGUUCUUUGCUUGAGUUUUGGGAGCUUAUUAACUAGAAAAGAAGGACGUGUUACUUGCAAGCUUGUACAUACAAAAACCCUUCCUCAUUGUGCAUCUUUCUCAGCUAUACGGUUUAUACCACGACGAGUUUUCUAUUUGAUCUCCAUGGUUGAAGUUUUAUGAGCUUUUUAUGUCCAAGAUUGAACCUUUAUGAGUUUGACCACUCCAAGGAAUAUUAGUUAUCUUUUCAUGCAUUUUAUGACUUAUAGAUUCCUAAAAAUGGUUGCCUGAUCAAUCCCUAUGGCCCACGCAUGAAUAAAGUAGCUUAGAGUUUUGUUCGAAGCUAAAGUUCGUUUCAUUGGGUCCUUCCUAGACAUGAAAAGCCAAAAUUCAAUGAGUUUAUGGGUUAAGAAACUCUAAGAUGGGUAAUAUUUGAAGUUUGCUUAGAUGUCUUAGCAGAUUAAGACACAAAAGAUGGUGAAGUUGAAUCAAAGUACACCGGGCUUACUCCUAGCUACGCCCUGCGUAACCAGUGUUGGAUUAGUGUCUAAGCCUGUAACUAUAUUUGGUAUGUAUUUAUUAAUAUAUUAUAUGAAUUAUAUAUUAAAGGAGAAAUCAUAUUGUUUAAUUAAUAUUAGUCAAGAAUUAAUUGAUAGUUAAUUUUGUGACUAAAAAACAUUUAUUAAACUUAGGGGACUGGAAUUGUAAUUAUAAGAUAAUUGUGAUUGGGCUAUGGAUCACCUUGGUACAUAGGUUGGACGAAUUCUAUGGGAAGCCCAUAAGGAAUUCGUCCAAGGGGUGUUCUAAAGGGAGUCCAUGGGCCGCUUAGGGCCUAAGCAGUGAAGUUACAGUUUGCUAGUUGAAGACCCUAAUAGUCUCACUAUAUAAAGACGCCUAUGGCCCCAAAAAAGUGGUGAACUUUCUUGGAAGAACCCUAGGUCGUUUUAGGUGCUCCUCUUCCUUCUAAUAAGUCAUUGUCUUGCUUGUGGUGUUUGUAAGCCAUUAGAGUAGUGACACUUGUGACUCUAAGCUCCAAAGAAAGAAGAUUGAGGAGAUUCAAGCUAUUCUACAAGAGGUAAUCAUCUUGAUCUGCUCUUAUGUGAUAAUUUCGAAAUGCAUAUGCUAGAUUAGGGUUUUUGAGCCUUGGAUGAAUUGCAUGUACAAUAGAGAACCCUAGAUCCAAGCUUUUGGGUUUUCAUGAGCACAUAUGAUGUUCUUUUGUAUAAAACCCAUCAGUGGUAUCAGAGCCUUGAUUGGUUUCUGUUGUAUGUGAUGUAAUGCUUGUUUAUCUGCUGAAAAUCGAGUUUCUGGCCUCUGCCCGACCCGACUCGGCAAGUCGGUAUAUGGACUUAGCGAGUCAGCCUAACUCGGUGUGUCGAGGUAUUGAGUCGACGAGUCCGUGAGUCAGGCUGUCGAUAUUUCGUGAUUUAUUACUGUUUUACGGAAGGAUAAUUGCUAAAAUCAUUUUCUUAUGAUAAAAUCCAAAUUUUAUUAUUUUUAUGUGAUUAUCCUUACCAAAACAAAAAGAUAAUUUCAAAUUGUUUGAAUAAUAAUUUCCUUAUAUGAUAAAAUUUUAUUAUUUAAAUUAUCUUGUAAAUAAUCUUGAUUUGGUUAAAUUUAGAUAUUCAUUAAAUUACUUGUUUAAUUUAAAAUUAUUUGCUAUUUGAUCCUUUGGGUUUUGAAAAGUUUGAAAGCUUGCCCUCAAGUUUUGGAAUUAAAAUUUGUUUAUUAAAAAGAUUAAUUUUGUAAUAUUUAAGUUCUAAACCCUAAUGAUUUGAAAUGUUUCCAAACUUUCCCUCAAUUUUUGGAACUUAAAUUUUAAUUACAAGUUUAAGUUUAAAAUGUUUAAUUCUAAAACCCUAAUUUUUAAAAAAGUUCAAAUUGAACCCUCACUGUUUUAUUAAAUUAAUUAAGUGUAUAAUUAAAAGAGAGUUAAUAAAUCCAUAAUGAUAUGGUUUACAUUUAAUUAAAUUAAAAGUGUAAUUUGUUAAAUUAGACCACAUAGUAUUUUAAAAGUGUAAAAUACACCGUUAUACUAUAUAUAACAGUAGAAGUCUAAUAUUAUAUACGUAUAACUUAAACUGCUAGUCUGACCAUUAGUAAACCUCAUUCACAAAGCCGAUCUAUAAGGGGGUAUAAGGUUAUGGCCUAUAAAAUGGUCGUUUAAUGAGUGUCCACUCUCACCCACCGCUUCCUUGAUUGGUGGUGGGUCAUUAUCCAAAUGGAUAGGAUAGGGCAAACCCUCUCCUCAUUAGAAGUAUAAUGAAUGUUAAAGUAACUAAAUGUUUUACAAAAAUUCCCAAUCUUAGUUACUUUAGGAAAAAGUGAAUUGAUGCAAUUCCAUGAAAUUACGCUUUGUACAUUUGCUAAGAAGUUAGUGGAGCCUAUGUGGUUAACCGACACACUAAAUGGUUUCUAAGCAAAGGUAGCAAAGUGUGACUCAAUGUUUGUCAUAGUUCGGUGGAGCAUGUGUGGUUAACCGGCACAUCGAAUAGAUGACUGUAACAUUGAGGGCACCAUGUAAGUUUCCAUGGUUAUUCACACCCUAUUUUGUGAUCCUCGGCAUCCCAAUCACAAAUUGAGGGGCAUAUCGAGAUUUAAACAUGCCAUUGAAAAGUUCAACUAACCUUAAAGGAUCUAGUAGUCUUCAAUACAUUUAAAACUUAAUCUCUUUUUCGUUUUUCAUGGUGGAAAAUUAGUGAAUCGUCAUUCACUUACCUUCAAAUGUUCUGCAAUUUGAGUUAUGGUAUCCCUCUCCUAAGUUGUAGAUUAUUGUGUUGGGUCCUAGCCUUAAUAUCUCAUUUGGGUGUUUUAUUAAGGACUCAAUCAAUCAACUAACUUGAUUUUUUCUCCAGUUUUGUAGAUGUCAAAGUAUGAAAACUAUGGUCGUACCAAAUCCCGUGGAACAAGCUUUCCACAUGAAGAUGAUAUUCCACAAUUCGAUCAAGAAAAACAAGAUCAUGCUUCACUUCCUCCACCUUCUCCUAUUGCUCUCCCUAACCCACAAGCUUAAAGGCCUGAAAACUUCAAGCACACUCAAGCCCUUUUGGCAAGUAAACAUGAAGAAGGAAAGUCAGUGUGUGCACACGUCUUAGAGAUGAAGUUACACAUUCAUAGGUGAAGAAUGUUGGGAGUCAAUGUCUGUAAGAAGUUGGCUGUUGACUAGGUUCUUCAGUCGCUUCCUGGCUCAUCUAGUGAGUUCGUAAGAUAGUACUAUAUGAUAGACCACAUCGUCACCGUCCUCGAUCUCACCUAUUUGCUUGUUGCUAUUGAAUCAGCAAUGAUUUGGCGCACUGGAGAAGCAAAGUUGUUUGGUGGAUGUAACACUCGUGUUUCUAGCCUAUGCAUUGAUAUUAAGGUGAUAUUCUAGGUUAACCUUUGUAACUCAUUUUGAAGAAAUGAAAAAGGAAUUAUGUGAAUUCUAAGUGUUUUAUGUGUUUUAUGCUUAAUUACCAAGGCUUAAUUAAUUAAGAAUAAAAAUAAGCGUCAAAAUUAAAGUGUGAGAUAAGCCCGAUAUCUUUACAUAAAGUUGUAGUGGUCGAAACAAGGAUUACAGAGAUAUAAAAAAUACCAAAAUCCGAGUUAUAACGAAGAAGUUAUGACCUGUCGAAGUUUCGCGACAAAACUGGCACGGUGCUGACACUACUUUUUAGCCUUAGUGAUCUAAAAGAAAGUCGUAGUAUUCGUUAAACCGAGAAGUUCGAUAAAAAGAACGCCUAAAUCUAACUUCGUAUGAGGAAGUUAUGAUUUUUCGAAGUUUCAGCUUAGCAGUAGAAAGCUAAAAACUCAAAUUUUAGAUCGAACGAUUUUUAGCCGACACAACCUAAAUGAGAAUCGAAGGGCUCGUCAUUAGUAUCACAACGGUAAAAAAUCUGAUGAAAAUGGACGCCGGAUGAAGAAGUUAUGAAUUUUUAACGGAUUUCCUGUCCCGGUCUAUUAAAAAAUAAUAAUAUAAAAAUAAAAUUCAAAAUUAGCCGAUGAUGUCUAAACGAAAGUUGUAGAGCGUAAUUUUACUUACACAUGCAUAUAAAGAAUGUCAAAGACGGAGCUCGUAUGCGAAAGCUAUGGAUUUUAGAUGUUUUUGCACAAAAACCAAGAAAUCUUGCAUACGUGGACUUCGGCCACGUCACCCUCGCUCAAAACGUGCCACGUGUCCAAAAAUGUUGUUGAGUCAUUCGAGCUGCUGAGUCAUCCGAGCAACUGGCCUUAUCCAAAGUGGUCCAAUAGCGGUGCGACACGUACCCUCUUAGCACAUGGUCGAGCCCUCGCAAGCUGCUACGAACCCACCCUACUUUGGACCUAGACCUCGGUCCAAUCACACACUGACAGCGAGCCCCUCGCAAGCGCAGACCAUGUGCGAGCGAUGUGCGAGCAACCCCUUUGUGAGCUUCCGGGUCUGUGACGCGUGUCUUCCCUCCUGACCGUCCGAUCAGAAGCCUUGCCCCAAUAAAUAGAAGGGUGCGAGACCUCCCAGGUAACUUUGGAAAUUUGUGACUUUUCACCCUAAAUCUCAUAUUUCUUUCAUAUUAACAUCACCCAAAGCCCCGGUAUUGAUUAUAAGCCCCGAAAUAUGACAGGAAGCGCCCGAGAAGCCCGGAAAAUUUAUCUUUUCGGUUUCAAAGCCUGACCUUUGCAGAGCCCGGUUUCUCAAUAAAACUCCCGGUUUUAUUAGAAACGAUCGUUUUAGGAAACGAAUUCCUGCCCGAUUAUCAUCAAAUCAUGUGAGUGUGUAGUCGCUUUCAUCUUACACCCAGAUAUGAAGUAUUUCCUAUAAAAUACAUGCUAUUUGUAAUUAAAUUAAGUGUUUAUUUGAGGUGACUGUUGAGUAAAUGUUUUAUACAUGUUUUAAACUGUAUAUGUAUUUUAUCUACAAAAUAUGUUGGGUAGAACAUGGGUAGAUGAAAUAGUUGAUGUGUGUUAAAAUGGUGAGAGGCCUCGAUGUUGUUGUUGUUGUUGUAGUCAUCUAGCAUAAUAUAGAUGACGACCACAGUCUUUUCUAGACAGUCCAGUGGAACACUAGCAGGUUCGCAACCUGUAGGUGUUGAUGAAUUAAAUGUUCAUUGGCGUACUCCAUCCCCCUCAUGGUUAGCUUUAGGACAUGUAUCGCUGAGCAGACCCCUUAGCAGUAGUGUCCAUCCCGAUGAUAUUCCUUAGGCUAGGUCCCUUAUAAUAGGUGUUUAGGGACGUAAAGUGAGGCCAACAGGAAUGGGUAAUCAGGGUUAUUGUUGAUUGGUGAACUUAAUAAGUAUAUUAUUAUUGUGGGUUGAAAACCCUAUAUGCUCACCACGCUCCCAAGCCUGACCCACUCAGUUUUGCUGAUUAUAGGUAGUGACCUCGAGCAUAGUCAGAGGAAGAUGAGAGAUUCUUGAUUAUAAGUCAGUAGUUGUAAAUAACUAUUGAAAGACUUAUAAAAUCUUGUUUAUGCUUUUGAUCUUUAUCAGAACAUGACAUCCCGAGGUUUUGAUAUGAAAUGAAACUAUACAUUUCUUAAAGAAAGGUUUUGAUAAAAUUUUAUCAUGUUUGGUUUUGGGGACCAAUUCCGCAACAUCUUUUAAAAAGAUUUCUCUAAUUUUCUUUUAAAAAGCAUAAAUUAAAUCGUUCUUUUCUGGCUGAGAAUUUAGGGGAUGUCACAGUGGAUCUGGCUUCCAAACCUCUAUGGACAUAGGCAAUGGCAACGAAAGGCAUGCCACGGUCACAAAGUUUGAUCAUAAGAAACAGGGAAAGUUUGAAGUAGUUUCGUGUGCUGUUCCAAAAGUGUCAAUUUGCUUUUAUUGCCAACAGAAGGGGCAUUGGAGACGAAGCUGCCAUAUCUAACUAAGAGAUCUAAGAGAUAGGAGAGUCAAGACGUAUGGCUCCACUUCAGGUAAAAUCCAUUAACUAACUCUGUAAGUUCCCAUUUUUUGAUUCUUGAUAUAUUAUGUGAUAUGAUUGCAUUUUUUUAUGUUUUGUAGAAUCGAAGAAAAGAAAGAAAGCUUAAAGGAAGAAGUGACCCGAGUAAGAUCGCAAAGAAAUGGAUUUCGAUCGCUUGGAUUCAAAGAUCGGAUUUUUGAGCUGCUGCUUUUGAGUUAGGAUAGUUUGCUAAGAAAUGUAAUAAUAUAGUUUUUCAAUUGAGUUGUGUUGUAAGGACAAAAUUUUUCCGCAAGAAAAUAAAUUUUUAUUUUGUUUUAUUUAUUUAUGCUUGGAAUGACAUGUAUAAAAAAUUAAUGUUUGUGUAUUUCUAUUAUUAGCAAUGUUGAAAUGGAUGUGAUUCUUAGUUAUGUUAUUUAUGGUAGUGUCAUAAUUUUCUAAGUAAGGAAGGAUUCGCAUCGCCUAGGUUUCAAUUGGACAAAAACUUUGAAUCAUACAACAUAUAUUGUGUGAUGUAUGGAGAUCUUGGUACUUAGGUAAUUAAGAAUAAAUCCUUGUUCACACAAGUAUGUGAGUCAACUGAAGGACUAAAGGAGCUAGUACACAAUGUUGUGCACUAGUCAAGUCCACCAUAAAUAAUAAUAACGUUAUUGGUCAUGAUUUACUAAAGGUUUAGUAAAUGUGGUUAUACUUACAAUAUUAAGUGUAAUUCUGAAUCAUUGAAAAGUUUCAAUGAAUGACAGAACGAAUAAGUAGAAUCGAUAAAGGUAGAAAGAUAAAAAGUUUCUCCAAUCUAAGCAGAAGGGAGAGUACUUUUGUAUCGUGUUUUGUGGUCAUCUUGGUAAUCGUAGGAACCAUAUUACAAUUCAUCCUCUAAGAACACCUUAGUUCACUAGUUUUGCUAAGAGGAGGAAUCGAGAAUUGUUGUAGUGGUUAAGUCAAUAAGAUGUAUCGUACUUCGUUCCAAAAUCAAGUCUUAGAGUCAUACUCCAAGAUUAUGACUUGAGUGAGAUAAUCUUAAGUAGGAAUGUUCUUACAAUUGCACAUUUUGGUAAGUUGUGAUGUCUUGAAUAAGACAAAGACAAACUAGUAUCGAAUUACGUGUAGGUUUUGUCUUGAUAUAGACACACACUAACUCUUGGAUACAUGAUUUUGUCAAGAAAUGUUUCUUGAUAAGAGAAUCCAAUAUAUCAAGAGGUUAGUGGGAGUCUGUAACGACGUGCAAAUUUAAAACAAUUUUUCAUUUUUCAAAUAUAACAUUUCUCAUAUAAAUCAUCUCAAACACAAGUGUAUCAAAUUUUAUCACGGUAAAACAUAUCCCAGAAUCCCAAAUACAAGAUCCCAUGUCAGUGUGUACAAAUCAUGACGGCGCCUACCCGCAAUACUCACUAGUAUCUGAAACGCAUAUCACAUAACACGGUAAGCAUAAUUGCUUAGUGAGUUCCCCAAAAAUUCUACAUACAACACAUAAGCUACUUGAGGCUAUAGCUCUACGAGACCUUCCGGUCAAUGUGUCUCAGGGGCCUUCCGGUCCCACAAUCUAAGUAUACCUUCCAGUCCUACGCUGUUGACCUUCCGGUCCAUACCAUAUUCAAUUUUCGGUCCAUCCAUUGCUGACCUUCCGGUCCAUACCAUACUACUCAUAACAUACAUAACAUAUACAUAUCACAUAGAAACAUAUAUCACAUACUCGUCAUAGCACAUAAUACCUUCCGAUCACGCAUAAUUACCAUCCUAGGUGAAGUAUAGUGAGAAGACUCACCUCGUAUGAUGUCUAAUAACACACAUGAUCGAAUCCCUGAACUCGAAACAAUGACCUAGCCCCCGCCUAAUUACAUAAAGUAAUUAUCUAAAAUAAAUAAUGGCUCUCAAGGCUAGAACAAUCCCUCCCCAUGUUCUUUCAGAAGGCGAAAAGACCAUUUUACCCCUCUAAUGGUCCAAAAGUCCACACGUUGACCAAACCCUAAAAGUCAACAAAAGUCAACUGUAGGGAGUUACACUGCGCACACCAACUCUGUAGGCGGGGCGUACUCCACCGUCAUCCAGAAUCGGGGUACUCGACCCCCUACGCGGCGCGUAUUAAAAUUACGCCCAGUGUAAUGCCCAGUUUCAUUCUUUCGUGAUUUUUGGUCUGUAUAGAUUAAGAUACAAGCUGAUAUCUUAGAUCCAGGCACUCUACUGUGUCCUAACCCGUAACGUCGAAACCUUUAAGCCUCACCAAUCACUUCAAACACAUAUCCUCUUUCCCCAUUAAGCCCUAAUCUCAUGCAUGACUUAGUUUUAAAGUCCAUGGAGCUCCUUCGCUCAAAAAGUCUCCACCUUUGGGACUUAAACCCUAAAAAUGCUCCUGUAUGAUGUUCAUAACAAAAGAGUGGUAAAGUUUGAAGCUUUUUACCUUUGUGAGAAGCUCUCCUCUCUUCUUAUUUCAUAAGCACACAAAGACACUUUCAAGCUCAAAAACACACACACACACACAAGUUUAGAACGAAUGUUUAGCACCUUUAAGGUUUCACUCACUGGAAAUUGUGGCACGGAUGGAGACCAUAGCAUUCCUUUUAUAGUGCACAAGUCUCAUUUAGGGUUUCGUGACUGAGCCCAGUACGCCCAGCAUACUGGGUAGCAUCCGCGUCAAGAUCACGCUCAUGAGUACGCGCAUCGUACUCUUUAGUACGCCCAACGUACUCAUUUGCUACCAUUUUCUUCCAUUGGUUGGUUUUGACAACUUUGGAAAAGAAGAGGGAUUAAAUAGUUAUACCUGAUUUCUGCAUGUUACAAUUCUCCCCCACUAGGAUCAGACUUCGCCCUCGAAGUCUCACUCUGCAAAUAACUUUGGAUGCUGCUCCCAUGUCUCCGACUCCGACUCCUAAGUUAGCUUGGACCUUAUCCGAUGUUGCCACUGGACCUGAACCAGAGGCACCUCCUUUUUCCUCAGAACCUUGAUCUUCUGAUCCAAGAUCGUGAUCAGCCUUUCAAUGUAAUUUAGGCUCGCAUCCACCUGAAUAUCCUCUAGUGGCACUAUCGCUGUCUCAUCGGCUAUACACUUCCUCAACUAGGAUACGUGGAAGGUAUCAUGGAUCUGACUCACUCCUCGGGUAGCUCUAAACGGUAUGCUACCUUGCCCACUUUAGCGAUCAACCUAAAAGGACCAAUGUAUCGGGGCCCUAGCUUGCCCCUCUUCCUGAACCAGAUCACUCCUUUCCAAGGAGAUACCUUCAAGAGUACAUAGUCUCCACCCUGGAACUCGAGCUCAGAUCGUCGCCUAUCUGCAUAACGCUUCUGGUGACUCUUGGUCGUCAUUAACCUCUUUCUGACCUACUGAAUCUGCUUCGUCAUCUUAAGCACUAUCUUAGUGCUACCCAUCACUCGUUGCCCUACCUCUCCCCAACGGAUGGGGGUUCGACACCUCCUCCCAUAUAAAAGCUCAAAGGGAGGCAUACCAAUACUUGAAUGGUGGUUGUUGUAAGAAAAAUCAGCCAAUGGUAGGUAUGUAUCCUAACUUCCACCGAAGUCCAUGACACAUGCUCGAGCCAUGUCCUCAAGCGUCUGAAUUGUCUGCUCACUCUGUACGUCCGUCUAAGGGUGGUAAGCAGUACUGAAGUACGAUCUCGUAUCCAACUCCUCAUGGAACUUCUUCCAGAACCUGGAAGUGAAAUGUACAUCUCGGUUUGACAUAAUCGAGAUCGGCACUCCAUGCCCUGACACGACCUCUCUCACAUAUAUCUCUGCCAGUCUCUCUGCAGAACAGCUCUCAUUGAUAGCAAGGAAGUGAGCGCUCUUCGUCAACCAAUCCACAAUCACCCAAAUCGCAUCAACAACCCUCGCGGUCCUCGGCAAUUUGGUGAUGAAAUCCAUAUAAAUAUGUUCCCACUUCCACUGGGGAACCUCUAGCGGCUACAACUUGCCAUGCCGACGCUGGUCCUCGGCCUUGACAUGCGACUGGUCAAGCACCUCUCUACAACCUACGCAACAUCCCUCUUCAUACAGGGCCAUAAAUCAUCUCUCUUCAGGUCCAAAUACAUCUUAGCGGCCCUGGGAUGGAUCGAGAACAUCGAUCUGUGUGCCUCCUCCAUCAAUAUGCUACGUGCCCCGCCCAUAAACGGCACCCAAAUCCAACUGUGAAUGGUCAUAAGCCCUCGGCUAUCCGUAACAAGGUUGGACACCUGCCUAAUCACUAGCUCUCUCUUGUGGUUCUCCGGUCUCACAACCUCUGCCUGGGCCUCUCAAAUGGUAUCCAAUACCAGAGUCAUCACCGUCAUCUUCAUGCAUAUAUCUCGAAUCAGGGCACUCUCCACCCUGCGGCUCAGAGCAUCGGCUACCACAUUAGCCUUGCCCGGGUAGUACAUGAUCUCAUAGUCAUAAUCCUUUACAACAUCUAACCAUCUCCUCUGGUACGUGUUCAGGUUAGGUUAUUCAUCAGAUACUUCAGACCCUUGCGGUCCAUGUAUAUGGUACACCGAACCAUAUAGAAAUAAUGGCUCCAUAUCUUAGGGCGAACAAUACAAUCCCCAACUCCAAAUCGUGGGUGGGAUACCUCAUCUCAUGGGGCUUCAACGGCAUCGCUGUGUAUGCUAUCACAUGCCCUCUCUACAUAAGCACCGCACCCAACCCUGAUAUAGACGCGUGACAGUACACCACAAAAUCCUACAUUCCCUCCGGAAGGGCUAACACUGGGGCUUCACAUAAUCUCUGGUGAAGAGUCUCAUACGAGGUCUGCAGCUCGGGACACCAAGAAAAAGCAACGCCCUUCUAGGUCAAUCUGGUGUGGGGAAUGACAAUCUUGGAGAAAUCCCUGAUAAAUCUUCAAUAGUUGUCGGCCAACCCCAGAAAACUCCUGAUCUCGAUGGGGGAUCUCUUCACCUCCCAUCUCAUAAUAGCCUCAAUCUUGGCCGGAUCCACCAAUAUCCUAUUCUAAUUAACGAGAUAUCCCAAGAGCUGGACCUCCCAUAACAAGAAAUCACACUUGGAGAAUUUGGCAUAAAGCCUCUCCGAUCUCAAUACUCCAAGAAUCUCCCUCAGAUGCUCCUCAUGUUGCUCUCUGGAUCUCUAAUACACUAGAAUAUCGUUGAUGAACACAAUCACUGGUCGAUCCAACAUCAACUUGCAUACUCGGUUCAUGAGAUAAAUGAACGUUGUUGGUGCAUCGGUGAGCACAAAAAGGCAUCACCAUGAACUCGUAAUGCCCAUAACGAGUCCAAAAUGCCGUCUUCUAAAUAUAAUCAUCCCGCACUCUCAUCUGGUGAUAUCCAGACCUCAAGUCUAUCUUGGAGAACCAAGAAGCUCCCUGCAACUUAUCGAACAGAUCAUCGAUCCUCGGUAGCGGAUAACGGUUCUUGACCGUCAACUUGUUCAACUCCCGGUAAUUGAUGCACAACCAGUGUGAACCAUCCUUUUUCUGGACAAAAAGGAUCAGCGCUCCCCACGGCGAGCUACUCGGUCGAAUGAAUUCCUUCCGCAACAGCUCCUGAAGCUGUGAGGAUAACUCCUGCAUCUCUGGUGGCGUAUGGCGAUAUGGUGCCUUGGCAAUAGGCGCCGCCCACGGAACCAAAUCGAUGCGAAACUCCACCUGCCUCUCGGGAGGCACACCCAAAAACUCAUCGGGGAAAGCAUCCGGAAACUCUCGCACUAUUGAAACUUCAAUGACAUAACUCGGCCUCUCUACAGCAACAUGAGUAUCCAUCACAUAGGCUACAAACCCUCUAUAGCCCUGCUGUAGAAACUGCCUCACUCGGGCAACCGAGAAAAAUGUUGACCUAGAUCAGGUACCCUCACCAUACACCAUAAGUACUUUCCUACUAGGGUCUCGUAUAGUCACCAACUGACGCUCGCAGUCCAUAACAGCUCCGAAUCGGCUCAACCAAUCCAUGCCCACGAUAACACAGACAGCCCCCAUCACAAUCGGUACCAAAUCUAUCGGGAACUCAACAGCAAAAAUCUCGAGUACACAUCCUCGAAUUUCAUCAGUAGCAAAAACCACUCGCUCAUCAUCUUUAGAAACCCGCAGAGGUUGACUCAACACCUCUCGUCGGGUACUGAUGUGCUGACUAAACGCUAAUGACAAGAAAGGUCGACUCGCACCCAAGUCAAAUAACACCAAAGUAGGUACAAAAUUCACAAGAAAAAUACCUAAACAUAUCACAUAUAAGAACCAUAUAUAUAAACAAAAGAAUAAUCAUAAGAUGACAUACCAGCCACAACAUCAGGUGUUGUGCGGACCUCCUCCACAGUCAACUAGAAGGCUCUGCCGCGAGCCUUUGGCUCCUCGGCCUUCACGGGCCGACACUCCGUAGCUCGAGCGGAAGAAGGCGCAGAUCCCUGCACUGAUCCCUAAAUCAACUGCGGGCACUCGACAUUGCUAUGGCCAGUCUGGUUGCAAUGAAAGCAAAACUAGAAUCCCUUGGGGAAAUCCAUGGCUAUAUGCCCCUCCUUGCCACAUUUGUAGCAAGCACCUGCUCGAAAAACUCCAUCAUGUCCCUUACCGCACUUCCUACAAGUGCGACCGUUCUGGCCUCCAGAUCUCGUAUCGGCAGGCUUUGCUGUUGGCUGCCGGCUGAGACUGCAUCGGCCGCCUGUCCCUCCUCUGAGACUCGGCCUCCUCCCUGGCCUGAGUCUCUAUCUCAAUUUCCCUCUUCUAAGCAUUUUCUUGGAGCUCGGAAAAUUCUCGGUACACUGAGUUCGCCACGAACUCCCGAAUGUCCCUCCUCAGUAUGGUCAAUAUUGACUCAUGCAUGCCUACUCGGUAGACACGUGCUCAGGGAAAAACAAUACCCUAUCAUGAUACAUCUGCGUGAUAAGCGUCACAGACUCCGUCCCUUGCUUAAGGGACAAUAACUCCUAGGAAAAACUUUCCCACUCCACCGGGGGAACAUACUCGUCCUUGAACAUAGUGGUGAAGCUCUCCCAUGUCACCGCGGUAAGUUCUACAUGAGUAAAAUCUGCCGUCACAAACUUCCACCAGUCCUUCACUCCGAAGCGAAGCUGGUUCAGCGCAAACCGUACUCUCAAAUGUUCCGGACAACAACAAGUGUAGAAACAUCCCUCAAUGUCAGAGAUCCACCUCAUCACAGCUAUCGGAUCAUGUGUCUAUUCAAACUCUGGUGGCUUCCUGUUGCUGAACUCUUGGUACAACAACGAGUCACCCCCUUGCGGCCUAGCAGCAGCAGCAGCCUUCAUUAGAGCAUCGUAUCGCUCGUCGAAUGUCUCAAUCAGCAUGGUCUUGGUAGAACCAAGCAUCUCUAAAAUCUUUGCCCGUAUGGCUGUGGCCACCUCCUCGUGGAUCAUCCUACGGAUCUCCUCAUCGCUAGUACCACUGGUACCACUGCCUCCUGGGUUUUGGCAUGUCCCUACCAUGAUGCCUCUGAAAUAUGAAAUAAAAUAACUAGAGACUCGACCGAGAUUACUCACACUCGAUCAACCAUUCCUAUUUGUUCCUUAGCAACCUAAGGAUUCUUACUUAAAAUGUUUACUGAUGUUUCUUCCGAGGAUGCGGUAAGCAGUGACGUCUCAUACGCCCUGUACGCCCCGCGUACGCGAGGCCUCUCAGCCCCUAUAAAAGGGAUGCGAGGGUUUCCGGAAAUUUUGCUCAUUCUCUCUCUAUUUUCUUGCGUUUUGCCUCAUUUUCCGUGCCCGUUCAAACCCGAAGCCCUGGUCAUUUUGCUCAAGUCCCGAAGGUCGAUUUUACUCCUGAGAAUCCCGAGAAAAAUCCGUUUCUCGAGAUGAAACUCUGCCCGGUUUUCCAUCUCGCUAUCUUCAAACUUCCAAGUGAGUUCAUACCCCUACAAACACACUUUAAAUACGUUUUUAAAUGCUUUUUAUACUCUUUUAGGGGGGGGGGGAAUACAAGUAAACACACGACUAAAAUCGUGUGAAACAUCGAUCUUUUGAUAUACUUUUCAUACUGUCGUUUUAGCUAUCGUAGGAAGUUAUUUUCAUGCAAAACACCUCACAACACAACUUUACCCUCUUGGGAUACAAUACGUUUUAUAGAUAGAAAUAUGUUUUAUUUAUACGUUUACAUACAAAUACAUCAUAUCAAGGGUAACAUUCUUUACUAAAUCAUUUUAUGCAUUCAAAGAACAUAUUAUUUAUGCUUUGUCAAACAUUGUGAGAAGGAUAAACUAUGCAUACAAAACUAUUACUUUAAUACAGACUUAGUUGAGAAUCCGUGAGACGUGUACGUCUUCAAAUACUGCCUUUUUAUUAGAAAGUAUCGCUACAAGUCAUGUCUAUAACCAGAGUCUCCCGUUCGGAGAACGUGUCAAAUGUGUAUAGAUCUAUACGGGAAGUCAUGAUCUCGCGCCCUGACUGUUAAGCUAAAGUCCUUCCUUUGGGGUGACAGUUGUCAUAACGAUACGACGCCUGAAGAACGUUGCAACAGGCAUAUUAUGUUUAGUAUGGUUAUAAAACUCAUCGGAUAUACAAUUAUUAUAGUGUUAUGUUUUUAUGAACGAGUAGCUAUUAAAUAUAUUCUUCAUCUAACAAGUGCGAUCUUCGUAUAGCUUUAUUAUAUAAAACUAUGACACAACUUUCAAGCACGUCGGUUGCUUGCGAUUUUCGGUCUUAGAGGCUGCCAGUUAUGUUAGGAAAAUAAGGGUUUUUCCUAGAUACAAACCAAACAACUAAUAGGAAAAUAAGGGAUUUUCCUGGUGCAAUUACUUACAACUUAUGACACGAACAUUCAUAUGCAUUUCAUACUUUUAUAAGAAAAUAAGGGUUUUUCUUGGAAAACACAACAAUUCAUAUCUCAACCAUUAGGGAAAAUAUGGGAUUUUCUGGAUCUAAUACAUUCAUUUUCAACACAACAAAUCAUAACUCUUUACAUUUGAAACACUGCGUUUUUCUGGAAAACAUACACGAACUUUCGAAUGGCGUACAUUUUCUCAAAACACUACUUAUGAACUCACCAACUUAAUUGUUGACACUUUUUCUUUGAAAUAACUUGUAUUCUCAGGGAACCGCUAAGCAGAUUUGGAAAUCAACUUUUGGAGAUUAACGUGCUGACGUUAAUUACUUCUUUUGAAGGAUGUUUAUGUAUUUAACUUUUGAACAUGUAACGAAUACAACUAUGUAAACAUUUUGGAAACUUUAAUAUAUAUGGUGGUGUGUACUUUCCUUUCUAUGAACUGUUAUGAUACUGAAUAUGACGUCCUCCGCCCCNCCCCCCCCGAACGUUUCCGUCGUUCUGGUUUGGGGGUGUGACAGCAUAUCUUAUAAUAUCUCAUAAUACAUAAUUUAAGGGUACUUUGGGAAAUCACCAUUCAGGCACUGACUGAUCGUACAUACUGCUCCUUUUUGCUUUUUCUCAAAAUCUUUUACUCUUCUAAGAAAAAUUGUUUCUUUUAUGAAAAAAAUUUUCUCAAAUCCUCAGUUUGAGUUCAGCUAUGCCCGAAGGUGCACCCGAAUCCCUCAAACCAUGGCUCUGAUACCAACUUGUAACGACGUGAAAAUUUAAAACACUUUUUCAUUUUUCAAACAUAACAUUUCUGAUAUAAAUCGUCUCCAACACAUGUGUAUCAAAUGUUAUCACGGUAAAACAUUUCCUAGAAUCCCAAAUACAAAAUCCUAUGUCAGUGUGUACAAAUCAUGUCGGCGCCUUCCCGUGAUCCUCGCUAGUACUUGAAACACAUAUGACAUAACACGGUAAGCAUAGAUGCUUAGUGAGUUCCCAAAAUACUACAUAGAGCACAUAAGCCACUCGAGGCUAUAGCUCUACAAGACCUUCCGGUCAAUGUGUCUCAGGGGUCUCGGUCCCACAAUCAGAGUAGACCUUCGGAUCCUACUAUUUUGACUUUCCGGUCCAUACCAAAUUGACCUUCCGGUCCAUCCACUGUUGGCCUUCCGGUCCAUACCUUAUUAACCUUCCGGUCCAUACCAUACUACUCAUAAAAUACAUAAGAUAUACAUUUCACAUAGAAACAAAUAUCACAUACUCGUCAGAGCACAUAAGACCUUCUGGUCACACAUAAUUACCAUCCUAGGUAAGGUAUAGUGAGAAGACUCACCUGAUACGAUGUCUAGUAACUCACGUGCUCGAAUCCCCGAUCUCGAAACAAUGACCUAGUCCCCGCCUAAUUACAUAAAGUAAUUGUCUCAAAUAUAUAAUGGCUCUCAAGGCUAGUCCAAUCCCUCCCCAUUUUCUUUCAGAAGGCUAAAAGACGAUUUUACCCCUCUAAUGGUUCAAACGUCCACACCUUGACCAAACCCUAAAAGUCAAUGAAAGUCAACUAUAGGGAGUUACGGUACGCAUACUAGGUCUGUACGCGGGGCGUACUCCACGGUCAUCCCAAAUCGGGGUACUCGACCCCUUACGCGGCACGUACUGGGAUUACGCCCAGCGUAAUGCGUAGUUUCAUUCUAUCAUGAUUUUUGGUCUGAAUAGAUAAAGACAUAACCUUAUAUCUUAGAUCUAGGCUUUGCAUGGCUGUAAAGGUCACUAAUCACUUCAAAUAGAUAUCCUCUUUCACCAUUAAACCCUAAUCUCAUGCAUGACUUUGUCUUAACGUCUAACAUUAGAUUUUUAUGGAUCUACAACACAAAAUACACUGAAAUGGGGUAGAUCAAGGUCCAUGGAGUUCCUUUGCUAAAAAAGUCUCCACCGUUGGGAGUUAAACCCAAAAAAUGCUCCUAUAUGUUGUUCAUAACAAUAGAAUGGUAAAGUUUGAAGCUUUUUACCUUUGUGAGAAGCUCCCCACUCAAUUUAGCUCAAACCUAGAAGAUUGGACUCCAAUCCUUCCUCUCCAAGGCCCUAUCUUCUUCUUCAUAAGGACAAAAGAAACUUUCAAGCUCAAAAGCACACACACACAAGUUUAGAACGAAGGUUUAGCUCCUUUAGGGUUUCACUCACUAGAAAUGGUGUCUGGGAUGGAGACCAUAACAUUCCUUUUAAUCUGCACAAGUCUCAUUUAGUGUUUCAUGAUUGAGCUCAGUACGCCCAACGUACACUAUGGUACGCCCAGUGUACUAGGUAGCAUCUACAUCAAGAUCACGCUCAUGAGUACGCGUAACAUACUCUUCAGUACGCCCAACGUACUCAUUUGCUACCAUUUCCUUCUAUGGGCUGGUUUUGACAACUUUCGAAAAGAAGGGGGAUUAAAUAGUUAUACCUAAUUUCUAAAUGUUAUAGAGUCUAAAGGUCUUGAAAAGUUUUAAGAACAAAUCAAGAAGUAAAUCUAUUAGACACUAGCACAUGACUUGAGGUUUGUAACCUAUCGUGUUGACAAAAUUUUAUUUUUGUGCCAAUCCAAUUGAGUGAUUAUGCAUAUGAGUUCUACGAGUUUUCAAUAGACUGCAUAAGGCAAGCACCUUGUUCAAUGAAAGUACAUUGACUGGCAUAGGUGAGCUGCUAAAUAACUUGGAAGCAAUCGUAGGACCAUUGAUGGCAAGAAAUUAAGAAUGAACAAGUUAUGUCCAUAAUAGUUUGGAUUUGUCACAAACAUUAUCUUAUGUUUAUGAUUAUGAAAAAUCCACAUGGAUAGGAACAGAUGCACCAUAAAAUCUAAGUGUCAUAAGGUUUCUCUCCUUCAUGAAAAUGAUUGUGAAGAAACGCUUUCACUAAGAGAGAUUUCAAGGAGAUAGCGAUUAUGUAAAUUGCAUUCUAAAAUUAGAUUAUGAUUAUAGCAUCCAUUUUCAUAGUUCGAAUUGUGAGAUUUGGCAAUUAUUCUAAACAUUUGGGACUUAGUAAUAUAUGUUCUGAAUUAGCUUAGACACACAUGUGAGUUGUCUAAGGAAAGGUGUGUGAUUUUGAGAAGCUUAGAUAAAGGCUUAUCGAAGCACAUCGUAUUGGAAAUACGAACCUUGGAAGUCAACAAGUAUUGUCUUUUAGAAGUCCAACUAUUUUCUAAAUAUGUGUCAAAGCUAGUGGGAGUAUAAAUGUUAUGUUGGAAUGGAUAUAAUCAUCAUGUUAGUGGGAGCAUGAUUAUUGUUUAAGUAUUGAAAGUUGGCAAUAUUAAUUAUAGAAAAACAAAAGUUUCAAUUUGCAUAUUUGCAGGGGUUGAAAAGUUGUUUUUUUGCUAUAAUUAAGGGAGAGAAUGUUAUACUUCGUUUCUAAUCUAAAAGCUUAGAUCGAGAAAUUUUAAUUAAAUCUAGUCAAUGAUAUAGUUAUUAUUUGCAUUCUCAAAGUUCGAUUAUCAUUAUGACAUUCCUCUUCAUAGUUCGAAUUUUGAGACACGACAAAUAGAAAUAUUAUGACAAUAUUAUAGCAAGAAACUAGUAAAGUGUCACACCCCCGAACCAGACGAUGGAAAUGUCUGAGGGCUUGUGCGUGACUUCAUCUUGAAAUAUCAUUACAGUGAAUAUAAUUGAAACAUAACAUCAUCAUCAUCACACAUGUAAUAUAACAACAUUCAUUGUUUACAUGGAGUAUUGUAUUUGAAUAUUACAUGCCAAAAUAGUAAGAGUAUGAUGAAACAAAAUAUAACACAAUAUCCAUUAGUUUGUUUCGUUCAUCCUACUUCAACGGUUUCCUGAGAAUACAAGUUAUUUUGAAAAACAAUAAACAUAAAAAUGUUGGUGAGUUCAUAAGCAUGUUUGUGAAAAUGAUUUGUAUAACUUUGAAAACCACUAGAAAAUCUGAUAUUUUCUGAAAACUAUUUAGUGUGUUUGUGUUAGAUCUUGUGUUAAUGCAUGUAUGUUAUUGUUAUUUGAAGGUAAAGAGAAUGUAGAGAGAUUGUAAGAGUAUGUAAAGAGAAUGUUCCCAGACAACCCGAUGUUGCCUGCAAAAAAAAGGUCUUCUGUAAACUUCAUAACAUUAAUUCCUCUAAGCGAGCCAUCAUAACCAUACUAAAUAAUGACAAUUUCACCUGUCUUGGCGUCGAUGGACGCCGGUUUUGACUUUGAUUAUAAGGUUUUUGUCACCCUAGACUGAGUUAGUCUAACUGUAGCGAACAGCUCAGGUGUGGGGUACCAUCCCCGUAUAGAUCUAUACACAAAUCCUCGUUCUCCCUCCAAGAGACUUUGGUUAUAACUAAAGGCUACGAUCGUACACUUAAUAGGUGCCAACCGACAAAAACUCACUACAUCCUUAAUCGAUUUUACACGAAGAAAAAAGGUAUAAACUCCUUCCAGGCCCAAUUAUCCAUGUAAGUGAACCACUAAGGCAUCGCUAAACAUGUAAAUCAUUUCAAGAACCAAAUGGAAUGAGAUUAUAUAACAUGGGCCCAAAAUAUAUAUGAAAGGACAACCAAGGCCCAUUUCACAUGUAAAGUAUUUAUAGGCCCAAAUAGCACACUAAUAGUAUCCAAGGUCCGUCGCACAUGUUAAUGGGUCAAUGAGGCGCAAUAAUCAUAUACAGGACCUCUCACAGAUAAACAUGGGCGACUAAAGCCCAAUAACCUAGAAAAUGAUCAAAUUAAUCCGUUUAUUGGUUUAUCGUUGGUUUUGGUUCAAGUAUUCACUAAAAUAUCAAAAGGAAGAAAAACACAUAUAAAACUCAUUCCUAGGCCCAAUAAACAUGUAAGUGGACCACUCAGGUCCACUAUACGUGUCUAUUAUUUCCAGGCUCAAAAGGAAUGUGAAUGUCUAUCCUAAGCCCAAUAUACAUGUAAAAGGAAACUAAGGCCCACUAAACACGUAUAUUAUUUCCAGGCCCAAUAAGGAUAUGGAUAUCUAUCCCGAGCCCAAUAUACAUGUAAAAGGACACUAAGGCCCACUAAACAUGUAUAUUAUUUCUAGGCCCAAUAAGGAUAUGAAUAUCAUCUUUAACCCGUUUGUUAUUGUUUUGUUUAUUUAGCUUGAUCAUUUACAUAAUUGAUAUCCAAAGCCAACUUUUUGUAAAAAUGACGUUCUUGGCCUAAUAAGCCAAAAUUUUGCGAUUAAAGCCCAAUUUUGUAAGAAUAACACUUUAGUCUCCAUUUUUGUUCAAAACUUGUGUUGAUGACUAGUAUGUGGUAAAAAUAACAUUUAUAAACUCAUUUUUGUCAAAAAUAUCAUUUUGGUUUGAUUUUUGUGAAAAUGCACAUUUUUCUGGUUUUUGGCUUUUCCGACCUUGUUUUUAGAAAAUUUGUAUAAAACUCAUCGUAAGUCGAAAUUUGGAUCCGUAAAUUCUGGAAGUUUGGAAAUUUUGUCUAGUUUGUUCUCAGUUUUUGUCAUAAUUUUUUAUGGCCCCAAACUAGUGUGAAAUUACUCAUCUUCACAGGUUGGUCCGAAAUUAUUUCAAAUAUGAUAGACAGUUUUGGAAAAUUCGUCAAAAAUUGUAAAAAAAUCGUAUGAAAACGUGAGAGUAGUCAUUUUAAAGUUAUAAAUAUGAAUGUUAUCCAUGUAAAACAGUUGUGAAUAAUCAUUCAAUUUGGAGUGUCAAAACAGUCCGAGAUUGGACCAAAACUUUUCUGUCAAGGUUUGUUUUCUGAGUUUAGUUUAUACAUCUUUGAACAUAACACUUAUUUUUGCUAUAUCAAAUAUAAAAAUCCCAGAUCUACAUUUUUACAUGUAAUACUUGUGAUAAAACAUACUUUUCUCAAGAUUCAUUUGAAGAUCCUAGUGAUAAACUUCAAGUUUCUUAACAUAUUUUUAGAUUAGUGAAGUAAUCAACACAUAAUCACCAAAUGUUUCAAGAAAACACACAUAAUCAUGCAUAUACACAUAGAUCUACACAAUUAAACUUGUAUUCUCCCCCAAAAACAAGUAAAAACCAAAAACAAGGGGGUAUGAACUCACCUUGAGGUUUGCUUCGAUUUUGAUGAAGAGAUAUGAGAAGAUGAUGUUGUUUUUGGACUAGCUUACUUCCUUGAAAAGAUCUUGAAGAUGUGGAUGGUUCUAAGAACAUAAUCCACAAACAUAUGGAUGUAAGAGGAUAUCUUUGAAGAGAUCAAGAAGUUAUAUCAUAGAUCUAAGUGGGAACUUACCAAAGUUGAUGAUUUUGAAUAAGAAUUUCUUGAAGUGUCCUCUAAUUCUCGAAAAUUUAGAGGAGAGUGUUGGAGUGUUCUUGUGAGCUUUCCUUAAGAGAUUUUUAAGUAAAAUAAGUGUGUGGUUGUGAUUUUUGGCUCUGUGGCCGAAUUAAAGAAGAAUAGGAGGGGAAGAGAUGACGCUUGCCUAGAUACAUGUGAAAAUUACAUUGUUGUAUGGUGGUUAUGGUGCAUGGGUGACCACCAUGUAACAUUGAGGUGGCACUUGCAAAAUAAACCACCUUUUCUCCUUUUCUUUUGUAUGCAUAAUGUGGGUUGGGCCGAGAUUUGGUCUAGUAAGAAAGAAAUUGAGGAGAUUUGAGCCUUUACUUGAAUUAUUCGAAUUCAUGAAGCCCAAAAAUAAAUUUUCGGCCCAUUGGGGCAAAUGAAAUCUUUUAUGGCCCAAUAAGGCUCAUUACAGAUAAGAUGGAUUAUUUUAGGCCCACAUGGCCCAAAAUGCUAAAUUUUUAUGAAUGUGGUCCAUUUAGAGCCCAAUUAGGGUUUCUAGGCCCAUGAUAUUCAAAUUGAAGGUUUAUUGGUCCAUUAGGCCCAAUAAGAUAAUUCUAGUUCAUAUUAAACUUGAAUCGGAAUUUUAGAGUUUCAAACUCUUUGUUGAACAUGAAUUCCGAUCCACACUUGGCGCUCCAUCGAACCUUCACAAUCGGAAUGCGGCAUUGUUUUGUACGCUUUACUUCCUUAUCCAAUACAUCAACUGGUUCUUGGAUGAAAAGGAGAUUCUCGUUUACUUCGAACUCUUUCUAAAGGAAUGAUAUGAUUUUUGCCUGAUAGACACUUUUUCAGAUUCGAUACACUGAACAUAGGGUGUACGUUGAUGAGCUCUACAGGCAGCUACAGCCUAUCAAUCUUUGGACCAAUCCGAGCAAGAAUCUCGAACAGUCCAAUGUAUCGCGGGUUUAGUUUUCUCGUUUCCUAAAGCGAAUCAAUCCUUUCUUGGGAAAGAAUUUCAAUCGUACCAAGCCUGCGACUUGGAAUUCCAUAGGUUUUCGUUAUUUGUCAGCAUAACUCUUAUGUCCUUCUCGUGAUGCUUAAAGUUGAGUUCUGAUUUUGGAUUAUCUUCUCUGUCGUUUCGCGAAGGGUUUCUGGUCCCGUGCGGGUAAUGGCGAGUGAUCCGCAUUUUCGACCAUAAAGAGUCUCGAAAAGAGCAUCCUUGAUGCUCAUGCAAUAGCUAUUAUUGUGUGAGAAUUUAAUCAAGGGCAACCGGGUAUCCCAUGACUUGCUGAAUUCAAGCACCCAGACUUGUAGCAUGAAAUUGAGUGGUUGAAUGGUUCAUUUGCUUUGGCUAUUGGUUUGAGGGUGGUAAGCAACGCUCAUACUUAGCUAUGUUCCCAUAGCCUUCUGAAAUGACUGUCAAAGUCUUAUAGAAAUCCUGUUAUCUCGAUCCGAGAUAGUAGAUACCGAUAUUUCAUGGAGUCUCACGAUCUCCUUGAUAUAGAUCCAGGCUAGUCUAUCCAUCUUGUUAGAUUUUUGUAUUGGCAGGAAAUGAGCGGAUUGUGUUAACCUAUGGACGAUCACCCAGAUAACGCAAACUCAACUCUUAUAACAAUAAGCUUCGUCUUUUGACUUUGAGAGUUUUAUCCAUCCAUGUAGUGCUUUCUUCGUGAUAUUAUCCAGCUUUGAUGCUUUCAAGGCUGGUCGUAGAUGCUGACAGUGUUUGUUCUUGUUUCAUGAGCAGAUGAGUAUGCUAUUGAUGAAAAUAAUGAAAAGGCUGACUAGGAAUGGUUGAGAAAACUCGGUUCGUAGGAUCCAUGAAUACUGUGGGAGAAUUCGUUAGAUGCAAGGGUAUCACAAUGAAUUUGAAAUGGUCGCGACAAGUUCGGAAAGCAGUUUUUCGAAUGUCCUCUCCUCGGACUCGAAGUUGAUGAUAACCGGUUCUUAGAUCUAUUUUAGAGAGGUAACUAGCUCCUUGGAGCAUAUUCAAUUUCCUAAAAUCGAUAUACCUUCUGAAGGAUCCGUCUUCUUGAAGAACAAGAGCGGAGCUCUCCAGGGUGAGAAGCUUGGUCCUAUGGAUAUUUUGCUCAAAAAUUUUCUUAAUUGAGUGGAUAACUCGUGAAUUUUCGGCGGGAGUCAACCUAUAGGGUGAAUUGGCAAUUGAUGUGAUUCCUGGUAUGAGGUCGAUUCGAAAUUUAACCUAUUUCUUGGGGUCUUCCCUGAAGUUCUUUAGGAAAUACAUCCGGAAAAUCCCAUGCUAAUGGAAUACCUCGUAUGCUUACUUCAUCCUUGGUCUUGUCCAUACCAGAGUGAGGAAAAUGUAGUUCUUCUAGUGCAGGCACUUUUGUGCCUUGAUGUACGAGAUAGGACGAGGAUUGGCUCCAGGAUUAUGACCAUGGAUUAUUAGAGUUUCGUGAUUAGGAGGUGAAGGCAAACGACCCUCUAGCGACACAUAGUAUCAGCACGGUGGGGACUUAACCCAACCAUGCUAAUUAUCACAUCAAAACUCCUAAUAUUUACUGGCAUUAAAUUUAUUUGGGAUGAAUGGUUGUUUAGUGUUAUGGUGCACCGUACAUGAAUAUCUUUGGUUAAUACGGUUUUUCCCAUUAGCCAUCUCCACCGUCAAGGCUUCGUUUAGCUUUUCGGGUUGUUGUUUCAGUAAGCAUUUGAAUUUGUUACUAACGGAGCUUCGCUCAGCUUCACUAUUGAAUCAGAGAUAAGCGAAAGAGUUGUUAAGUGGGAACGUAUCAGUAACAACCGUCGGGUCUUGGACUGCUUCGCCUUGGCCCAACGUCAGGACUGUGACAUCCCCAAUUUCACGCCCAGAAAAGACCGAUUUGUUUAUGCUUGCUUUUAAAAUUACAGUAAUCUUUUAAAGAACACAGUUGCAGAAUUUGUUCCCAAAACAAAAUAUGAUAAAAAUUAUCAAAGCAUUUCUUUAAAGAAAUGUAUUUUCAUUAUAUAACAAAAUCUCGGGAUGUCAUGUUCAAUACAGACCAAAAGCAUAAUCAUAACAAAGUAGACCUUACAACAGUUAUUUAUAUCUACAGGCCUAUAAACCAAAAUCUCUCGUCAUGUCCACCAACUUAUAAUCUUGUGCCAUUACCUGUAAUGCAAAGAAAACUGAGUGGGUCAGACUUGGCAGCCUGGUGAGCAUAUAGGGUUUUCAACCAACAAUAAUAUAAUUAUUAUAUUUAAUUAUUACACAACCAAUUCAAAUACCCACCCCCAUUAUCUCCAUUUAUUUCUAAAAGAUUUAUCCUGAGAACCAAUUACCCUUCUCCCAUUCAUUCCUAAGGAUUGCCCUAAGGAACUAGCACAAUGUCUAGUGCUGCCAAGGUUCUUAGAUUACCUCUGGUGAACAUGAAAUUCACAAUAAGUAAUCAACACCUAGCUCAAGAACACCUAAUGAACAGUUAGUUCCAACAUUACGCAAUGAACACCUAGUUCACAAACACUUAAUGAACACUUAGUUCAAUUAUCCGUGAUGAACACUAACUUCAAAUAUCUAAUGAACACUUAGUUCGUAUAUCCCUGGUGAACCCAAUCACCUAAGGAGCAUAGAGAAUGAAAUCUCUUAAUUCAAACAACUUGAUAAUAAAGUAUAUCUCGAUCCUGCGAAACCACUAAUGUUAUAAACACAUAUAAAUUAUAUUUCUAAAAUAAUAUAUCCCAUCCCGUCGAUCCCAACAUACUGACCCUACACAAUGAUCUUACAAGAUCUAGCCUAAGGAAUCGAUAUGAACCACAAACUGACGAAGCUGCUUUGGAAAUUCCCUACCAGCAAACGAGGAUCAAUAAAGACAUCAAAUGAGGGGAAUGGAAUAAGUUUCACCACGAACCUUCGUUUGUAAAAGAAAGAACCACAAGACAGUUAAGUCAGGGAUAGUUAUCUAGAUAACAAUGCCUAGGCGUGGUCUGACUAUCAUGAGGUAUUAUACCCCCAGACUCUACCUAUCCCAGCAUCGAACUUUGCCUAGUAGUGGCCUGAAUACAUGAGGUAUUUCACCCCCAGGCGCACCCUAUCUAGCAAUAUAACACCAGACAUACCUAUCAGUGGUCUAUUACCGACACACUUUAUUAGGCAGUCUACGAAGUUCCCUUAAUUACUUCGUGAAAGAAAACGCUGACAUAUGAAGCUCUGUCGAUCACCUCAUAAAAGAAACGCCGACUCCAAAGCUCUCUCAAAAUAAAAGUACGGAGAAAUACUACUAGAGUACUCCUGUACGCUCCCGUAACCGACACACAAAAUUGUCAAAAAGACUUUGUACAUGAUAGUACUUUUGGCACAUUAUAGUACUUUGAUAUGCGAAAGAAUCGUACCCGAGAACAUAAUAUUACCUUGGCACAAGCAGCACCCAAGACACAUAGCUUUGAAAAAGACUUCGUACAUAAAAUGUACUUCUGUACGUAGGACGUACUCCACCGAUCAUCAAUCUCACAACACACGUACUCUUAAUAAGAGGCUACCCAAUGUCCAAACUUAAUUGAACUAAACAUCCUUAUUUAAGCCUUAACCCAUCACCAGGCAAGCCUACAAUGCUUAUAAUCAAUUUUCGAUAUUAACUCCGUUUAGGCAAUGCUAACUAGUGUAUACUUAACACAGAGUUUUAAGUAAUAAUAUCAUAUAUUCAUAUCUUAACACAUAUUGAACCAUAACUGAUUUACACGUUGUAUAUUAUCAAAUAUAUCUAACCCGUAUUUCGGACAAUAACAAAUACUUUACAUACAUAUGUACAUUUCAUACUUUAAUCAAUCCACGUAUUAAAAUCACGUUCCUAAAAGGGACUAUAUGUAGUUCUAAAAUACAUAAUCCGUACUCUUGGAUCUUAAAUUUUCCUCAUUACCUAAUCCAUAUUCCCAGAUCUAAAACUAAUCUCUUGAUCUGAUCCAUACCCUUGGAUCUAAAACUAACUUUAUGCUCUGAUCCAUAUUCUCGGAUCUAAAACAAUUUUAUGUCUUCAUCCUUUUAUCUCAUGGUCCAACCCACCUUUAUUCACCUACCAACAACCUCAUCUACUCAUGUUCUACCCAACAUAUUUUUAGAUACAAAAUACAUAUAUAGUUUAACUCAUUAAAACAUAUAUAAUUUGUCCAUUCCGCAAUCAUCUCAAAUAAAAAACAAUAUAUUAUACACAUAGCACGUACUUCAUAGCAAAUACUUAAUAUUUAUGUGUUAGAAGAAAGUGACCACACACUCACUUCAUUAGAAGAUGAUCGGACAGCACUACGGCUUGUAGAAGUAGUAUUCUUCGGUAGAUCUGAAAGAUACUCACAAAAAUUGGCUUCUCGUGGGCAGAGCAUCGGCUCGGGAAUUUCACUUCUCGGGAUCUUCGGGGCUUCAGGACUUGCUUCAGGUCUCGGGAAUGAUACCGGGGCUUCGGGAUAUUUCUUGCACGAAAAAUAUGCAAAAACGCAAGAGAAAAGGAAGAAAUAAGCAAAGAACUCGGCUGCACUCGACUUCCAUUUAUAGGGGGCUGGAACAACAAAUUACGUUGGGCGUAAUUCCAUGUUCCGCUGGGCGUAAUGUGGAUCAGCUUGCUGACUCCCCCCGUGGAUAAUAUCGGUUAUUUUAUAUUUAAAUUAAAUAUCAAAAAUAUUUAAUAAACUUCAAAAAUUCAUAUAUAUUCCUCAUACGAACUCCGUUUUCAAUGUUCUUUAUAUCCCCGCGUAGGUGAGACUACGCUCUACAACUUUUAUUUAGACUCCGUUGGCUAAUUUUGAAUUUAUUUUUAUUAUAUUAUUUUAGUAGGCCGGGACAGGAAAACUCCGUUAUUAAUUCAUAACUUCUUCAUCUGACGUCCGUUUUUGCCUAUCUUUUUAUCAUUUCACUACAAUUGAUGAGAUCUUCGAUUCUCGUUUAGAUUGUUUCAGGUAAAAACUGCUCGAUCUCAAAUCGAGUAUUCAGGCUGCAUAUUUCUAAGCUGAAACUUACAAAAAUCAUAACUUCGUCACACGAAGUCAGAUUUGGACGUUCUUUUUAUGCACGCUCACGGUUUAACGAACUCUACGACUUUCGUUUAGAUCGCUAAGGCUAAAUAUCGCUCUAACGUACAUUCACUAUUUACGUCGCGCUGUGUCGUGUCGGUUUUGUCGCGAAACUUCGACAGGUCAUAACUUCUUCGUUAUAACUCGAAAUUCGGCGUUAUUUAUAUGCACGGAAACCUUGUAACAUAUACUAUAACUUAGUUAAGAUUAUUCAUUCUAAAUAAUCUUUCAUCAAAAAUUCAUUUUUGACGCCUAUCGUCUCUAAAUUGACUAGCCCGGAUCUACGGGCGUUACAAUUAUCUCCCCCUUAGGAUGAUUACAUCCUGGAAUCAUCAAAGAAAUAGGACUUGCAUAAUGAUUCCACAUGUUACCUCUUCAUCCUAAGAAAUAAUUGUAACUUCCAUGUUUCCACGAAAGAGUAUUUAACUCUAUGGCUUUCUUGACCGCAGAAGAUGCCCAAUCUUGCAUCUGCUUAUCGUACUAUGUUGUCCUUUCAAUUGUGACCUUCAAGUUACCAAAUAAGUCCUUAUUGUGGACUCCUUCUUCUUCUCAGGAUAAAUACUUUCCUUUAUCUAUUGUAACAAACCAAUGGUCAUGCUCUAUUGACCUCUCAUCGCACGAUGCGACUCUUAGACAUGGUCUUUAAAAAAGUUAAAUUCCAGAAUGGAAUAUACCUUCCUUCAUAUUCUAAUGUGAUAUGAUCACAUUUUAGCAUGCAGCAUUUCUACAUGCAAACUUCUUUUAACAACAAGUGCGACACUAUCAAUCGCAUUAACUUCAACCUUUUAACUUAUGUCAGAUGUUGCUUCUAACUUGGUCCUCUAGACCACGUAACAUACUCCUCGUAGUCGAACUCAAAUUCAAAUAUGACCACUAGGGUCGGAACAUGAACCGUCUUACUAGUAAUUACCGAAACAAUGGUAAUGACAUACCAAAAUAAAAUGGAAUCAAUCACCAGCUUCUUGGUAACCUUAUGACUUUCCCUGAUCCAAGUGCGAGUCUUGUGCUUCCGGUAGUAUAUGUAUCUACUACCUUUCACACCUACUCAUACUCGUCCCAAGUAUUGUCCCGCAGUUGACCAAGUCACCAUACAAGAAAAUCACAAAACAAUUUAACACAUGCGAAUGUGUCUAAAAAAUCAUAAAAAUUUCCCUAGACUCUACUAGGACUUCCCUAUUGCGUAUCAUCAAUCAUUAAUUUCCACUUCCACUUGAUUGGUGAUGGAAAUUCCAGACGAUGGGACAACUUCAAGAAUUACACCAAUCGUUCCAUCAUCCUGCCAAUCGAAGGUGUACUCCAUACGUACUAUACUCCCCUAAACAUAUUGUUAUUUUAUAUGGAAUAUUCUAAAGGCAAGAUACCACUCUUACGAUAUCUUCCGAUAGGUGUCACUCACUAUCAUAAGCCUUCUUUAUUUCAUCCAUUUAUUCAAUUCUCUACAAGUCUUCACUAUGACCUUUUGUACAUCCAAACAGACAUUCGGUGUACCCAGCGAGAAUUUAAGAUAAGAAAGCUUUAAUUACGAUAGACCUAUAAUUCUCCUUAUCACCCCGAAACGUUUACAUGCUAGUUCUAAUAUCGUAGUCAUACGCUUAGAAUCCUAAACACAUAAGGUUUCCAGAUCCGGUCGGCAACAGACCAUAGAUCCGAACAAAUAAUAGCAUCAAUAUAGCUAUCACACAAAACAUUUAGCACAUAAAAGCAUUUUAGGCAUCACUCCUAAAAUAAACUAGUGCUUGUGUCAAUUUAGGUGUACUACCUAACAUAUUUUAGACACACUCCUCACAAUCAUUACUUAGCAUUCUAAGUUUAAGUCUAGAAAUUUCCGACAAAUUCCUAAUUCGCUUAAACUAAUGCUCUGAUACCAACAGUUGCGGAAUUUGUUCCCAAAACAAAAUAUGAUAAAAAUUAUCAAAGCAUUUCUUUAAUGAAAUGUAUGUUCAUUAUAUAACAAAAUCUCGGGAUGUCAUGUUCAAUACAGACCAAAAGCAUAAACAUAACAAAAUAGACCUUACAACAGUUAUUCGUAACUACAGGCCUAUAAUCCAAAAUCUCUCGUCAAGUCCACCAACUAAUACUCUUGUGCCAUUACCGAUAAUGCAAAGAACACUGAGUGCGUCAGGCUUGGGAGCCUGGUGAGCAUAUAGGGUUUUCAACCAACAAUAAUAUAAUUAUUAUAUUUAAUAAUUACACAAUCAAUUCAAAUACCCACCCCCAUUAUCUCCAUUUAUUUCUUAAAGAUUUAUCCUAUGAACCAGUUACCCUUCUCCCAUUCAUUCCUAAGGAUUGCCCUAAGGAAUUGGCACAAUGUCUAGUGCUGCCAAGGUUCUUAGAUUACCUCUGGUGAACACGCAAUUCACAAUAAGUAAUGAACACCUAGUUCAAGAACACCUAAUGAACACUUAGUUCCAAUAUUACCCAAUGAACACCUAGUUCACAAACACUUAAUGAACACUUAGUUCAAUUAUCCCUGAUGAACACUAAGUUCAAAUAUCUAAUGAACACUUAGUUCGCAUCUCCCCGGUGAACCCAAUCACCUAAGGGGCAUAGAGAAUGGAAGCUCUUAGUUCAAACAACGUGAUAAUAAAGUAUAUCUCGAUCCUGCAAAACCACUAAUGUUAUAAACACAUAUAAAUUAUAUUUCUAAAACAAUAUAUCCCAUCCCGUCGAUCCCUAUAUACUGACCCUAUACAAUGAUCUUAUGAGAUCUAGCCUAAGGAAUCGAUAUCAACCACAAACUGACAAAGCUGCUUCGGAAAUUCCCUACCAGCAAACGAGGAUCAAUAAAGACAUCGAAUGAGGGGAAUGAAAUAAGUUUCACCACGAACCUUCAUUCGUAAAAGAAAGAACCACAAGACAGUUAAGUCAGGGGUAGUUAUAUAGAUAACAAUGCCUAGGCGUGGUCCGACUAUCAUGAGGUAUUAUACCCCCAGACUCUACCUAUCCCAACAUCGAACUUUGCCUAGCAGUGGCCUGAAUACAUGAGGUAUUUCACCCCCAGAUGCACCCUAUCCAACAAUAUAACACCAGACAUACCUAGUAGUGGUCUAUUACCGACACACUUUAUUAGGCAGUCUCCGAAGUUCCCUUAAUUACUUCGUGAAAGAAAACGCUGACAUAUGAAGCUCGGUCGAUCACUUCAUAAAAGAAACGCUGACUCCAAAGCUCUCUCAAAAUAAAAGUAUGGGGAAAUACUACUAGAGUACUCCCAUACGCUACCGUAACCGACAAACAAAAUUGUCAAAAAGACUUUGUACAUGAUAGUACUUCUGGCACAUUACAGUACUUUAGUAUGCGAAAGAAUCGUACCCGAGAACAUAAUACUACCCUGGCACAAGCAGCACCCAAGACACAGAGCUAUGAAAAAGAAUUCGUACAUAAAAUGUACUUCUUACGUAGGACGUACUCUACCGAUCAUCAAUCUCACAACACGCAUACGCUUAAUAAGAGGCUACCCAUUGUCCAAACUUAAUUGAACUAAACAUCCUUAUUUCAGCCUUAACCCAUCACUAGGCAAGCCUACAAUGCUUAUAAUCAAUUUUCGAUAUUAACUCCAUUUAGGAAAUGCUAACUAGUGUAUACUUAACACAAAGUUUUAAGUAAUAACAUCAUAUAUUCACAAAACAACUAUUUCAUCUACCCAUGUUUUACCCAACACAUUUUGUAGAUAUAAAAUACAUAUACAAUUUAAAUCAUUUAAAACAUGUAUAAAAAUCUUUCACCCGGCAUAGACAGCAAGUAUUCAGACAAUAUGCACACACAGCACGUAAUUUAUAUUAAAAUACUUCAUAUCUAUGUGUAAGAUGAAAGGGACUAUGCACUCACCUGGAAGGUGGUGAUACAGUACUCGGACAACGCUUCGAUACUCUCAAAACAAUUUCCUUCUAUAAAACAGCGAAUUUUAUCGAAAACCAGAACUUAAUUGGAGCAGCGUUUCGAAACCGAAAAACUCCUUUUCCUCGGGACUCUGGGAGGCUCGGGGCUUCCCUAGGGUGCUAAGGGGCUUAACUAUGGUUUAGGGGUGGUUUGGGGUUUUAAAGAGAGAAAGAGGUUAGAGAGAGAAGUGAAAAAGGUGUGAAAAUUGAUGAAGUCUUGGCCUCCUUUUAUAGCCCUAGGAGGCCUCGGUACGCUGGGCGUACGUCGGACCUACGCGGGGCGUAGCCAUCGGAUAAGAGUGCCAGCUUCGCACCAGCUGGCUCGCAACGUCGGAAGAGAUAAGGCGAGGGUACGCGGGGCGUACUGGCUUCGGACGCGGGGCGUAAGCGAAGGCGACGUGUUCUUCAUCCGAAGCGAGCCGUGAUCAGCAAGCGAUGGCCCAGAUGCAGCCACGUCAUCCAUCUCGCAUCAGAUUUCACAAUUUCCACUCCCGACUUCUAAAAAUCAUAACUUUUGCAUACGAGCUCCGUUUUCGACGUUCUUUAUAUCCACGCGAAGGUGGGAACAUACUCUACAACUUUCUUUUAGACUUUGUUGGCUAAUUUUGGCUCGAUUUUAAAUUUUAUAUUAUUAACGGGCCGGGACACGAUUGGUCCGUUAAAUCUUCACAACUUCUUCAUUCGACAUCCGUUUUCGCCCAGCUUUUUCUCGUUACACUACUCUCAACGAGAUCUUCGAUUCUCGUUUAGGUCAUGUCGGCUAAAACCCGCUCAAUCUAAUAUUCGAAUUUCGAGUUGUACACUGCUAGUCCGAAACUUCAAAAAAUCAUAACUUCUUCAUACGAAGUCAGAUUUGGGCGUUCUUUUUAUCGAUGUUCUUAGUUUAACAUAUUGUAUGACUUUCGUUUAGAUCGCUAAGGCUAAAUCUUGCUUUAUCAUAAAUUCACUAUUUACGCUUCCCGGUGCCGUGCCGGUUUUGUCGCGGAACUUCGACGGGUCAUAACUUCUUCGUUAUAACUCGGAUUUUAUAUGUACGGAAACCUUGUAACAUAUUCUACAACUUGGUUAAGAUUAUUUAUUCUAAAUAAUCUUUUGUCGAAAAGUCGUUUUCGACCCCUAUUGCCUCUAAAUUGACUAGCCCGGAUCUACGGGCGUUACAAUUAUCUCCCCCUUAGGAUGAUUACGUCCCGGAAUCAUCAACGAAACAGGGCUCACAUGAUGAAUCCAUUUGUUAUCUAUUCAUCCUAAGUCAUAACUUCGAUGUUUCUUUGAACGAGUAUCUAACUCUUAGACUCCUUCACUACAAGCGGUGGUCGAUCUUGCAUCCGCUCUCUAUCUCACGUUAGACUCCAGAUUAUGACCUUCGAGCCACAAUGUCAAUCCUCAGUGGAUACAAUAUUAGGAAAAGUUCUUUUCGUUACUACAAUGGAACGAUGUGUCAUAUUCUAAUGACCUAUCAUCGUACGUUGCAACACUUGGACUUAGGUCUCUUAGAGUUAAACCCUAAAACAGACUAUGUCUUCCUUCAUGUUCUAAUGUGAUAUAAUCACACUUUAACAUUAGGCAUUUCUAGCUAUCAACUUCUUUAACAACUAGUGCGAUAUUUCUAUUGAUCGCUUUGAUUCCAAUCGUUUGGUUUAAGUCGGACGCUUCAUCAAACUUGGUUCUCUGAACCACGUAACCUACUCAUCGUAAUCGGACUCAAUGGAUAUGACCACUAGGGUCGGGAUAACAACAAUCUUCUUAGUCAUUAACGAAAUAAUGGUAACGACAUACUUGAAUAAAACAAAUCAAUUACUAGCUUCUUGGUAACCUAGUGACUUUCCCUGAUCCAAGCGUGAGUCCUGUGCUUCCGGUAGUAUAUGCAUCUACUACCUUUCACACCUACUCAUAGUCAUCCCAAGUAUUGUCUCGCAGUUUUCCAAGUCACCAUGCAAGAAAAUCACAUAACUGUUUAGCACAUCAAAUAACAAAACAAAGCUUUUAUUAUUUCUUGAAACUAUUACAUAGGUGUUCAAGUUCACCCUAGACUAUGCCUCUAAUAGGAUACAUCAUACGAUACUAUGGCUACUCCAUAACUUGAUCUUCGGAUAUGAAGUCUUUAUCCUUGAUUCCUCGCAUGGUUUUCUGUUUCGUCGAGGAUCAUGUGAAAUGCCCUUGGCCUUGGUGGCAUGUUUGGCCUUGUUGCUUCAUUCUUCUUUGGGCAAUUCUUUGAAAGAUGCCCCCUUCUUUACAUUCAUAACACAACCUCUUGUUGGAUGUACACUCAUUGGCGUAAUGCCCAGACUUUCCACACUUGAAACAUGUCACCUCUUCGCCGCAUUUUCCAAAGUGUUUCUUCUUGCAUUUAUCACACCAUCUUGCUUCACCUCCUCCUCCAGGCUUUGAGAAUUUGCUCUCCUUGUUGGACCUUUAAGAUCCUUAAAACUUCCGCUUCUCUCCUGCCUUAUCUUUUUCUAGACCCUUUUCUCUUAUCUGGGCCUCUACAUUCUUAGCUGCCCUAACUGCUGUUUUCAAGGUAGUUGCCAUUUUGACCAUUGGGCCAAAGUCAGUGGGUAAUCCAUUAGCAAACCUAUCAAUCUUGGAGAGUUCAGUAGGAACCAAGUAGGGAAAUAGCUUCAUCCUCUCGGUGAAUGCGGUGGCGUACUCAUCAGCACUCAUCUUCCCUUUCUUCAGGUUCUGAAACUCGUUGUUAAGGUCUAUCAGAUCUAUCUCUGAGCAGUACUGCAUUUUCAACUGUUCCAAAAACUCUUCCCAUGACAUCCUUAGGGCUUCUCCUCAUGGCAUCGUAUCUGCCAAUAGCUUCCACCAGCUCAAGACUCCUGCUUUCAGUUGUCUUACAGCGAAGACGGUCUUCUGUUUCUCGCUACAGUCGCAGCUCUCAAACACCAUCUCCAUCUCGGAGAUCCAAUCCAUAAUCUCAACAGGCUUUGGGCUUCCUGAGAGACAUGGUGGUUUCGCACCCAAGAAAUUCUUGUACAUUCGCCGAUCCUUGUCGUUUCUCCUCUCCGGGCCAUCCCUUCGUUCACCUUGAGUCUCCACUCGACUCACUUGGCGGCUGUAGUUCCCUUCCUCCGAUUGCUCGGGAAUCGGUCCGGGUUGCUCAAUGGCCAAUGUAGCUUCGACCUUAUUCAACAUCUGCCUCAUUUCUUCCCUUUGUUCAGCUAACAUAGCCCAAAUCAUGGCUUGAACUCCAGCCAUGGUGACUGGCUCAGGUGCAACUUCUUGUACAACAUGUAUUUGCUGAACCAUUGGGGGUGGGUUACUAUUCUCAUUUGCAUUCAUGUUCCCGCUACGGGUCCUUGCCAUCUUGAUCUAUACACCGAAUAAGGUGAAUCUAGACCUUUACUUAGGAUUGACGUGUAAAUCAUCCUUAUCACUCCAAAACGUUUAUAUGCUAGUUCUAAUAUCGUAUUCGUACGUUUAGAAUACUAAACACAUACCGUUUCCAGAUCCGGUCGGCAACAGACCAUAGAUCCGAUCAAAAUAUAGCAUAUCAAAUCAUUUAGCACAUAAAAGCAAUUUAGGCAUCAUUCCUAAAAUAAGCUAGUGCUCGUGUCUAUUCAGGUGUAUUACCUAAAUCUAUUUGACACACUCCUCACGAUCAUCACUUAGCAUUCUAAGUUUAAGUCUAGAAAUUUCCUACAAAUUCCUAGUUCGCUUAAACUAAUGCUCUGAUACCAACUGUGACAUCCCCAUUUUCACGGCUAGAAAAGACCGAUUUUGUUUAUGCUUUGUAAAAGUCAGAGUAAAAUGUUGCGGAAUUUGUUCCCAGAAAAACAAAAUAAAUACGUUAUUAAAACAUUUUCAAAGAAACUCAUUUUAUUCAUUUUAAAACAUUUGGGAUGUCAUUGUCAAUACAGAAACAUAAGCAUAAACAGAACUUACAUUUAUUUACACUAGUGAUCUACAUCUCUUUAAUCUCUCAGUGUAAUGUGACUUCAUAUCAACACCUGUAAUAUAAAUAAACUGAGUGGGUCAGGUUGGGAAACCUGGUGAGUACAUAGGGUUUUCAACCCACAAUAAUAUAAUUAUUAUGUUUAAACAAUCAAGCAAUUAAACCCAAUUACCCAUCCCCAUUAUCUUCUUUACUCUUAAGGAUGUACCCUAAGAAUCAGCUAUUUCUCGUUCAUUCAUUCCUAAGGAUUAUCCUAAGGAAUCGGCACGAAGUCCAUCGUCACCAAAGCUUAUAGAUUACAACCGGUGAACACGUAGUCCAAAAUAUCUGGUAAACACUUAGUUCAAAAGUAACUAGUGAACACACUUAGUUCAAAAUACGUAGUGAACACACUCAGUUCAAACAUACGUAGUGAACACACUCAGCUCAAAAUACCUAAUGAGCACCUAGUUUAAAAACACCUACAGGUUACGAGCUUAAUAGCGUUCCACCGGACCGUCUAGUAUCGCCCAUGGUCAUCAUCUAUACUCCAUUAGAUGACUGGAUUACUGACAACAUUGAUGUCUCCCAUCGUGUUAUCACAAAACAACUAUUUGAUCUACCCAUGUUUUACCCAACACAUUUUGUAGAUAUAAAAUAAAUAUACAGUUUAAAUCAUUUAAAACAUGUAUAAAAUUCUUUCACCCGACAUAGACAGCAAGUAUUCAGACAAUAUGCACACACAGCACGUAAUUUAUAUUAAAAUAAUUCAUAUCUAUGUGUAAGAUGAAAGGGACUAUGGACUCACCUGAAAGGUGGUGAUUCAACACUCGAACUCUCAAAACAAUUUCCUUCGAUAAAACAACGAAUUUUAUCGAAAACCGGAACUUAAUUAGAGCAGCGUUUCAAAACCGAAAAAACUCCUUUUUCUCGGGACUCUUGGAGCCUCGGGGCUUAACUAGGGUUUAGGGUGGUUUGGGGUUGUAGAGAGAGAAAGAGGUUAGAGAGAGAAGUGAAAAAGGUGUGAAAAAUGAUGAAGUCUUUGUCUCCUUUUAUAGCCCUGCGAGGCCUCGGUACGCUGGGCGUACCUCUGACCUACGCGGGGCGUAGCCAUCGGAUAAGAGUGCCAGCUUCGCACCAGCUGGCUCGCAACGUCGGAAGAGAUAAGGCGAGGGUACGUGGGGUGUACUGGCCUCGGAUGCGGGGCGUAAGCGAAGGUGACGUGUUCUUCAUCCGAAGCGAGUCGUGAUCAGCAAGCGACGGCCUAGAUGCAGCCACGUCAUCCAUCUCGCAUCAGAUUUCGCAAUUUCCACUCCCGACUUCUAAAAAUCAUAAAUUUCGCAUACCAGCUCCGUUUUCGACGUUCUUUAUAUCCACACGAAGGUGGGAACAUACUCUACAACUUUCGUUUAGACUUUGUUGGCUAAUUUUGGCUCGAUUUUAAAUUUUAUAUUAUUAACGGGCCGGGACACGAUUGGUCCGUUAAAUCUUCAUAACUUCUUCAUCCGACAUCCGUUUUCGCCGAUCUUUUUCUCGUUACGCUACUCUCAACGAGAUCUUUGAUUCUCGUUUAGGUCGUGUCGGCUAAAAACCCCUCAAUCUAAUAUUCGAAUUUCGGGUUGUGCCUUGCUAGUCCGAAACUUCAAAAAAUCAUAACUUCUUCAUACGAAGUCAGAUUUGGGCAUUCUUUUUAUCGAUGUUCUUAGUUUAACAUAUUCUACGACUUUCGUUUAGAUCGCUAAGGCUAAAUCUCGCUUUAUCGUAAAUUCACUAUUUACGCUUCCCGGUGUCGUGCCGGUUUUGUCGCAAAACUUCGACGGGCCAUAACUUCUUCGUUAUAACUCGGAUUUCGGCGUUCUUUAUAUGUACGGAAACCUUGUGACAUACUCUACAACUUGGUUAAGAUUAUUUAUUCUAAAUAAAAUUUUGUCGAAAAGUCGUUUUCGACCCCUAUUGCCUCUAAAUUGACUAGCCCGGAUCUAUGGGCGUUACACUUAUCGAAUGAAUACGUAGUUCUAAAAUACAUAAUCCGUACUCUCGGAUCUUAAAUUUUCCUCAUUACCUAAUCCAUAUUCCCAGAUCUAAAACUAACCUCUUGAUUUCAUCCAUACUCUUAGAUCUAAAACUAACCUCCUCCUCUGAUCCAUAUUCUCGGAUCUAGAACAAGUUUAUCUCUUUAUCUGUUUAUCUCAUGGUAUCGAAUGAAUACGUAGUUCUAAAAUACAUAAUCCGUACUCUCGGAUCUUAAAUUUUCCUCAUUACCUAAUCCAUAUUCCCAGAUCUAAAACUAACCUCUUGAUUUCAUCCAUACUCUUAGAUCUAAAACUAACCUCCUCCUCUGAUCCAUAUUCUCGGAUCUAGAACAAGUUUAUCUCUUUAUCUGUUUAUCUCAUGGUCCAACCCACCUUUAUUCACCUACCAACAACCUCAUCUACUCUUGUUCUACCCAACAUAUUUUUAGAUACAAACUACAUAUAUAGUUUAACUCAUUAAAACUUAUAUAAUUCGUCCAUUCCACAAUCAUCUCAAAUAAACAACAAUAUAUUAUACACAUAGCACGUAUUUCAUAGCAAAUACCUAAUAUUUAUGUGUUAGAAGAAAGUGACCACACACUCACUUGAUUAGAAGAUGUUCGGACAGCANGUAGAAGUAGUAUUCGUCUGUAGAUCUGGAAGAUCUUCACAAAAAUUGGCUUCUCGGGAGCAGAGCUUCGGCUCGGGAAUUUCACUUAUCAGGAUCUUUGGGGCUUCAGGACUUGCUUCGGGUCUCGGGAAUGAUAUCGAGGCUUCGGGAUAUUUCUUGCACGAAAAACGAUGCAAAAAAGCGAGAGAAAGGGAAGAAAUGAGCAAAGAACUCGGCUGCACUCGACUUCCUUUUAUAGGGGGCUGGAACAACGAAUUACGCUGGGUGUAAUGUGGGUCAGCUCGUUGAGUCCCCCCCAUGGAUAAUAUCGGUUAUUUUAUAUUUAAAUUAAAUACUGAAAAUAUUUAAUAAACUUCAAAAUUUCAUAUCUUCCUCAUACGAACUCCGUUUUCGACGUUCUUUAUAUACCCGCGUAGGUGAGACUACGCUCUACAACUUUUGUUUAGACUCCGUCGGCUAAUUUUGAAUUUAUUUUUAUUAUAUUAUUUUAGUAGGCCGGGAUAGGAAUACUCCGUUAUAAAUUCAUAACUACUUCAUCCGACGUCCGUUUACGUCUAUCUUUUUAUCGUUUCACUACAAUUGACGAGAUCUUCGAUUCUCGUUUAGAUUUUUUUGGCUAAAAACCGCUUGAUGAAUGGCACAACUCCAAGGUCUCCAAUGAAGUUCUUCAGCCAUAUAGCCUCUUUCGAUGCUUCUCUUGCCACAAUGUACUCUGAUUCACACAUUGAAUCAGCCACGGUCUCAUGCUUGGAACUUUUCCAAGUUACUGCUCCUCCGUUCAGGGUAAAAUCCCAGCCCGACUACGAUCGAUAAUUAUCCUUAUCUAUCUGAAAGCUAGCGUCACUGUACCCUCGUACCCUUAAGUCAUCACUCCCACCGAGGACUAGAAACCAUUCCUUGGUCCUUCAUAUGUACUUAAGAAUAUUAUUGAAAUCAAUCCAAUGCGAACUACCAGGGUUCCCUUGAUAUCUGCUGACCAUGGUCAAAGGGAAGUCCACAUCAGGGCAAGUACAAGUCAUAGCAUACAUGAUAGAGCCAACUGCGCAGCGUUAGGUACUUGGCUCAUAUCAGCAAUUUCUGCCUCUGUACUCGGGCAUUGAGUCUUACUCAACUUGGUAUUGCUUUGAAUUGGCAACUCCCCUUUCUUUGAAUUUUCCAUACUAAAACACUUUACUACCUUAUCCAAGUAUGUAUCCUGACUGGGUCCUAUUAGUCUUUUACUUCUAUUUCUUACUAUCCUUAUUCCCAGAAUAUACGUAGCCUCUCCGAGGUCCUUCAUAGCGAAACACUUCAAAAGCCAGGACUUGACCUCCUGCAAGGUUGGGACAUCAUUUCCUAUGAGCAGUAUGUCAUCGACAUAAAAUAUGAGGAAGCUCACUAUACUCCUACUGGGCUUGACAUACACACAUGACUCAUCUUCGCUUCGCAGAAAGCCAAACUCUUUGACCUUCUCGUCAAAACAAAGAUUCCAUCUGCGAGACGCUUUGUUUAAUCCAUAAAUGGAUUUCUCAAGCUUACACACUCUAUUUGGAUGCUUCGCAUUGAUAAAACCUUCUGGCUGGCUCAUGUAAACAUCCUCAGCCAAUUUUCCAUUAAGAAAAGCGGUUUUCACGUCUAUCUUCCAUAUUUCAUAAUCAUGAAACGCAACUAUUGCGAGCAUCACCCUAACAGACUUUAUCUUGGCAAGUAGCGAGAAGGUCUCAUCAUAGUCAACUCCAGGAGUUUAAGUAAAGCCCUUUGCAACCAAUCGCGCUUUAUAAGUGUGCACAUUCCCAUCCAUGUCUGUCUUCUUCUUAAAGAUCCAUUUGCACCUGACUGUCUUACGACCCGGCACAUUAUUAACCAAAUUCCAAACUUGGUUGUCGUACAUGGACUGAAUCUCGCUGUCCAUUGCCUCUUUCCACUUAGAAUACUCUGGGCCUGCCAUGGCUUCCUUAUAUCUGUUACGUUCGUCCAAAUUUACUAGUGUCCUAUCACUAAUAAAUUUAUCCCCUUCAGUAGUUAUAUGGAAUCCAUACAACUAGGGUGGAACACUAGCCCUAUUGGAACAUCUAAGAGGUAAGGACUCGUCAACAGGUUCAACAUCCUCAGGUUGAGUGCCAGUAUUAGAAGUUCCUUCAUCGUUUUCCUGUUGAAUCUCUUCAAGAUCAAUUUGCCUCCCACUGUCCUCUUGACUUAUGAGUUCCCUUUCUUGGAAAACCCGUCUCCUCGUUCAUGUGGUAGGUCAUUCUGAACUCAUUGUAGCAGGAAGGCCAGGAGUGGAGGAUGAUGUCGAUAGCCAAAUCCUCAUCAAACUUAACAUUAAGUUUGAGAAGACGAUUAACAUACCUCUACAUUUUCUGCAAAUGCGAGGUUAGGGAUUCUCCACUCCCCAUCUUAGCGGUGAUCAUGUUAGUAAUGAUCUCAUAGCUCUCUUGCCUUGCGCUUUGCUGGUAUAUGUCCAGAAAAUCUUGAUGCAUCACAUAUGGAUACAUGUCCGCAUAGGACUUUUGGAGUUCGAGGUUCAUGGUGGCCAGCAUGAUGCAAUGAACUUUCGUAGCAUAACGCUCGUGGGCCUCAAAGGCCGCCGACUCUUCAGGAGUAGCAACAUCUAGAUUGAUCUUUUUCAACUUUCUCAUCGAGGACAUAUUCUUUGUCCUUGUAAUGAGUGAUCAUAUGAAUGUAUCUCAUCCACUCGUUGAAAUACGACCCAUCAAAUGUGACUUUUUGGCAUAUGUUCAUUAGCAAGAAUGACCCAUAAGCGUUGUUGUUUGCGUUUGUGUUAGACAUCUGAAAUAGAAAGGAACAAAGUUUGAUUAGAAUGAAUCCACAAUUAAACACCCAAAUGAGAAAUUAGGGCUAGAAUCCAACAAUAUUAUUUAUAACUUAUAAAGGGGAUGCCGUAAUCUAAAAGUAAAUAAUUUGAAGGUAAGUGAAUGACGAUUUACUAAUUUUCACCAUGAAAAUGAAAAAGAAGAUUAAGUUUUAAAUGUAUUUGAAAACUCCUAGAUCUUUGAGAUUCAUUGAACUUUUCAAUGGCAUGUUUAAAUCUCGUUAUGCACUUUAAAUUUGCAACUGGGAUACGGAGGAUUGCAAACAAGUUAUGCAUAACCAUGCGAACCAACAUGGUGCACUCAAUGUCUCUAUCACCCAAUCAAUGUGCCGGUUAGCCACGCACGCUCCAUUGAUCUAUGAGAAACAUCAAGCCACCCUUCGCCACCAAUGUCAAUCCCAAAUUAGUGUGUCGGUUAACCACGCAUGCUCCACUAACGUUUGACAAGGGUGCAAAGUGUAAUUCCAUGGAAUAGCAUCAUUUUCACAUUUUACCCUAAAGUAACUAAGAUUGGGAAUUUGUAAAACAUUAUAGUUACUUUGUAAUUUAUUUAUACUUGUAAUGAAGAAUUAAGUGCCCUAUCCUAUCCAUUCGGCUACCGACCCUCCACCAAUCAAGUAAGCGGUGGGUGUGAGUGUACACCCAUUAAGCGCCAUUUUAUAGGCAACAACCUUAUACCCACCUUAUAGACUGGCUUCGUGAAUGAGGCCUACUAGCGAUAAGACUAGCUUAUUCAUAUAGAUAUAUAAUAAUUAAUCUUGUAAUAAUAUAAUAGUAUAGGGUUGAAUUUAAAAGUUGUAAAAUUCUAAGGGUUUGAAAUUUAAAUCAAUCAAAAUUAAACUUUUAAUCAUAAAAAUAAAUUUCAAAACUUGAGGACAAGUUUUGAACUUUUCAAAACACAAGGGAUCAAAUAACAAAUAAUAUAAAUUAAACAAUUAAUUUUAUAAUUAUCUAUAUUUGACCUAAUACAAUUUUAGUCACAAGAUAAUUACCAAAUAAUUUAAAUAAUCCAUAUUUAUCAUAUAAAGAAACUAUUAUUCAAAAUAUUAGAAAUUCCCUUUUGUUUUGGUAAGGAUAAUCAUUUGCAUACAAUAAAAUUUGGAUUUUAUUAUCAAAAAAUGUUUUGGCAUUUAUCCUAUAGCAAAACAACAAGAAAAUCCUGAGAUAUGCUCCGUCUGACUCCCGAACUCGUCGAGUCAGUCCUGGACUCACCAAGUUGGGCCAACUCGCCGAGUCCAGAUACUGACUCACCGAGUUGAGUCGGGCAGAGGCCAGAAAAAUGUUUUUCAACAAAAACACAACAAUCACAUCACAUACAACAGAAACCAAUCAAGUCUCUGAUACCACUGAUGGGUUUUAUGCAUAAGAACAAUCUUAUGUGCUCAUACAAACCGUAAUGCUUGGAUCUAGGUUUCUCUAUUGUACAUGCAAUGAAUCCAAGACUUAAAAACCCUAAACUAGCAUACAUAUUUCAUAAUUUAACAUAUAGAAUCAGAUCUAGAUGUUUAGCUCUUUAAUGGAAGCUUGAAUCUUCUUUCUUAGAGCUUAGAGUAACAAUUGUAACUCCCCUAAUGGCUUACAAUCACCACAAGCAAGAAGGCAACUAUGAGAGAGGAGGGACAAUGCUUAAUUUCGGCCUAGGGUUUCUCUUGGGAAGCAAGUGGCCAAAAAUUGAAGGCUAGGGGUCUUAUUUAUACUGUAGGCUGCUAGGGUUUCAGUUUAAACCCUAAUGGAACGCUUAGUUACCAAGCAACCCAAGGAACCUUCUGGAAUAGGGCCUUGGACGAAAAUAUGAUGAUCCCAUAUCAUAAUUCCGUUCCCCCUUAGUCCAUUAGGUUUCACAGCCCAAAAGUCAACUAUCAUACAUUUGACAGUUUAUACCCCUUUAUUUAAUUAAUCUCUUUUAGUCACCAAAUUAAUUCCUAAUUAAUUUAUGACUAAUACUAACUAAAUAAAUAUGAUUUCUCCAUUAAUAUAUUAUUAUUAUAAUACAUUAAUAAAUCAUAUUAUCCUAUCUCUCAUCAAAUUACCUUGUCAAGUUGCUUUGGUGAAGGAAACCCAAAAGGACCAUGCACAACCGGGUCAAGUACAUACCAAAUAUAGUUACAGGCUUAGACACUAAUCCAACAGGAACCAUAGUGUGCAUGCUAAGAGCAUGGCACAAUUCUUGUUAUAAUUCAAGUAAGAAGUUGAUUACCCAAAACAAGAAAUAAUGAGUAAUUAAUAUGGUGAUUAAAUAAAAUGUUUUUUUACUUAUACUCAAAAGUUUGGGGCCACAUUGGAUUAGUAUUAUUCUUGUGUUUCACUUUGCAUGUUUUGACUUCUCGAAUAAUAAGAUUAUUCAAACACUCCACAGUCGCUCAUUCUUUGGAAGUAGGAGUGAAUGAAGAUUGUUAGGAAUCCGUCUGUAGAUUGACUAAAGCAUUUAGUCAUAGUACAAGUUUGCUACAGAGUUCAUGAGUGCUGCUAUAAGAUUAGAGUAUUGGAUUAAACUCACACUCACUUGAUCGCUUCAUGGAUUUUAUCACGAGUGAUUGGUGAGACGAUAAUAUCUUAUGUUCUUGAAACCGAGAUGUGUGAGUUGUAUCUUAUGAGUCGGUUACACAUUAAUAAUAUGUAAACACACUAGUAACUUGCUGUUAUAAAACGGAUUGUUGUAUGUGAUUCGGUAAGCGAGUACAAGUGAUCAUUGAGUCGAAGUUUAUCUGUUCUUUUUACCUAAAGUGGGAUAAAAAUGAUAUUUGUGGUCCCCCUCGAUGAUUUAGUGAUGACACCCUAAGCGCUUGGCCAAGCCGGGACUAUGUUGAUGUGUUCAAUUGUAGUUAAUGGUCAGUCGUCAUAAAUUGGAAAUCGGUAAAUAACACAUGAACGAAGAGUGUGAUUAAAUUCCUUAUCUCAGUUCAUACGAUAUCUAGAAGGGAGGAAUACAUGAUCCCUUAUCUAAAGUACAAGUUACUAAUAAGAUCAGAGUUCAACAACGUCUUUGAGAGCUACGAUUGCUAAUAGGAUUGUACUUACAUUAUCGUUACUAUAUUUAUCCAAGUAGAGACUGUUGGAAUAGUGUCUAAGCCCGUAACUAUAUUUGGUAUAUAUUUGACCCGGUUGUGCAUGGUCCUUUUGGGUUGCCUUCACCAAAGCAACUUGAUAGGUUGAUUUAUAGAGAAAGAGGAUUAAUUAUGAUUUGUUAACAUAUUAUAUGAAUAAUAUAUUAAAGGUGAAAUCAUAUUGUUUAAUUAGUAUUAGUCAAUAAUUAAUUGAUAGUUAAUUUUGUGACUAAAAGACAUUGAUUAAACUUAGGGGGCUGGAAUUGUAAUUAUAAGAUAAUUGUAAUUGGGCUAUGGAUCACCUUGGAACAUAGGUUGGACGAAUUAUAUGGGAAGCCCAUAAGGAAUUCAUCGAAGGGGUGUUCUAAAGGGAGUCCAUGGGCUGCUUAGGGCCUAAGGAGUCAAGUUAGGGUUUCCUAGUUGAAAACCCUAAUAGCCUCACUAUAUAAAGACCCCUAUGGCCCCAAAAAUGUUGUGGACUUUCUUGGAAGAACCCUAGGUCGUUUUUGGUGCUCCUCCUCCUUCUCAUAAGUUAUUCUCUUGCUUGUGGUGUUUGUAAGCCUUAGAGGAGUGACACUUCUGACUCUAAGCUCCAAAGAAAGAAUAUUGAAGAGAUUCAAGCCAUUCUAUAAGAGGUAACAUCUAGAUCUACUCUUAUGUGAUAAUUUCGAAAUGCACAUGCUAGAUUUGGGUUCUUGAGCCUUGGAUGAAUCGCAUGUACAAUAGAGAAACCUAGAUCCAAGCUUUAGGGUUUGCAUGAACACAUAGGAUGUUGUUUUGUAUAAAACCCAUCAGCCAGUUCCUUAGCCGUCUAGUCACUGUUCGCAUUGUACACCCCGUGUAACGAAGUUUCCACCAAGCAUACGCACUGGGCAGUUGAAUUUCGUUGACUUUUGACUUAGCUUUGGGUGUUAAAUAUUAAUUACGGUUAAUUAUUUCGUUGACUAGAAGAAGUCUAAUUCUGGCAGUUCGGCUAUGACAUUUACUUGUCAUUAGUAUCAGGUGAGUCUUCUCAGUUAUCCUUACCUCUGUGGUACAAUAGUUGUAUUUGUGAUGACCAGUUGGGUCUUCUGUUAUUUUGUGUUAUGUUGUUACGUGUGACUGAGACUAAGGACAAUCCCUCGAGUUGCUGAUAACUCAUAGGGUGUGUUGUUGCCCACUGGUAUUCUUAUAGUCCCCCAAGGUUGCUGAUAACACAUAGUUGUUUAUUUAUGUGGUGUUGUGUGUGAUAUCUUGGAGAACUCACUAAGUUUUGUGGUUACAGUUGUUGAUUUAUGUGUUUGAGGUAGUUUUGAGAAGUGCGGGAAGGCGAAUGUUUGAGUGUAUUUUUUUUCAAAAACAUUUGAUACAUUUUUCUUGCUUGUUUAAGUGAGAAUAUCUUCAAUCAUUUGACAUUAUGAUUAUUCGAGGUUGACUAUACCUUAUUCAUUGUUUAGCCUUUCAACAUGACAGGCUGUCAUUAGCACAAACUUAUUAUAAUGUUUGGCUACAAAAUUAAAGUUUUCACAAAAAGUUGAAAUUAUGAUUGUGUUAAAUGAAAUCAUAAUAAUCUUGUAUAAUGAUAAUUAUAUUUAUUUAUAAAUUUAAUUUCAUGAAGAAACUGAUUGUAAUAAUGUAAAUAAGGUAAAAUUGUACAUAUAUUUAUCGUUUUGCACCCCCUCGAGUUAAACUCUCGAUGUCUAAGAAAGCUCAACGAGAAAGAUUCAAUUUUAUGAAAGGUCUGUCCGCAAGUUCACUUGGAUGAUUUUUCGAUUACUCACACCCGAUGUUUUGAUAUGUACACAUUGUGCUAUAUUCAUUGCGACAUUGCAUUUAAAGUAUAUUUGGAUUUCUUUUUUGUUUCAAUGCAGUAUGAGUUAUAGAACAUGUCAACGACAGUUAGAAUGAAUUUUGAUAAGCAUGCAAGAAACAUAACACAUGCACAAACCUCCACUGGACGAUUGAUUCUCGAGGAUCAAGUUUGUGGGUAAAUAUCCAUUGAUGGUCGAUCAUUAAUUUCCAGAAUGACAUAGUGUAGAUGAUUUAUCAAAAUAUAUUUCUAAAAUUGGUCUAGGUUUUAACACUAAUGUUCGAUUUAAUGAGCUUACCAAAAUUAACUAUAGGUGAUGUGAUAACUGUCUCAAGCAACUCUUACACGGGAUUGCUCCAAAGAAACCCUAGACUCCUUGUUUGAUAAACAUUUUGUAUACAAAGGAGUAUUAUGACCAUUUACAAAUAUUUAAGAUCUGUUAAAAAAACUACAAAUAAAAAGCGUCAUUUUUCUUAAUGGUUGGGCUGUAUGUGACGAUAUGUACAAUUUUAGGGGAGGUUGAUGCAAAUCACCAUCGCUNAAAAAGCAAUGCAUUUUUCUGCUAUCUCAUAAACAUGGUAAUUAUGGGUGAUUCAGAAAAAUAAAUAGGACUUCUUAGGGCAGGGGUAUUUUAGGUAACUAGAUUGUUUUAGUUUCUUAUGCACGGUAAAUGAAUUAGACAAGUAGAAAGACUAAAAGAAAACUAUGUUGUUAUUACUUAGCAAUUUCUUAUAUACUUUAACAACAAUGUACAUUGAAAUAUUUGGACAUUUAUCUAAUUAUAUUUAAUUGCACUUUUUUACCUUUAAUUUUAACAAUAAUGUUUUUGUAACACCUCAAAUCUUAGACCAAUUUUUUUUUUUCAUUUUAAAUUUACCGAAAACAAGUUUCACAAAUAAAGUUAUCAAACACAUAAUAAUCCAAAACAACCGUUUUCACAAAAUAUCAGAGUUUUUGAAACUGUCCCAAACCUCUAUCCAUCCUCCCAGCGAGUGUGCACAAUCAGACAUUCGCCUUCCCGCACUUCUCAAAACUACCUGAAACACAUAAAUCAACAACUGUAACCACGAAGCUUAGUGGGUUUUCCAAGAUAUCACACACAACACUACAUAAAUAAAUAGCUAUGGGUUAUCAGCAACCUUGGGGACUAUCAACAAUACCAGCGGGCAACAACACACCUUAUGAGUUUUCAGCAACUCUAGGGACUGUCCUCAGUCUCAGUCACACGUAACAACGUAACACAAAAUAACAGCAGACCCAACUGAUCAUCAUAAAUACAACUAUUCUACCAGACAGGUAAGGAUAACUGAGGAGACUCGCCUUAUACUAUCGACAAGUAAAUGUCAUAGCCGAACUGCCAGAAUUAGACUUCUCCUAUCGAACGAAAUAAUUAACCCUACUUAGUAUUUAACAUCCAAAUCUAAGUCAAAAGUCAACGAAAUUCGACUGCUCAAUGCGUAUGCUUGGCGUAUACUUCGUUACACGGGGCGUACAAUGCGAACAGUGACCAGACGGCGAAGGAACUGGCUGAUGGGUUUUAUACAAAACAACAUCCUAUGCGCUCAUGCAAACCCUAAAGCUUGGAUCUAGGUUUCUCUAUUUUACAUGCAAUUCAUCCAAGGCUACCAAAAAUUGGCAUCCAAGUGAUCUUAGAAGAGUCCAUUUUCUCAGCUCCUAACUAUGUGUAAAAAUCCAACAAAUAUUUUCUAAAUUUUUCAUAUUGCAUUCCUAAUUUUCCCAAUUGGGCCCAAGUAUAUCCAUUAGGCCUUAUCCUAUAGCUCAAUCCAAAUAUUAUAGUCCAUAUGCUUGUUUUUGGAUUGCCCAUCAGUAGCCCAAUCACCAAAGCCCAAUAGAAAGGCCAAACUCAAGGCCAAAGCAAAAUUAGGGUUUCUCACAUGAAAUGACGAUUGGGGUUAAGUAAUCUAACUUAACCCAUUAAACACUUAAUCCAUUAAAGUCCAUCACUCUAUUAGGCCAUUCAUACAAUGUAGUUGGACACAAAUCAAAAUUCCAGUAUAAUAGUCCAAACGCGUGUCCCGACAAUUCCCAAAGUAACAUUCCCAGAGUUAGGGUUUUAUAAACCCUAAUUAGGGUUUCCAAUCCAAUCACAAUCCUACUGAGUCCAAGAUUAAGCAACUAGGCCAAUUAGGGUUCCACAAGGCCAGACACCACCCACUGCCACCUCGGCGGUGGUGGUCGGCAACAGCCAUAAUUUGCAAUGGUGGUGGUGGUGGUAGUUCCUGCCCAAAAAUUCCUUAUACCACUUCACACAUAAUAUACACACACACACGUAGCCACUAGAGUUGGUGGUUAGUGGUGGAAAAACGGUGGCAGCCACCACCUCAUGGUGGUGGUGACGGACCUUCAUUGAUUUUCCGGCCAAAAAUGGCUCAUACAGCAACAAUAACACUGAAAACAACAUAUAUUCUAGACAUACAUCCACCCAGCCACCUUCCAUGCGGCUGAUUUUUCCGGAAAGUUACGAAACCAGUUGCCAAAGGCCACCGACGGCAGCGGUGAAGCAUCUGAUGUCGAACACGCACAAAGGGACGGAGGAAAGGAGGGAGACAAGUGGCAGAUGGUCUUACCUGAAGCCUCUCGGUAGGUCACGCCCUUGCUGCAGUGAACACGUCCUUUUGUCGACCAUCAGCGGUUUUCCGGGUUGUUUACGAUGUCUCCGGCAGCGACGUUGUGGCAUUUAGAUGGCGAUGGAUCGGCGGCAACGACGUUGUGGCGUGUAGGUGGAGUUUCGUUUUAUCUGGACGCAUCUAAGUAGUUUACUGAACCGUACCUUUUUUUAGAUUAACGAAUACAAGAAAAUGUUAGUUUGGUUAUUACAAUCUUUUAGUUUGAUGCAUAACUCUUGAUGUUGUUCCCAUUCAUAUUUUCAUUGAGAUAAAAAGUGUGCAAGUAUAAAACUAAUUUUGCUUCAUACUUUUUCUUAUAAUGAUGAGUUUAAAGGUGAUUAUGAAAUAAAAAAUGAUUGUGAUAUCAUCGAUCCAUUGAAGGUUUAUUAUCACCUUUAAAGUUAUUUAUUAUUAAUUUUUUUACAUAAAAAGUUUUUUUAAUCUACUUUAGGUAUGGUUAUAGAAGACUAAGUUUAUUUUACUUGGAACAAUCUAAGUACUUAGAAAGGUCUAUGCUUGGUUUUAUGAUGCUUGUAUUAGACGUGGAAAGAAGGUUAUAGAGGUGUAUAGUAUUGAUUAUACAUCUGAUUCCCAAAAAGGCAUAUCAUAUAUACAACGGAUUUCCGACGGCUAUGGCAAAUUUUAGCAACGAAUUUUUAGGUCGGUUAUUAGUACCGAUCAAUGACGAAUAUACUUUUUUGUAAAAAUUACCAAAAGAAUAACUCACUAACGAACUAUCGAUGAAAUUUAAUAAAAACUCACUAAUAGAUCACAUAUAGAUUUUAUGUGAUAGGCUAGCGGCGACUUUUGUAUAUAAAAAAAAAUAUAAAUUCAUGAAAAAAUUAACAAUAAUUACAUAUUUAACAAAGGAAAAAUCUUGAAACAUACAUCAAAUCUGUAUUUUAAAACCAUCAAAUAUAAAUCCACCAGUUGGGUAUUCAUUAUUCAUUCAUUCUUUGUUUACUUUACUUCUCCAUGCAAAGACAAAAUCCAAAACAAUCUUGAAAAUUAAUUCCACCUUGAGGACCCACCACCUCCAUUUCUAACAAAGAUGUUCCUUAGAAUGUCAGCAUUCAUUAGAAACAUGUUUCCCAAGGAAAACAAUCCACUUCUUAUCGGAAUAUGUGAUUCGGAUUCCGAUCCCUCCGAAAUGAGAAGACACCUUCAGAUCAACAAUCUCAUACUAAAUCGAGUGAAAACGAUGGAAAUUUUAGCAAAUUUAGAUUCAAAUUAACACACCUUCAGAUACAUCUUCUUGUGUUCCCUCAAACACCGUAUAUGAUAUUCCCUUUCACACUGCAAGGAGGAUAAAUCUAACAAUCAGAAAUCAAAACGCAGCAUAAUUGGAUUUUUUUGAAUGACCAUUUAUCCUUGUACCAAAACUAAAACAAGCACUAUACUACAGGGACCAAAUUUAUUGAUAUAUAUUUAAGGAAUGAGCAUGUCAAGAUCUAGUGAUCAGAUAUGCAACUUCUGUCAACAUUGCCAUCAUCUCCAAACAUCAUUCAGUAAGAAUGGAACAAGAUGUCAGAUUUAGACCUUACUUAAGCGUUACUUGAUAUAGCAUAAAUUGGAAAGUUGAGAAUUAAAAAUUUAUUGGCAUCAAAACAAUUACAUAAGAAAACGUUUUAUAAACUUACCUUUGAAAGGAGAACAGCAAUACAUGUGAAGCCUUUUUGUUACAAUCAAUGAAAACCUGCAGAAAUAAAAUAAAUGGUAAUCUACUGAUUAAUCUGUAGCAGCCGUGUAAAAGAAUAAUAAAAACACUACUUUAUAGUUUAUAGUUUAUACUCACAUGAAACAUUCACAUGAAAGAUAUCAAAAGCUUAUGAACAUUUUGUUAUCAUCAGAAACAUCUUUGCCAAGGAACACAAUCCACUUGACAUCAGAAAGGGUAAGGUACAGUGGCCUGGAGAAACCCACAAAACCAACCCUUGAAAUGCUAUGAACACCUAACUGGUACCGAUCUGAUUCAACUAGACUGACAACAGAUCAAGAAAGUGUGAGUCACAGGAGAACAGCAUAUAUAAACUUCGAAACUACAAAAAAAAAGGACAAAACAGCUUCAAAACACAUGAUUCAGAAUGAUAACUUACAUGGUUUUUCUUACAAAAUAUUGCGGAUCUUUGCUAGUUUUUUGAUCUGUGUGCAUGAUAGAGAAUUUUUUUUUUGAAAUCAACAAAUAAAAGUCUUGGUGAUUUGCAUGACCCAAAAGACACAGAUCGAUAACUUUAUCAAACCAAUGCAUGAUUUUCAGAUAUGCAUUAUCCUCCUAAGCUCUUAAUUAUUUGUGAAUAGUUUGAUGUUUGGAUCCUGGAUCUAGAUUCAGUUGAUUAUGACAGCGGCUGUGGAUCCUCAACAUCUAAUAUAUAUAGUAAGAAAAGUGUGGGCGUCAACCCUAAUCCUGAUCUCUAGCGAUGGUGAUUUGCAUCAACCUCCCCUAAAAUUGUACAUAUCGUCACAUACAGCCCAACCAUUAAGAAAAAUGACGCUUUUUAUUUGUAGUUUUUUUAACAGAUCUUAAAUAUUUGUAAAUGGUCAUAAUACUCCUUUGUAUACAUAACUAUUUUUUUAACGGUUCUUAUUUGUAAAUGGCCACACUAUCUUUAUUUGUAUUUUUUUUCAAAAACAUUUGAUACAUUUUUCUUGCUUGUUUAAGUGAGAAUAUCUUCAAUCAUUUGACAUUAUGAUUAUUCGAGGUUGACUAUACCUUAUUCAUUGUUUAGCCUUUCAACAUGACAGGCUGUCAUUAGCACAAACUUAUUAUAAUGUUUGGCUACAAAAUUAAAGUUUUCACAAAAAGUUGAAAUUAUGAUUGUGUUAAAUGAAAUCAUAAUAAUCUUGUAUAAUGAUAAUUAUAUUUAUUUAUAAAUUUAAUUUCAUGAAGAAACUGAUUGUAAUAAUGUAAAUAAGGUAAAAUUGUACAUAUAUUUAUCGUUUUGCACCCCCUCGAGUUAAACUCUCGAUGUCUAAGAAAGCUCAACGAGAAAGAUUCAAUUUUAUGAAAGGUCUGUCCGCAAGUUCACUUGGAUGAUUUUUCGAUUACUCACACCCGAUGUUUUGAUAUGUACACAUUGUGCUAUAUUCAUUGCGACAUUGCAUUUAAAGUAUAUUUGGAUUUCUUUUUUGUUUCAAUGCAGUAUGAGUUAUAGAACAUGUCAACGACAGUUAGAAUGAAUUUUGAUAAGCAUGCAAGAAACAUAACACAUGCACAAACCUCCACUGGACGAUUGAUUCUCGAGGAUCAAGUUUGUGGGUAAAUAUCCAUUGAUGGUCGAUCAUUAAUUUCCAGAAUGACAUAGUGUAGAAUAUUUAUCAAAAUAUAUUUCUAAAAUUGGUCUAGGUUUUAACACUAAUGUUCGAUUUAAUGAGCUUACCAAAAUUAACUAUAGGUGAUGUGAUAACUGUCUCAAGCAACUCUUACACGGGAUUGCUCCAAAGAAACCCUAGACUCCUUGUUUGAUACUAUAUACUCCACCGCUAACGUUCAAUAUUCCUCAAUAAACAACAAAAGGGAAACAAAACAAGUGGUAUUUAGGGGUAAAAUGACCAUUUUUACCAUCUUACUUUACUACAAUGCUAUAUUGCUAUUUUACACAAUUACUUAUACUCACAUUAUGUGCAAAAAAAAAAGCAAUGCAUUUUUCUGCUAUCUCAUAAACAUGGUAAUUAUGGGUGAUUCAGAAAAAUAAAUAGGACUUCUUAGGGCAGGGGUAUUUUAGGUAACUAGAUUGUUUUAGUUUCUUAUGCACGGUAAAUGAAUUAGACAAGUAGAAAGACUAAAAGAAAACUAUGUUGUUAUUACUUAGCAAUUUCUUAUAUACUUUAACAACAAUGUACAUUGAAAUAUUUGGACAUUUAUCUAAUUAAAUUUAAUUGCACUUUUAUACCUUUAAUUUUAACAAUAAUGUUUUUGUAACACCUCAAAUCUUAGACCAAUUUUUUUUUUCAUUUUAAAUUUACCGAAAACAAGUUUCACAAAUAAAGUUAUCAAACACAUAGUUAUCCAAAACAACCGUUUUCACAAAAUAUCAGAGUUUUUGAAACUGUCCCAAACCUCUAUCCAUCCUCCCAGCGAGUGUGCACAAUCAGAAAUUCGCCUUCCCGCACUUCUCAAAACUACCUGAAACACAUAAAUCAACAACUGUAACCACGAAGCUUAGUGAGUUUUCCAAGAUAUCACACACAACACCACAUAAAUAAAUAGCUAUGGGUUAUCAGCAACCUUGGGGACUAUCAACAAUACCAGUGGGCAACAACACACCUUAUGAGUUAUCAGCAACUCUAGGGACUGUCCUCAGUCUCAGUCACACGUAACAACGUAACACAAAAUAACAGCAGACCCAACUGAUCAUCAUAAAUACAACUAUUCUACCAGACAGGUAAGGAUAACUGAGGAGACUUGCCUUAUACUAUCGACAAGUAAAUGUCAUAGCCGAACUGCCAGAAUUAGACUUCUCCUAGCGAACGAAAUAAUUAACCCUACUUAGUAUUUAACAUCCAAAUCUAAGUCAAAAGUCAACGAAAUUCGACUGCUUAAUGCGUAUGCUUGGCGUACACUUCGUUAUACGGGGCGUACAAUGCGAACAGUGACCAGACGGCGAAGGAACUGGCUGAUGGGUUUUAUACAAAACAACAUCCUAUGCGCUCAUGCAAACCCUAAAGCUUGGAUCUAGGUUUCUCUAUUUUACAUGUAAUUCAUCCGUGGCUACCAAAAAUUGGCAUCCAAGUGAUCUUAGAAGAGUCCAUUUUCUCAGCUCAUAACUAUGUGUAAGAAUCCGACAAAUAUUUUCUAAAUUUUUCAUAAUGCAUUCCUAAUUUUCCCAGUUGGGCCCAAGUAUAUCCAUUAGGCCUUAUCCUAAAGCUCAAACCAAAUAUUAUAGUCCAUAUGCUUGUUUUUGGAUGGCCCAUCAGUAGCCCAAUCACCAAAGCCCAAUAGAAAGGCCAAACUCAAGGCCAAAGCAAAAUUAGGGUUUCUCACAUGAAAUGAUGAUUAUGGUUAAGUAAUCUAACUUAACCCAUUAAACACUUAAUCCAUUAAAGUCCAUCACUCUAUUAGGCCAUUCAUACAAGGUAGUUGGACAUAAAUCAAAAUUCCAAUAUAAUAGUCCAAACGCGUCUCCCGACAAUUCCCAAAGUAACAUUCCCAGAGUUAGGGUUUUAUAAACCCUAAUUAGGGUUUCCAAUCCAAUCACAAUCCUACUGAGUCCAAGAUUAAGCAACUAGGCCAAUUAGGGUUCCACAAGGCCAGACACCACCCACUGCCACCUCGGCGGUGGUGGUUGGCAGCAGACACCAUUUGCAAUGGUGGUGGUGGGGGGGGGUUCCGNUUGCAAUGGUGGUGGUGGUGGUGGUUCCUGCCCAAAAAUUGCAUAUACCACUUCACACAUAAUACACACACACACACACGUAGCCACUAGAGAUGGUGGUUAGUGGUGGAAAAACGGUGGCAGCCACCACCUCAUGGUGGUGGUGACGGACCUUCAUUGAUUUUCCGGCCAAAAAUGGCUCAUACAGCAACAAUAACACCAACAACAACAUAUAUUCUAGACAUACAUCCAUCCAGCCACCUUCCAUGCGGCUGAUGUUGCCGGAAAGUUACGAAAAUAGUUGCCAAAGGCCACCGACGGCAGCGGUGAAGCAUCUGAUGUCGAACACGCACAAAGGGACGAAGGAGAGGAGGGAGACAAGUGGCAGAUGGUCUUACCUGAAGCCUCUCGGUAGUUCGCACCCUUGCUGCAGCGAACACGUCCUUUUGUCGACCAUCAGCGGUUUUCCGGGUUGUUUACGACGUCUCCAGCAGCGACGUUGUGGCAUUAAGAUGGCGAUGGAUCGGCGGCAGCGGCGUUGUGGCGUGUAGGUGGAGUUUCAUUUUAUCUGGACGCAUCUAAGUAGUUUACUGAGCCGUACCUUUUUUUAAAUUAACGAAUACAAGAAACUGUUAGUUUGGUUAUUACAAUCUUUUAGUUUGAUGCAUAACUCUUGAUGUUGUUCCCAUUCAUAUUUUCAUUGAGAUAAAAAGUGUGCAAGUAUAAAACUAAUUUUGCUUCAUACUUUUUCUUAUAAUGAUGAGUUUAAAGGUGAUUAUGAAAUAAAAAAUGAUUGUGAUAUCAUCGAGCCAUUGAAGGUUUAUUAUCACCUUUAAAGUUAUUUAUUAUUAAUUUUUUUACAUAAAAAGUUUUUUUAAUCUACUUUAGGUAUGGUUAUAGAAGACUAAGUUUAUAUUACUUGGAACAAUCUAAGAAAUUAGAAAGGUCUAUGCUUGGUUUUAUGAUGCUUGUAUUAGACGUGGAAAGAAGGUUAUAGAGGUGUAUAGUAUUGAUUAUACAUCUGAUUCCCAAAUAGGCAUAUCAUAUAGGCAACGGAUUUCCGACGGCUACGACAAAUUUUAGCAACGAAUUUUUACGUUGGUUAUUAGUAACCGAUCAAUGACGAAUAUACUUUUUUGUAAAAAUUAUCAAAAGAAUAACUCACUAAUGGACUAUCGAUGAAAUUUAAGAAAAAAUCACUAAUAGAUCACAUAUUGUAACAGCCAGGAAUUCCAGGUAUUGUUAUAUUUACGAUUUUGGGUGUUUUAAGAGGGGACUCGGCGAGUUGGAGCCUAGACUCGCCGAGUAGGAUCGCGGAACUGGUCGCGGGUUCGCGACUGGACUUGACGAGUCCGGAUAUGGACUCGGCGAGUCUGCGCUGUUUAGCGAAAACCCUAACCGUUCAGGUUUGGGACGUAUAUAAGGGACCUUAUGGCCGUCAUUGUUCACCCUAGUCCUUUGAGAGAAACCCUAAUUCGAUUGUGAGCAUUAGGAGCAAGGUCGAAGACUAUUGUUGAUUUUGGAAGUGUUGCUUUGCAAGGAAGAGGAGCUUGGUUAAGGGAACAACAAGGGAAGCCACGUUCUGAGGAUUGGGGACACAGAGAGCACGUUAUUCAGGUAACAUUUCGAGUUGCAUCCUUCUAUGUUGAUGUGUAUAUGGAUUUAGGGUUUAUUGAACCCUUUUGUGGCUAGAUUAAGUGUUACCUUAGUCCCCCAAACGAUUGGAACCCUGUAUUGGGAUCUUUAGAAGUCCAGAAUCUCCCAUGCCUGAGCAUUUCGGGAAUCAAUGGAGGUUUUGGAUUGGAAUCCUUAUGCCUUAAGACAAAAUUUAAAUUAUGAGUCAUGGGGUGUAUUAUGAGCACCGAAAUGAGGACCUUACGUGAUGAAUCAGUCUAGGAAGGCCAAACCUAUGAAUGGUCGGAGCAGUUCUGACCUUAGAAAGUAGUUUGAGCGGUUGCAUGGCAUGGACUCGCCGAGUCCGAUGAACAGACUCGGCGAGUAGCUUGAAGAUUAACUGGGACUCGUCGAGUUGUUCUUCAGACUCGGCGAGUUGAGUCGGGGUGGCCCNGUCGGGGUGGCCCGCGAUUCGUCCAGGAGGAACUCGUCGAGCCGAGGGGGAUACUCGACGUGAGAAAGGGAAUCUUAGAGAAUCGGCGAGUCAAGGGCGAGUGGACUCAGAGUUAUCGAACUCGGCGAGUCUNNNNNNNNNNNNNNNNNNNNNNNNNNNNNNNNNNNNNNNNNNNNNNNNNNNNNNNNNNNNNNNNNNNNNNNNNNNNNNNNNNNNNNNNNNNNNNNNNNNNAGCAUUUCAAGGGUUGGUUUUGUGGGUUUCUCCAGGCCACUGUACAUUAGCUUACCCUUUCAAAGGUAAGUUUAUAAAACGUUUUCUUAUGUAAUUGUUUUGAUGCCAAUAAAUUUUUAAUUCUCUACUUUCCAAUUUAUGCUAUAUCAAGUAACGCUUAAGUAAGAUCUAAAUCUGACAUCUUGUUCCAUUCUUACUGAAUGAUGUUUGGGGAUCAUGGCAAUGUUGACAAAAGUUGCAGAUCUGAUCACUAGAUCUUGACAUGCUCAUUCCUUAAAUAUAUAUCAAUAAAUUUGGUCCCUGUAGUAUAGUGCUUGUUUUAGUUUUGGCACAAGGUUAAAAUGGUCAUUCAAAAAAAUCCAAUUAUUCUGCUUUUUCAUUUCUGAUUGUUAGAUUUAUACUCCUUGCAGUGUGGAAGGGAAUAUCAUAUACCGUGUUUGAGGAAACACAAGAAGAUGUAUCUGAAGGUGUGUUAAUUUGAAUCUAAAUUUGCUAAAAUUUCCGUCGUUUUCACUCGAUUUAAUAUGAGAUUGUUGAUCUGAAGGUGUCUUCUCAUUUCGGAGGGAUCGGAAUCGGAAUCACAUAUUCCGAUGUGAAAUGGAUUGUUUUCCUUGGGAAAGAUGUUUCUAAUGAAAGGUGACAUUCUAAGGAACAUUUUUGUUAGAAAUGGAGGUGGUGGGUCCUCAAGGUGGAAUUACUUUUCAAGAUUGUUUUUGUUUUUGUCUUUGCAUUGAGAAGUAAAGUAAACAAUGAAUGAAUGAAUAAUGAAUACCCAAUUGGUGGAUAUAUAUUUGAUGUUUUUAAAAUAUAGAUUUGAUGUAUGUUUCAAGAUUUUUCCUUUGUUAAAUAUGUAAUUAUUAUUAAUUUUUUCAUGAAUUUAUAUUUUUUUUAUAUACAAAAGUCGCCGCUAGCCUAUCACAUAAAAUCUAUAUGUGUAACGUCCAAAAUUUCAAAACAAUUAAAACUUUUCAAAAACCACUCAUUUUAAUAAAGUUAUUACAAAAAGGUUUCAAUACAUUAUUUAACAGAGUAUUCUCCCAGGUUCACAUCAANNNNNNNNNNNNNNNNNNNNNNNNNNNNNNNNNNNNNNNNNNNNNNNNNNNNNNNNNNNNNNNNNNNNNNNNNNNNNNNNNNNNNNNNNNNNNNNNNNNNACAAAAUCGGUCUUUUCUGGCCGUGAAAUUGGGGAUGUCACAGCUGCCACCGUUUUGCCACCACUAACCACCAUCUCUGGUGGCUAUGUGUGUGUGUAUAUUAUGUGUGAAGUGGUAUAUGCAAUUUUGGGGCACGAACCACCACCACCACCACCACCAUUGCAAAUGGUGGCUGCUGCCAACCACCACNCACCUCCGAGGUGGCAGUGGGUGGUGUCCGGCCUAAUAGAAGCCUAAUUGGCCCAGUAGCUUAAUCUUGGACUCAGUAGGAUGUGAUUGGAUUGGAAACCCUAAUUAGGGUGUAACACCGUGAAUUUUCAAAAUAAUUUUUGACAAAUAUAUAAAAACAUUUCCCAUUUAAUUUUCAUAAAACAUUAAGUUUAAAAUCUCAAUUCACAUCAUACAAAAUCCCAAGAUCAUAUAUAUAUCCAAAAUCCCAUGCGUGUGUACAGAUCAAGCCGGCGCCUUCCCACGGUCAUCGCUAGUACCUGAAACAACAACACUAACACUGUAAGCACAAAGCUUAGUGAGUUCCCCAAAAUACCACAUAAACAUAUAUUAGCCACUCGAGGCUAUAACUCUAUGGGUCCGUGCACCCAAGCUCUGUGAACCCUCAGGUUCUAACUCUGGGAACCUUCCGGUUCCAACUCUAUAAACAUGCACAACAUAAAUCACAUAGACAUCAUGCAGUACAACACAUAGCAUACACAUAACAUACACAUACUCUGUCACAUAACUCUGAUUACCUACUCAAGGUAAAGUAUAGUGAGAAGACUCACCUCGUAUAUCUCGAUAACUCGCGAAUCCUGGAAAUCACUCGUGCUCGAUCCUCCGAGCUAUAAUCCUCCUAUAACAUCAUAUAUCUCUAAUUAACACUUUUACCACUAAGGUUGACUACCCCUAUCAAGUCAACACUGGUCAACUCUGGUCAACGGUCAACGGUCAACUUUGACCGGACUCGGCGAGUGCACUAGGGCGACUCGGCGAGUCUAAGCGUUUUCACCAACUCUCUAGGAUUCCCUUUUUGACACGUCGAGUAUUCCCCUGACUCGACGAGUUCCACCUGGUAUGAAUCGCGGGGCCACCCCGACUCAACUCGCCGAGUCUCAAGAACAACUCGGCGAGUCCCAGCUCGACUCAGUCCACCUGUCAACCCUCUCUAACUCUCCCUGACUCACUGAGUCAACCCAUAACUCAGUAGGACCACUCACUGAGUGGUUAAGGACAAUCUUCAUGCUACUCGCCGAGUCUGUUCUUCAGACUCGGCGAGUCCAUGCCAUGCAUCAACUCAAACUUGCUUCUGAGGUCAGAUCCGUUCCAACAACUCAUAGAUCUGGCCCUCCUAAGCUUAUUCAUCAUGUAAAGUCCAUAUCUUGGUGCUCAUAACACACCCCAUGACUCAUAAAUGGUGUUUUGACCUCAAGCACAAAGACCCCAAUCCAAAACCCCCAUGGAUUCAUAAAAAGCUUGGGCAAAGGGACACUCUGGACCUCCAAAGGUCCAGAUCUAGAACCUAACUCGCUUAAGGGACCAAGGAAGCACUAGAUCUAGCCACAAAAGGGCUCAACAAGCCCUAAAUCAAUAUAAACAUCAACAUAACAGAGAAUAGCUCGAAGGUAGUACCUCAAAUGUGAUGUUCUGGACCUCAAAUCUUCACGAAGUGGCUCCUCUUGGUUCCCUUUAGCUAUUGCUUCCUUUCCCUUGCAAGAUGACACCUCCAAGGUCAAGAAUGGCUUCAUGCUUUGCUCCAAACGCUCAAACUUGCUAGGGUUUCACUCAGGGGACUGGUGAGCACAAAUGACGGCCUUAAGGCCCUUUAAAUAGGUCCCAAACCCGAGAAAUUAGGGUUUUUAAACAGCANNNNNNNNNNNNNNNNNNNNNNNNNNNNNNNNNNNNNNNNNNNNNNNNNNNNNNNNNNNNNNNNNNNNNNNNNNNNNNNNNNNNNNNNNNNNNNNNNNNNNNNNNNNNNNNNNNNNNNNNNNNNNNNNNNNNNNNNNNNNNNNNNNNNNNNNNNNNNNNNNNNNNNNNNNNNNNNNNNNNNNNNNNNNNNNNNNNNNNNNNNNNNNNNNNNNNNNNNNNNNNNNNNNNNNNNNNNNNNNNNNNNNNNNNNNNNNNNNNNNNNNNNNNNNNNNNNNNNNNNNNNNNNNNNNNNNNNNNNNNNNNNNNNNNNNNNNNNNNNNNNNNNNNNNNNNNNNNNNNNNNNNNNNNNNNNNNNNNNNNNNNNNNNNNNNNNNNNNNNNNNNNNNNNNNNNNNNNNNNNNNNNCAUCCACCUAAAUAUCCUCUAAUGGAACCACUGCCGACUCAUCGGCUAUACACUUCCUCAGCUACGACACAUGAAAAGUGUUGUAAAUUUUCCCCAACUCUGCUGGCAAAUCCAAACGAUCGGCUACACGGCCUACCCUCGCGAUCACACAGAAUGGACCAAUAUAUCGGGGCCCCAACUUGCCCCUCUUCUUGAAUCGAAUCACUCCUUUCGAAGGAGAGACCUUCAGGAGAACAAAGUCGCUGACCUAGAACUCAAGCUCUUCGUCAACCUGGCCAUAAUCACCCAAAUUGCAUCAACUCCUCUAGCAGUCCUCGGCAAUUUNNNNNNNNNNNNNNNNNNNNNNNNNNNNNNNNNNNNNNNNNNNNNNNNNNNNNNNNNNNNNNNNNNNNNNNNNNNNNNNNNNNNNNNNNNNNNNNNNNNNUUCACAUGUAUUGCUGUUCUCCUUUCAAAGGUAAGUUUAUAAAACUUUUUCUUAUGUAUUUGUUUUGAUGCCAAUAAAUUUUUAAUUCUCAACUUUCCAAUUUAUGCUAUAUCAAGUAACGCUUAAGUAAGGUCUAAAUCUGACAUCUUGUUCCAUUCUUACUGAAUGAUGUUUGGAGAUGAUGGCAAUGUUGACAGAAGUUGCAUAUCUGAUCACUAGAUCUUGACAUGCUCAUUCCUUAAAUAUAUAUCAAUAAAUUUGGUCCCUGUAGUAUAGUGCUUGUUUUAGUUUUGGUACAAGGAUAAAUGGUCAUUCAAAAAAAUCCAAUUAUGCUGCGUUUUGAUUUCUGAUUGUUAGAUUUAUCCUCCUUGCAGUGUGAAAGGGAAUAUCAUAUACGGUGUUUGAGGGAACACAAGAAGAUGUAUCUGAAGGUGUGUUAAUUUGAAUCUAAAUUUGCUAAAAUUUCCAUCGUUUUCACUCGAUUUAAUAUGAGAUUGUUGAUCUGAAGGUGUCUUCUCAUUUCGGAGGGAUCGGAAUCGGAAUCACAUAUUCCGAUGAGAAGUGGAUUGUUUUCCUUGGGAAAGAUGUUUCUAAUGAAUGCUGACAUUCUAAGGAACAUCUUUGUUAGAAAUGGAGGUGGUGGGUCCUCAAGGUGGAAUUAAUUUUCAAGAUUGUUUUGGAUUUUGUCUUUGCAUGGAGAAGUAAAGUAAACAAAGAAUGAAUGAAUAAUGAAUACCCAAUUGGUGGAUUUAUAUUUGAUGGUUUUAAAAUACAGAUUUGAUGUAUGUUUCAAGAUUUUUCCCUUGUUAAAUAUGUAAUUAUUGUUAAUUUUUUGAUGAAUUUAUAUUUUUUUUUUAUAUACAAAAGUCGCCGCUAGCCUAUCACAUAAAAUCUAUAUGUGAUCUAUUAGUGAGUUUUUCUUAAAUUUCAUCGAUAGUCCGUUAGUGAGUUAUUCUUUUGGUAAUUUUUACAAAAAAGUGUAUUCGUCAUUGAUCGGUACCAAUAACCGACCUAAAAAUUCGUUGCUAAAAUUUGCCAUAGCCGUCGGAAAUCCGUUGCAUAUAUGAUAUGCCUUUUUGGGAAUCAGAUGUAUAAUCAAUACUAUACACCUCUAUAACCUUCUUUCCACGUCUAAUACAAGCAUCAUAAAACCAAGCAUAGACCUUUCUAAGUUCUUAGAUUGUUCCAAGUAAAAUAAACUUAGUCUUCUAUAACCAUACCUAAAGUAGAUUAAAAAAACUUUUUAUGUAAAAAAAUUAAUAAUAAAUAACUUUAAAGGUGAUAAUAAACCUUCAAUGGAUCGAUGAUAUCACAAUCAUUUUUUAUUUCAUAAUCACCUUUAAACUCAUCAUUAUAAGAAAAAGUAUGAAGCAAAAUUAGUUUUAUACUUGCACACUUUUUAUCUCAAUGAAAAUAUGAAUGGGAACAACAUCAAGAGUUAUGCAUCAAACUAAAAGAUUGUAAUAACCAAACUAACAUUUUCUUGUAUUCGUUAAUCUAAAAAAAGGUACGGUUCAGUAAACUACUUAGAUGCGUCCAGAUAAAAUGAAACUCCACCUACACGCCACAACGCCGCUGCCGCCGAUCCAUCGCCAUCUAAAUGCCACAACGUCGCAGCCGGAGACAUCGUAAACAACCCGGAAAACCGCUGAUGGUCGACAAAAGGACGUGUUCACUGCAGCAAGGGCGCGACCUACCGAGUGGCUUCAGGUAAGACCAUCUGCCACUUGUCUCCCUCCUCUCCUCCGUCCCUUUGUGCGUGUUAGACAUCAGAUGCUUCAGCGCUGCCGUCGGUGGCCUUUGGCAACUGUUUUCGUAACUUUCCGGCAACAUCAGCCGCAUGGAAGGUGGCUGGGUGGAUGUAUGUCUAGAAUAUAUGUUGUUUUCGGUGUUAUUGCUGCUGUAUGAGCCAUUUUUGGCCGGAAAAUCAAUGAAGGUCCGUCACCACCACCAUGAGGGCGGCUGCCNUUCCACCACUAACCACCAUCUCUAGUGGCUACGUGUGUGUGUGUGUGUAUUAUGUGUGAAGUGGUAUAUGCAAUUUUUGGGCAGGAACCACCACCACCACCACCAUUGCAAAUGGUGUCUGCUGCCGACCACCACCGCCGAGGUGGCAGUGGGUGGUGUCUGGCCUUGUGGAACCCUAAUUGGCCUAGUUGCUUAAUCUUGGACUCAGUAGGAUUGUGAUUGGAUUGGAAACCCUAAUUAGGGUUUAUAAAACCCUAACUCUGGGAAUGUUACUUUUGGAAUUAUCGGGACACGCGUUUCGACUAUUAUACUGGAAUUUUGAUUUAUAUCCAACUACAUUGUAUGAAUGGCCUAAUAGAGUGAUGGACUUUAAUGGAUUAAGUGUUUAAUGGGUUAAGUUAGAUUACUUAACCCUAAUCGUCAUUUCAUGUGAGAAACCCUAAUUUUGCUUUGGCCUUGAGUUUGGCCUUUCUAUUGGGCUUUGGUGAUUGGGCUACUGAUGGGCAAUCCAAAAACAAGCAUAUGGACUAUUAUAUUUGGAUUGAGCUUUAGGAUAAGGCCUAAUGGAUAUACUUGGGCCCAAUUGGGAAAAUUAGGAAUGCAUUAUGAAAAAUUUAGAAAAUAUUUGUCGGAUUCUUACACAUAGUUAGGAGCUGAGAAAAUGGACUCUUCUAAGAUCACUUGGAUGCCAAUUUUUGGUAGCCUUGGAUGAAUUGCAUGUAAAAUAGAGAAACCUAGAUCCAAGCUUUAGGGUUUGCAUGAGCGCAUAGGAUGUUGUUUUGUAUAAAACCCAUCAGCCAGUUCCUUCGCCGUCUGGUCACUGUUCGCAUUGUACGCCCCGUGUAACGAAGUGUACGCCAAGCAUACGCAUUGGGCAGUCGAAUUUCGUUGACUUUUGACUUAGAUUUGGAUGUUAAAUACUAAGUAGGGUUAAUUAUUUCGUUCGCUAGCAGAAGUCUAAUUCUGGCAGUUCGGCUAUGACAUUUACUUGUCGAUAGUAUAAGGCGAGUCUCCUCAGUUAUCCUUACCUGUCUGGUAGAAUAGUUGUAUUUAUGAUGAUCAGUGGGUCUGNGUAUUUAUGAUGAUCAGUUGGGUCUGCUGUUAUUUUGUGUUACGUUGUUACGUGUGACUGAGACUGAGGACAGUCCCUAGAGUUGCUGAUAACUCAUAAGGUGUGUUGUUGCCCACUGGUAUUGUUGAUAGUCCCCAAGGUUGCUGAUAACCCAUAGUUAUUUAUUUAUGUGGUGUUGUGUGUGAUAUCUUGGAAAACUCACUAAGCUUCAUGGUUACAGUUGUUGAUUUAUCUGUUUCAGGUAGUUUUGAGAAGUGCGGGAAGGCGAAUGUCUGAUUGUGCACACUAACUGGGAGGAUGGAUAGAGGUUUGGGUGUAACAACUCAAAUUUUUCAAACAAAUUUUUCAAUUUUAAAACAUAAUUAUUUUCAUUAAAAACAAGGCAUAAAUAGUCAAUCAUUCAGUCAAUACAAUUAUUCAAAAUCCCAAGAUCAUAAAAACCAUCUUCAGUGUGUAUCGAUCAUGCCGGCGCCUUCCCACGGUCCUCGCUAGUACCUGAAAUACAUGCACAACAACUGUAAGCAUAAAUGCUUAGUGAGUUCCCCAAUAUACAACUUACGCACAUACGCCUUCCGGCCCGGACCUUUCGGUCCACAUAACAUUGCCUUCCGGCCCGGCCUUCCGGUCCAUGUGUCUCUGGGGACUUCCGUCCCUGCUGGGUAAACCUUCCGGCCUUACCCACGCCGACCUUCCGGUCCAUCACACAUCAUAUCGCCUUCCGGCCCAUAACAUAUUCGCCUUCCGGCCCAUAACAUACAUAGCACAUAUAACAUAUAACAUACCACAUAUAGCAUACAUAUCACAUAUCAUAUCCGACCUUCCGGUCACACAGUCAAACCCUUCCGGGUACAGUAUAGUGAGAAGACUCACCUCGUAAAUGCUGAAAGCUAGCAACUCCUGAAAUCACUCGCGCACAAACCAACGAGCUACAACCCUCCUAUAACAUUACAUAACUCAUUAACACUCAUAUCAUCUAAGUGUGACUAUCCCUAAGAAGUCAGACUUAGGUCAACUCUGGUCAACGGUCAACGGUCAACUCGACUGGACUCGGCGAGUACCAUGGCGACUCGGCGAGUCUAGUCGUCCUCACAAAUUCCUGAAUAUUCCCUUUCUACUCGUCGAGUAUCCCUCUUGACUCGACGAGGUCCUCGUGGAAGAAUCGCGGGGCCACCCCGACUCCACUCGCCGAGUCUGAUGAACAACUCGGCGAGUCCCAGUAAAUCUUCAAGCUACUCGCCGAGUCUGAAGAACAACUCGGCGAGUCCAUGCCAUGCAGACGAGUAACUGCUUCCUGAGAUAGGUCUCGUCCCGAAGUACACAUGCAUGGGACCUUCUGGACCUCUAAAGGUCCUAAUACAAGACUAUAAUCGUGGGGUAACAAGGCAUUACUUCAUCAAAUCACUAAAUGGGUUCUAUAAACCCUAAUUUCAUAAAUACAUCAAAAUAACAGAUUUGGUCCGAGUAUUACCUGAAAACGCACUCUCUGUGUCCCCCAAAUCUCAGGACUCAAUCCUCCUUGAUAUUCCUUUAGCCAAAUCCCUCUUCUUCUUGCCUAACCAAUUCUUCCAAGUUCCAAAGCUUUCUCCCUUGCUCUAGGCGUCCACAGCGAUUAGGGUUCCUCUCAAUUGACCAAAAGACUGAAAAUGACGGCCUAAGAGGCGUUAAAUACGAUCCAAACUGAACGGUUAGGGUUUCUGCUGAACAGCGUCGACUCGCCGAGUCCAUAUCUGGACUCGUCGAGUCCAGUCGCGGACCCGCGACCAAGUCCGCGAUCCUACUCGGCGAGUCUAGGCUCCAACUCGCCGAGUCCCCUCUUAAAUCACCCCAAAAACAUAAUUUUAAUAAUACCUGAGAUUCCGGGCUGUUACAAUUCUCCCCCACUUGGAUUAGACUUCGCCCUCGAAGUCUCACUCUGCAAAUAGUUCCGGAUGCUGCUCCCGCAUUUCGCGCUCCGGUUCCCAAGUCAUUUCUGAUCCCUUACGGUGUUGCCAUUGAACCAACACCAGAGGUACUUCCUUGUUCCUCAGAACCUUGAUCUUCCGAUCCCUGAUAGCCACUGGUCUCUCCGCGUAAUUCAGGCUCGCAUCCACCUGAAUAUCCUCCAAUGGAACCACUGCCGACUCAUCGGCUAUGCACUUCCUCAACUGCGACACAUGAAAAGUGUCAUGGAUCUGACCCAACUCCGCUGGCAACUCCAACCGGUAGGCUACCCGACCUAUCCUUGCAAUCACACGAAAUGGCCCAAUAUACCGGGGCCCCAACUUGCCUCUCUUCCUGAACCGAAUCACUCCUUUCCAAGGAGAGACCUUCAGGAGAACGAAGUCGCCGACUUGAAAUUCAAGCUCGGAUCGGCGCCUGUCUGCAUAACUCUUCUGUCGGCUCUGGGCAGUCAAUAAUCUUUGUCUCACUUGUUGAAUCUGCUCUGUCGUCUGGAGUAUGAUCUCCGUGCUGCCCAUCACUCUCUGUCCCACCUCUCCCCAGCAAAUGGGAGUCCGACACCUCCUACCAUACAACAGCUCGAAAGGCGGCAUACCAAUGCUCGAAUGAUGGCUGUUGUUGUAGGAAAACUCUGCUAAGGGUAAAUACGCAUCCCAACUACCCCCGAAGUCUAACACACACGCUCGGAGCAUGUCCUCCAGUGUCUGAAUUGUCCGCUCGCUCUGACCGUCUGUCUGGGGAUGGUAUGCGGUACUAAAAUGCAAUUUAGUACCCAGCUCCUCAUGGAAUUUCUUCCAGAAUCUGGAAGUAAAGCGCACAUCACGGUCUGACACAAUCGAGAUCGGCACCCCGUGCCGAGAUACCACCUCUCUCACGUAUAUCUCCGCCAAUUUCUCCGCCGAAGAACUCUCACUGAUGGCAAGGAAGUGUGCACUCUUUGUCAACCUAUCCACGAUCACCCAAAUUGCGUCAACUCCCCUAGCAGUCCUCGGCAAUUUGGUGAUAAAAUCCAUAGUAAUCUGUUCCCACUUCCACUCGGGGAUCUCCAAUGGCUGUAACUUGCCAUGCGGUCUCUGGUGCUCAGCCUUAACCCUACGGCAGGUCAAGCACCUCUCAACGAACCAUGCCACGUCCCUCUUCAUACAGGGCCACCAAUAUUCCUUCCUUAAAUCCAAAUACAUCUUUGUAGCACCGGGAUGGAUCGAGAAUUUCGAUCUAUGAGCCUCUUCCAUCAACGUAAUACGCGUACCGCCCACGAACGGUACCCAAAUCCGACCCUGAAACGUCAUAAGGCCUCGACUAUCCUUGACAAACUCUGAGAUUAACCCCACAACCCGCUCUUUCUUCUGCAUUUCUGGUCGCACAGCCUCCGCCUGGGCCCCACGAAUAGCGUCCAAUACUGGAGUCAUCACAGUCAGUCUCAAGCAUACGUCUCGCAAUGGAGUGCUCUCCGCCCUGCGGCUCAAUGCAUCGGCUACCACAUUAGCCUUGCCUGGGUGGUACAGGAUCUCACAAUCAUAAUCCUUGACCACAUCCAACCACCUCCUCUGACGCAUAUUUAGGUUGGGUUGAUCCAUCAAAUACUUCAAACUCUUAUGGUCCGUGUAUAUCGUACAUCGAACCCCAUACAAGUAGUGACGCCAAAUCUUGAGAGCGAACACUACUGCCCCCAACUCUAAAUCAUGCGUGGGAUAUCUCGCCUCAUGAGGCUUCAGCUGCCUCGACGCAUAAGCUAUCACAUGACCCCUCUGCAUUAACACUGCACCCAAUCCCGAAAUCGAUGCGUCGCAAUAUACCACGAAAUCUUCCAUCCCUUCUGGGAGAGCUAAUACCGGGGCUUCGCACAAUCUCUGGCGAAGUGUCUCAAAGGAGGUCUGCUGCUCGGGCCCCCAUGAGAAUGUAACACCCUUCCGGGUCAAUCUGGUGAGUGGCACUGCGAUCUUGGAGAAAUCCUUGAUAAAUCUCCGAUAAUACCCUGCCAACCCAAGGAAACUUCUGAUCUCAGAGGGUGACUUCGGCACCUCCCAACUCAUCACCGCCUCAACCUUGGCCGGAUCGACCAAUAUCCCUUUCUGAUUAACCACAUGUCCUAGAAACUGGACCUCCCGCAACCAGAAGUCACAUUUGGAGAACUUUGCAUAAAGCUUCUCCGACCUCAAUACCUCAAGGACCUCCCUCAAAUGCUCCUCAUGCUGCUCUCUAGAUCUCGAAUACACCAGAAUGUCGUCGAUAAAUACAAUCACUGACCGAUCCAACAUCGGCCUGCAUACCCUGUUCAUGAGAUCCAUGAACACAGCCGGGGCAUUGGUGAGUCCAAAAGGCAUCACCACAAACUCAUAAUGCCCAUAUCGCGUCCUAAACGCUGUCUUCUGGACGUCCUCAUCCCGUACUCUCACCUGAUGGUAUCCUGACCUCAGAUCGAUCUUGGAAAACCAAGAUGCUCCCUGCAACUGAUCGAAUAAAUCAUCGAUCCUCGGCAACGGGUAACGGUUCUUGACCGUUAGCUUGUUCAACUCCCGGUAAUCAAUGCACAUCCGGUGUGAACCAUCCUUCUUUUUGACGAACAGAAUAGGUGCUCCCCAUGGCGAGCUGCUCGGCCGAAUGAAUCCCUUUCCCAGCAACUCCUGGAGUUGCGAGGACAACUCUUGCAUCUCUGGAGGUGCAAGACGAUAGGGCACUUUAGCAAUAGGCGCUGCCCCCGGAACCAGAUCGAUACUAAACUCUACUUGCCUCACAGGCGGUACUCCCGGCAACUCCUCGGGAAAGACAUCUGAAAACUCGCGCACCACCGGAACUUCCUCAACUGACUUCGGUUUCUCAGAAACCUCCCGCGUAUCCAUCACAUACGCCACGAAACCCUUACAGCCCUGUCGUAGACACUGCCUCGCCCUAGCGGCCGAACAAAAAGCUGAUCCCGAACGGGUACCCUCGCCGUAUACCGAAAGAACUCCCCCACUAGGGUCUCGUAUAGUCACCAACUGACGCUCACAGUCGAUGACAGCGCCGAAUCGGCUCAACCAGUCCAUGCCCACGAUGACACAGACAUCCCCCAUCGCGAUAGGAAUCAGAUCAAUCGGGAAUCCAACCCCGAAAAUCUCUAGUACACAUCCCCGAAGAACCUCCGUAGCACAAAUCACCUUCUCGUCAGCUAUAGAGACUCUCAAAGGUCGACUCAACGACUCACGACUAACGCCAAUAUGCUGACUAAAGGCCAAGGACACAAAGGACCUACUCGCACCCGAGUCAAAUAACACUAAGGCAGGCACAGAGUUCACAAGGAAAGUACCUACGCGCAUAAUAACAUAAGCAUAACAUAUCGACAUUAAAAUAAUUACAUGAAUUACAACAUACCUGCCACAACAUCGGGCGCAGCGCGGACCUCCUCCGCAGUCAGCUGAAAGGCUCUCCCACGAGCCCUCGGGGCCUCGACCUUCACCGGUCGAGUCUCAGUAGUCCUGGCAACAGGUGCAGAUCCCUGACGAAGCUGAGGGCACUCGGCCUUCCGAUGGCCGGUCUGGUUGCAAUGAAAGCAAACCAUAAAUCCCUUGGGACACUCCCUAGCAAUGUGUCCCUCCUUGCCACACUUGUAGCAAGCACCGGCUCGACACGCCCCAUCGUGACCCUUACCGCACUUUACGCAAGUGCGGUUCUUCGAACCUCCCGUCCUCGAAUCGGCGGACUUGAUCCGCUUGGCUGCCGGCUGAGACUGAGCCGGCCGCCGGUCUGCCUGCUGAGACUCGGCCUCCUCCCUGGCCUGAGUCUCUAACUCGAUCUCACGCUUCCUGGCAUUCGCCUGAAGCUCAGUAAAAGUAUGGUAAGUGGAGUUUGACACAAACUCCCGGAUCUCCCUCCUCAGAACACCCAAGUACCGGCUCAUCCGAGCCUGCUCUGUGGCCACCAGCUCGGGGCAAAACAUCGCCCUCUCAUGGAACUUCCGCGUGAUCGCCGCCACCGAAUCAGUACCCUGCUUGAGGGUUAAGAACUCCUGAACCAAUCGUUCCCGCUCCACCGGGGGAACGUACUCCUCCCUGAACAUGGUAGUGAACCCCUCCCAUGUCACUGCCGCAGUCUCUGCCAAAGUGAAGUUCGCCGUCACGAACUUCCACCAGUCCUUCGCUCCCAGACGGAGCUGGUUCAAAGCGAACCGUACCCUCAGGUGCUCCGGGCAUGAACAAGUGUAGAAGCACCCCUCUAUAUCUGCGAUCCACCUCAUCGCAGCAAUCGGAUCCUGCGUCCCAUCGAACUCUGGUGGCUUCGUGUUGCUGAACUCUCGGAACAGCAAUGAAUCACCCCCCUGUGGCCUAGCAGCGGCCACAGCUGCGGUAGCUGCAGCGGUUGCAGCCUCAGUCAAUGCGGCGUACCGCUCGUCGAACGUCUCCAUCAGGGUGGUCUUGAUAGACCCAAACAUCUCCGGGAUCUCAGCCCGGAUCGCCGCCGCCACCUCCUCGUGGAUCAUCUGACGAAUAUCCUCGUCACUCACACCGCUCGUACUUGCCCCGUGCCGCGGUCUAACCAUGAUAUCUCUGAAAUACAACAUAAAACUAUCAGAGAUUCUACCGAGUAUAAUCGUACUCGACACGCAACCCUACUCAGUCCCAGAUAUCCAGGGAUUCUUACUUGGGCCUCCCACUGACCCGGUGUCCUCGGUAGUACGGGCCCAAUACUACCGACCACACCGCAUCAAUGUUCAUCCCAAGUCCUCCUCCCCAAACUCCAGAUAGUGAGUACUCUACUUCUGAUACGCUCUAUCUACCCGCAUACUAGCAAAGCAUCUCAUAUAAGCAACUUCCCUAGACUAAGGCAUCACAAAUCAGGCCACUCUAGUCCUAUCAUGAAUACCUAGUCUUCUAGCAUGCAUAACAAUUCAUAUCAUAUAAUAUUGUAAGGUAUUUUGGGGAUCUUUACCGUUCGGGCGCUGACUGAUCGUACACACUGCUUCUUUCUUGCAUACCACAAAACCAUUUACAAAAGUUUAUGCCUUUAUUUGAAAAGUUUCCUCAAAUCCUCGGUUUGAGUUUAGUUACCCCCGAAGGUGCACCCGAAUCCCUCAAACCAAGGCUCUGAUACCAAUUGUAACAACUCAAAUUUUUCAAACAAAUUUUUCAAUUUUAAAACAUAAUUAUUUUCAUUAAAAACAAGGCAUAAAUAGUCAAUCAUUCAGUCAAUACAAUUAUUCAAAAUCCCAAGAUCAUAAAAACCAUCUUCAGUGUGUAUCGAUCAUGCCGGCGCCUUCCCACGGUCCUCGCUAGUACCUGAAAUACAUUACCUAUAAUUAUCAGUAUCACAUUACCUAUAGUUAAUUUUGGUAAGCUCAUUAAAUCGAACAUUAGUGUUAAAACCUAGACCAAUUUUACAAAUAUAUUUUGAUAAAUAUUCUACACUAUGUCAUUCUGGAAAUUAAUGAUCGACCAUCAAUGGAUAUUUACCUACAAAGUUGAUCCUCGAGCAUCAAUCGUCCAGUGGAGGUUUGUGCAUGUGUUAUGUUUCUUGCAUGCUUAUCAAAAUUCAUUCUAACAGUCGUUGACAUGUUCUAUAACUCAUUCUGCAUUGAAACAAAAAAGAAAUCCAAAUAUACUUUAAAUGCAAUGUCGCAAUGAAUAUAGCAGAAUGUGUACAUAUCAAAAUAUCGGGUGUGAGUAAUCGAAAAAUCAUCCAAGUGAACUUGCGGACAGACCUUUCUUAAAAUUGAAUCUUUCUCGUUGAGCUUUCUUAGACAUCGAGAUUUAACUCGAGGAGGUGCAAAACGAUAAAUAUAUGUACAAUUUUACCUUAUUUACAUUAUUAAGAUCAGUUUUUCAUGAAAUUGAAUUUUUAAAUAAAUAUAAUUAUCAGUAUACAAGAUUAUUAUGAUUUCAUUUAACACAAUCAUAAUUUCAACUUUUUGUGAAAACUUUAAUUUUGUAGCCAAACAUUAUAAUAAGUUUGUGCUAAUGACACCUGUCAUGUUGAAAGGCUAAACAAUGAAUAAGGUAUAGUCAACCUCGAAUAAUCACAAUGUCAAAUGAUAGAAGAUAUUCUCACUUAAACAAGCAAGAAAAAUGUAUCAAAUGUUUUUGAAAAAAAAUACAAAUAAAGAUAGUGUGGCCAUUUACAAAUAAGAACCGUUAAAAAAAUAGUUAUGUAUACAAAGGAGUAUUAUGACCAUUUACAAAUAUUUAAGAUCUGUUAAAAGUGUCAUUUUUCUUAAUGGUUGGGCUGUAUGUGACGAUAUGUACAAUUUUAGGGGAGGUUGAUGCAAAUCACCAUCGCUAGAGAUCAGGAUUAGGGUUGACGCCCACACUUUUCUUACUAUAUAUUAGAUGUUGAGGAUCCACAGCCGCUGUCAUAAUCAACUGAAUCUAGAUCCAGGAUCCAAACAUCAAACUAUUCACAAAUAAUUAAGAGCUUAGGAGGAUAAUGCAUAUCUGAAAAUCAUGCAUUGGUUUGAUAAAGUUAUCGAUCUGUGUCUUUUGGGUCAUGCAAAUCACCAAGACUUUUAUUUGUUGAUUUCAAAAAAAAAAUUCUCUAUCAUGCACACAGAUCAAAAAACUAGCAAAGAUCCGCAAUAUUUUGUAAGAAAAACCAUGUAAGUUAUCAUUCUGAAUCAUGUGUUUUGAAGCUGUUGUGUCCUUUUUUUUGUAGUUUCGAAGUUUAUAUAUGCUGUUCUCCUGUGACUCUCACUUUCUUGAUCUGUUGUCAGUCUAGUUGAAUCAGAUCGGUACCAGUUAGGUGUUCAUAGCAUUUCAAGGGUUGGUUUUGUGGGUUUCUCCAGGCCACUGUACCUUACCCUUUCUGAUGUCAAGUGGAUUGUGUUCCUUGGCAAAGAUGUUUCUGAUGAUAACAAAAUGUUCAUAAGCUUUUGAUAUCUUUCAUGUGAAUGUUUCAUGUGAGUAUAAACUAUAAACUAUAAAGUAGUGUUUUUAUUAUUCUUUUACACGCCUGCUACAGAUUAAUCAGUAGAUUACCAUUUAUUUUAUUUCUGCAGGUUUUCAUUGAUUGU